rnacentral:lncRNA from 1 species
UUCUAGACCAUGCCCCCUUUCUCUGCUCUAGAUUAUCACCUCCUUGCAUAACAUUUGCUACUAGAGACCAAACUCUCGAAUAUUACAAGUGAAUGUAUUCCAUCCAUUGAUUGGUCCGAAAGAUACGACUGAAUAAUUUACCAUGAACAACCACCGUACAUAAGCCUGUUAUCAAACACCAAACCAGACCUUGAUCAAAACCCUUUUUGUGGCAAUCAUAUCAUACACCUCAGCUUAUACCAUCUAAAUUAGAUUCCACACACAAUUCCAAUUAGAUGAGAUGAAAGUGUAAAUAAAACACACACACAAUGUAUAUAUAUAAAUAGCAAACUUAACUAGAAGUGAUGAGCAGAAACAUGAAAGAUUGAUGGGUUUAUACCAAAAACACAAGCCCUUUUACCAUCUGAAAUUUGCAGCGCAAAAACAUCCCAAUCCGUUGAUUAAAAGAUUCCCCACACAUGGUCUCCUCAGAAGAGAGGUAAUACUGAACACGGUAAGGGGCUCUGUUAAGCGGGUGCUCCCUGGUUAUCGCAAUUUCGAAAUAACGUCUUAGAGCAACUCAAAGGCAUUAGACCUCUUAGGUAAAAGUGUUUAUGUGGCACCUACAUGGCAUCUAUGUGGCACAUUUUAGAUAAUAGGUAAAAAUUCUACACUCCAACCAUUACUCCUUAGCAAAAAAAAUUAGAUAACUAAAAUUGGGAUAGCUACAUUUGUAAAACCUCUAAAGGUAUUAUGUAUAAUUUUAGAUAAUAUAAUUAUACAUAAUACCUUUAGAGGUUUUACAAAUGUAGCUAUCCCAAUUUUAGUUAUCUAAUUUUAAAUGAUCAUCUAUAUAUCAUAUUAUAGCUAACAAAUAUACAUAACACCCUUGGAGAUGCUCAUAUUGGAAAUUAUGAACCCAAAUUUCACCAUGUUAUAUCGAUAUUCAGCUCAUUUUAACUUCAAUUUAUGAUAUUUGAAGCCUUUUAACAUGUUGAUUCUGUUUUUACAGUAGUCAUUUUUCUCCCUCGCCAAAAUAGUUGUCACAUUUGAUUUUGUGUCAGUCAAAUUGACUAAAGUUUGACUGAAAUUCAUUAAUAUUUUAUCAAUUGACAAAAUAAAAAAAAUAUGUAAGCGGAAAUAAUUUUUAAACUACUUUAAGAUGUAAUUUUUGGUUUUUUAAAAUAAUAAAUGAUUGGCUUAUAUAAUAUUCAGUCAAAACUUAGUCAAUUUGACCAACUAAAUAGAAAUGUGACAACUAUUUUGGGACGGAGUGAGUAUGAUUUUCAUAUAUUUAUCAAAAUUUUCACUUUUUAAUUUAAUGAUUAAUAUUAAUAUUCUAUUAUACUUUUGAGAAUGAGCGGCCGAUUUAUCCAUAUUUGAUGUUUAUGAUUUCAUAUAGAUAAAGAUAAUUGAUCGGUGUUGAAUAAAUGACGGUAAGACAUGUGUAUGUGAAUGAGUGUUGCAUAUAACAAAAUAUUUUGGAUUGCAUAAAAAAAUAAUAAUUGGAUAAUGAAAAAUAAAAUUUCAAGAAGGUUAUCAUUCUGAAUGAAUAUCACGGUUAUAUAUUUUGAUAAUGUAUAAUAGUUUUCUUAAAAUAAAAAAAUAAUUUAUAUGCUAUAUCCAGAAAUCGAGAAUUAGACGUAAUCGGUUGAGCUACCAAUUCAAAUUAAUCAGAAUUCAGUGAUUAAUCGGAGUGAAAAUCAAAUAUAUUUCAAUAUUAAAAUAUUAUUUAAUAUUAUAUUAGUUAUUUAUUAACAAAUAUAUAUUAACUACAUCAUCAAUUUUACAAUUGUUCAUAAAUAAACCAAUAUAGUAUUUUAAUUUUAAUAUAUUAUUAUAUAUACUUUGAUCCAGAAAAAAUUAUAAAUAUUAAUCAAAUUUUAAAAGUCGAAUGGAUCAUUCACAUUGCAGCAGAUUAAUUGGGAAUUUUUUGGACACCGGCUAUAUCUAUUUUGACAAUGCAUACCAGAGUGGUAUCUUUGCCAUCUAUUUGGAAGUUGAUAUUUUUGUAAAGAAAAGUUAAAAAAGUGGUAUUUUUGGCUCUCAACCAAAACCAACUAAUAACUUCAAACAAAAUAAGAGAUGUUUUCUUUUAAUUAUUUAUUUUCUUUAUAUAAUUUCAUAUGAUAAAAAUUAAUAUCAUCAUUCGAAUAAAUAAUCUAUCAAAUAUUCAAAUCCUUAUUGCACCAAAAAUUUACCAUAUAAGAUCUAGGUGAUUUGAAGUAUUUUCUUGGUAUGGAAGUUCUUAGAGCUGAAGUUGCCAUUGAGUUAAAUGAGAGGUGUUGGAAGUUUGUCAUUUUGAGCACCAAUUUGAGUGAGGCUCGGCUACGUGCUCGUGGCGGGUUAUGCUUGGAUUAUGUUCUCCUCCGAGAGAGCUUUCCAAUGCAUGUUUAUUCACUCAAAACGACUAAGGAAUGGAUGAGUUAUGAUGAUCCAAAGUUGCUUCCUUGGUAGUGGAAAUUUGGAGAGAAAAACUUGAGUCCCACGUUGAUUCUAUAAAGAGCCUUUAAAGGCUUUAUAUAGUAGAACACUCUUGUAGUGUUUAACUUGUGUUAGUAUGUUAUGCUCCACCACCUACGUGCGCGCCGGGGGUGCAAAUUGUGGGAUUUCGAGGGGAGUUUCGUGGCUUCGCAAGCCUCGGGCUUUUCCGCGUGUGCGACCUGCGGACACGAAUGCAGCAAAAUCUGGGCGAUUUGAUUUCGGAUUUAAUUUAUAACCGUGUGAAUUAAUUAACGCGUUUUAAUUAAUUACAAAGCGUAGCGCACAAGUCUUGCAUUGCCUAUUUAUAUUCAUUAUAGUUUAGGGUUUGCAUUCACGAAAAUACACAGCCUCUCGCAUACAAAACCCUAGCCGCGUCGGUGAUAGUUCUCAGUCUUGUUCUGGUUCGUCGAAGGUGCAUAUUGCAUCGUUCAAUCCGUUUUAUCCUGGGAGGCGAUCGUUCAUCACACACGGUGAGGGCGAAAUACGCUUUAAGGAGACAAUUACGCACUGGACUCGGAUUUCUGUUCAUAUAUCCUUCGUUCUAUCCUGCCUCCUUACGUUUACUGUUUUCUCACGCACACACACAAACGCACGUAUUGAAUUGUUGGUUUUGCACAGAUUGUUUAACAAGAGGAAGUAUAGAUGCUCACUUGACUGAUUGUACACCAGCUGCUUUUUCCACUAUGAAAAGGCUUGCAUCUAAGAACGAAGGAUGUUUCAAAGUUGCCUGACCCAGAAGUGUAUAGAAGUUGCCUGAUAUUUCAUAUGAUCUUUAACAACUUCCUCAGUUUCUCCAUGCCAUGAACCAGCUAAGCCACAUUAUGAUGCUACUCUUCAUGUCUUAAAAUACUUGAAUAGUAUAUUGAGUGUUGGUCAGUCUUACAAAGCUAAUACAAGAAAGAACCAAACAUUUGAAGGUUGACUGUAAUUUUAUUCAAGAGUACGUUGAUUCUGAGUUUAUUCGAAUUUCACAUAUUAGUGCUUUCAUAUAAUGACAAAGCCAUUGGAUGAUGCUCAUCACGAGUUUCUUAGUAUCAAGCUCGGUCUUCAAUUUGAUCCUCCUUGAUGCUCAGCUUGAAAAGGGUACUGAGCUAUGUACAUAUAUUGUAAAUAGAUAUUGUAGAAGCGUCCAGCUAUACAUAAUUAGUUAGAAUUAGUUAUAUGAAUAUUCUGUUAGUGUUGUUAGUAUAUAUACUUGUAAAUGCAGCUCAUGGAGCAACAAGUCAAUUUUAACAGUUUCAUUCUGUUCAUUCUUUCUCUAACAAACUUGAAUCACACUGAUGGAGAUCAAAUAAGCUUUGUCUUAUCAUUUUCCCGCUCCCUUGAUGCGCUGAAAGUGCCAAGUGAUCAGAUUUCUCCUCUCCUAAAACAGUAUACAAUUGUUGAUUAAAAAAUAAGACAACUUUUAGGCAAUAGAGGAUGUUGAAGCUUUUUGCCUGAUCAACUCUUGAGAGGCAAGUACUCUGUCGUGGUGCUUAGUUCCUCUCUGUAUUUUUUAAAAUUUGUGGUUGUUGACACGAUGAAUCUGUAUACGACAUAGUGAUGAUUAUGCAAUAGGCCAAGUAAUUUUUUGAACUCAUCUGUACGACGAGAAUGCAUGGGAUUUGCCGUUGUUAAGGGGAACUGGGAUAUUAUUUGAAGAGCUAGGUGAUAGUAAAAAUAUUAAACAAACAUGAUAAAAGUCGGUCAAAAGAUUCAGAAGUGUGUGUCAAAAAGUCAAACUAUACAUUAGAAAAACGAGGAAGCAUUAGUUUGGCCAGAUGAAUACAUUGUGGGGUCAUUGGUCAAUGUUGCCUCUGACAGGAAGUGAACAAUGUUCCUCCUUGUGUCACAUUGUGUGAAUCUUGAUAAUGAGUUCAUUUCCAUAGAACCAAGGGGUAGAUACAAAUGUAGAGAAGGCAAGCACCAUAGAUGUGGUUUACAUGCAUUUUGUCCAGGUAAGGUGUUGCUUGUAAUCAUGCAUUGUUUACUUCACAGCAUUUUUUGCUUCCCCUAGAAUCCCUAGAUUUUCAUGGGACCAGAUCUACGCGGAAUAAGAAUCACCAACUAUGUGAUCUAGCGUUUACAACCAUACCAGCGAUUUGCAUUCUAGAGUUGAAAUGAGAUUUGGUUGAAGUACUUAGACUCUAUGUCAUAUUUUACAAGCGAUACAACUUAUUUUUUGUUAUUUCUCAAGACAUGUAGCACUCGCGACCAACCUCUAUGGUGUUAGGAUAUUGGGAUGAUUUCUUUUAAAAUCAUGGAAAGGAGUAAUUGUGCUACUCCCUUAGAAGCGAUUCCUAGAAAAAGGCGAAAUCGUAAUACAAACAGGAGGCUUAUUUGAGAAACAGAGAUCCAAAAUACUGAAUGAGGACAACACUGCAAGCACUCCCAACAUGUAAAGGUCUGAAAAAUUUAAAUUAACCGCAAACUUCUGCCAUGAGUUCAACUCAGCAGGAACAAACAAAUAGGACUUCUUCCAGAGAAAAUUUCUCAGAACAUGCUCAUAAUGACUCAAAAGAUUUGCGAGUUUGGCUGCUCUGAGUCAUGAAUGUGAUCUUUGAAAAUUGAAUCAGAAAACAAAGCACGAGAUGGGUGCAAUCUUUAUGGGAAUAACCAAGCUGUAACUUUACAUUUGGUUAUAGAAGUGGAGAAGCAAUGCUCCUUGCUUGAAAAUAAGAUAUACAACAUAAACUAGAGCUUAGAAGAUUGCAUAGAAAGAGAAAAAAGUAGAAGAAAUAUCAGCAAAAAUCAAAUGGUGGGUACUGGGUGGACUUGCAUGUAUUCGGAUCAUCUUGUAGGAUUGGAAACUGCCGAAGUGUGGAAGUGAUAUGAUAAAGGUAUGCGAAUAACGAGGUUGUAAAAGAUGUUUUUAUUGAUUAUAAGCAAAAAAGUUAUUUAUAAAUGAAUAACUUUUAAUUUAUGUGUUUGGAUAAUUUUUUAUAUUUAUAGGAUAUAAACUUUUACAAAAACAUUACAAAUGGGUUACUUCUGAAUUAUAAUAAACUGUAUAGUAGACUAUGCAUGUGAAUCUAAAAUGCACUUGUGAAGAGAUAAAAUCUCCAUUGUAAAGUCUGGAUUGGUUGUAAAGUUGAACAAUAUUAGUUUGGCCAGAAGGAACUCAUUUGAGCAAGAGGAGUUUGUUUGGGUGGACAGACAUAGAGGCCCUUCAUUCAGAAUUAUAGAAAUCUUUUUCAAACGAGAAAUCACUACUCCUUGAAAAUUAACUUAUCUAUUUGUCACUAAAGUAAUUCAGAAACAAAGUAAACAUCUACAAAUUAAACUUUUCUUAACAAAAAUAUAUAACUAUAUUAAACUGCAGGUUCAAAUUAGGAAUUUUUCUCUCCAGAAUCUGUCUUAUACACGAACAAACAUGGUGCCAAUAAGAAAUACAGAAAAUGACAGUUGAGUUCUGGUGCCUUUAAGGAAAAUAUCACAGCAUCAAUGUAUAAAAGAAUUAAUAAUGGAACUAGUACCAAAUUCCAUAAUGUAAGAUGAAAAUAAACACUACAGACUUAAUGAGAAAAACUGAUAUGAGAUUUAGAAGUGAUCAUGCGCCAAACUCAUCACUGACACAACUGAUGGACCAAAUUUCACUAGGAAAAUACCAAAAACAAGGUGUUGAAUGACCAUCCCAAACGACCGGAGUUCUUCCUAGGUGAUUUCCAUUCAGGUUAAAGAAAGAACAUGUGUUGAAAACUCCCAAGUGAAGAACACAGACACAGUUACCUGCUCCCCAACCAGUUGUAUCGACGAGAGCAGAACUGAACCAACUAAGAAAUAAAGAUUUUGCACCCAAGUCAUGAAUCUGUUUUGCUCUAUCCAUUGUCUCAUGGUCAAUUUCGAAUAAUGACAGAUGUCCGUCCAAUGCAGGAUAAGGACAACAAUUGAAUACAGUCAUGUAUAGCUUAUUGUCUGAUGCCACCAACUUCCAACACAUAUCAGAUGAAACCUGGAAAGGGAUGCUGAUUUUGGAGAAUUUUGGAACAGAACCUGCCUUCGGAUUAAAUUCUCCAAAACGUAAAUCUGAAGUCAAAACAAAGAUUUUGCCACCAAAAAUCUUCACAUCUGCAAUCCUGGCUUUUGUGUCGCAUAAAACAUAUCUCUGCCAACUGCUGCCACCACUUUUGGACAAUAAUAUAUAAUUUUCUGUCAGAGAGAAAAGAACCAUGAAAGUUUCUGAAAGCCGAGUGGACUGAAAUAGGAGAGCAGAAAAUUUAAAGCCGUUUAUGCCACCCAUAAGUCCAGAAAGGACGGGAAAACGCAGCUCAUGUUUUGUCAUUAAAUUUACGACCCAAAAGCCUAAGUUUCCGUCGGUUGUAAUCAGGUACCCGCAUGAGAAACCCAAUAAUUUCUUGCAAGGCAAAUCUGGCAGCAUUGUUUUGUAACGUUUCAUAUCGAACAUAUUGUACAAUACACAAGACUUUUUCGAACGCUUUGGCCGAACAACAACUAGGGGUUGCUGGCGCUCCAUACAGUAUUUGCGGAAAGCAAUAGAUGCUGACCUCCAAGAUUUACAAACACCGCUAAAUGACAGGUAGUCCACAAUACUUAACUUCACCAAAAUUGAAACCAGAAGUUCAGUAGGAAGAACGUCCCAUGCUCCCCAAACUGUGUCACCCGAUCUCCUGCAAGUCCUUUUCCGUUUUCUUCCUUGUUUUACUGUUCGUGGAGCUUUCCUGUUAACAAAUAGAGAAACGAAGAACUCACUACAAAGCUAGAUUGAGCAUGCCCAUUCAAAUGAAUUUUAUCUAGAAAGACUUAGUAGUUUGUUGAAAACGGAAUGCAUUACUUUUACAGAUGUUUCUCAAGGACAGAUUCAUCCUUUGCAAGAUUUAAAAGAACUUGACUUAACACAUAGAGGAGAAAUAAGAGUAGGAUUGUUCCUUUUGCCAGUACAGUAAAAAGUUCUGCAGCUAGACAUUAGAAGAUAAUAAAGCUUACUGCAAUAUCUAAUUCACUGAAGGUUCACAUAUUAAAAUGAAAAUCAGUGCAGAGUUUAUGUUAAGGCCACUAAAAUCUAAAAUUUCAAUCAGAACUGGACUAAGAGUGUGCAUACUCAACAUCUUUCUGAAAUGAGAACUUCAACGUUCCCCAGAAAGAAUGUAAUCUUCCUAAUGAACCAUAACUAGAUUUAUAAGGGGUAGUUUGCUCAACAUGUAAAUCUCCAGUAAUUUAAACUUCCUAGCAAAUUGUAAGAUUUUUUGGUUGACCGCUAUAUGGAAAGUGGAACUUCCUAGGAAAUUGGAAUUCCCACAUAAUGUAGAAACUUGCUUAUAUCACACCCCGGCACUGAAAUUCCUACACCACAACCAAACAUAUUUUUUAACUUCCCGGGAACUUAAUAAAGGAACUCGGAGGCCAGUUGGAAAAUUUGGAAUCAAGGUCCAACUGGCAUAUGAUACUUUUACGAUAGCAGUCUUGUUUAGGAGGGCACAACUAUAAACGUAAUGCAUACUUCAAGAGAAAGUCCAAUGGUGUGCUAUAUCUAGUAGUAGACAACUUAUUGUAUAAAAAAUGAGUGAGGUAUAUUCUAUGUUUUUAGUAGAAUCUCUUGGGGAAAAUCCAAUGGUGUGCUAUAUCUUGUUCUAAAAUAGAACAAUGCUAUAGUUUGUUCAAUAUUUAGAACAAAAGAUAGAUGGAGCUAUAAUUGCUAAAGUAUAAAAUGAUGAAAAAAUGUAUAAGAAAGUACUUUGAAAGUGCGGGGUCUUUGAAAGUUAGUCAUAUUUAUAUUCAAAAGUGGGAUGUAUUUGGAAGUUGUUUAAAUGUGAAACAAGAUUUGAAACCAACCAUUGGAGACAUGGUGCUAUUUUAGCACAAAAAAUCACAUUUUGAUGCUAAAUUAUAGCAAUAACUCCAUCUAUUUUAGCACAACCAAUUGACUUUAUUCACUUAAGAUUUAGCCAAGACUUUAUUCUCCCCCCUUUCAAGGGGUGCUUAUUCUUUAAUUGGUUGUAUAAAUGCACUUCUUGGGACUUGUAAUUUAGCCACACUUCUGAUUUUUACUACGUAAGGAUUUGAUGCCCCAAACCAGGAAAUCCAAAACUUCAAGACAAAAUUUAUGAUAUUUACAUAGAGCAAAUUCAGAACAUAGUUACCUAAAAUAGUCAAUUCUCAACCGCCCUGCAAAAAUAUCAACAAUCCGCCUCAGAACAUUAUUACAAAAUGCCUUUUCCAUUCCACCCAAGGAAGGCCUUUCAACCACUUCCAUCCUGCCUUCGUUGAAAAAAUGGGCUGAUUCUUUCAAGCUCUUGUUCUUCCUAAUAAGCACAGAAUACAUAAUGGUCAGACUGGAAAUAUCUUGGUUUUCCUUGUGCUUCUUUCAGACAUUUACUACUACUCUUUAAAAGUUUGUAGAAGGAAUUCAACUUAAAUGGAUAAGUACAAAGAAAAAAGGGAUAUCCACAGAAAAGAUUUUAUCGUCCACAACUUUUGACAGCAUGAAACCAGUUUUUUUUUUUUCAUUCUUCAUUUUCCNUCUUGGUUUUCCUUGUGCUUCUUUCAGACAUUUACUACUACUCUUUAAAAGUUUGUAGAAGGAAUUCAACUUAAAUGGAUAAGUACAAAGAAAAAAGGGAUAUCCACAGAAAAGAUUUUACCGUCCACAACUUUUGACAGCAUGAAACCAGUUUUUUUUUUUCAUUCUUCAUUUUCCUUUUCGUUAGCAUCAUAAACAUAAAUUUUAAGCAUACGAUAUCCAAUAAUUAAGUCACACAGAAAUCCAAAAUGUCAAAAAAGUGGUACUUCAAAGUACUUAGACCUCUUUCAGGUUGCUGUAACAAACAAAUUAAGUAGAGCAUAUACUGAUGAAUGGCUAACUUAUGUUACCUACCAAAAUCGCUUUACAACUUAAAUGGUGUUUUAUUGCUUCUUUACAUACACACACACACACACACACAUAUAUAUGUAUAUAUAUUUACAACAAAGAGGUGGACAUGCUCCGAAUGCUGUCUAGUUCCUUAGGUGUUAUGUUUGUGACUGUCUACAGAGUAUCACAGUGACUAACAUAACUAAAGCAACAAUCAACACUGUGACGUCUUUGGACCAACGGACUUCCUUACGAAAUAACAGGUCACAAAGCAUAUAAUCGGUUAUGCUAGUUGGAAGAAUAUUAUCUUGACUUGGGAAGCUAUUAGUAAGCCCAAAAUAAUUAUUUAAAUUACAUACUUGAAAGCUUGGCAUGUUUCAUUCGUAAAAACAACUGCAUUCACAAACAUUAUAAUUCUUAAUAGACAUGCGAUACAAUGACAUGUUAAGUAUGACUAGUGUAUUAAGGAUUAUGUUUUAUUUCACACUACCAUGAAAUAAAUUCGGGUUUACAUACCAGCAAAGUAACAGUCUAAUAGAGGGAAACACAGAGAAGAAGAAGAGGAGUUAACCAAAUUGAUUUUUAUCCUACACAGCAUAUUUUAUUUAUAAGCAUGUCACACUAAUUUGUUCCAGAACCUUCAGUAAAUAUGUGAGAUCAAUAUUAUGAUUGCCUUAAUAUUUACAAGUCUCAGAUCAUACACCGCUAUUUCCUUAAUUGAUUUCAUCAAGUCAAGAUAUAGUAUCAAAUUAAGCUAGAUAUCAUAAAAACAAGAUAAUAUUGAUAUGUAUUGGAUUUUAACAGUAGAUUAAAGGAAACAAUCAAGUAAAAUUGAUCAGAAAAUUAACAUUACCACACUAUCUGGCAUGUUUACAAACUUAUUCAAUAUACUUCUUACAUUACAUGAAUAAAAUUAAAGUAUUCGAAUUUUAUUUAUUAAAUCAUUCAAGAGAAGGCUCAGGAUUCUACAAUUUCGCUUUAUCAAUUCCUUCUUACCGGUCCUCGGAUUAGACUAAAUUAAGCUAACAUCUACUUGCGAAGUCCAGCAAAUCAAAAAUUAACAUUACGCUAGUAAACAAAAUCUACAAUCAUCUAAAGGGAAGAUUUACUUGUUGAAAAGAUAAUACGGGCACAAACUGAACAGAAACGGCAAUGGAACUCGCCAACUCACCGGAGAUUACCCUAGUCCGCCACAAAUCGCCUCCAGUAGUGCUCUCAAAAUUUCUUAAAUAAAAAAGAGAGACAUGGGUUUACAUAGCAUAAGAUAUAUGGUGAGAUGGACGGUCAGGAUAAGGUGUUGGGUUGGUGAGAUUGCAUCAUAUGGCGACACGUGUUAGUACGGAUGUACACCAUUAUGGAUCCUUUGAGGUGGGCCGGAUCGAGAUCACUACCCCUAAGGCCUAUUACAUGACCAAUGACCGGAUAACGGUGUGGGACUAAUAUAUUUAAAAAAAUACUAUGAUCCAUAUAUUUACUUAAUCGCAUAUUCACUUUUAUUUUUAUCGAAUGAGUUCAUAUAUGUGAGCAAGUUGUGACCAUAUUGUUGUUUCAACGGGAUCAAUGGGGUCAAAUCUAAUAAUUCUUUGUCCGUUUUUCACAAGGUUAAUGAUGCAUAAAUAUAAUUAGUGUGUAACACUAAAUACGUCUGUCACAACUUGCUCACAAAGAUGAACUCAUUCGAUAAAUACAAAAUUGAAUUCGGGAUUAAGCUAAUAAAUAGAUCAUAGUUUUUUUUCGAAAUUAUAUUAGUCCAUCAGCGUUAUCCGGUCAUUGGGCAAGUAAUAGGCCUUGGGGGUAAUGAUCUUGAUCCACCCCACCUUAAAUGAUCCAUAUUGGGGUAUAUCUAUACUAACAUGGGUCGUCAUAUGGUGAAAAUCUCACCAACCCAUCACCUUAUCCUGAUUGUCCACCUAAUCAUAUAUCUUAUCCUGUAUUAACCUAGGUCUCUUAUUUAUUUAAGAAAUUUUGAGAGCACUACAGGAGGGCGACUUCCCACGGACUAGGGUAAUUUCAGGUGAGUUGGCGCGUUCCAUUGCCAUUUUUUUUCAUUUUUUGUCCUGUACUAUCUGACUAUCGAAUCAACAAGUAAAUCUUCCCUUUAGAGGAUUGUAGAAUUUGUUUACUAGAGUGAUAUUAAUUUUUGUUUUGUUGGACAUCACAACUAAAUGUUAGUGUAAUUUAGUCUACUCCCAGGACGAGUAGGAAGGGAUUGAUAAAACGAAAUUAUAAGAAGCCUGGGCCUUCUCUUGAAUGAUUUAGAUAGCACCUAAGCAUUAUCCAAGUACAAUGCUUAUCUUUCCAAAGCAACAUUCAUUAGGUUUAAACAAUCGUUUGGAACCGGUCACAUUUACAAAUUAAAAGUGCCUUAAUGUGUCGCAAGGCUCGCCAAAUGUUCAACAUUGGGUCUGCCAGCGCUAGGUGAUCAAAACUACCGAUGGUACAAAGCAAAUAUGUCCAUCCAUGGCCAAAGCAUGCUGUAUUUAAUUUUGCACCCAAAGUUUUAAAUUUUCGUAUUAUUGUUCCUUAAAACCUUGUCUUUAUAUACUGAUCUUCUGUAUUGAUGACCUAUUUGUUAUCGUUAUCAAUGAAGUUGAAAACCAGAAAGUAACCGAUACACAAGACCACUCCCAACAUGGUAACAAAAUAUGAGUAUCGUGAAACAGCAGACUGGAUUUAACAAAUAAAACCACUACUAUAAACUAAUUACAAGAAAUGCACACACCUGGUUCCUUCUUCUAGACCAUGCCCCCAUUCUCUGUUCAAGAUUAUCGCCUCCUUGCAUAACAUUUGCUACGAGAGACCAAACUCUCGAAUAUUACAAGUGAAUGUAUUCCGUCUAAAUAAUUUACCAUAAACAACCACCGUACAUAAGCCUGUUAUCAAACACCAAACCAGACCAUAAAAGAUUCCAUCUAAAUUAGAUUCCACAGACAAUGUAUAUGAAUAACAAACUUGACUAAAAAGAUGAGCAGAAACAUAUAAGAUUGAAUGGGUUUAUACCAAAUACACAAGCCCUUUUCCCAUCUGAAAUUUUCUGCAGAAAAACAUCCCAAUCCAUUGAUUAAAAGAUUCCACACAAAUGGUCUCUCGUAAACUUAAGAAGAGAUGUAAUACUUGAACAAGGGGCUCUGUUGAGCUGCAGCCUGGCUGCGUCUGCUUAAAGUAGUCAUUUUCUUCCUUAAAAAUAAGCGAGGAACUAAAGAAAAAAUGAGAAAAUAUACUCCUUUCUGAUCCCGAUCAGUUAUACAGGAUUACAGGUGUACACGGAUUGUAAGAAAAUAUUUAAAAAUUAUUAAAAUUAGAUAGAAAGUGGGUGAAGUGGUGGACUCAAUUAUAUUUAAUUAGAGCAUCUUCCAUGGUGUUGAUUAAAUUGGACCUGUAAAAUAUUAGGUAAAAUUUGCUGAACCUGUAAGAUAUUUUGCUUCAAUGAUAUUAGUUAUAUUGGUCGGCUAUAAUUUAAAAAUAGUAUGUUAUUAAUAUUUUAAAUUGUUAAAACAGAAUAUAUCAGUUCAAUAUAGUAAUAAAUAAUGUGCAAUCUUUCUACAGAUUUUCUUAUAGACCUGUAGAGUUUCGACAAAUUUAGUCAUCCAUAGAAGGUUGGCUAAAAUUAUAGAUAACAGCUCAGUGUGAUUGGAGUAUGAGUUUUUAGAGAGGUUGGCUAAAUUUUUAUUUUAAACUGCCGCUUAAAGUAAAUAAGUAAUAGUGUUUUUAUUAUUAAAAAUUACUAUUUUUGAAAUUUAUAGAAAUGAUGGGACAUCCCAGAAAAAACGGUAUACAAAUGAACGAGACGGAGGGAGCUGUGGUUUUAGGGUUGAUGGUCCUUUUUGAGAAUGAGUGACAUGUAUUAGAGCUAGGGGUGAGCGCGGUGCUAAUCAGUGCGGUUUUAGGGUAAACCGCAACCGGAACCGCAAGUCUUUGGUUUUUAAAAUUGAAAACCGCAACAGCAACCGAACCGCUGGAUCGGUUUCGGUUUCAAAAAACCUCGGUUCGGUUUCAAAUAGUUCGGUUUCAGUUUUAACACCGCAACUAUAAAAAAUAAGAGAAAUGCAUCCAAUUUAAAAUAGUAGAUAACUUAUGUUGAUUCAAUAUAUACUUCAAAAUUAAUAAUAUACCACAUUAUUAUAUUAUUGGAUUUAAACAAAAUUAGAUUACAAAUGAACACUUAUAUAUUCUGUGGGGAUCAUGAUGGAAGUAGAUUAGCGACUCAACUGUAGUGAUACUACAAGAAAAUGCUCGGUGGAAGAACUUGUUCGGGUAAAACAAUUUUAACAAAACAACCUCCGCACAUUUCAACCCCACUUCCUAAUAACCUCCCUUGUUUCCAUUUUACUUUGUUCAUUACAUAUUAUAUAUAAAUAGUUAUAUAAAUUAUGUGUAAUAUACAUAUAUAUAUAGGGAUAGGAUCAAAUAAAAACUUUUUUAAGUUACAAACUUACAACUUUUUUUUUAUUCUUCCAUCGUGUUAAUCCUUAGUUAUAUAAAGUAUCCAUGUUGAAAAUUCUUCAAAAAACAUCACAAUUUUUAAAAAUAACGCAUAAAUAAAUCGCGUUUUCAACACAUUUAUAACUGGGGUUCAACAUCGGGUGUUGAACACUAAUUAUCAUUGUGUUGAAUAUAUCUAAAAAGAUGUUUAAACUAUACCUCUGGGGUUUGGGUAGGGUCUAGAAACAUAAAUAUUAGUUAUAUAACAUGUUUACCUUAGUUCUUACAUUUAAAAAUUGGUUUAUGUACUUCUCCACCACUAUUUUAAUAGAUGUUCAACAAAAUAUGUUAAAAAAAUGUUGAACUCAAGUUAUAGAUGUGUUGAACAAAAAAAGUUUGUAAGUUUGUAAGUUUGUACCAGAACCCUCCCCUAUAUAUAUAUAAUAUUUAUUUUAAUAAUCGGUUCGGUUCGGGUUUUUGCGGUUCGGUUUUGGCCUAAAACCGGAACCGCAACCGUUGUAAUCGGUUAGGUUUUUAAUUUUUCGGUUUCGGAUCGGUUCGGUUUUAGGCGGUUCGAUUUUUAUCGGUUUUCACCGAUUUCGGUUACGGUUUCGGUUUCUUGCUCACCGCUAAAUGGAGCUAUCAAAAAUCUGAUAUUCGAGAGAAAUAUAUGUGUUUGUAUUUCAGAUAAAGCGGAUAUUAAUAUUUUAAUAACAUAUAACUGCUUUCCUUAUACGACAAAAAUGUGAAUGAGUUAUACAGUAAUUAUGAUCUUUUCAUUAUUUUUAAAAAAUUAAUUAAUUACUUUAUCCUGUUAUGAUCUUUUAUCUUUUUCAAUUUCUUUGCUGGCUUUACCUUUUUCCUUGUACUCAAUUGCCUCACCUUUCUCAAUUUUUUGGUAUCAUGACACUAUACAAUAUAAAUUGACCUAAAUUUUAUAAGUUGCUAGCUAAAUCUUGAAUACGACACCAAUUUUUACAAAUUAGAUUUAAUGAUGGCAGAAAUCCCCACCAAUCAAAAUUUCCCACCUAUACAAAAAAUAGUUGUUGGGCACACGCUAAAAAGACCCAUUAAAAAAAAACCUAAAUUGGGCCAUAAAUUUGGGGUUUUUGAUUGAAUUUAGAGACCUUAAAUUUCGAAUUGGACCUAGUUUGUGAAAAUUUAUGUCAAAUGAGUGUUCUUAGUCAUUCAAAUUACAAUUUGACUACGUGAAUUUUAAAUUUGAAUAUCAUUAACAUUUUAAAAACUGCUUUGAUCCGUAUGAACAUUAAAAACCAUAGUUAAUGAUUAUAACACUGAUGGAAGGAAUUUGAUUAAAACACGGAAAAAUGAAAUGACCUAAAUAAAAUAAUCUUUAUUUCAAAGACGUAGAUGGCAAAACCUAAAUAAUUUAGGGACCUAGAAUUUAAUUUUUCCUAUAUUUUAGUCGCAAACAAUAUUUUGUUCAUAAAUAGUAUUUUAUGAAGCAUAGUAAAGCCUUUAGUGCCCGUAACGGCAUGAAAACCUUUUGAAAAGAAAUAAUUUUAUAAUCUAACUUUUUCAAGUAAUCCUCUAAUUUUCAGAUGUUCUUUUCUUGAACUUCAAUAUAUUGCUUUAUACUUUAUAGUACUAAAUCCACAGCGUACUUGAAACCACAGUAAGUGAUUGAUUAUAAAUACAUUAGAGUAAAAUUUUAUCUUUUUUUUUUGCAGAAAAUAAAAUUUGACCUUUCAAUAGUACAGACUAGGUCGGUGUAGUAAACAAAACACAGAAAAAUACUAAAAUCUCUAUAAUACACCCAAGGACAAAGGAUGAUGGAUGAUUUUACUAAAAUGUCAAACCUCUUGAAUACUAAAUUAAAAAACCAUAAAAGCUUGGCCUACAUACUACUAAAUUCACAUCACAAUAUAACUAUAUAGUCUGAGUGAAAGGAUUCAUGAAAGAAAACAAAUACUCUGAAUGUAAGAUGAAAGUAAAACAAAAGAUUUGGCCAGCGAAACAGAUGUCAGAAGUAGAAGUGAUCAAGUGCCAAAUUCAUCACCAACACGACUGAUGUCCCAGCUUUCACCAGGAAAAAACCAGAAAUAUAGUCUCAAAUAAUCAUCCAAAACAGCAGGAACCGUUGCUAUCCGUUGUCCAUCCAAGUGAAAGAAUGUACAUUUUCCGAGUGUAUUUUGAAGAACGCAUACACAGUUGCCCGCUCCCCAACCAGUUGUGUCAACCAGGGCAGAAUUAAAUACACUCAGGAACAAAGAUUUUGAACCCAAGUCAUGAAUCUGUUUUACAGAUUCCAUACUGUAGUCAAGUUCGUACAAGGAAAGAUAUAGGACCAACAUAGUCACACGUGGAUAAGGAUGUUGAGAUAUAACCAUGUAGAUCUUGUUGUCUGAAGUCACUAACUGCAAAAUCGAACGUGAUGGAAGUGGAAUAGGAAAGUUACAGUUGUAGAGCUUCAAAACAGGAUCUGCCCUCGGAUUAAAUUCUCCAAAAUGUGCAUCACAGGUUAGAACAAAUAUUUUGCCAUCCAAAAUCUUUACAUCAGCAAUCCCAGAACUGGUGUUUGGUAAAAGAUAUUCAUGCCAACUGCUAGAGCCACUUUCAGACAUCAGUAAAAAAUCAUGCUUCUCAGAGAAAAUAAUCAUGAAAAUUCUGGAAAGCCGAGUCGAUCGCAAGAGAACAGCACAAGCAGUGAAGUCAGAGAUGCUAUAGCUGCUCUCGGGCAGAACAGGAUAAUGCAGCUCAUGUCUUGUCAUUAAGUUCACAAGCCAAAACCCCAUGUUCUUGUCAUAUGUGAUCAAGUAACCACUUGAUAAACCCCAUAAGCUUUUGCGAGGCAUAUUCGGAAACAUUGACUUGCAACUUUUCCAGUCAAAAAUAUUAUAUAGCACACAAGCUUUUUUUGAAUAUCUUGGUCUUGCUAGAACUAGGGGUUGCAGAUGCUCCAUAAAACUUUUGCGAAUAUCGGUAGACACUGACCUCCAGGAUCUACACACACCACUGAAGGCAAGGUAGUCGAUAAUAUUCAAUUUCAUUAGAACUGAAAGGAGGAGUUCAUCAGGAAGACUAUCCCAUGCUCCGCAAACUCUGUCACUCGAUCUGCUGCAGAUCUCUUUUCGUUUUCUUUUUUGUUUUGUAGCUGGUGCAGAACUCCUUUACAGAAAUAGGGAAAUGCAGAACUCGUUACAAAGCGAAAUUGAACAUGCCCGUUCAUAUAUUUUUUUUAUCUUUGUAAAGUUCAGACUUUUCCUCUAUAGAAAAACAGAGUACUUUGUCAUUAAUGGAAUUCAUUACUUUUAAAGAUCUUCUUCAGGUUAGAGUCAUACAUUACAAGAUUUUUACGAAUAUAAGACAAAAAUUAGAGGAGAACCAAAAGUAGGAUUGUUUUGGUUUUACAAGUAGAUGCAAAAUCCUAAUCAUAGUUAACUAUAAAAUAGAUAACCGAAUUAAGUAAAAAGACAGUAUACAAUGUCCCAAACUUAUAACACACUAUCUGCGGUUCAAAAGUUCUGCAGCUUAUAAUAAGGAGAUAAUAAAGUGUGCUGGAAGCUAAUUCAAAUGCAAAGCACUGCAUACUGCAGAGACUUGUUGUUCAUAAGAUUUGAAUAGGCAACUAUUCAACACAGAAAGUAAAAGGUAAAGAACAUUAAAUCUAUGUGAGUUUUGACUUGGAGGAAAAUCCAUGUUUAGUAUAAUAUAUUUUUAACUUGGAAUUAAACCUUUUGUUUUCCAAAGGAAUGCUUAUGCUUUGCUUUGCUGCAUACAUGGACUUCUCGGGACAUUUAGCCUUGGUAUAAUAACAAUUAACACAGGUUCAGUGACUUCAGUCUCCCAAACUUGCGAUUGCUACUAAUGAAGAUUUGAUGCCUCAUAUCAAGGACUUAAAAACUUAAAGAUACAGAUCACAAGACUAAUAUAGAGCAGAUUUAAAGAAAUGUUACCAGUGUGUUAUCGAGAAUCCCGCAAAAUAUUUAACAAUCAGCAUCAUCACAUUCAUGCUAAAUGCCUUUUCCAUCCCACCAAGGUUAGGUCUCCAAUCCACUUCCAUCCCGCUGGGAUACUUCCAAAGCUCUUAAGCCUGACUGGAAAUAACUUGAGGCUCCCUAGUGCUGCUUUUAGACAAGUACUGUUCCUGUUAACAGUUUGUAGAAAUAUUUCAAGUAAAAUUAAAGGAUAGUUUUAAGGAAACGAAGUCUAGAACAUCUGCUAAAAGAUUUAAAAUAAAUCGCAACUGCUAUAAUAUUUUUUGAUCUUCCAGAUAAAUCAACUAAUCCCAUAUUUUGACAGCAUGGAAACAAUUUUUUUGCCUACCCUACUUACUUUCACUAGCAUCACAAACAUAAAAUUAACAUAAAUUUUUUAACUAAUCAAGCCUAAAUCCCUGCCCGAACUCGACUCGUUUAAUUUCACGAGUCGAGCCGAGCCGGCUCAUUUAGCUAAACGAGUNNNNNNNNNNNNNNNNNCUAAACGAGCCGGCUUUAGCGAGUCGGGCGAGCGGCUCGUUUAAUUUUACACUUAAUCGAGCCUAAACCUUUAACCGAGCUCGACUCGUUUAACUAAACGAGCCGAGUCGAAUCUAGUUAAACGAGUUCGAGCCGGGCGAGCUCGGAGGCCGCGCGACUCGAAUUACAGUUCUAGUUAUAUUUAACAAUCAGCAAUAAACACUGUGAAGUUGUUGGGUAAAGCAAACCAUAGAGACUUGACAAUUGUAGAAAAACACAAACAGAAAAUAUAAAAUCAAGGCAGUGUAAGGGAAACACUGAAGCAAAUUGAUUAGAAGAUCAGUAACAAUAAUAUAGAAGUACCAAAUUAACUAGCAGGCUUGCAAACAUAAUUAUUAAUCUUAUGAGUUAAGACAAUACACAAACUGUUAUUACAUAUUACUCCCUCUGUCCCACUCAUUUCUUUACGGUUUUUUUUACACUGCUCGACACGCAUUUUAAGGCGCAUACAAAACAUAAUUUUAUAAUUUUUUUUUAAAAAAGUCUUUUUUGUAUAAAAGUUUAAACAUCAAAUUUUUAUUCAUAAAAGAUAAAAGUUCAAAAUAAUUUAUCAAACUACAUUUUACGAUAGCUUAGAAUGCGUGCCAAGCCCCCGUCCCCAAUGUAAACAAAUGAGUGGGACGGAGGGAGUAAUUGUUAAAUCAAGAUGAUGACCAUAUGAUUUUCGAUUACGAAUUCCUUCCUACGGUUUUCCGAAUGAACAAAUUAAAUUGGCAUCUGGUUGUCAUAUCUAGCGAAAUAAGUAAUAUAUAACUCAAUUAAAAAAAAUGCUACAUUCCUUAUAGAGAAAAAAAUUACCUGUUGGAGAUCUGAGAGUGACUGAACUCACCGAAACAACUAGUAGUGUCGAUCUUGUUCACCACAAAUGACCCAGCGGAGGCCCCUGUAAAAUUUAUGUAAAGAGAAUGGACUGUAGCCCGUAGGAAAGCAAUAUGUAAAAUAUAUAGAGGGGUGGAGGUGACGGGUUGAGAUCGUAUCAUAUGAUGACACAUGUCCGUCCAACUUUGCCCUGAUAUUAAUCUUUCAAUGUGGGCUUGAUUGGCAUCACAAUGUUUGAGGCCUCUGGAUAAUGCUUAUGGACUCAUGGAUCUUUUACGAAGCCUAUGAUCUGUAAAUUAACAUAAUUACAGAUCCACUUUUGGAAAUUCAUUUACUGAGCUUAUUUAUGAGUGUAAUUGACUUGUGUCGUCACCCGGACCAACUAUAUUGAGGAAAUAGCCAGAUAUUGAGGUAAUGGACCAAAAAUAUUCGAUUGAAACAUCAAAUUCGAUGAAAAAUCAUUUUGUGUGAAUAUACUCCACAAAAACUAAUGUGUAUUUUUUCUAAUUCAUAAUCCUACUUGUUUAUAUAUGUGAUCCGUUGUAAUUUAGAUAUACAGCGGAAUUUUAAUAUCACUAUUUUCUUUAAUAAACUCAUUGCAUUUUGUUAUUUGUUAGCGUAACAAUGAUCUUUUAAUAUAUGACCGUGCCUAGAGCUAGGUUUUUGUUUUAGACGUUAAUAUGUUGUAUAUUACGAGAUAUGUGAUAAGUGAUAACGGUUAAGUGGUGUGGUUCCAUGGCGUAUGCGGUGGUGAUAUUAUUGACUAAAAUUUAGGCAUGAUUAUGUUUUCAAUUUUAUAAAAUUGUAUUUAAUUUUUCGUUUCUUUUAAUUGUCUACAUUUAAAUUGAUAAAUUAGUUCGAUUGUAGUAAAGGCAAAUUGUAUAAUAUGAUAUGUUCUUAGAUAGUGAUUGACUCAUUAAUUAUUAAUAUUUUGAAUUUUAAAAUUUUCCUUCUUUUUUAGUAAUUGUUAUAUUAUAUAUUAAUAGAUGUCUUGUUUAGAAUUUCAAGGAUUUGGUAUAAAUUCUUUAGUUUUUUUCAAUUAGAAUUUCUUCUUUAUUACAUUGAUGUUAUCACUUUUUGUAUAAGUGGAAAUAAUUUGAAGUUAUUUAAAAAUGUCAUAAAUCUCUUUUAAUUAGUUUGAAUGUUAAUCGUGGCUUUGAUUGAUGGCUAUUUUAGUACCAUUUAUGGGUGGCUAUGAUUGAUGGCGUAUGUUUUCACUUUUAAAAGGCAAUUAAGUGCCAUUUGUUGGCUUAUUCGAUGUUUUUUAAAUUAAAUUUUCUAUAUAUUAUCAUAUUUCCUUUGGUGUCUAACCAAAGAUCUUGCUCUGUUAGACUUUAUUUUAUUUUCUUUCUCUUUAUAAAUGAUAUACACACACGCUUUUAAUAUUUAAUAUUUAUUUAUUAUUGGAUAUAAUAUCCUUAAUUAUUUUAUAAUGUGCGUAUAUAUAUAUAUUUAUAUAUCGACUUUUAUUUUACUUCUUUCGUUCAUUCAUUUUUUAGGAUGCUUGGAAAAAGAUGGAUCUUUUCUUUUCGGACAUUAAAGCUUUAUUGUCUAAAUGUCCCCGGUCAUCUUGCAUGUCCGAUGGUUAGAUGAUAACUUCUUGAAUGAACGGUCAUGUAACACCCCCAUCUUAAAUUAAAACGAGAGGUUACAUACAAAUCCAAAAUCUGCAAACAGAGUACUAAUAAUUUCUUGAAUGAUUCAAAUCCUCGAAACACUAAUGGUCCAUUCGUCUUCGUCCCCGUAACUGAGGGUAGCUCUCGAUCCCACAGUCCCGAAGCCCCCUAAGUUCCUGCCAGAAGAAGAAUACGGCAUGAGCCAAAUGCCCGGUACGGAUUGGAAGCAUUUACAAAACAAGAAAUAUUUAAAAAUAUUUUGACCAUCAUAUAAAACAAUAAUUUUUAAAAUAAAUAGGCUGAUGCAACGAGGGUUAGGAUAUUUCAUACCGAGAUCAAAACAUAUACAAAUACACACAUCAUAGGGUACCUAAUGCGUGCAACAAACCGGAUAACGUGUACGGCAUAUACUACGUCACCGUCAAAUCACAAAUCACAUCAACUGAACUGGAUGCAUCCACGUAUCCUGAACAAAUAAUCAAAAUGGCCAAAGCUCCUCCCAAGAGCUAACAGAAGGAUACGCCGUGACCAAUCCCACUGUCACGGAAGUGUCAUGUCAAUGGUGCCGCAAAGACAUGGCUGUAGUACCCCCACAGCUGGGAAACUCGAUAUACCCUAUAUCUCUCUAAGGGUUCAAACAAAACAACUUUCACAACUUUAGAAUCACAUGGUACAUAUAUUUCGAAUAAACUGAACAAAUCAUAUUUUGUAAAUUCUUUGAAAACCGCAUCAAAAAUAUUUCAAUCUUUUAAAACAGAUUUUUAAAAUAUUUUUCGGAAAUCAAAACAGUCAAUGAAUAGCACAAAAGAAACUUAGCAAGUCGGACGGAUUAAAAUAGGACAGGUCAAAUUUAUUUAAUACCGAAAGGAGUAGCGCUGAAUAAAAGGAAUAGAAUCCGUACGAAUCAAAAAUAGUUUAUUUCCAUGAGGAAUAGCCGAGUAAAAUUCGAACAGAAGUAAAACAGAUUCUUUUAAAAGAUUUUGAAAUAAAUUGUGAGAUAAUUUUCAGAAAUCAAAUCAGUCAAAUAAAUAUUCGCGGAAGGAACAGAGUAAAGAUGAAACGAAUAUAACAAGUUGUAACAUGAAUAUUGCUGAAUUAAACAAGGACGAAUCUGUACAAACACACCGAACAGAAAGGAUCAAAACAGAGUAAUCAAAUUUACCUAACACUAAUAGAAGUAGUGCUGAAUAAAAGAGAACGAAAUCCGUACCUCGAAAAUAGCAAACUCAAAGACUAACGAACCUCGCAAGGGACCAACUAAACUCCCGAACCCCGACUUUAACUUAAACUCCAAUUAUCUCCAUGAUUGCAAUCUGCCCAGACCAAUAAUAUACUGUUUUGACCCUCUAAACGAUGUUUGACUAGAUUGAAGUUGGAAACAACUUGUAGCUUCUGUAACACCCCCAUCUUAAAUUAAGACGAGAGGUUACCUACAAAUCCAAAAUCUGCAAACAGAGUACUAAUAUGUUCCAAACUUGAGUAAAUAGAAUCACUAACCAUAAAUUCUUAAUAACACUAAAAGUCCAUCAUCCUAGUUCAAUUUUAAAUCCUAAUUAUAAUCCAAUUUUAAUCCCCUUUUUAUUAAUACUAAUCUAUUAAUGUUAUUCUAAAAAUUACUGGAUAUUACAUUCUACCCUCCUUAAAAAGAAUUUGGUCCCCAAAUUCUCUCAAAUCUACUCUCCAAACCCACUUAAAUCAAGACAUAUAACUAAUUAAUUAAAACUACGUAUAUUUUAUGAUAUUCAGAGCAGGCUCUCGAAAGCUUGAUUCGUCAAGUUGCCGGAGGUGGGGACACGAAGGCUGGUGGUAUUAUCCCGCAAUGGACAGAGAUCCGGAGGCGGGGACACGAAGCCAGCUGGUAUUAUCCCACAAUGGCUAGAGAGGUUCGAUCUGGGCCUAUGGGCUAUCCGUUUCGGCCUGACGAGGACGUCAGGAAUUUAAGUGGGGGAGUUUGUAACACCCCAGUCCCACAUCGAGGAGUGUGGAGACUUUAGUUCAGUUUAUAAGCAUAAGUACUACUACUAAUUGCACCAACAAAUCAUGAUCUUUUGGGGGCCUGUGGUGGGCUUGUGGAUUACCCAAGUUGUUGCAAUUGGGCCAGUAUAUUUGGGCUUAUUUUCGGAUUCGAAAUUUGGGACUUGACCCGAUUUUCGAAAAAGACUCGGGAUUUGACCCGGGUUCCCCAUCUUAAAUUAAGACGAGAGGUUACAUACAAAUCCAAAAUCUGCAAACAGAGUACUAAUAAUUUCUUGAAUGAUUUAAAUCCUCGAAACACUAAUGGUCCAUACGUCUUAGUCACUGUAACUGAGGGUAGCUCUCGAUCACACAGUCCCGAAUCCCCCUAAGUACCUGCCAGAAGAAGAAUACGGCAUGAGCCAAAUGCCCAGUACGGAUUGGAAGCAUUUACAAAACAAGAAACAUUUAAAAAUAUUUUGACCAUCUUAUAAAACAAUAAUUUUUAAAAUAAAUAGGCUGAUGCAACGAGGGUUAGGAUAUUUCAUACCGAGAUCAAAACAUAUACAAAUACACACAUCAUAGGGUACCUAAUGCGUGCAACAAACCGGAUAACGUGUACGGCAUAUACUACGUCACCGUCAAAUCACAAAUCAUAUCAACUGAACUGGAUGCAUCCACGUAUCCUGAACAAAUAAUCAAAAUGGCCAAAGCUCCUCCCAAGAGCUAACAGAAGGAUACGCCGUGACCAAUCACACUGUCACGGAAGUGUCAUGCCAAUGGUGCCGCAAAGACAUGGCUGUAGUACCCCUACAGCUGGGUAACUCGGUAUACCCUAUAUCUCUAAGGGUUCACAUAAAUAAAAUAGUUUUCACAAUUUAAAAAUCAUUCGAUACAGAUAUUUCAAAUAAGCCGAACAAAUCAUAAUUUGUAUAAUCUUUGAAAAUCGGAGGACAAAUAUUUGAAUAUCUCAAAACAGAUUUUAAAAUAAUUUUUGGAAGUCAUGAAAAGAGUCCAAAACAGUUUAGCACGAAUAGCGAUGAAUAAAAAGGACAAAAUCCGUACGAAUCAAAAAUAGUUUAUUUCCAAGAGGAAUAGCUGAAUUAAGUCGGAACGGAAGUAAAACAGAUUCUUUUAUAAUUUGGAAUACAACUGAAAAAAAAAUUUUGAAAUAGAUUGUGAGAUAAUUUUCAGAAAUCAAAUCAGUCAAACAAAAAUUCGCGGAAGGAACAGAGUAAAGAUGAAACGAAUAUAACAAGUUGUAACAUGAAUAUCGCUGAAUUAAACAGGGUCGAAUCCGUACAAACACACCGAACAGAAAGGAUCAAAACAGAGUAAUCAAAUUUACCUAACACUAAUAGAAGUAGUGCUGAAUAAAAGAGAACGAAAUCCGUACCUCGAAAAUAGCAAACUCAAAGACUAACGAACCUCGCAAGGGACCAACUAAACUCCCGAACCCCGACUUUAACUUAAACUCCAAUUAUCUCCAUGAUUGCAAUCUGCCCAGACCAAUAAUAUACUGUUUUGACCCUCUAAACGAUGUUCUCUGGAAAAACUCAAAACACGAAAGUCGUAGAGAACGAAAAGACCUUUCUGAAAAGGUAAGGCUCAUCGAAAUCGGAGUUAUAACGAAUUGGGAAUUAAAUAAAACGUCCGCUGAUUCAGAACUCAAAGAAUAAGCAGGAUCUGAUUAAGUUUUGUAAUUUUGAGAACAGUUCGAACAUAAUCUGAGAAAACAUUGUGAACGAAAGUUGUAGGAGAUUGAAAGAGCUUUCCGAAACAUCAAGAAUCGUCGAAAUCCGAUAAGAAUUGAAUUUACUACGAAAUUUACAAGACAGCUGAUUUAUGAGAAUAAAGUCCUGCGAAUUUUUGUAAUAAAAACGAAUAGAAGGUUGGGUGGCUCUCAAAAGUGUAUAUAAAAGAAUGGAGGAAUACAAUCAAUAUAUAGAGUCUUGAAACCCUAAUCGUAAACCUAUCCAUUAUCCGAAUACAAGUCUGAUCCAUAUUCUAACUCAAUCAACCUAGUUCAAUUUUAAAUCCUAAUUAUAAUCCAAUUUUCAUCCCCUUUUUAUUAAUACUAAUCUAUUAAUGUUAUUCUAAAAAUUACAGGAUAUUACAGGUCAAGAUGAUGCUCAAUCAUUUCCCUUAGAGAUUCAUUCUCACUCCAAAAAAUAGUAGGGACUUACAUACCACAUGUUGAUUGUCACUAUUUAUCAUACAUAUAAGCUGAUUUUCAUCUUUACUACAACUACACGAUUUCCGUCAUCUUGCAUUAUUUUUGCCAAGGCACAUGCUAGUAAAGGGUGGUGACAAGAAGAAAAUCAAAAUAUAAGAGAGAAGAAGGCACUAAGUUUAUGUCGAUAUGCAACAAAGUAUAAACUAUUCUCCUUCUGCAAUAAAGCAAAAAAUAGAGUAUUGAUUAUUUGAAAAGUCAUACACGCUAAAUAGUUAAAAAGCAAUAUAAAAUAUUAAGAAGGUUUCAUACCUCUCUCUGUACAUUGACCGCCCUUAAAUUGUCAUCUGCCACUAUACUAAUUUUCGCAAUGGUAAGAUUUCAUGGAGAAAUUCAAGGGGAUCGCCAAAUAGCCCUAGAACACGCAACUCAGCCGUAACCCUAUCAUUGACCAUAAAAUUUACAUAAAAAACUCAUAUAAAAUUGAAUUAGCAGUGAUAGAUUUGUAGUCGUUGGGAGUUACUAGUGCUUUGUUGAGGAUUUGUAGAGGUUGAUUGAGGCGACUAGGUGUUUCAGAGUUUGUUUUUAACUAAAAGUCUAGAAUGUAUAAUGUGCUUGGCUUUAAAAUAAGCCAUAAAAAAUAAAACAUUGACUGACCUUUUAAAUUAUGUCCAGAUCUAGAAAAACACCCAUUUACGCAAAGCGCCUUUUUAUCGCUUUUUUUGUGCUUCAACAUUAAGCACACAAAAAGGAGGGCUUUUGUAUAUGCUCUACUCUUUAGAAAAGAAAAGCCCAAUAGGCGCGCUUCGCUUCAUGCUGAAGCGGCACUAUAUGCUCUGCUCUUUAGAAAAGAAAAGCCCAAUAGGCGCGCUUCGCUUCAUGCUGAAGCGGCACUUAAAGCACGCUUUCGAUAAGCAUCACAGUUUCCACUCCAAGCAUUUAAAGACUGUAAGAUUGUAGAAGAAUAUAUAUGUUUGAGAGGCACACUCAAUGCUUGCAUAUUAAGACUGUAAUUUCAACAAGAGAUCACUACUUUUACAUCAUGCUUAAACUAUGGCCCAAUCCCAAUAACACAUUUACUUUUGGUUCACACUACGCCAUAUAUGGCCUUCAACAACAUCAAAAAAAUGAUGCAAUAACCCCCAAAUAUGUUGCCAUAGCCCGAAAAUUGGCUAUUGCAACAUAAAAUUUAAGUUGCUUUUUUCGAUGUUGCCCUAGGCUUCUAUUGCAACAUAAUGGUUACCUACUGCAACACGGGCUUUUCUGUCACAAUAGACCGCUAUUGCAACAUCUGACUACCUUAUAGGAACAAAUAUUUUAUGUUACGUUAGACCUNNNNNNNNNNNNNNNNNNNNNNNNNNNNNNNNNNNNNNNNNNNNNNNNNNNNNNNNNNNNNNNNNNNNNNNNNNNNNNNNNNNNNNNNNNNNNNNNNNNNNNNNNNNNNNNNNNNNNNNNNNNNNNNAACAACGUUGUCAAUGUAAAAGUCAAUAAAAUUAUUGAGCCCUUGACCCACUGCAGAGAGGUCAGCAUCAUUUGACAACAACUUCCAACCCCAUGGCUUGCCCUCGUAAACGUAGACACCUCCAAUCUCUGAAUAUUUCAGGUCGUCCUUGAUAUACUCCAUCAACACAGUAUACGAAAACCUAUCACACUCGACAUCCCCUAUGACGGUUUCUUCCCCACCAGCAUAUGCUGUACUCAAAAACUCUCCCUGGUGAUGGAAUCUGAGGUUUACGUAUUCUUCCAUCCUGCAAGAAAUGGACAGAGUUCCAUUAGAAGCACGAAAAGCAAUAAUAAUGCAAUAAUAAAGCAUAAAUAAUGCAAUAAUAAAUUUAGAAAUGCUAGCAAUAAUAAAGCAAUAAUAAAGCAUAAAAUCGGAAAAUAACAAUUAAAUUGCACCUACAAAUUAAGUAAUAGCAAAAGCAACUACUUAGAUUAUCAAAUUGCAUUCAAAAUACAAAACUAAAUCACUAGCAUUCAAAAUACAGAACUCAAUCACUAGCAUAUUCAAAAUACAGAACUCAUUACAUGAGACAAGUGGCAAUUACUAAACAAUUAAAAUUAUUUUCUUAAUUAAAUACACCAAUACUAGAGUGGGACUUGUCUUGGUGGCACAUCAUCUCUACACCAACUAGCAUCAUUGAAUUCAUGUUCUAUUUCAGCAAGACUGAUUUCUUUAUGUAAAUUUGUAUCAUCUUUAUCAUCAUCUGCAAUUUCAGAUUCGACAUCGCACCAAUCCCGUGGCAUUUUCCUGAUAACGUUGUACAACAUUUUUUCAGUAGGAUCUUCUACGUAGAACACUUGCUGAACUUGUGAUGCCACGACAUAUGGAUCAGAUUUAUGCCAUAAUUUGUUGAAAUUAACUCGAGUCAGCCCAUACAAGUCCUUUUCUUCUUGGUACCAGCAACACUUGAAUAAUACCACUGAAUAAACUCCCCAAUAAUCGACUUCAAGAAUCUCUUCAAUUGCCCCAUAGUAAUUGACAUUGCCGACCACUGGGUUCUGAUCUUUUGAACUAGCAAAACUCGUAGUCAAAGCAGUUAGAAAUACUCCACUAUUUUGUGUUGUGCAUUUAGCAUCUCGGAACUUUGUAUGAAAUCUGUAUCCGUUUAUCACAUAUCCACUAUACUUCUUAGCUACUCGAUUAGGGCCCAUUGCUAGCACUUCCAAGUCUUCUGAAACAUUAGACUGUUUGCCAACGUGUUCCUUCAGCCACUUCCAAAAAUCCUCAGAAUGUUCUCUCUCUCUCUUGUAUUUUUUCGACUUUACAUGACCAUCAACCGAUGAUCCAUCAAUUAAAGACCGAUGCAACCUAUAAAAAUUACCUAGUUAAUUUAGUAAAAAGAAAUGUGCUAGAAUUAUAAUAAUGGACUGAACCUAGUAAACAUAAUCUUACUCAAUCAGACUCUCAAUUUCAGUGUUCCCGCAAUUGAACAGAACGUAUCGAUGAAUUGCCAUCCAUUCUGAUUCGUCUAGUUCAAUAGCUUUUCCAUCUUUGUUCUUUCUUGUACCUAAAGGAUAUUCAGUCUUUUGUGGACAACUUUCAAACUUGGCAGGCUUUGUAAUUUUUGAUACUGAUCCCUCAGCACCUAAGAAUCUUGAACAAAAUAUUAAGCCUUCUUCAGCCAAGUAACCCUCAGCGAUGGACCCUUCAGGUCUGCAUCUAUUUCGCGCAUAAGACUUGAGUUUGUUUAAAUAGCGCUCAAUUGACCACAUGGAUCGAAGGUGAGCCGGUCCACCAUAUUUAAUUUCUCUGCAUAAGUGGAUUAGUAAGUGGACCAUUAUGUCGAAGAAAGCUUGCACAAAAACCGUCUCAAAUUGACAUAGAAUUUCAAUGAUCUCUUCUUGCAGCCUCUUUAGAUCAUCUAUGUUGAUAACUUUGCUCCAAAUCCCUCUUAAAAAUGCCCCCAGUCUGAUAAGAGGGAUGGCAGCAGCAGGUUUUAAAGUUUUUUUCACUGCAAAUUGUAACAAAUAAUGCAGGACAAAAUGAGCAUCAUGGCUCUUGUAGCCUGACACCUUUCUCUCCUUCAGGUUCACAUACCUACUAAUAUUGGAUGCACUUCCAUAGGGCAAUUUAGUCUUUUUUAACACUGAGCAAAAUAUUUCUUUUUCAGUUUUUGUCAUGUCGAAUAUGGCAGCCCGUAUUUCAAGGUGUUUCCCGUCAGGGGAAGGAAUGGGAUGAAGGACUUUCCUGAUGCCAAGCUCUUGCAUAUCUAGACGAGCCUUCAGGUGGUCCUUUGACUUUCCAGCAAUGUUAAGCAAAGUUCCUAUUAUGUUAUCACAAACGUUCUUCUCGAUGUGCAUGACAUCGAGGUUGUGUCGACAUAAAUUGUCCUUCCAAUACGGCAAAUUGAAGAAAAUUGAUUUCUUUUUGAAAGGAGAUUUUGAUUUCACAGUUUCUUUCCGCUUUCUUUUUUCUCCUCUCUUGGGUUUAUUCUUCACUCCAAACUGAUUUACAAAGCCAAACAGCAAUUCUUCUAUGUCUGUUCCGGACAAAGUCUCAGGACAGCCUCGCAUUUCAGUUUGGCCAUUGAACUUCCUUUUAUCAAGCCUCCAAGGAUGUUCAGGAUUGAGAAAUCUCCUAUGAUCCAUGUAACACAAUUUUCUACUAUGUUUUAGAUACAUGGAGGAAGUCUCGUAAUUGCAGACGGGACAAGCUAAUUUCCCCUUCGUGCUCCAACCAGAUAACAUUGCUAGGCCGGGGAAAUCGCUUAUUGUCCACAUCACACUUGCACGUAAGGUGAAAUUCUGGUCAGUAAGCGCAUCAUAAGUUUGAAUGCCUGCAUCCCAUAGCUCCUUCAAUUCAGCUAUUAGGGGCUGCAUAAAAACAUCGAUGCUAUUUCCAGGGGACUGUGGACCAGAUAUAAGAGUUGAAAGAAUGAGAUUUUCUUGCUUCAUACACAACCAAGGCGGAAGGUUAUAGUUCACCAAAAUGAUUGGCCAGGUAGUAUGAGUAGUAUUCAUUGUGCGGAAAGGAUUGAAACCAUCCGCAGCGAGGCCUAACCUAAUGUUUCUAUGUUCUGACGAGAAGUGAGGAUAUUUAACAUCCAUCAGUUUCCAAGCCUCCGCAUCGGCUGGAUGGCGAAGUUUACCAUCUCUUUUCCGACCUUUAGCAUGCCAUAGAAUUAGUUUUGAAAACUCUUUGGACAUAAACAUCCGCUGCAACCUAGGUUUAAGUGGAAAAUACCGCAUCACAUUAGCCGGGACCUUGUGAAUCGACAUCUUCGGAUUAUUGUCGACCCCGACACCUUUCUUUUCCACUACAGUCCACCUUGAAGCACCACAAUUUUUGCAUGCUUCUUCCUUUUCAUUUUCAGCCCAAAAUAGCAUGCAAUUAUUGGGACACGCAUGUAUCUUUUGAUAAUCGAGCCCUAAAUCUUUAAUUGUGUUCUUCGCGGCUUUAAAAGACAAAGGAAUAUUUGCUUCGGGAAAGGCAUCUUUGAUCAGUUCUAAUAUAUCACUAAGUCCUGCCUCUGAAAUUCCGUGUAAACACUUUAACGAAUACAUCUUAAUAGUAAAACUUAAUCGCGAAAAGUUUUUACAUCCCGGAUAUAGAGGCUGCUUUCCCUCUUCUAGAUGGCGAUAAAAGUUUUUUGCAUCGACAUUUGGCUCGUUAGUACGACGCAACAUCUCAUCUAAAUUAUCCCCAAAGUCUGUGAUAUAUGGAUCAUCCAUAUAUUCAGUCCCCUCUUCAAUAUUUUGUCUACGCUUUCCGGUUGAAACCUCAAGGAUCCAGUUGAGGUAUAAUGGACAAGGACCAUUGCAGAUGAGAUGAUCAUAGAUAAGAUCGUGACUCUGCCACUUGAUGUUCUUGCACUUUUUGCAAGGGCAGGUCAUCUCAUCACCAACAGCAAAUUUGGGGAAGGCAUUUAGCAGAAAUGCCUUUACACCCGUAAUGUACUGUUCACUAUAUUUGGGGAGAUCGGUCCAAGUUUCCUCAGCAUCCAUCACUACAGGUUAUUAACUUAUAAUAUUAGCAGUUUAUCCAAUUAUUGACUUUAUUAAUUAAAAGAAUAAUUAGUUAGUAAUACAUGUUCCUAAUUUCUACUUAGAUAUAGUCUGAAAUUAAGUUUAAAUAGAUUAACAAUAUAUUAUUUUAUGAUGAUUAAAUGUACUUACGCACAUCUCACCAUUCCUAGAUUCCUACAAUAUAUAAUGUCAAUCCAGAGGUAUACGGGUUAUAGAGUACAAAACUACCCAAUGCAUUGAACCAUUAAUAAAUCGACGGCAGUGCACAAUCGUUUCUAAGCUAGCUAACUUAAUUCUCUUAUACUGCUAACACAGUAAGCAUUUAUCAAGUAAGCAUAUAUUCAUAUCAUUUAGGUUACACUCCACAAGAUACAUAACAUAAGAAAAUCAGGGAAUCUAAGCACAUAAUUAUAGUCUAACUAACACAGUUAACUACAUGGCAAACAUCAAUUCUAUAUACACAGAAGAACAUCCAUGGAUAUAAAGCACAGAGCAAGACAAGCUUAAGAAAAAAAGAACAUCCAAAGUCUAAAUAUUAUUAUAUCAGGAAUACUAUCUUAAUUUAUUAUAUGCUAUUCUUAAUUUAACAGUAACUAUACUUAAUUACUUAAUUCCAUACAAAUCUUAAAUCGUUAUAAGCAAACACACAUUUACAGUAAUUAUAUGAUAUCGCAAGUUGAACAGUUAAAUCAUUCAAAUCUAAAAAAAUACACAACAUUACACAAGCAUUUACAUAUAAAAUUUAAAAAAAAUACAAAACUUAAGUCAAAUAGCUCAAAUUAACAUAGACUCUAAGAAGGGGGAGAGACAGAGGGGGAGAGGGGGAGAGAGAGGCAGAGAGAGUGUGAGAGGGAGGGGGGAGGGAGAGAGUGAGACAGAGAGAGAGAUAUGGGAGAGAGACAGAGAGACAGACAGAGAGAGUGUGGGUGGGAGAGGGAGAGAGAGCGAGAGAGAGAGAGAGAGAGAGAGAGAGAAUCACAACACAAAAUACACAUACAUUUACAUAUAAAAUCAAAAACAAAGCAUGUAUUCAAGGUGAAAAUCAAAGGAUUAUAGCGGAUUUUACCUUAAAUCCAAGCAAAUCGAAGCUGCAAAUCGAAGCUAGCCCUAGUUCCAGUAAAACCCCAAUUUAAUCGAAGCCCUAAGGAAAAUAAAGACACAAAAUAAGAACAUAACAGUGAAAAGCAACGUAAAAACAAAAUGAAGAAAAGAAAGCCCUAAUUCCGUCGAUCGAAGAAGCUCUGAAUCGAAGCCCUGAAUCGAAGCCAUGAUUGAAAACCUGAAACCCCGAUUUUACCUAAUUACAGGUGAGUGUGAGCGGCGGAGACGGUGUAUCUGAGCGGAGAGGUGGAUUUGAGCAGCGGAGAGGGGUGAGUUUGAGCGGAGGUGAGUGAGUUUUGUUUGUGUGAGCGGAGUGAGUGUGUAUUGUGUCUGAAAGCCCCGAUUAAUUGUUUUGUUUGUUUUUGUCUCUCGAAAUGAAACAGGGGGGGGGGGAAAGUUUGCCGCUCGCUUUUUCAGCAGCGGGAACACCCAAAUUUAUUUAUUUUUUAUAUUUUAUAUUAAUAUUUCAGUUUACUUUGAAUUUAUUAAUUAUUUAAAAAUAUAAAUUUAUUAUGUAUUUGAUAUUUUUAAAAAUGUAAUUCAGUUGCAUUGUAAUUGCUUAGAAAUAAUUAAUUAGUUUCAAAUUUUAUUAUUUUAAGUAUAAUCUGAUUAUUUGAUAUAAUAAUUAUAUUUUAAUAUUUCAUGUUUAAAAUAUUAUAUUUAAUAAAUUAAUCAUAUUAUAUGCACAUUUUAUUAUCAUAUUACAAAAAUUAUUUUACCAAUACUCUAUGCAACAUAUAGUGUUGGCUAUUGCAACAUCAAAUGGACAUGAAUGGCUAUCGUUGCGAUAGGUAUGGAUUAGUGCCUCUAAUGCAACAUAAUUUUGCAACACUCGUGUUUACACCAUUGCGAUAGGCCAUAUAUGGCGUAGUGUAUGUUUGUAACAAUACGGACAGAAUUUUCAACUUUACAAUUAAUCCAGACUUUCCAAUGGAGAUUGUAUCUCUUCACAGGUGCAUUCUAGAAUCUAGAUUCACAUGCAUAAUAUAUUAUAUAGUCUAAUUGAUCGAUUUUCUUAAUAAGCUGGACAAAAUGAUUGGCAGGGCUUAAAAGCCCAUCUUUGGACUUACAAGUCAGUAACACAUUGGUAUUGUUUGCCUAAAAAACUGAUCAAUGAACUUGUGACUUAUAAGACAGAAUAUGAGAAGUUAGAAAAUCUCAACUUUUUUUAGUCUUAUUUUAGAAAUUUCAUUUUACAGGAAAGUAAAGGACCACUUUAAGAAAUAAUUUAGAAUAAUUUAUUAUUAUAAUAAUAAUUUUAUACCCUGUAAAUAUAAAAAAAUGAUCCAAACAUAUAAAUUAAAAGUUAAUUUUCAUUUAUCUUUUUACGUUUAAUCAAUAAACACGUCUUUUACAGCCUCAUUAUUCUCGUACCUUUAUCAGAUCACUUCCACGCUUCUGCAAUUUCCACAAUCCUACGAGAUGAUCUCAAUACAGUCCACCCACCAUUUAUUUUUUACAGAGAUUUCUCCUACUCCCUCCAUUCCUUUUUAAGUGUCGUAUUUUGACCGGGUUUGAAUUCCAAAUUAAGUGUCACAUUUAUAUUUUCAAGACAAUUGCUUAUGUUCUCAAUACAAGUGGAGUAUUCUUUUUACCUCAGUACCCCUACCUUUGAAACUCUCAUUGAAAUUUAUUCAUGCUUGAUGGACAAAAUUGGAAAAUAAAACUUACAUUAAUGAUAGUAUAACCUAAUAAUUGCACAUCUUAAUAGUUGUGCCAAGUCAAAAAAUGACACUUAAAAUGAAAUGGAGGGAGUACUUUUUUUCUCUUUCUCUGCAAUCUUCUAAGCUCUAGUUUAUCUUAUAUAUCUUAUUUAAAUGGGCAAGGAGCAUUGCUUCUCCACUUCUGUAACCACAUGUGAAUUUGAGCUUCUAAAAAUCAUCCCAAUAUCCCAACAUCAUAGAGGUCGGUCCGGAGUGCUACAUGUCUGGAGAAAUAACAGAAAAUAAUUUGUAUAGCUAGUAAUAUAUGACACAGAGUCUAAGUACUUGAAGCAAUUCUCAUUUUAAGUCUAGAAUACAAGUGGCUGGUAUGGUUGUAAAUACUAGAUCACAUAGUUGGUGAUUCUUAUUUCACGUAGAUCUGGUCCAAAAAAACAUUUAGGGAAUCCAAGGGAAGCAAAAAAUGGUGUGAAGAAAACAAUAGAUGCUUAAAAUAGAGCUGUAAAGUGAGAUGUAAAAUUACAAGCAACACCUUACCUGGACAAAAUGCAUGUAAACCAUACCCCUAGUUCUCCUUAAAAACCGCAAAUCCCAUACAUUCUCGUCGUUCAGACGAGUUCAAAAAAUUACUUGGCCUACAGAGCCCCUUUCCCCUGUUCAGUAUCACCUCUCUUCUUAAGUUUGUUAACACGAGAGACCAUUUGUGCGGAAUCUUUAAUCAAUGGAAAUUUCAGAUGGGAAAAGGGCUUGUGUAUUUGGUAUAAACCCAUUCAAUCUUUUAUGUUUCUGCUCAUCUUUUUAGUCAAGUUUGUUAUUCAUAUACAUUGUCUGUGGAAUCUAAUUUAGAUGGUAUAAGCUGAGGUGUAUUAUAUGAUUGCCACAAAAAAGGUUUUGAUCAAGGUUUGAUUUGGUGUUUGAUAACAGGCUUAUGUACAGUGGUUGUUCAUGGUAAAUUAUUCGAGAGUUUGGUCUCAAGAAGCAAAUGCUAUGCAGGGAGGCGAUAAUCUUGAACAGAGAAUGGGGGCAUGGUCUAGAAGGAAACAGGUGUGAGCGCUUCCAUGUAAUUAGUUUAUUGUAGUGGUUUUAUUUGUUACUUCCCGUGUGCUGUUUCACGAUACUAAAUCUACACAAAUCAUAUUUUUGAGCCAUGUUUUGAGUGUUCUUGUGUAAUGGCUAAUUUCUCGUGUUCAACUAAUUUGAUAAAGAUAACAAAUAGGUCAUCAAUACGGCAGAUCAAUAUCGAAAGACAAGUUUUAAGGAACAAUAAUGCGAAUCUAAGACUUUGGGAGCAAACUCAAGUACAACAUGGAUGGAAGUAUUUGCUUUCUACCAUGCAGUAGUUUCGAUCACAUAGGGCUAGCAGACCCAAUGUUGAACAUAAUGAAUGUGGCACAUUGAGGCACUUUCAAUUUGUAAAUGUUACUCUUUCUAAACGAAUGUUUAAACAUAAUGAAUGUGGCUUUUGAAAGAUAAGCAUGCUUAGGUGCUAUUUAAAUCAUUUAAGAGAAAGCCCAGACUUCUUAUAAUUUCGCUUUAUCAUUUCCUUCCUACUGGUCCUGGGAUUAGACUAAACUACGCUACAACUAGUUGUGAUUUCCAACAGAACAAAAAUUAAUAUCACUCUAGUAAACAAAAUCUACAAUCCUCUGAAGGGAAGAUUUACUUGUCAAUCAGAUAGUACGGGCAAAAAAUGAACAGAAAUGGCAAUGGAACUUGCCAACUCACCUGAAAUUACCCUAGUCCGUGGCAAAUCGCCCUUUUGUAGUGCUCACAAAAUUUUUAAAAUAAAAAAGAGACUUGGGUUGACAUAGGAUAGUAUAGAUAUACCCCUGCUACGGAUCAUUUGAGGUGGGCCGGAUCGAGAUCACUACCCUCAUGGCCGGAUUAAUAUAUAUUUUCAAAAAUACUAUGAUCAAUAUAUAUAUAUAUAUAUAUAUAUAUAUUAAUUAACUUAAUCGCGGAUUCACUUUUAUAUAUAUUGAAAGAGUUCAUGUAUAUGAGCAAGUUGUGACGAACACAAAAUCGGUAACUUUGCAAUUUAAUAUUGUCAUUUCCACGAGGUCAUUGGGUCAAAUCUAAUAAUUCUUUGUCCAUUUUUUACAAGAUUAAUAAUGCCCGGAUAUAAUUAGUGUGUAACACUAAAUACAAUUGUCACUACUUGCUCACAUACAUGAACUAUUCAAUUAAAAUAUAAGUAAAUCCGCGAUUAAGUUAAUAUAUGGAUCAUAGUAUUUCUUAAAAUACAUAUUAGUUCCUGACGAUUAUCCGGUCAUUGGUCAUGUAAUAAGCCUUUGGGGUAGUGAUCUCGAUUUGGCCCACCUCAAAUGAUCUGUGGUGGAGUUUAAUUUAUACUAACAUGUGUCGUUAUAUGGUACAAUCUCAGCAACCCAUUACCAUAUCCUGACCGUCCAUCUCAUCACAUAUCAAUCCUAUGUCGAACCAGGUCUAUUUUUAAUUUAAGAAAUUUUGAGAGCACUGCUUGACGGCGAUUUGCGGCGAACUAGGGUAAAUUUCAGGUGAGUUGGCGAGUACCAUUGUCGUUUCUGUUCAGUUUUUGCCCGUAUAAUUUGAUCAACAAGUAAAUCUUCCCUUCAGAGGAUUGUAGAUUUUGUUUACUAGAGUGAUGUUAAUUUUUGUUUUGCUGGACAUCACAACUAGAUGUUAGCUUAAUUUAGUCUAAUCCUUGGACCGGUCAGAAGGAAUUGAUAAAGCAAAACUGUAUGAAGCCUUGGCUUUCUCUUGAAUAAUUUAAUAAAUAAAAAUCCAAUACUCCAAUUUUAUUCAUGUAAUAAGUAUUGAUUAAGUUUCUAAACCUGCCAGAUAGUGUGGUAAUAUUAAUUUUCUGUUCACUUUUACUUGAUUAUUUCCUUAAAUUUACCGUUAAAUGUGUUAAAAUCUAAUACAUAUCAAUAUUAUUUUCUUUUUAUGAUAUCUUGACUUGAUGAGAUCAGUUAAGGAAAUAGCGGUGUAUGAUCUGACACUUGUAAAUAUUAAGGCAAUCAUUGUAUGGUUCUCACAUAUUUACCGAAUGUUUUUGAAGAACGUAAUUUGCUGCAGGAACAAAUUAGUGUGACUAGCUGUGUAGGAUUAAAAUAAAUUUGGUUAACUCCUCUUCUUCUUCUCUGUGUCUUCUUCUGUUACUUUGCGGGUAUGUAAACCCGAAUUUACUUGAUGGUAGUGUGACAUAGAACAUAAUCCUUAAUACACUAGUCGUGCUUCACAUUUCAUUGUAUCGCUUGUCUACUAAGAAUUAUAAUGUCUGCGAAUGCAAUUGUUUUUAUGAAUGAAACAUGCCAAGCUUUCGAGUAUGCAAUGUAAAUAAUUGUUUUGGGCUUAUUAAUAGCUGCCCAAGUCAAGCUAAUGUUCUUCCAACUAGCAUAACCGAUUAUAUGCUUCGUGACCUGUUAUUUAUUAAAGAAGUCCGUUGGUCCAAAGACUUUACAGUGUUGAUAGUUGCUUUAGUUAUAUUAGUCACUGUGAUACUCUGUAGACAGUAACAAACAUAACACCUGAGGAACUAGACAGCAUUUGGAGCAUGACCACCCUUUUGUGGUGAAUAUAUAUAUAAAGAACCAAUAGAACACCACGUNNNNNNNNNNNNNNNNNNNNNNNNNNNNNNNNNNNNNNNNNNNNNNNNNNNNNNNNNNNNNNNNNNNNNNNNNNNNNNNNNNNNNNNNNNNNNNNNNNNNNNNNNNNNNNNNNNNNNNNNNNNNNNNNNNNNNNNNNNNNNNNNNNNNNNNNNNNNNNNNNNNNNNNNNNNNNNNNNNNNNNNNNNNNNNNNNNNNNNNNNNNNNNNNNNNNNNNNNNNNNNNNNNNNNNNNNNNNNNNNNNNNNNNNNNNNNNNNNNNNNNNNNNNNNNNNNNNNNNNNNNNNNNNNNNNNNNNNNNNNNNNNNNNNNNNNNNNNNNNNNNNNNNNNNNNNNNNNNNNNNNNNNNNNNNNNNNNNNNNNNNNNNNNNNNNNNNNNNNNNNNNNNNNNNNNNNNNNNNNNNNNNNNNNNNNNNNNNNNNNNNNNNNNNNNNNNNNNNNNNNNNNNNNNNNNNNNNNNNNNNNNNNNNNNNNNNNNNNNNNNNNNNNNNNNNNNNNNNNNNNNUGUGUGUGUGUGAAGAAGCAAUAAAACACCAUUUAAGUUGUAAAGCGAUUUUGGUUGGUAACAUAACUUAGACAUUCAUCAGUAUUUGCCCUGCUUAAUUUGUUUAUUACAGCAACCUGAAAGAGGUCUAAGUACUUUGAAGUACCACUUUUUUGGCAUUUUGGAUUUCGGUGUGACUUAAUUAUAGGAUAUCGUAUGCUUAAAAUUUAUGUUUAUGAUGCUAACGAAAAAGAAAAUGAAGACUGAAAAAAAAAACUGGUUUCAUGCUGUCAAAAGAUGCGGACAAUAAAAUCUUUUCUGUGGAUAUCCCUUUUUUCUUUUUGUACUUAUCCAUUUAAGUUGAAUUCCUUCUACAAAAUUUUAAAGAGUAAUAGUAAAUGUCUGAAAGAAGCACAAGGAAAACCAAGAUAUUUCCAGUCUGACCAUUAUGUAUUCUGUGGUUAUUUAGGAAGAACAAGAGCUUGAGAGAAUCAGCCCAUUUUUUCAACGAAGGCAGAAUGGAAGUGGUUGAAAGGCCUUCCCUGGGUGGAAUGGAAAAGGCAUUUUGUAAUAAUGUUCUGAGGUGGAUUGUUGAUUUUUUAGCAGGGCGGUUGAUAAUUGACUAUUUCGGGUAACUAUGUUCUGAAUUUGCUUUAUGUAAAUAUUAUAAAUUUUGUCUUGAAGUUUUGGAGUUCCUGGUUUGGGGCAUCUAAUCCUUGCGUAGUAAAAAUCAAAAGUGUGGCUAAAUCUCAAGUCCCAAGAAGUGCAUGUAUACAGCCAAUUAAAGAAUAAGCACCCCUUGGAAGGGGGGAGAAUAAAGUCUUGGCUAAAUCUCAAGUGAAUAAAGUCAACUGGUUGUGCUAACAUAGAUGGAGUUAUUGCUAUAAUUUAGCAUCAAAAAGUGAUUUUUUGUGCUAAAAUAGCACCAUGUCUCCAAUGGUUGGUUUCAAAUCUUGUUUCACAUUUAAACAACUUCCAAAUACAUCCCACUUUUGAAUAUAAAUAUGACUAACUUUCAAAGACCCCGCACUUUCAAAGUACUUUCUUAUACAUUUUUUCAUCAUUUUAUACUUUAGCAAUUAUAGCUCCAUCUAUCUUUUGUUCUAAAUAUUGAACAAACUAUAGCAUUGUUCUAUUUUAGAACAAGAUAUAGCACACCAUUGGACUUUCCCUAAGAGAUUCUACUGAAAACAUGGAAUAUACCUCACUCACUUUUUGUACAAAAAGUUGUCUACUAGAUAUAGCACACCAUUGGACUUUCUCUUGAAGUAUGCAUUACGUAUAUGCCAGUUGGACCUUGAUUCUAAAUUUUCCGACUGGCCUCCCAGUUUCUUUAUCAAGUUCCUGGGAAGUUAACAAAUAUGUUUGGUUGUGGUGUAGGAAUUUUCAGUGCCGGGGUGUCAUAUAAGCAAGUUUCUACAUUAUGUGGGAAUUCCAAGUUCCUAGGAAGUUCCACUUUCCAUAUAGCGGUCAACCAAAAAAUCUUACAAUUUGCUAGGAAGUUUAUAUUUCUGGAGAUUUACAUGUUAACCAAACUACCCCUUAUAAAUCUUGUUAUGGUUCAUUAGGAAGAUUACAUUCUUACUGGGGAACGUUGAAGUUCUCAUUUCGGAAAGAUGUUGAGUAUGCACACUCUUAAUCCAGUUCUGAUUAAUAUUUUAGAUUUUAGUGGCCUUAACAUAAACUCUGCAAUGAUUUUCAUUUUAAUAUGUGAACCUUCAGUGAAUUAGAUUGCAGUAAGCUUUAUUAUCUUCUAAUGUCUAGCUGCAGAACUUUUUACUGUACUGGCAAAAGGAACAUUCCUACUCUACUUUCUCCUCUGUGUUAAAUUAAGUUCUUUUAAAUAUCGCAAAGGAUGAAUCUGUCCUUAAGAAACAUCUGUAAAAGUAAUGCCUUCCGUUUUCAACAAACUACUAAGUCUUUCUAAAUAAAAUUCAUAUGAAUGGGCAUGCUCAAUCUAGCUUUGUAGUGAGUUCUUCGUUUCCCUAUUUGGCUAUUUGUUAACAGGAAAGCUCCACGAACAGUAAAACAAGGAAGAAAACGGAAAAGGACUUGCAGGAGAUCGGGUGACACAGUUUGGGGAGCAUGGGGCAUUCUUCCUACUGAACUUCUGGUGUCAAUUUUGGUGAAGUUAAGUAUCGUGGACUACCUGUCAUUUAGCGGUGUUUGUAAAUCUUGGAGGUCUGCAUCUAUUGCUUUCCGCAAAUACUGUAUGGAGCGCCAGCAACCCCUAGUUGUUGUUCGACCAAAGUAUUCGAAAAAGUCUUGUGUAUUGUACAAUAUGUUCGAUUUGAAAAGUUACAAAACAAUGCUGCCAGAUUUGCCUUGCAAGAAAUUAUUGGGUUUGUCAUGUGGGUACCUGAUUACAACUGACGGACACUUAGGCUUUUGGCUCGUAAAUUUAAUAACAAAACAUGAGCUGCGUUUUCCUGUCCUUCCUGGACAUAUGGGUCGCAUAACCUGCCUUGAAUUUUCUGCUCUCCUAUUUCAGUCCACUCGACUUUCAGAAACUUUCAUGGUUCUUUUCUCUCGGACAGAAAAUUAUAUAUUGUUGUCCAAAAGUGGCGGCAGCAGUUGGCAGAGAUAUGUUUUAUCCGACUCAGAAACCAGGAUUGCAGAUGUGAAGAUUUUUGAUGGCAAAAUCUUUAUUUUGACUUCAGAUUUACGUUUUGGAGAAUUUAAUCCGAAGGCAGGUUCUGUUCCAAAAUUCUCCAAAAUCAACAUCCCUUACCAGGUUUUAUCUGAUAUGGAUUUGAAGUUGGUGGCAUCAGACAAUAAGCUAUACAUGACUGUAUUCAAUUGUUGUCCUUAUCCUACAUUGGAAGGACAUCUGUCAUUAUUCGAAAUUGACCAUGAGACAAUGGAUAGGGCAAAACAGAUUCAUGACUUGGGUGCAAAAUCUUUAUCUCUUAGUUGGUUCAGUUCUGCUGUCGUCGAUUCAACUGGUUGGGGAGCAGGUAAUUAAUUGUGUCUGUGUUCUUCACUUAGGAGUUUUCAACACAUGUUCUUUCUUUAACCUGAAUGGAAAUCAGCUAGGAACAACUCCGGUUGUUUGGGAUGGUCAUUUAACACCUUGUUUUUGGUAUUUUCCUAGUGAGAUUUGGUCCAUUAGUCGUGUCAGUGAUGAGUUUGGCGCAUGAUCACUUCUAAAUCUCAUAUCAGUUUUCCUCAUUAAGUCUGUAUUAAUUUUCUUCAUCUUACAUUAUGGAACUUUGUACUAGUUCCAUUAUGAAAACUUUUAAACAUUGAUGCUGUGAUGUUUGCUUUAGAGGCACCAGAACUCAAAUGUCAUUUUCUGUAUUUCUUAUUGGCACCUUGUUUCUUCGUGUAUAAGACAGAUUCUUAGGAGAAAAAUUCCCAAUUUGAAGCUGCCGUUUCUGCAGUUUAAUGUAGUUACUUAUUUUUGUUAAGCAGAUUUUAAUUUAUAGAUGAUUACUUUGUUUCUAAAUUAUUGUAGUGACAAAUAAAUAAGUUAAUUUUUAAGGAGUAGCGGUUUCUUGUUUGAAAAAAAUUUCUAUAAUUUCUGAAUGAAGGUCCUCUAAGUCUAUGUUAAGAAUAUUCCCACUAUUACUGUUGACGAAUCAGAUGAGGACACAUGUGCACAGCUAAUUGAAUUACGGACAGCUGUUAUGGAAUCAUCCAUCUCCUUCAGUCCAUCACAUAUAACUAAAUUAAGGAUAUGAGCUGAACACCUCAUAUGCAAAAAAUCUCCAUCACAAAUGGCUGUUUUCCAAAUCUGCAACCUUUUCUUAAUGUGAUUAACAGCCACACCAUUAGAGGAUGCAUUGUCAAGAGUAAUUGUAAAUACCUUAUCAAUACCCCACUCUUUUAAACAUGCUUCAAUUGCCUUACCUAUUGUCUCUCCCUUGUGAUUACCAAUUUGACAAAAAUUCAGAAUCCUCUUUUGCAUUUUCCACUCAUUAUCAAUAAAGUGUGAUGUCAAUACAAGAUAGCACACAUUUUGAAUGGAAGUCCAAGUGUCACUUGUUAAAGAAACUCUUUGUGAAUUUCUAACAAAAUAAUCCCUUAACUUUGCUUUCUCAGAAUUAUAUAACUUCAUUAUAUCCCUAGCAAUUGUAUGACGCGAAGGAAUAAUAAACCUAGGGCAAGCAACACUACAAAACAACCUAAACCCUUCUUGCUCAACAAAUCUGAAGGACAACUCAUCGAUAACAAUCAUUUUAGCACAAGCAGCCCUACACUCAGAUUGAUUAAAUCCCACAGCCACCAAAUUGCUACCACUGCCACUUUCAGACCCAGAUUUUGUAAAGCACAAAAGUUUCUGUUUUUUAUCUUCAACUCUAUAUGGAUAUUUCGGACAUUGAUUCAUUAAAUGAUACCUAAUGGUACUAGUUCCAUGUUUUCUAGUGCCACCAGCAUAGUCUUUAUCACAAUAGUUACAAAUAGCUCUUACAUUUUUUGGAUCAGAUUCAUCUUUCGUAAAAUGGUCCCAGACAUCACUUGCUUUUUUCGAAGAUGGCGUUGCUUUCCGUUUUUGUGAUGCAGGCGUCUUCUCAGUGGUUUCAUCUUGUGUAGCUUGUGUUGCGUGUGAUGAAGAAGUCACCGGAGUAUUGACGGGCUCUAAGUUUUGCUCCAUCUCCGUCUGAAACAAGAAAUUAUCGAAUCAAAAUCCAACAAUCAAAAGAAUCCGAAGUAUGAGAGCAAAUAAUCUACCUUAAUUAGCUCAACAAGCUUGAUGUACGUGAGAUUGUGAAUCGUUGAAUCUGAAGUAGUUAUUGCAGAUAAGAUGUUAGCUAUUUGGGAUUUAGGGUUUUGUCAUUUGUGCGGCUAUCGGCUAGAAUAAAAGAGAUGACUAGAUGAGUAUGAUUUUAAGUUUUACCUAAUAGAACUUUGGGCUUCUGCCUUCUGGGCUACCGCAUGCUGCUGGACUGCUAGACUAGGACUAAUAAUAGUUAAGUUUUAAUGGGCUGAGAGUAAUAUUAAUUAUAAUAUAUAUAUAAAUAUAUAUAAUUAUAAAUAUAAAUAUAAAUAUUAUUUUUAUUAUAUAUAUUAAUAUUGCGGUGCGGUGCGGUUUGAACCGCAUUCAAGAAAACUAAAACCGCAACCCGCACCGCACCGCGCGGUUUGUGAAAAAUCCAAACAGUAACCGCACCACGAAAAUUAAAAACCGCGUUUUGUGGUGCGGUUCGGUGCGGUGUGGGUGGUUUACGCGGUUUGGGCGGUUUUCUGCUCACCCCUAGUUAGAGGCAAAAGUUUGUUGGUAGAAAGUAGUGCUAGAAUAUAUGUAGUGGCUUGCUUUCUUUUCAAGUCAUUAGCUCAUUUUCAUAUUCAGAUCUGUUUUCUCUUUUUCUCUGCAAUGUAAACAUUCUUUCAUGGCAUAUCUUUAAUAAAAUCAAGCUUGAGCUUCAUCUUGUGACAUGGUAUCAGAGCUUCUCCGUUCCUCUGGGCUCCUCUAUCUACGCUAAGUUUUCUUUCUUUGUUCUUUAUUCUCUGUUCGUUACUCUUCUCUUUAUUAUGGCAUCUACUGGUGCUUCAUACUCUAGUGCUGCUUUGGGCUCUAAUACUGCUCCUCCUAUUUUGGAUGUUAAUCAUCCUUACUAUUUGCAUCCCUCGGAUAACCCUGGGUUGGUUAUUACCACUGUUGUUUUGGAUGAAUCCAACUUUAGUCAAUGGCAUCGUUCCAUGGAGAUUGCCUUGUCCUCCAAGUUAAAAUUGGGAUUUGUUGAUGGUUCUUAUAUUAAACCUGCUGUUAAUUCUCCUUUGUCUAUGCACUGGAUUCGUUGUAAUAACAUGGUUACUUCAUGGUUGUUGAUUUCUGUGUCGAUACCCAUUAGACAGAGUAUUGUUUAUAUGAAAUCUGCUAAAGCUAUCUGGGAUGACCUUCAAGUUCGUUAUGCCCAAACAAAUGUCCCCAAGUUGAUUAACCUUCGUAAAGAAAUUUCACAUCUAGAUCAGGGCACUAUGACCAUUUCUGCCUAUUUCACAAAAUUCCGCACUAUUCAUGAUGAGUUAGAGUGUCUUCAUUCUAACCCUAGGUGCACUUGCAAUCACUGUACCUGCACUGUUAACUCUAGAUUGGAUGCCCAGGAGCAAACUAUUCAGCUGACACAGUUUUUGAUGGGUCUUAGUGACCAAUUUACUGGUAUUCGGGGUCAGAUCUUACUCAUGACUCCUCUCCCAACCAUGAGUCAGUGUUAUGCCAUGCUCCUCCAGGAAGAGAGUCAGAGAGGUGUCACAAAUGUUGUUGUGCCCUCUGCUGACAAUUCUUCUGCUAUGUAUGUGAAAUACAAGCCUUCUCCUGGUAACAAGCCUUUUAAAAAGCCCACUGCUGAGUCUCCUAUCUACUGUGAGUAUUGCCAUAUGCAGGGUCAUGUCAAGGAUAAGUGUUUCUGCUUACAUGGGUAUCCUCCAUGGCACAAACUACAUGGCAAGCCAAAACCCAAGCCCAAGCACCUAGCUGCAAGUUCCUCUACUACAGCCCCUACUCACAACAUCAAUCAACCUGCAUCUGCUCAGCCAGACUCUGGGGGAAGUGUGUCUACCUGUGCUCCUGCUUUGCCCUUUUCAGAGGGUCAAUAUCAGCAUCUGGUUCAGAUGUUGUAGCAGUCUCUGCAACUCCCACAAUCUCCAGCUACUACUUCAUCAUAUUCAGCAGCUAACUGCACCCAAUUUGCAUGUACUGCCUUUCAUUUUGCUAGUCCUUUAUCUAUUUCCUCUCAUAAAAUGCAUGAUUGGAUCCUUGAUACUGGUGCCACGGAUCAUGUGACACCCCGCUUGAAUUUAUUGCAUAAUGUUGUGGAAUGUGAGUCUGUUUUACACCUCCCCAAUGGGCAAACUGCUAGAGUAACCCAUAUGGGUUCUGUCACUAUAAACUCUCAUAUUACUCUUCAUCAAGUGCUCUGUGUUCCUUUGUUUCAAUAUAAUCUUAUGUUAAUUUCCAAAUUGUUGCUUCACUAUCCUACUUCCUCAGUUCAGUUUCAAUCUCAUGUUUGUUAUCUCCAGGCCCCUACCUUGAUGAGGGACCUCGAGAUUGGUAGGCUUGUAAAUGGACUCUACAUCUUGCAGUCAACUUCCUCUACUCCUCCUGCUGUGUCUUGUUCAGCUGCUCAUUACUCCUCCACUUAGCCAAAUUUGUGGCAUGCUCGCUUUGGUCAUGUACCACUUUCUAUUUUAAAAACUGUCUCUAUUGACUGUAAAGAUACUAAGUUGCCUGUCUGUGACACUUGUCAUAUUUCUAAGCAAGUUCGUCUUUCAUUUCAUAAUAGUCAGACUACUAGUGCUGAUAUUUUUGAUAUUGUGCAUAUGGACCUUUGGGGUCCAUAUCGUAUUAAAACUCAUAGUGGCUGUAAUUACUUCUUGACAUUGGUUGAUGAUAAGUCUCGUGCUUCAUGGGUAUUUUUGUUACCUGAUAAAUCUGUUGUGCAUUUACAUCUUACUGAGUUUGUGAUGUAUAUUAAAACUCACUUCAAGAGAACCAUCAAGGUAUUUCGUUCCGAUAACGGCACUGAAUUUGUUAAUCAUCAUGUACAUUCUCUGUGCUCUGCACAUGGCAUUGUUCACCAAACCUCAUGUGCCUAUUCCCCACAGCAAAAUGGGAUUGUAGAAAGGCGUCACAGACACCUAUUAAAUGUUGCAAGGUCUUUGAAAUUUCAUGCUAGUAUCCCUCUGUCUCUAUGGGGUGACUGUGUCUUAACAUCUUGCUAUUUAAUUAAUCGUACACCCACCCUUUUAUUAAAUGGGUUGUCUCCAUAUGAGGUUCUAUUCAACAGCAAACCAGAUUAUUCUUUAUUGCGUGUCUUUGGGUGUUUGUGUUAUGCCACCAUCCUUCCUCAAAGCACAGACAAAUUUGCUCCUCGCAGCAUUAAGGGAGUUUUUCUUGGUUACCCAUAUGGCAAAAAGGGUUAUAAAGUGUUAAACCUCCAGACAAAGCAAGUCCAGAUUUCCAGGGAUGUGACCUUUAUUGAAACCGAGUUUCCCUUUAAGCAUGUACAGUACUCACAACAGCAACCAUCCACUUUAUUCCCUGAUACAUCAACCCUAUAUCUCUCAGACCCUAUCACCUGUUACCCUACUCCUACCAAUGAAAAUAACCCAGACACCCAGCCUGAGACACAUACAGAUGACUCCUCUGCCACAACUGGCAUUUCACCACCUACUUCACCUCCAUCUAUUCCUGUAUCUAGACCAAAAAGAGUCAAACACCUACCUGCAAAGUGUGCUGAUUUUACUGGAUUACCUUCAACUGUUCUCAAACAAGUGCCUCACAGUAUAAAUCAGUGUCUUGCCUAUGAUAAAUUUCAACCAUCAUACAGACACUUUCUUGCCAACAUUGCUAAAUUAGCAGAGCCUCAUUCCUAUACUCAGGAAGUCACCUCACCUGAGUGGUGCACUGCCAUGAAUGCUGAACUUGCAGCCAUGGAAGCCAAUCAAACCUGGAAAAUAGUUCCAUUACCUGCAGAUAAACAGACUGUCGGGUGUAAAUGGAUCUAUAGAGUCAAAUAUCUCCCAGAUGGUCAAGUGGAUCGAUAUAAAGCUCGUUUGGUAGCAAAAGGCUUUACACAAACUGAAGGAGUUGACUUCUUUGACACCUUUGCCCCAGUUGCAAAGAUGACUACCUUUCGAGUAGUACUGGCAUUAGCUGCUAUAUACAACUGGCCUCUCAAGCAACUAUAUGUCACAAAUGCCUUCCUACAUGGCAUCCUUCAUGAAGAAGUGUUUAUGGACAUCCCUCCUGGAUAUCAGAUUCCUGCAGCAGUGCAACUUCAGUUCCCUAAUUGCAAAUUGGUGUGUCAACUUCUUCAAACCAUCUAUGGGUUACGUCAAGCUCCUAGGGAAUGGUUCAGCAUUCUAUCUGAUGCCCUUCUUGAGUUUGGGUUUACUCAAACUUUCAGUGACUCUAGUAUGUUUGUGCUCAAAAAGAAUGCAGACAUUGUCAUUUUACUUGUGUACGUAGAUGAUAUGGUCCUAACAGGGAGCAAUGCUCAGCUGAUGUCUGAUGUUACCCAGUUUUUAGCUACCAAGUUCAAGAUCAAAGAACUUGGAGAUCUCAAAUACUUUCUUGGCAUUGAGAUUGCCAGGUCAUAUGAUGGCAUUUACUUAAAUCAGAGAAAAUACUGCUUGGAUAUUCUUCAAGAUAUUGGCUACUUGGCAGCUAAACCUUGUGUGGUUGUGAUGGAACAAAACCACACUCUCACUGCCACAUCAUCCUCUCCUCCUCUUCAGAAUAUUUCCACUUAUCGCCGCCUCAUUGGACGUCUGAUUUACCUCACUAUCACACGCCCUGACCUGGCAUAUUCAGUUCAUAUUCUAGCUCAAUUCAUGCAUCAACCUCAACAGGUGCAUUGGCAAGCUGCUCUUCGACUAGUUCGAUAUCUGAAACAUACUUGUGGUCAAGGAAUCUUUCUCUCCAAUGCGUCCACCUUUGAUCUCAGGGUCUACACUGAUGCUGAUUGGGGCAGUUGCAAGCAAACCAGACAAUCCAUUACUGGCUUUUGUGUGACAUUGGGUCGCUCAUUAAUCUCUUGGAAAUGCAAAAGACAACAUACUGUAUCUCGCUCCUCUGCCGAGGCAGAAUAUAAGGCCAUGGCUGACUCAUGCUGUGAAAUUCUUGGCUCAUUUCUCUCUGCAAAGAAUUGCACACUCCUUCUCUUACUCCUGUGUCCAUGUACUGUGACAAUCAGUCUGCCCUUCACAUUGCAUCCAACACAGUGUUUCAUGAACGCACAAAACAUAUCGAAAUAGACUGACAUCUUGUUCGACAGAAAAUCAAGCAGGAUCUUAUUGUCACUCACCAUCUGCCAUCCAGUGAACAACCUGCUGAUCUUUUUACCAAAGCCUUACCCUCUGCUCAACUUCAGUGCCUUCUCUCCAAGUUAGGAGUCUGUAAUUUCUUCAAGCCUCCUAACUUGAGGGGGGAUGUUAAGAAUAUUCCCACUAUUACUGUUGACGAAUCAGAUGAGGACACAUGUGCACAGCUGGCAUGACAGUUAGAGGCAAAAGUUUGUUGGUAGAAAGUAGUGCUAGAAUAUAUGUAGUGGCUAGCUUUCUUUUGAAGUCAUCAGCUCAUUUUCAUAUUCAGAUAUGUUUUCUCUUUUUCUCUGCAAUGUAAACAUUCUCUCAUGGCAUAUCUUUAAUAAAAUCAAGCUUGAGCUUCAUCUUGUGACAGUCUACCCUCCCAAACAAACUCCUCUUGCUCAAAUGAGUUCCUUCUGGUCAAACUAAUAUUGUUCAAGCUCAAUGAAAGUUAGUAUGUGUGAAAUUCGAAUGAACUCAGAAUCAACAUACCCUCGAAUAAAAUGAUAGUCAAUCUUCAAAUGUUUAGUUCUUUCUUGGAAGAUUUGCUUCUUUGCAAUGUGGUGAGCUGAAGUGUUAUCACAAUAAAGAUCCCUUAAAAAACCUUAAGACAAAGCAACUCAGAAGUUGUAUAGCUCAUACUUAUAUACUCAGCUUCUGCACUACUUCUAGAUUCUUUUUUUGCUUCUUAGUUUUCCAAGAGAUUAAUUAAGGAAGAACCCUGGAAAAUAGCAUACCAGACAAGGAUUUUGCAGAAAAUGAACAAGUUCCCUAGUCUACAUCUGAAUAUGCAGUUAAUUGCAGGGGAGUAUUAGCUUUGUAAAACAGACCAACAUUCAAUGAAAAUUUCAAGUUAUUUUAAGACAUGAAGAGCAGCAUCAUAAUGUGGCUGAGCUGGUUCUUGGUGAAACUAAUUAAGAAAGCUGUUGAACAACAUAUGAAAUAUCAAGCUUACUUGAGUUCAAAUAAAGCAAUUUCCCGAUAAAUCUUCUAUACACUUCUGGGGCAGGCAAUUUUGAAACAUCCUUUGUACUUAGAUGCAAGCCUUUUAAUAAUGGAAAAGCAGCUGGUGUACAAUCAGCGAAGUAAGUAUUAACUAAUAAAUUCAAUACAUACUUUCUCAUCUAACUGAAUUCCGGCCUUAGUUCUAAGAACCUCAAUGCUAAGGAAAUACUUCAAAUCAGCCAGAUUUAUAAUGGUAAAUUUUUGACACAAUAAGGAUUUGAUAGAUUAUUUAGUUAGUCUCGUGAAAAUCAAAAAUAUAAAAUUUUAACUUUUUUUACAAGAAAAUCUUUAUUCAAGUAGAUGGUAAAAAUUCCACUCUGAUACGCAUUAUUAAAAUGAGUAUCCAUGUAUAUUCAUUCUCAAAAUGGGUGUCACCUAUAAAUUAACUUUUUAAUUAUUAGAAUGACCGAUACGCAUUCUCAGAAUAAGUUACCACAAUACACACUCUCAAAAUAAUAACCUUCUUAAAAUUUUGUUUUUCAUUAUUCAAAAUAUUUUAUCUUAUACAAAACCACACAACUAACCCCACACACACACAUAUAUAUUACCGUUUAUUUAACACACAACACCACCACCUAUAUUAUCAAUUAUCCCUAAAAAAAUUAUAAACAUCAAAUAUUGAUAAAUCGAUCACUCAUUCUCAAAAAGAUAAUUGAAUACCAUCGGAUUUUAAAGUAUAAUUUAAAAUCUUAAUUGAAUACCGCCAGAUUUUGUAGCAUAAUUUGAAAUCCCAAUUGAAUACCUCAAGAUUCUAAUGAAUUUCAAACAAUCGAACACCCUCGGAUUUCAUAAAAAAAAUAUAUUUUAAAAUACCAAUCCAAUACGCCUCACCGUUAUUGGGGCCUUUUCUCCUUAGGUUGGUAUUCAGAUAUUGAGGAUAUUUUAACAAUUUAGGAAAUGCGGCGCCUUUUCUCCUGCUUUUAAGCAUCCGCAACCAGGCUGCAUCCCUACAGAGCCCCUUCCCUUGUUCAGUGUUACUAUCUCUUUUCUUAAGUUUGUUAACACAAGAAACCAUUCGUGUAAUCUUUUAAUCAAUGGAUUGGGAUGUUUUUGCGCUGGAAAUUUCAGAUGGGCAUAGGUGCUAUGUAAAUCAUUUAAGAGAAAGCCCAGACUUCUUAUAAUUUCGCUUUAUCAUUUCCUUCCUACUGGUCCUGGGAUUAGACUAAAUUACGCUAAAUCUAGUUGUGAUUUCCAGCAAAACAAAAAUUAAUAUAACUCUAGUAAACAAAAUCUACAAUCCUAUUAAGGGAAGAUUUGCCUGUCGAUUAGAUAGUACGGGCAAAAAAUUAACAGAAAUGACAAUGGAACUCGCCAACUCACCUGAAAUUACCCUAGUCCGAGGCAAAUCGCCCUUCUGUAGUGCUCACAAAAUUUUUAAAAUAAAAAAGAGACUUGGGUUGACAUUGGAAAAGAUAUAUGCUGAGGUGGACAGUCCCGAUAAGGUAAUGGGUUGGUGAGAUUUGCACCAUAUGACGACACAUGUUAGUAUAGAUGUACCCCCGCUACAGAUCAUUUGAGGUGGGCGGAUCGAGAUCACUACCCUCAUGGCCUAUUACUUGAGUAAUUACUGGAUAACGCUGAGGGACUAAUAUAUUUUCAAAAAUACUAUGAUCCAUUUAUUAACUUAAUCGCGGAUUAACUUUUAUAUUUAUCGAAAGAGUUCAUGUAUAUGAGCAAGUUGUGACAGGCACAAAAUUGGUAACUUUGCAAUUUGAUAUUGUCAUUUCCAUGGGAUCAUUGGGGUCAAAUCUAAUAAUUCUUUGUCCAUUUUUUAUAAGAUUAAUAAUGCCUAGAUAUAAUUAGUGUGUAACACCAAAUACAAAUGUCACUUACUUUCUCACAUACAUGAACUAUUCAAUUAAAAUAUAAGUAAAUCCGCGAUUAAGUUCAUAUAUGGAUCACAGUAUUUCUGAAAAUACAUAUCAAUUCCUCACAGUUAUCCGGUCAUUGGUCAUGUAAUAAGCCUUUGGGUAGUGAUCUCGAUCCGGCCCACCUNNNNNNNNNNNNNNNNNNNNNNNNNNNNNNNNNNNNNNNNNNNNNNNNNNNNNNNNNNNNNNNNNNNNNNNNNNNNNNNNNNNNNNNNNNNNNNNNNNNNNNNNNNNNNNNNNNNNNNNNNNNNNNNNNNNNNNNNNNNNNNNNNNNNNNNNNNNNNNNNNNNNNNNNNNNNNNNNNNNNNNNNNNNNNNNNNNNNNNNNNNNNNNNNNNNNNNNNNNNNNNNNNNNNNNNNNNNNNNNNNNNNNNNNNNNNNNNNNNNNNNNNNNNNNNNNNNNNNNNNNNNNNNNNNNNNNNNNNNNNNNNNNNNNNNNNNNNNNNNNNNNNNNNNNNNNNNNNNNNNNNNNNNNNNNNNNNNNNNNNNNNNNNNNNNNNNNNNNNNNNNNNNNNNNNNNNNNNNNNNNNNNNNNNNNNNNNNNNNNNNNNNNNNNNNNNNNNNNNNNNNNNNNNNNNNNNNNNUUCACAUUUCAUUGUAUCGCUUGUCUACUAAGAAUUACAAUAUCUGUGCAUGCAAUUGUUUUUAUGAAUGAAACAUGCCAAGAUUUCGAGUAUGCAAUUUAAAUAAUUAUUUUGGGCUUACUAAUAGCUGCCCAAGUCAAGCUAAUGUUCUUCCAACUAGCAUAACCGACAAUAUGCUUCGUGACCUGUUAUUUAUAAAAGAAGCCCGUUAGUCCAAAGACUUCACAGUGUUGAUUGUUGCUUUAGUUAUAUUAGUCACUGUGAUACUAUGUAGACAGUAAGAAACAUAACACUUGAGGAACUAGACAGCAUUUGGAGCAUGUCCACAUUUUUGUUGUGAAUAUAUACACACACAUAUUGGCAGGUGCUCAAAUUAGAACCCCAUAUCUAUGUGAGAUAUGACAACUAAUCUAAGCCAUUAUGUUUCGACAUGGUUCUCAUUAAGUUCUCAUUUUAAGGGUUCUCAUUAGAGUAAAACACCACUUAAAUCGUAAAGCGAUUUUGGUAGGUAACUUAACUUAGACAUUCAGAUGUGUCUAUUAAAGCAACCUGAAAGUGGUCUAAGUACUUUGAAGUACCACUUUUUUGACAUUUUGGAUUUUUGUGUGACCCUUUAAUCAGAAUUAUUGGAUGUCGUUUGCUUAGAAUUUUGGAUGCUAAUGAAAAAGAAAAUGAAGACUGAAAAAAAAUGGUAUUAUGCAGUCAAAAGAUGCGGAUAGUAAAAAUCUUUUCUGUGGAUAUCCCUUUUUUUUGUACUUGUCCAUUUAAGUUGAAUUACUUCUACAAACUUGUAAGAGUAGUGGUAAAUGUCUGAACGAAGCACAAGGAAAGAUAUUUCCAGUCUGACUAUUAUGUAUCUGUGGUUAUUAGGAAGGACAAGAGCUUGAGAGAAUCAGCCCAUUUUUCCAACGAAGGCAGAAUGGAAGUGGUUGAAAAGCCUGCCUUGGGUGGAAUGGAAAAGGCAUUUUGUAAUAAUUUUCUGAGGCGGAUUGUUGAUUUCUUUGCGGGGAGGUUGAUAAUUGACUAUUUCGGGUAACUAUGUUCUGAAUUUGCUUUUAUAUUAAUAUUAUAAAUUGUGUCUCAGAAGUUUUGGACUUACUGGUUUGGGGCAACUAAUCCUUACGUUGUAACAAUCAAAAGUGUGGGCAACUGAACCUAAUUUAAUUAAUAUUAAGGCCACAAAAUCCAAGAAGUGCAUGUAUACAGCAAUUCAAAGCAAAAGGACCCCUUGGAAGGGGGGAGAAUAAAGUCUUGGCUAAAUUUUAAGUGAAUAAGAGCAUGUCCAAUGGCUGUGCUAAAAUAGAUGGAGUUAUUGCUAUAAUUUAGCAUCAAAAAGUGAUUUAGUGCUAAAAUAGCACCAUGUCUCCAAUGGUUGGUUUCAAUUCUUGUUUCAAAUUUAAACUUCUUCAAAUACAUCCCACUUUUGAAUAUAAAUAUAAGUAUAUAACUAACUUUCAAAGACCCCACACUUUCAAGUACUUUUUAAUACAUUUUUUCAUCAUUUUAUACUUUAGCAAUAUUUAUAGCUCCCUCUAUCUUUUGUUCUAAAUAUUGAACAAACUAUAGCAUUGCUCUAUUUUAGAACAAGAUAUAGAACACCAUUGAUGUAGAGAAUUUUAGUUUUUGUUCUAUAAUAUAGACAUAGAACAAUAUAAAGAACACCAUCAUUGUCUACUAAAACUUUAAUUUGAAUGUUCCCUACUUUCUCUUGAAGUAUGCAUUACGUAUAUAGUUGUGCCUUUGUAAACUAGACUGCUAUCGUAAAAGUAUCAUAUGCCAGUUGGACCUUGAUUCUAAAUUCUCCAAUUUGGCCUCCCAGUUCCUUUAUCAAGUUCCUGGGAAGUUAAAAAAUAUGUUUGGUUGUGGUGUAGGUAUUUGCAGUGCUUGGGUUUGACAUAAGAAAGUUUCUACGUAUGUGGAAAUUCCAAUUUCCGAGGAGGUUCCACUUUCCAUAUAGCGGUCAACCAAAAAAUCUUCAAAUUGCUAGGAAGUUUCAAUUCCUGGAGAUUUACAUGUUAACCAAACUGCCUCUUAUAAAUCUAGUUAUGGUUCAUUAGGAUGAUUGGAUUCUUACUGGGGAACGUUGAAGUUCUCAUUUCGGAAAGAUGUUGAGUAUGCACACCCUUUAUCCAGUUCUGAAAACAAAUUCGAUUUUAGUGGCCUUAAUUAACAUAAACUAUGCACUGAUUUGCAUUUUAAUAUGUAAACCUUCAGUAAAUUAGCUUCCAGUAAGCUUUAUUAUCUUCUGUCUAGUUUCUCCUCUAUGCAUUCUGUUUUCAACAAACUACUGACUCUUUCUAAAUAAAAUUCAUUUGAAUGUGCAUGCUCAAUCUAGCUUUGUGGUGAGUUCUUCAUUUCCCUAUUUGUUAACAGGAAUGCUCCACGAACAGUAAAACAAGGACGGGAACGGAAAAGGAUUUGCAGGAGAUCGGGUGACACAGUUUGGGGGGCAUGGGGCAUUCUUCCUGUUGAACUUUUGGUUUCAAUAUUGUUAAAGUUAAGUAUCAUGGACUACCUGUCAUUUAGCGGUGUUUGUAAAUCUUGGAGGUCUGCAUCUAUUGAUUUCCGCAAAUAUUGUAUGGAGCACCAGCAACCCCUAAUUGUUGUUCGGCCAAAGUAUUCAAAAAAGUCUUGUGUAUUGUACAAUAUGUUCGAUAUGAAAAGUUACAAAACAAUGCUGCCAGAUUUGCCUUGCAAGAAAUUAAUGGGUUUGUCAUGUGGGUACCUGAUUACAAUUGACAGAAACCUAGGCUUUUGGCUCGUAAAUUUAAUGACAAAACAUGAGCUGCGUUUUCCCUUCCUUCGUGAUAUGGGUGACAGAAAUUGGUUUGAAUUUUCUGCUCGCCUCUUUCGGUCCACUCGGCUUUCAGAAACUUUCAUGGUUCUUUUCUCUCGGACAAAAAAUUAUAUUUGGUUAUCCAAAUGUGGCAGCAGCAGUUGGCAGAGAUAUGCUUUAUUCGACACAAAAGCCAGGAUUGCAGAUGUGAAGAUUUUUUAUGGCAAAAUCUUUGUUUUGACUUCAGAUGUACGUUUUGGAGAAUUUAAUCCGAAGGCAGGUUCUGUUCCGAAGUUCUCCAAAAUCAGAAUCCCUUUCCAGGUUUCAUCUAAUAUGUAUUUGAAGUUGGUAGCGUCAGACAAUAAGCUAUACAUGACUGUAUUGAAUAGUCAUCUAUAUCCUGCAUUGGAACGAUAUCUUUCAUUAUUCGAAAUUGACCAUGAGACAAUGGAUAGAGCAAAACAGAUUCAUGACUUGGGUGCAAAAUCUUUAUUUCUUAGUUCGUACAGUUCCGCUGUCGUCAAUACAACUGGUUGGGGAGCAGGUAACUGUGUCUGUCUUCUUCACUUUAAAGAUUUGAAUAAAUGUUCUUUCUUUAACCUGAAUGGAAAUCGGCUAGGAACAACUCCUGUUGUUUGGGAUGGUCAUUUAUUGCCAUAUUUUUGGUAUUUUCCUAGUGAAAUUUGGUCAAUUAGUUGUGUCAGUGAUGAGUUUGGCGCAUGAUCACUUCUAAAUCUCAUUCAGUUUUUUUCAUUAAGUCUGUAGUUUUUAUCUUCAUCUUACAUUAUGGAACUGUAAUGUUUGCCUUAGAGGCCCCAGACAAAACUCAAAUGUCAUUCUUUGUAUUUCUUAUUGGCACCAUGUCUUUUCGUGUAUAAUACAGAUUCAUAAGGAAAAAUUUCCCAAUUUGAAGCUGUAGUUUAAUAUAGUUAUAUAUUUUUACUGAGCAAACUUUAAUUUAUAGAUGAUUACUUUAUUUCUGAAUUAUGGUAGUGACAAACAGAUAAGUUAAUUUUCAAGAAGGAGAUGCAGUUUCUUCCAUCUCUUUUUCCUGCUAGAUCUUUGCAUGUCCAACUCUUUUUCCAGCCGCUGUGUCAUCAAGUGCUGCUUACUUAAACCAACUCCUUAAUUUCUGAAUGAAGGGCCUUUAAGUCUGUCCUUCCAAACAAACUCCUCUUGUUCAAAUGAGUCUUGGCAAAACUAUUCUUGCUCAACUUUACAACCAUACCCAGACUUUCCACUGGAGAUUGUAUCUCUUCGUAAGUGCAUUCUGGAUUCAUAUGUAUAGUCUACUGUUCAGUAUAAUUGUUCGAUUUUUUUUUAAUAAGCCAGACAAAAAGAUAUUGGGGUGUUUGGUUGGGCUUAAAACCUCAUCUUUCAAACUUAUAAGUACUCAGAUGUAACUCAUUUGUACUGUUUGUGUAAAAAAUUGAUCAGUGAACUUCUUACUUAUAAGCUAAAUCCGAAAAGUUGAAAAUCUUAACUUUUUUUAAUAAAUUAUUUUUAUUUUUAAAAUUUGAUUUUACAAAAAAUAAAGGAUCAUUUUAAAAGAUCAUUUAUAAUAAUUUAUUAUUAUGUUAAUAAUUUUUAUCCUUCGUAAAUAUUAAAGUAAUGAUCCAAACACAUAAAUUAAAAGAUAAUUUUCACUUGUAUGGUAUGACUUUUUAUUUAUAAUCAAUAUGCACAUGGUUAUGCCAAACCGCCUCAAUAUUCCGGUACCUUUAUCACAUCAUCACUUCUGCGGUUUCCACAAUCCUACAUGAUGAUCUUAAUACAUUAAGUCCACCCACCAUUUAUUUUUUGCAGAUAUUUCUUCUACUUUUUUCUCUUUCUCUGCAAUAGUCUAAGCUCUGGUUUAUCUUCUAUAUCUUAUUUUAAAUGGGCAAGGAAAAUUGCUUCUCCACUUCUAUAAAGAUUACAUCCAUCUUUUGCAUUGGUUUCUGAAUCAAUUUUCAGAGAUCACUUUCAUGACUAAGUAGCAGCCAAACUCACAAAUCUUUUGAGUCAUCAUGAACAAGUUCUGAGAAAUUCUCUCUGGAAGAAGUCGCAUUUGUUUGUUCCUGCCGUGUUGAACUCAUGGUAGAAGUGUGCGAUUAAUUUAAAUUUUUUAGACCUAUACAUGUUGGGAGUGCUUGCAGUGUUGUCCUCAUUCAGUAUUUUGGAUCUCUAUUUCUCAAAUUCGCCUCCUGUUUGUAUUACGAUUACACCUUUUUCUAGGAAUCGCUUCUAAGGGAGUAGCACCAUUACGCCUUUGCAUGAAUUUAGAAAGAAAUUAUCCCAAUAUCCUAACACCAUAGAGGUUGGUCGCAAGUGCUACAUGCAUGUCUGGAGAAAUUACAGAAUAUAAGAUGUAUCGCUUGUAAAAUAUGACAUAGAGUCUACGUACUUCAAUUAAAUCUCAUUUCAACUCUAGAAUGCAAGAAGCUGGUAUGGUUGUAAACGCUAGAUCACACAGUUGGUGAUUCUUAUUCCGUGUAGAUCUGAUCCAAAAAAUAUCUAGGGAUUCUAAGGGAAGCAAAAAAUGGUGUAAAGUAAACAAUAAAUGCUAAAAAUAGAGCUAUAUAUAUGCUAAAAAUAGGGAUAAGGGGUAAACCAUAUCCCUAGUUCUCCUUAACAACCACAAACCCUAGUUCAAAAAAUUACUUGGCCUGUAUUGCGUAAUCACCACUAUGUCGUAUACAAAUUAAUUGUUUCAACAACCAUAAAUUUAAUAAAAUACAUGGAAGCAACUAAGCACCGAGACAGAGAAUUUGCCUCUCGAGUGUUGAUCAGCAAAAAGCUUCAUUAUCCUCAGUGCCUAAAAGUUAAAUUAUUUAUCAAUCAACAAUUGCGCACUGUUUUGGGAGAAGAGAAAUCCCAUCACUUAGCACUUUCAGCGCAUUAAGGGAGCGGAAUAUAUUAAGAGAAAGCUUAUUUGAUCUUCAUUAGUGUGAUUCAAGUUUGUUAGGGAGAGCUGAACAGAAUGAAACUGUUAAAAUUGACUUGUUGCUCCAUAAGCUGUAUUUACAAGUAUAUACACUAACAACACUAACAGAAUAUUCCUACAACUACUCUAACUAACUAUGUAGCUGGAAGCUUCUAGAACAUUUAUUUACAAUACAUGUACAUAGAUCAAUACCCCCUUCAAGCUAGGCAUCAAAGAGGAUCAAAUAGAGCAAUUUCCUGAUAAAUCUUCUAUACACUUCUGGGUCAGGCAACUUUAAAACAUCCUUUGUGCUUGGAUGCAAGCCUUUUAAUAAUGGAAAACCAGCAGCCAAGUGAGUAUUAGCUGAUAAAUUCAAUAUAUACUUCCUCUGAUCUAACUGAAUUCCGGCUUCAGUUCUAAGAAUCUCAAUGCUAAGUAAAUACUUCAAAUCAGCCAGACUUUUAAUGGUAAUUUUUUGAUGCAGUAAGGAUUUGAUAGAGCAUCUCCAAUAGCCUCCUAACCCACUCUUAAAUUAUAUAUAAAAUAUUAGACUUCUAGUAAGUUGAUGCAAAUUUAGGAGUCUCAAUUCCAACAAUAUUCUUUAUACUUGCUCUUAAGUUAAUAUUUUAUUCUUGUUUGACUGGUAUAUGUCACAAACUCAAAUGUAAUUGGAGGCAAUGAAUAUUUAUUGUCAAAAAUAAGUUAAGAGUUUUGUAGUGGUUCUUAACUUUGAGGAGAGAGGAGAGAGAAACAAGAGUCUCUUAGUGACAUGAAGAGCUACUAAGAGUCUCUUGCACCAAAAAUUUCUUUCUCCCUACUGAAAUUUCAAUUUAAGAGCUCAUUUAAGAGUCUCUUGGAAAUGCUCUAAGUCUCAAGUACGAGAAAGCUAAAUAUAUCACAUUUUAACUUUUUUUUACAAGAAAAUCAAUUUUCAAGUAGAUGGACCACUAUGAUACACAUUCUUUAAAUGGGUAUCCCUAUAUAUUCAUUCUCAAAAUGGGUGUCACAUAUAAAUUAAUUUUUAAGAAGACCAAUAUAUAUAAAUUAAUUUUUAAAAACACAAAUACACAUUCUCAGAAUAGGUAACGGUAAUACUCACUCUUUGGAUAAUAACAUUCCUAAAAUUUAAUUUUUCAUUAUUCAAAAUAUUUUAUCAUAUACACCCUCCGUCCCAAAAUAGUUGUCACAUUUGGUUUUGUGCCGGUCAAAUUGACUAAAGUUUGACUGAAAUUUAUUAAUAUUUUAUCAAUUGACAAAAUAAAAAAAAUAUGUCACCGGAAAUAACUUUUAAUCUACUUUAAGAUAUAAUUUUCAGUUUUUUAAAAUAAUGAGUGAUUAAGUUAUAAUCUUUGGGCAAAACUUAGUCAAUUUGACCAACAAAAAUAGAAAUGUGACAACUAUUUUGGGACGGAGGGAGUACAACCCAACCCCCCACACAUAUAUAUUACCGUAUAUUAAACAAACAACCCCACCAUCUAUAUUAUCAAUUAUCGCUAAAAAAUUAUAAACAUCAAAUAUUUAUAAAUUGGUCACUCAUUCUCAAAAAGAUAAUAGACCAAGAUUCUUGAUCAUUAAUUUUAAAGGUAAUAUAUAAAAAUCACGGUAUUUUGGUUUUUUUUCUCUAGCUCCUCGCUUAGUUUUAAGGUAGAAAAUGACUACUCCAUUGUACCCUCUUUAUCAUAAUUUCAUACAAUCAUAUUUCAAAUAUCAGGUCUAGAAAAUAUGGAUUCAAAUAUCAUCUUAUAACGUUAUCAUUGAUAUUUAUAAUUUUUUAUUUAGCAUGACACACCUUUUCUUACUCCAUGCACACAAGAAAAUCACCUAAAACCCUAAAAAAUAAAAAAUUAACAUAAUGUGGCUAGAAGCAGUUUCUGCUUCUGGCUUCUGCUUUUUUUACCCGUUUGUGUAAAGAAGUAAAAAUACUUUUAAGAAGCUGAGAAUGCUGACUACUCUCUCACAGCUUUUUUUCGAAACACUUUAUUAACUUAUUUCCUUUUCAUUUUUACUCCACUUCUUUAAUUUAAGCAAGAAAUCACUUCUGUUAAGCUAAGUCAAACAUUCCCAAUACAACAUGUAUUACUUGACCAAUGACCAGAUAACGCUGAUGGACUAAUAUAUAUUUUCGCAAAAAACUAUGAUCUAUAUAUUAACUUAAUCUUGGAUUCAGUUUUAUAUUUAUCAAAUGAGUUCAUGUAUGUGAGCAAUCUGUGAAAUUGUGAUUAAGUUAAUAUAUGGAUCAUAGUAUUUUUGAAAAAAAAUAUUAGUCCAUCACCGUUGUCCGGUCAAUGGUCAUGUAAUUAAGCCUUGGGGGUAGUGAUCUCGUCCGGUCGAACUCAAUUGAUCUGUACUGCGGUAUAUUUAUACUAACAUGUGUCGCCAUAUAGUGCAAUCUCACCAACUUAUCACCACAUCUUGACCGUCCAUCUCUCCAUAUAUCAAUCCUAUGUCAACCCAUGUCUCUUUUUUAUUUAAGAAAUUUUGAGAGCACUACUGAAGGGCGAUUUGCGGUGGACUACGCUUCUUUCCGGUGAGUGGACUACGCUUCUUUCCGGUGAGUGGGCGGAAAAAUUCAAGAGUUGAAUUACUUAUGAAUUGACAUUUAUAGUUCAGGGACCUAGAAAAAAAAGUGUCUAUAGUUCAGGGACUUUAUAAUUAACUUUCCCUAUAAUAUAUAUUUAAAGAAGCUAUAAAAAACCAUUUAAGUUGUUAAGCGAUUUUGGUAGGUAACAUAACUUAGACAUUCAUCAGUAUAUGCCCUACUUAAUUUGUUUACUACACAAACCUGAAAAAGGUCUAAGUACUAUGAAGUACCACUUUUUUGACAUUUUUGAUUUCUGUGUGAUCCUUCAAUCAGAAUUAUUGGAUAUCGUAUGCUUAAAAUUUAUGUUUAAUUAUGAUGCCAACGAAAAAGAAAAUGAAGACUGGAAAAAAAACUGGUUUCAUGCUGUCAAAAGAUGUGGACAGUAAAAUCUUUUCUGUGGAUAUCCCUUUUUACUUUUUGUACAUGUCAAUUUAAGUUGAAUUCCUUCUACAAACUUGUAAAGAGUACUAGUAAAUGUCUGAAAGAAGCACAAGGAAAACUAAGAUAUUUCCAGUCUGACCAUUAUGUAUUGUGUGGUUAUUAGGAAGAACAAGAGCUUGAGAGAGUCAGCCCAUUUUUUCAACGAAGGCAGAAUGGAAGGGGUUGAAUGGCCUUCCUUGGCUGGAAUGGAAAAGGCAUUUUGUAAUAAUGUUCUGAGGCGGAUUGGUGAUUUUUUUGCGGGGCGGUUGAUAGUUGACUAUUCCAGGUAACUAUGUUUUGAAUUUGCUCUAUGUAAAUAUUAUAAAUUUUUUCUUGAAGUUUUGGAGUUCCUGGUUUGGGGCAUCAAAUCCUUACGUAGUAAAAAUCAAAAGUGUGGCUAAAUCUCAAGUCCCAAGAAGUGCAUGUAUACAGCAAAUAAAAGAAUAAGCACCCCUUGGAAGGGAGGAGAAAAUAGUCCUGGCUAAAUCUCAAGUGAAUAAAGUUAAUUGGUUGUGCUAAAAUAGAUGGAGUUAUUGCAAUAAUUUCCAAAUACAUCCCACUUUUGAAUAUAAAUAUGACUAACUUUCAAAGACCCUGCACUUUCAAGUAAUUUUUCAUACAUUUUUUAAUCAUUUUAUACUUUCAAGUAACUAUGUUAUGGAUUUGCUGUAUAUGAAUAUUAGAAAUUUUGUCUUGAAGUUUUGGAGUUCCUGGUAUGGGGCAUUGGUAUGGGGCAUCUGAUCCUUACAUAGUAACAUACUCCCUCUGUCCCAAAAAGAUUGAGCUGGUUUGACUUUCACUGAGAUUAAGAAAAAGGUAAUAAAAAAGAGUAAAUUUAGUUGAAAAGUGGGUAAAGUGGUGGGACCUGUCAAAAUUUAAUAAUAGAUUUGAGAUAAUGGAGGAAGGUAUAUAUUGCGUGUAAUAGUGUUUAUUUAAUAAAAAGAGAGUAAAAAAUUGAGAGGUAGUGCGUGUAAUAGUGAAAAGUAGUGUUCAAAAAUAGUAAGUAUAAUAAGUUCAAUCUUUUUAGGACGUCCCAAAAAGGAAUUAGGGUCAAUUAAAAUGGGACGGAGGGAGUAUAAAAGUGUGGGAGACUAAAGUCUUGGCUAAAUCUCAAGUCCCAAGAAGUGCAUGCAUACAACAAAUCAAAGCAUGAGCACCCUUCUUGGCUAAAUCUCAAGUCAAUAAGAGCAUGUCAAUUGGUUGUGCUAAAAUAGCUGGAGUUAUUGCUAUAAUUUAGCAUCAAAAAGUGAUUUUUUGUGCACCAAUUGGUUUCAAAUCUUGUUUCACAUUUAAACAACUUCCAUAUACAUAACACAUUUAAAUAUAAAUAUGCCUAACUUUCAAAGACCCCACAAUUUUAAUACUUUCUUAUACAUUUUUUCAUCAUUUUAUGGUUUAGCAAUUGUAGAUCCAUCUAUCUUUUGUUCUAAAUAUUGAACAAACUAUAGCAUUGUUCUAUUUUAGAAAAAGAUAUAGAAUACCCUUGGAGUAGGGAAUUUUUAAUUUUUGUUCUAAAAUAUAGAUAUAGAACAAGAUUAUUGGACUUGCCCUAAGGGAUUCUACUAAAAACAUGGUUUAUAUUUACCUCACUCAGUUAAAAUUUUAAUCAAAAAUUAAUGUUACCUACUUUCUUUUGAAGUAUGCAUUACGUAUAUACUUGUGCCCACCUAAACUAGAAUGCUAUUGUAAAAGUAUCAUAUGCCAGUUCCUUUAUCAAGUUCCUGGGAAGUUAACAAAUAUGUUUGGUUGUGGUGUAGGAAUUUUCGGUGCCCGGGGUGUGAUAUAAGCAAGUUUCUAUAUUAUGCAUGUGGGGAAUUCCAAUUUCCUAGGAAGUUCCAGACUUCCAGUUUCCAUAUAGCGGUCAACCAAAAAAUCUUUCAAUUUGCUAGAAAGUUUAAAUUCCUAGAGAUUUACAUGUUAACCAAACUACCUCUUAUAAAUCUAGUUAUGGUACAUUAGGAAGAUUACAUUCUUACUAGGGAACGUUGAAGUUCUCAUUUCGGAAAGAUGUCGAGUAUGCACACUCUUAAUCCAGUUCUGAUUAAAAAAUUUAGAUUUUAGUGGCCUUAACAUAAACUAUGCACUGAUUUGCAUUUUAAUAUAUGAACCGUCAGUGAAUUAGCUUCCAGUAAGCUUUAUUAUCUUCUAAUGUCUAGCUGCAGAACUUUUUACUGUACUGGCAAAAGGAACAAUCCUACUCUAGUUUCUCCUCUAUGUGUUAAAUCAAGUUCUUUUAAAUCUUGCAAAGGAUGAAUCUGUCUUUAAGAAACAUCUGUAAAAAUAAUGCAUUCCGUUUUCAACAAACUACUAAAUCUUUCUAGAUAAAAUUCAUUUGAAUGGGCAUGCUCAAUCUAGCUUUGUGGUGAGUUCUUCGUUUCUCUAUUUGUUAGCAGGAAUGCUCCGCGAACAGUAAAACAAGGAAGAAAACGGAAAAGGACUUGCAGGAGAUCGGGUGACUCAGUUUGGGGAGCUUGGGGAAUUCUUCCUCCUGAACUUCUGGUGUCAAUUUUGGUAAAAUUAAGUAUCGUGGACUACCUGUCAUUUAGCGGUGUUUGUAAAUCUUGGAGGUCUGCAUCUAUUGAUUUCCGCAAAUAUUGUAUGAUGCACCAGCAACCCCUAGUUGUUGUUCGGCCAAAGUAUUCAAAAUAGUCUUGUGUGUUGUACAAUAUGUUUGAUAUGAAAAGUUACAAAACAAUGCUGCCAGAUUUGCCUUGCAAGAACUUAUUGGGUUUCUCAUGUGGGUACCUGAUUACAAUCGACAGAAACUUAGGCUUUUGGCUUGUAAAUUUAAUGACAAAACAUGANUAGCUUCCAGUAAGCUUUAUUAUCUUCUAAUGUCUAGCUGCAGAACUUUUUACUGUACUGGCAAAAGGAACAAUCCUACUCUAGUUUCUCCUUUAUGUGUUAAAUCAAGUUCUUUUAAAUCUUGCAAAGGAUGAAUCUGUCUUUAAGAAACAUCUGUAAAAAUAAUGCUUUCCGUUUUCAGCAAACUACUAAAUCUUUCUAGAUAAAAUUCAUUUGAAUGGGCAUGCUCAAUCUAGCUUUGUGGUGAGUUCUUCGUUUCUCUAUUUGUUAGCAGGAAUGCUCCGCGAACAGUAAAACAAGGAAGAAAACGGAAAAGGACUUGCAGGAGAUCGGGUGACUCAGUUUGGGGAGCUUGGGGAAUUCUUCCUCCUGAACUUCUGGUGUCAAUUUUGGUAAAAUUAAGUAUCGUGGACUACCUGUCAUUUAGCGGUGUUUGUAAAUCUUGGAGGUCUGCAUCUAUUGAUUUCCGCAAAUAUUGUAUGAUGCACCAGCAACCCCUAGUUGUUGUUCGGCCAAAGUAUUCAAAAUAGUCUUGUGUGUUGUACAAUAUGUUUGAUAUGAAAAGUUACAAAACAAUGCUGCCAGAUUUGCCUUGCAAGAACUUAUUGGGUUUCUCAUGUGGGUACCUGAUUACAAUCGACAGAAACUUAGGCUUUUGGCUUGUAAAUUUAAUGACAAAACAUGAGCUGCGUUUUCCCGUCCUUCCUGGACAUAUGGGUGCCAUAAACUGCUUUGAAUUUUCUGCUCUCCUCUGUCGGUCCGCUCGGCUUUCAGAUUCUUUCAUGGUUCUUUUCUCUCAGACAGAAAAUUAUAUAUUGUUGUCCAAAAGUGGCGGCAGCAGUUGGCAGAGAUAUGUUUUAUCCGACACAGAAGACAAGAUUGCAGAUGUGAAGAUUUUUGAUGGCAAAAUCUUUGUUAUGACUUCAGAUGUACGUUUUGGAGAAUUUAAUCCGAAGGCAGGUUCUGUUCCGAAGUUCUCCAAAAUCAGCAUCCCUUUCCCGGUUUCAUCUGAUACUUUUUUGAAGUUGGUGGCAUCAGACAAUAAGCUAUACAUUACUGUAAUAAAUUGUUAUCCUUAUCCUGCAUUGGACCGACAUCUGUCAUUAUUCGAAAUUGACCACGAGACAAUGGAUAGAGCAACACAGAUUCAUGACUUGGGUGCAAAAUCUUUAUUUCUUAGUUGGUUCAGUUCUGCUGUCGUCGAUACAACUGGUUGGGGAGCAGGUAACUGUGUCUGUGUUCUUCACUUAGGAAGUUUCAAUGCAUGUUCUUUCUUUAAACUGAAUGGAAAUCUGCUAGGAACAAUUCCUGUCGUUUGGGAUAGUCAUUCAUCUCCAUAUUUUUGGUAUUUUCCUAGUGAAACUUGGUCCAUCAGUUGUGUCAGUGACGAGUUUGGCGCAUGAUCACUUCUAAAUCUCAUAUCAGUUUUUCUAAUUAAGUCUGUAGUUUGUAUCUUCAUCUUUCAUAAUGCAACUUUGUACUAGUUCCAUUUUGAAAACUUUUAUACAUUGAUGUUGUAAUGUUUGCAUUGGAGGCACCAGAACUCAAAUGUCAUUUUCUUUAUUUCUUAUUGACACCUUGUUUGUUCGUGUAUAAGACAGAUUCUUUGGUGAAAAAUUCCCAAUUUGAAGCUGCAGUUUCUGCAGUUUAAUAUAGUUAUAUAUUUUUGUUAAUCAAAGUUUAAUUUAUAGAUGAUUACUUCGUUUCUGAAUUAUUGUAGUGACAGAUAGAUGAGUUAAUUUUCAAGGAGCUGCAGUUUCUCGUUGGGAAAUGAUUUCUAUAAUUUCUGAAUGAAGGGCCUCCAAGUUUGUCCUUCCAAACAAACUGAUCCUCUCUCUCAUCAAAUGAGUUCCUUUGGUCCAAAAGCUAAUAUUAUAUUAUAUUAGUUUGGGUGAAACUAAGUGGAGGUCUGAACCGACCUGUUUGAUACUGGAUAAAGCAAAUCUUGGUUGAUCUCAGUUUGCCUUGUUACACUGACGUAUUAGAACUGAUACCUACAUGUGCUCGAUUCGAUCUAUUUCUUUAUCUCCCCAUGCAUCGUAUGUUUGUAACAAUACGGACAGAAUUUUCAACUUUACAAUUAAUCCAGACUUUCCAAUGGAGAUUGUAUCUCUUCACAGGUGCAUUCUAGAAUCUAGAUUCACAUGCAUAAUAUACUAUAUAGUCUAAUUGAUCGAUUUUCUUAAUAAGCUGGACAAAAUGAUUGGCAGGGCUUAAAAGCCCAUCUUUGGACUUACAAGUCAGUAACACAUUGGUAUUGUUUGCCUAAAAAACUGAUCAAUGAACUUGUGACUUAUAAGACAGAAUAUGAGAAGUUAGAAAAUCUCAACUUUUUUUAGUCUUAUUUUAGAAAUUUCAUUUUACAGGAAAGCAAAGGACCACUUUAAGAAAUAAUUUAGAAUAAUUUAUUAUUAUAAUAAUAAUUUUAUACCCUGUAAAUAUAAAAAAAUGAUCCAAACAUAUAAAUUAAAAGUUAAUUUUCAUUUAUCUUUUUACGUUUAAUCAAUAAACACAUCUUUUACAGCCUCAUUAUUCUCGUACCUUUAUCAGAUCACAUCCACGCUUCUGCAAUUUCCACAAUCCUACGAGAUGAUCUCAAUACAGUCCACCCACCAUUUAUUUUUUACAGAGAUUUCUCCUACUUUUUUUCUCUUUCUCUGCAAUCUUCUAAGCUCUAGUUUAUCUUAUAUAUCUUAUUUAAAUGGGCAAGGAGCAUUGCUUCUCCACUUCAGUAACCACAUGUGAAUUUGAGCUUCUAAAAAUCAUCCCAAUAUUCCAACACCAUAGAGGUCGGUCCGGAGUGCUACAUGUCUGGAGAAAUAACAGAAAAUAAUUUGUAUAGCUAGUAAUAUAUGACACAGAGUCUAAGUACUUGAAGCAAUUCUCAUUUUAAGUCUAGAAUACAAGUGGCUGGUAUGGUUGUAAAUACUAGAUCACAUAGUUGGUGAUUCUUAUUUCUCGUAGAUCUGGUCCAAAAAUACAUUUAGGGAUUCCAAGGGAAGCAAAAAAUGGUGUGAAGAAAACAAUAGAUGCUUAAAAUAGAGCUGUAAAGUGAGAUGUAAAAUUACAAGCAACACCUUACCUGGACAAAAUGCAUGUAAACCAUACCCCUAGUUCUCCUUAAAAACCGCAAAUCCCAUACAUUCUCGUCGUUCAGACGAGUUCAAAAAAUUACUUGGCCUGUAUUGCAUAAUCAACACUAUAUCAUAUACAUAUUCAUCGUUUCAACAACAAAAUUUUUUAAUAAAAUACAUAGAGAGCAACUAAGCACCGAGAUAAAGAAAUUGCCUCUCAAGAGUUGAUCAGCAAAAAGCUUCAUCAUCCUCUAGUGCCUUAAAUUUGUAUUAUUUUUCAGUCAACAAUUGCGUAUUGGAGAGGAGAAAUCCCAUCACUUAGCACUUUCAGCGCAUUAAGGGAGCGGAAAAAUGAUAAGAUAAAGCUUAUUUGAUCUCCAUUAGUGUGAUUCAAGUUUAUUUGGUGGUUCAAGUCUUUGGCUUCUCCCAAGAAGUUAAUGUGUACGCUAUAGCAAAGCCAAAAUAUCACUUUUUAACUCUUUUUUUCUACAAAAAUAUCAUUUUUAGAUAGAUGAUUAAAAAUAUAUAUUCUCAAAAUAGAUAUCACAUAAAAAUUUAAAUUUAAAUUUUUAAAAAGACAGAUUCGCAUUUUCAGAAUGGCUAACCCCAAUAUUCAUUCUAAGAAUAAUAACUUUUUUUAAUUUUAUUUUUUUAUUAUAAAAAAUAUCUUAUCAUAUAUAACAACACACAAUGACCAAACAUAUAUAGCAUCCUUUAUUCAACACACAACACCAUCACCUACAUUAUCAAUUAUCCCUAAAAAAUUUAUAGAUAUUAGAUCAUGAUAAAUCGGUCACUCAUUCUCAAAACGACAAUAAAAUAAUAUUUUCAAUCAUUAGUUUAAAAAAUGGUAUGUAAAAGUAUGGUAUUUUUGUAUUUUUCUCUGUAAUUCCUUAUUUAAUUUUCAAGGUAGUAAAUGACAACUUUUAAGAAGAGGCAAUCAGCCUGCACUGCAGAUCCCCUUCCCUUGUUGAGUACUACCUCUCUUCUUAAAUUUGUUAAAUACAAUUCUGAUACGCAUUCUUAAAAUGAGUAUCAAAAUAAUGGUAAAAAAACACAAGUAUCAAAAUGUAUACAUUUUCAAAAUAGGUAUGGCUUCUAAAUCAAUUUUUUUAAUUUUUAAAAGGAUUGAUUCGUAUCCUCAAAAUUGGUACUGAGAUGCUCAUUCUUAAAAUAAUAACCUUCUUAAAAUUUUACUUUUUGUCAUCAAAAAUCUAUUAUCAUAUAUAAGACCAAACACAAAACACAUCAAUAUAAUAUAUUGAUGAUCAUAAUUUGAUCGAUCAUUCUCAAAAAAUAAUUAAAUAAUCUUUUUGAUCAUAAAUUCAAAAAAAGAGAUGUAUUUUGUGUUUUGUUUUAAGGCAGAAAAUGAUUACUUUUAAGCAGAGGCGACCAGGCGGCAGCCCUACAGAGCCCCUUUCCCCUGUUCAGUAUCACCUCUCUUCUUAAGUUUGUUAACACGAGAGACCAUUUGUGCGGAAUCUUUAAUCUAUGGAUUGGGAUGUUUUUGUGCUGGAAAUUUCAGAUGGGAAAAAGGCUUGUGUAUAUGGUAUAAACCCAUCCAAUCUUUUAUGUUUCUGCUCAUCUUUUUAGUCAAGUUUGUUAUUCAUAUACAUUGUCUGUGGGAUCUAAUUUGGAUGGUAUAUUAGCUGAGGUGUAUUAUAUGAUUGCCACAAAAAAGGUUUUGAUCAAGGUCUGAUUUGGUGUUUGAUAACAGGCUUAUGUACAGUGGUUGUUCAUGGUAAAUUAUUCGAGAGUUUGGUCUCAAGUAGCAAAUGUUAUGCAAGGAGGCGAUAAUCUUGAACAGAGAAUGGGGGCAUGGUCUUGAAGGAAACAGGUGUGAGCGCUUCCAUGUAAUUAGUUUAUUGUAGUGGUUUUAUUUGUUACUUCCCGUGUGCUGUUUCAUGAUACUAAAUCUACACAAAUCAUAUUUUUUUGUCAUGUUAGGAGUGUUCUUGUGUAAUGGUUAAUUUCUGGUGUUCAACUAAUUUGAUAAAGAUAACAAAUAGGUCAUCAAUACGGAAGAUCAAUAUAGAAAGACAUGUUUUAAGGAACAAUAAUGCGAAAAUCUAAGACUUUGGGAGCAAACUCAAGUACAGCAUGGAUGGAAGUAUUUGCUUUCUACCAUGCAGUAGUUUCGAUAACAUAGGGCUAGCAGACCCAAUGUUGAACAUAAUGAAUGUGGCACAUUGAGGCACUUUCAAUUUGUAAAUGUUACUCGUUCUAAACGAAUGUUUAAACAUAAUGAAUGUGGCUUUUGAAAGAUAAGCAUGCUUAGGUGCUAUUUAAAUCAUUUAAGAGAAAGCCCAGACUUCUUAUAAUUUCGCUUUAUCAUUUCCUUCCUACUGGUCCUGGGAUUAGACUAAAUUACGCUACAACUAGUUGUGAUUUCCAACAGAAAAAAAAUUAAUAUCACUCUAGUAAACAAAUUCUACAAUCCUCUGAAGGGAAGAUUUACUUGUCAAUCAGAUAGUACGGGCAAAAAAUGAACAGAAAUGGCAAUGGAACUUGCCAACUCACCUGAAAUUACCCUAUUCCGUGGCAAAUCGCCCUUUUGUAGUGCUCACAAAAUUUUUAAAAUAAAAAAGAGACUUGGGUGUAAUAGGAAAAGAUAUAUGCUGAGGUGGACAGUCCGGAUAAGGUGAUGGUUUGGUGAGACUUGCACCAUAUGACGACACAUGUUAGUAUAGAUAUACCCCUGCUACGGAUCAUUUGAGGUGGGCCGGAUCGAGAUCACUACCCUCAUGGCCGGAUUAAUAUAUAUUUUCAAAAAUACUAUGAUCAAUAUAUAUAUAUAUAUAUAUAUAUAUAUAUAUAUAUAUAUAUUAAUUAACUUAAUCGCGGAUUCACUUUUAUAUAUAUUGAAAGAGUUCAUGUAUAUGAGCAAGUUGUGACGAACACAAAAUCGGUAACUUUGCAAUUUAAUAUUGUCAUUUCCACGAGGUCAUUGGGUCAAAUCUAAUAAUUCUUUGUCCAUUUUUUACAAGAUUAAUAAUGCCCGGAUAUAAUUAGUGUGUAACACUAAAUACAAUUGUCACUACUUGCUCACAUACAUGAACUAUUCAAUUAAAAUAUAAGUAAAUCCGCGAUUAAGUUAUUAUAUGGAUCAUAGUAUUUCUUAAAAUACAUAUUAGUUCCUGACGAUUAUCCGGUCAUUGGUCAUGUAAUAAGCCUUUGGGGUAGUGAUCUCGAUCUGGCCCACCUCAAAUGAUCUGUGGUGGGGUUUAAUUUAUACUAACAUGUGUCGUUAUAUGGUACAAUCUCAGCAACCCAUUACCAUAUCCUGACCGUCCAUCUCAUCACAUAUCAAUCCUAUGUCGAACCAGGUCUAUUUUUAAUUUAAGAAAUUUUGAGAGCACUGCUUGACGGCGAUUUGCGGCGAACUAGGGUAAAUUUCAGGUGAGUUGGCGAGUACCAUUGUCGUUUCUGUUCAGUUUUUGCCCGUAUAAUUUGAUCAACAAGUAAAUCUUCCCUUCAGAGGAUUGUAGAUUUUGUUUACUAGAGUGAUGUUAAUUUUUGUUUUGCUGGACAUCACAACUAGAUGUUAGCUUAAUUUAGUCCAAUCCUUGGACCGGUCAGAAGGAAUUGAUAAAGCAAAACUGUAUGAAGCCUUGGCUUUCUCUUGAAUAAUUUAAUAAAUAAAAAUCCAAUACUCCAAUUUUAUUCAUGUAAUAAGUAUUGAUUAAGUUUCUAAACCUGCCAGAUAGUGUGGUAAUAUUAAUUUUCUGUUCACUUUUACUUNGGAUUAAUAUAUAUUUUNNNNNNNNNNNNNNNNNNNNNNNNNNNNNNNNNNNNNNNNNNNNNNNNNNNNNNNNNNNNNNNNNNNNNNNNNNNNNNNNNNNNNNNNNNNNNNNNNNNNNNNNNNNNNNNNNNNNNNNNNNNNNNNNNNNNNNNNNNNNNNNNNNNNNNNNNNGGACCUAACAGUGCCCUAGACACCUGACGUCAUCACAUGCAUGCAUAAUAUAUAUAAUAUAAUAUAUUAUGUUGUUAUUAUAUUAAUAAAUAAAAGUAUAUAUAAAUAUAUACACACAUAUAUAUUUUAUUUAUAUGAACAUAUAAUAAUAUAUGGACAUAUAUUUAAAUAUAUUCUCAUAUAUUUAAAUAUAUAUAAUAUGUAAAUAUAUGUAAAUACAAAUGUAAAUAUAUAUAUAAAUAUAUAUAGAGAUAUAUAUAGUUAUUUAUAUAUAUAUAUAUAACAUAAAUAUAUAUAAAGAAAGUAUAUAUAAUAUAUACAUAUAUAUAAUAUUUAUAUGAACAAAUAGUAACAUAUAUAUACACAUAUAUUUAAAUAUAUUCUCAUAUAUUUAAAUAUAUAUAAUAUACAUAUAACUAUGUGUAAAUAUAAAUAUAUAUAUAUAUAUAUAUAUAUAUAAAGAAUCAAUAAAACACCAUUUAAAUUGUAAAUCGAUUUUGGUAGGUAACGUAACUUAGACAUUCUGAUGUGUCUAUUAAAGCAACCUGAAAGAAGUCUAAGUACUUUGAAGUACCACUUUUUUGACAUUUUUGAUUUCUGUGUGACCCUUUAAUCAGAAUUAUUGGAUGUCGUAUGCUUAGAAUUUUGGAUGCUAAUGAAAAAGAAAAUGAAGACUGAAAAAAAAAUGGUUUCAUGCUGUCAAAAGAUGUGGAUAGUAAAAACUUUUCUGUGGAUAUCCCUUUUUUUUUGUACUUAUCCAUCUAAGUUGAAUUACUUCUACAAACUUGUAACAGUAGUAUUAUAUGUCUGAAAGAAGCACAAGGAAAGAUAUUUCCAGUCUAACUAUUAUGUAUCUGUGGUUAGGAAGGACAAAAGCUUGAGGGAAUCAACCCAUUUUUUCAACGAAGGCAGAAUGGAAGUGGUUGAAAAGCCUGCCUUGGGUGGAAUGGAAAAUGCAUUUUGUAAUAAUGUUCUGAGGCGGAUUGCUGAUCUUUUUGCGGGGCGGUUGACAAUUGACCAUUUCGGGUAACUAUGUUCUGAAUUUGCUCUAUAUAAAUAUUAUAAAUUGUGUCUCGAAGUUUUGGAGUUCCUGGUUUGGGGCUUCUAAUCCUUACGUAGUAACAAUCAAAAGUGCGGGCGACUGAACCUAAUUUAAUUAAUAUUAAGGCCACAAAUCCCAAGAAGUGCAUGUAUACAGCAAAUCAUAGCAUAAGCACCCCUUGGAAGGGGGGAGAAUAAGCUGAAUUUUAGCACCCCUUGGUUGUGCUAAAAUAGAUGGAGUUAUUGCUAUAAUUUAAUUAGCAUCGAAAAGUGAUUUAGUGCUAAAAUAGCACCAUGUCUCCAACGGUUGGUUUCAAUUCUUGUUUCAAAUUUAACUUCUUCAAAUACAUCCCACUUUUGAAUAUAAAUAUAACUAACUUUCAAAGACCCCACACUUUCAAGUACUUUUUUAUACAUCUUUUCAUCAUUUUAUACUUUAGCAAUUAUAGCUCCCUCUAUCUUUUGUUCUAAAUAUUGAACAAACUAUAGAAGAUAUAGAACACCAUCAUUGUCUACUAAAACUUUAAUUUAAAUGUUCCCUACUUUCUCUUGAAGUAUGCAUUAUGUAUAUAGUUGUGCCUUUGUAAACUAGACUGAUAUCGUAAAAGUAUCAUAUGCCAGCUCCUUUAUCAAGUUCCUGGGAAGUUAAAAAAUAUGUUUGGUUGUGGUGUAGGAAUUUGCAGUACCGGGGUGUGACAUAAGCAAGUUUCUACAUUAUGUGGAAAUUCCAAUUUCCCUAGGAGGUUCCACUUUCCAAAUAGCGAUCAACCAAAAAAUCUUACAAUUUGCUAGGAAGUUUAAAUUCCUGGAGAUUUACAUGUUAACCAAACUACCUCUUAUAAAUCUAGUUAUGGUUCAUUGGGAUGAUUGCAUUCUUACUGGGGAAUGUUGAAGUUCUCAUUUCGGAAAGAUGUUGAGUAUGCACACUCUUAAUUCAGUUCUGAUUAAACUAUGCACUGAUUUUUAUUUUAGAGUUAAUUACAGUUUGUAGCCCCUAGGAUUUCUCCAAACGCACUUAAGAUCCUGAACUAUCAAACGUGACAUAAUGCACCCUGAACUUUACAUUCCCGUGCAAGUUGUAACCCAUAGUCACUAUUCCGUCCAAAUAUGCCGUUAACUUUAACUGUUUGAGAGAUAAAAGUGUGUAUAUUAGUUUCUAACAGCUGCUUUACCCCUGUGACUCCUCAAAGUUUAUGUAUUAUAUUUUGAAAUUAUUUCUGAACACACACAACGAUGUAAAAAAUAUUAAAAUAAUUUUUAAAAUAUGUAUUUAUUUUAAAAUUUUAAAAUAAGUUACAUCGUUUAUGUAAAAAUAAUAAUAAAUUUUCAGAUUCUAAAUCUAGAUACAUAUUUUAAAACUUAUUUUAAAUUUUUUUACAUCGUUGUGUGUGUUCAGAAAUAAUUUCAAAAUAUAAUACAUAAUUUUUGAGGGGUCACAAGAGGUAAAGUAGCUGUUGGAAACUAAUAUACACACUGUUACCUCUCAAACAGUUAAAGUUAACGGCAUAUUUGGACGGAAUAGUGACUAUGGGUUACAACUUGCACAGGAAUAUAAAGUUCAGGGUGCAUUAUGUCACGUUUGAUAGUUCAGGAUCUUGAGUGCGUUUGGAGCAAUCCUAGGGGUUACAAACUGUAAUUAACUCUUUAUUUUAAUAUGUGAACCUUUAGUGAAUUAGUUUCCAGUAAGCUUUAUUAUCUUCUGAUGUCUAGCUGCAGAAGGAACAAUCCUACUCUAGUUUCUCCUCUAUGUGUUAAAUCAAGUUCUUUUAAAUCUUUCUGUCAAAAAAAAAAAAAAAGUUCUUUUAAAUCUUGCAAAGGAUGAAUCUGUCCUUAAGAAACAUCUGUAAAAGCAAUGCGUUCUGUUUUCAACAAACUACUGACUCUUUCUAUAUAAAAUUCAUUUGAAUGUGCAUGCUCAAUCUAGCUUUGUGGUGAGUUCUUCGUUCCCUAUUUGUUAACAGGAAUGCUUCACGACCAGUACAAGGAAGAGAACGGAAAAGGAUAUGCAGGAGAUCGGGUGACACAGUUUGGGGAGCAUGGGGCAUUCUUCCUACUGAACUUCUGGUGUCACUUCUGCUAAAAUUAAGUAUCGUGGACUACCUGUCAUUUAGCGGUGUUUGUAAAUCUUGGAGGUCUGCAUCUAUUGAUUUCCGCAAAUAUUGUAUGGAGCACCAGCAACCCCUAAUUGUUGUUCGGCCAAAGUAUUCAAAAAAGUCUUGUGUAUUGUACAAUAUGUUCGAUAUGAAAAGUUACAAAACAAUGCUGCCAGAUUUGCCUUGCAAGAAAUUAUUGGGUUUGUCAUGUGGGUACCUGAUUACAAUCGACAGAAACCUAGGCUUUUGGCUCGUAAAUUUAAUGACAAAACAUGAGCUGCGUUUUCCCUUCCUUCGUGGUAUGGGUGACAGAAAUUUCUUUGAAUUUUCUGCUCGCCUCUUUCGGUCCACUCGGCUUUCAGAAACUUUCAUGAUUCUUUUCUCUCUGAGAAAAAAUUAUAUUUUUUUAUCCAAAAGUGGCGGCAGCAGUUGGCAAAGAUAUGUUUUAUUCGACACAAAAGCCAGGAUUGCAGAUGUGAAGAUUUUUGAUGGCAAAAUCUUUGUUUUGACUUCAGAUGUACGUUUGGGAGAAUUUAAUCCGAAGGCAGGUUCUGUUCCGAAGUUCUCCAAAAUCAGCAUUCCUUUCCAGGUUUCAGCUAAUAUGUAUUUGAGGUUGGUAGCGUCAGACAAUAAGCUAUACAUGACUGUAUUGAAUAACCCUUAUCCUGCAUUGGACCAAUAUCUUUCAUUAUUCGAAAUUGACCAUGAGACAAUGGAUAGAGCAAAACAGAUUCAUGACUUGGGGGCAAAAUCUUUAUUUCUUAGUUGGUUCAGUUCUGCUGUCGUCGAUACAACUGGUUGGGGAGCAGGUAACUGUGUCUGUCUUCUUCAGUUCAGAUUUUUGAAUGCUUGUUCUUUCUUUAACCUGAAUGGAAAUCGGCUAGGAACAACUCCUGUUGUUUGGGAUGGUUAUUUAUUACCAUAUUUUUGGUAUUUUCCUAGUGAAAUUUGGUCAAUCAGUUGUGUCAGUGAUGAGUUUGGCGUGUGAUCACUUCUAAAUCUCAUGUCAGUUUUUUCUAUCAAGUCUGUAGUUUUUAUCUUCAUCUUACAUUAUGAAACUUUGUACUUGUCCCAUUAUGAAAACUUUUAUACAUUGAUGCUAUAAUGUUUGCCUUAGAGGCACCAGAACUCAAAUGCCAUUCUCUGUAUUUCUUAUUGGCACCAUGUUUGUUCCGUUGUUCGUGUAUAAUACAGAUUCUUAGGAAAAAGUUUCCCAAUUUGAAGCUGCAGUUUAAUAAGCAAACUUUAAUUUAUAGAUGAUUACAUUAUUUCUGAAUUAUUGUAGUGACAAAUAGAUAAGUUAAUUUUCAAGGAGCUACAGUUUCUUCCGUCUCUUUUUCCUGCCAGAUCUUUGCAUGUCCAACUCUUUUUCCAGCUGCUGUGUCAUCAAGUGCUGCUUACUUAAACAAACUCAGUUUCUGAAUGAAGGGGUCUGUCCUUCCAGACAAACUCCUCUUGUUCUAAUGAGUCUGGCAAAACUAUUCUUGUUCAACUAUACAACCAUAUCCAGACUUUCCACCGGAGAUUUUAUCUCUUGAUAAGUGCAUUCUAGAUUCAUAUGUAUAGUCUAUUGUACAGUCUAAUUAAUGUUUGUGUAAAUAACUGAUAAGUGAAUCUAUAAGCUAAAUUUGAACAUUUGAAAAUCUUAACUUUUUUUAGUAACUUAUUUUUAUUUUUGAAAUUUGAUUUUACAAAGAAAUAAAGGAUCAUUUUAAAAGAUAAUUUAUAAUAAUUUAUUAUUAUGUUAAUAAUAUUUAUACCCUGUAAAUAUUAAAAUAAUGAUGCAAACACAUAAAUUAAAAGUUAAUUUUCACUUGUAUAUAACAUUUUAUUUAUAAUCAAUAAGCACAUAGUUACGCCAAACAGCCUCAAUAUUCCUGUACCUUUAUCAGAUCAUCACUUGUGCAUUUUCCACAAUCCUACAAGAUGAUCGGAAUACAUUAAGUCCACCCACCAUCUAUUUUUUGCAGAUUUAUACUUUUUUCUCAUUCUCUACAAUAGUCUAAGCUCUAGUUUAUCUUCUAUAUCUUAUUUUAAAUGUGCAAGGAUCAUUGCUUCUCCACUUCUGUAAAGAUUACAUCCAUCUUAUGCUUUGUUUUCUGAUUCAAAUUUUAAAGAUCACUUUCAUGACUCAGUAGCAGCAAAGCUCGCAAAUCUUUUGAGUCAUCAUGAGCAUGUUCUGAGAAAUUUUCUCUGGAAGAAGUCCUAUUUGUUUGUUCCUGCCGAGUUGAACUCAUGGCAGAAGUUUGCGGUUAGUUUAAAUUUUUCAGACCUUUACAUGUUGGGAGUGCUUGCAGUGUUGUCCUCAUUCAGUAUUUUGGAUCUCUGUUUCUCAAAUUUGCCUCCUAUUUGUAUUAUGAUUACGCCUUUUUCUAGGAAUCGCUUCUAAAGGAGUAGCACAAUUACUCCUUUCCAUGAUUUUAAAAGAAAUCAUCCCAAUAUCCUAACACCAUAGAGGUUGGUCGCGAGUGCUACAUGUCUUGAGAAAUAACAAAAAAUAAGUUGUAUCGCUUGUAAAAUAUGACAUAGAGUCUAAGUACUUCAACCAAAUCUCAUUUCAACUCUAGAAUGCAAAUCGCUGGUAUGGUUGUAAACGCUAGAUCACACAGUUGGUGAUUCUUAUUUCGCGUAGAUCUGGUCCAAAAAAAAUCUAGGGAUUCUAGGGGAAGCAAAAAAUGCUGUGAAGUAAACAAUGCAUGAUUACAAGCAACACCUUACCUGGACAAAAUGCAUGUAAACCACAUCUAUGGUGCUUGCCUUCUCUACAUUUGUAUCUACCCCUUGGUUCUAUGGAAAUGAACUCAUUACCAAGAUUCACACAAUGUGACACAAGGAGGAACAUUGUUCACUUCCUGUCAGAGGCAACAUUGACCAAUGACCGCACAGUAUAUUCAUCUGGCCAAACUAAUGCUUCUUCGUUUUUCUAAUGGAUAGUUUGACUUUUUGACACACACUUCUGAAUCUUUUGACCGACUUUUAUCAUGUUUUUUUAAUAUUUUUAUCACCUAGCUCUUCAAAUAAUAUCCCAGUUCUCCUUAACAAUGGCAAAUCCCAUGCAUUCUCAUCGUACAGAUGAGUUCAAAAAAUUACUUGGCCUAUUGCAUAAUCAUCACUAUGUCGUAUACAGAUUCAUUGUUUCAACAACCACAAAAUUUAAAAUAUACAGAGAGGAACUAAGCACCACGACAGAGUACAUGCCUCUCAAGAGUUGAUCAGGCAAAAAGCUUCAACAUCCUCUAGUGCCUAAAAGUUGUCUUAUUUUUUAAUCAACAAUUGCAUACUGUUUUAGGAGAGGAGAAAUCUGAUCACUUGGCACUUUCAGCGCAUCAAGGGAUCGGAAAAAUGAUAAGACAAAGCUUAUUUGAUCUCCAUCAGUGUGAUUCAAGUUUGUUAGAGAAAGAAUGGACAGAAUGAAACUGUUAAAAUUGACUUGUUGCUCCAUGAGCUGCAUUUACAAGUAUAUAUACUAACAACACCAACAGAAUAUUCAUAUAACUAAUUUUAACUAAUUAUGUAUAGCAGGACGCUUCUACAAUAUCUAUUUACAAUAUAUGUACAUAGCUCAGUACCCCCUUCAAGCUGAGCAUCAAGGAGGAUCAAAUUGAAGACCGAGCUUGAUACUAAGAACUUCAUAGUGGAAAAAGCAGCUGGUGUACAAUCAGUCAAGUGAGCAUCUAUACUUCCUCUCAUUUAACUCAAUGGCAACUUCAGCUCUAAGAAGUAAGAACUUCAAUGCCAAGAAAAUACUUCAAAUCACCUGUAUCUUAUAUGGUAAAUUUUUGGUGCAAUAAGGAUUUGAAUAUUUGAUAGAUUAUUUAUUCGAAUAAUGAUAUUAAUUUUUAUUAUAUAAAAUUAUAAAAAUAAAUAAAUAAAAAAAAACAGCUCUUAUUAAGUUGUUUUAAGUUAUUAGUUGGUUUUGGGUGAAAGCCAAAAAUACCAGUUUUUUUAACUUUUCUUUUACAAAAAUAUGAACAUCCAAAUAGAUGGCCAAAGAUACCACUCUGAUAUGCAUCGUUAAAAUAGAUAUAGUCGGUGUCCAAAAAAUCCCCAAUUUAACCGAUUAAUCCCCUGCAAUGUGGAUGAUCGAUUCGAUUUUUGAAAUUUGAUUAAUCAUUAUAAUUUUUUUCUGAAUCGAAGUAUAUAUAAUAAUAUAUUAAAAUUAAAAUACUAUAUUGCUUUGAUUAUGAACAAUUGUAGAAUUUAUGAUGUAGUUAAUAUAUAUUGGUUAAUAAAUAACUAAUACAAUAUUAAAUAAUAUUUUAAUAUUAAAAUAUAUUUGAGUUUCACUUCGAUUAAUCAUUCUGAUUAAUCACUGAAUGAAUUCUGAUUAAUUUUAAAUUGGUAGCUCAACCGAUUACGUCUGAUUCUCGAUUUCUAUAACACUGGAUAUAACACAAAUGUUUUUUUUAUUUUUAAAAAAACUAUAUACAUUCUCAAAAUGAAUAACCGCGAACUCAUUCAGAAUACCUUCUUGAAAUUUUGUUUUUCAUCAUCCAAAAUAUUUUAUUAUAUGCAACACUCAUUCACUUACACAUAUCUUACAACUAUUUAUUCAACACACAACACCACCACAUAUAGAUCAGCUUUCUUUAUCCAUAUGAAAUCAUAGACAUCAAAUAUGGAUGAUCAUUCUCAAAAAUAUAAUAAAAUAUUAAUUUUAAUCAUUAAAUUAAAAGUUGAUAUUUUAAUAAAUAUAUGAAAAUCAUAGUAUUUUUGUCCAUUUUUUCUUUAGUUCCUCGCUUAUUUUCAAGUGAGAAAAUGACUAGUACUUUAAAAGCAGAGAAAACGAGGCUGCAGGUAGGGCUGUCAAAAAAAUCCGAAAGAUCCGAUAUCCGUCCGAAAAAUCCGUUACCGUAUCCGGGAAAAAACGGAUAUAAUCCGUAUCCGGAAUAAAACGGAUAUUAUCCGUAUUUGAAUCCGGGGUUUGCGGAUACGGAUAUGGAUAUAGGCGAAUCCGUAUCCGAAAUUAUUAUUAUAUGUAUAAUAAUAUUUAUAUAAAUUUAUUAUUUACUUAUAUUUUUUAUUUUAUCAUAUAAAUUUUGAAAAAGAAUUAAUAUUUAAAAUAAAAAAAAACAUUAAGUAUCUUGCAAAUGGAGAAAAUGGAACUAUCUUCAUCAAACUUUUUUUUUUUAAAAUUGUUGCAAAUAGUGUUGUUUUGUGAUUUUAAGUUGUUAAAAUUAAUAUUUUGUUCGAAAUAGUUGGCCUGAAUGCCCAAAUUUCUGUUGAAGUAUGUUAUUAAUUUCUGAUUGGGUAUACAUUUGCAGUUGAACGGUUCAAAAUAUGUUUUUUUUAAUUAAUCUCAGAAUGUAUAUUUGAUUUUUGGUGAUGUUUGAAAAAGCGGAUACGGAUAUUAUCCGUAUCCGGAUAUUAUCCGGCCGGAUACGGAUACGGAUCUUUUUAUUUUAAAAUUUGCGUAUCCGUAUCCGGAUCUAAUUUUGAGUAAGCGGAUACGGAUACGGGCAAAUCCGUAUCCGUUUUAUCCGUUUCACACCCCUAGCAACAGGUAAACAGGUUUAAAGGCUUCAAAUAUCAUAAAUUAAAGUUAAAAUGUGCUGAAUAUCGAUAUAACAUGGUGAAAUUUGGGGUCAUAAUUUCCAAUACAAGGCGUUAUUUCGAAAUUGCGAUAACCAGGGAGCACCCGCUUAACAGAGCCCCUUCCCUUGUUCAGUAUUACCUCUCUUCUGAAGAGACCAUUUGUGUGGAAUCUUUUAAUCAACGGAUUGGGAUGUUUUUGCGCUGCAAAUUUCAGAUGGUUAAAGGGCUUGUGUUUUUGGUAUAAACCCAUCAAUCUUUCAUGUUUCUGCUCAUCAUUUUUAGUCAAGUUUGUUAUUUAUAUACAUUGUGUGUGUGUUUUAUUUACAAUUAUAUCUUAUCUAAUUGGAACUUACAAAUAUUGUAGACAAAUUUAAUAUCCUGCACCCAAAUUUCCUGAGAAUCUAAUUUUGAUGAAGGUGUAAGCUGAGGUGUAUGAUAUGAUUGCCACAAAAAAAAGGUUAUAAUCAAGGUCUGGUUUGGUGAUUGUUAACAGGCUUAUGUACGGUGGUUGUUCAUGGUAAAUUAUUCAGUCGUAUCUUUCGGACCAAUCAAUGGACAGAAUACAUUCACUUGUAAUAUUCGAGAGUUUGGUCUCUAGUAGCAAAUGUUAUGCAAGGAGGUGAUAAUCUAGAGCAGAGAAAGGGGGCAUGGUCUAGAAGGAAACAGGUGUGAGCAUUUCUUGUAAUUAGUUUAUAGUAGUGGUUUUUAUUUUAUAAAUCCAGUGUGCUAUUUCACGCUAAAUCUGAAUCAUGUUUUAUUGUCAUGUUGGGAGUAUUCUUGUGUAUUGGUUACUUCCUGGUUUUCAACUUCUUUGAUGAUGAUAUCAAAAAAUAGGUCAUCAAUACAGAAGAUCAGUAUAGAAAGACAAGGUUUUAAGGAACAAUAAUACGAAAAUUUAAAACUUUGGCUGCAAAAUCAAAUAAAGCAUGCUUUGGCCAUGGAUGGACAUAUUUGCUCUGUACCAUCAGUAGUUUUGAUCACCUAGCGCCGGCAGACCCAUUAAUGUUGAAUAUUUGGCGAGCCCUGCGGCACAUUAAGGCACUUUUAAUUUGUAAAUGUGACCGGUUCCAAACGAAUGUUUAAACAUAAUGAAUGUUGCUUUAGAAAGAUAAGCAUUGUACUUGGAUAAUGCUUAGGUGCUAUUUAAAUCAUUCAAGAGAAGGCCCAGGCUUCUUAGCAUCUCCAAUGGGGGGUGCCAACUAAAAUUGCUUAAAAUGACAAAUCAUCAAAAAUAUUACUAUUUUAAUAUCUCUCUCUUUCGGCAACUUUUACAUAAAAAUUUGCUCCAAUGUUUGGCACCCAAAGUUGCCACAUAUUUGUAUAAGUAUAAAUAUAACAAGAUAGGAAACUAAACGACUUUAGGGUGAGUUAUGCACUUAUUUCUAUUUUAGGAGGGUGCCAAAAGUUUGCAAAUUUGCUUGGCACUCCUUCCACUCCAAUGGAGAGCCAACAAGAGUGCCAUGCCACAUCAUGACAUAUGACACUUUAGCACUCUUUUUGGCACCCCCAUUGGAGUUGCUUUUAUAAUUUCGUUUUAUCAAUCCCUUCCUACUGGUCCUGGGAUUAGACUAAAUUACGCUAACAUGUAGUGGUGAUGUCCAACAAAACAAAAAGUAAUAUCACUCUAGUAAACAAAUUCUACAAUCCUCUAAAAGGAUAGUUUACUUGUAGAUUCGAUAGUCAGAUAGUACAGGACAAAAUAUAAACAAAAAUGGCAAUGGAACGCGUCAACUCACCUGAGAUUACCCUAGUUCGUGGGAAGUCGCACUCCUGUAGUGCUCUCAAAAUUUCUUAAAUAAAUAAGAGAGACCUGGGUUGACAUAGAAUAAGAUAUAUGGUAAGAUGGACGGUCAGGAUAAGGUGAUGGGUUGGUGAGAUUUGCAUCAUAUGACGACCCAUGUUAGUAUGGAUGUACCCCACUAUGGAUCAUUUGAGGUGGGCCGGAUCGAGGUCACUACCCCAAGGCCUGUAACUUGACCAAUGACCGGAUAAUGCUGAUGGACUAAUAUAUUUUCGAAAAAAAACUAUGAUCCAUAUAUUAACUUAAUCCCAGAUUCACAUACAUGAACUCAUUCGAUAAAUAUAAAAGUGAAUCUGCGAUUAAGUAAAUAUAUGGAUCAUGGUAUUUUUUUAACAUAUAUUAGUCCCUCAUCGUUAUCCGGUCAUUGGUCAUGUAACAGGCCUUGGGGGUAGUGAUCUCGUCCGACUCAUCUCAAAGGAUCCGUAGUGGUGUACAUCCAUACUAACAUGGGUCGCCAUAUGAUGCAAUCUCACCAACCCAUCGCCUUAUCCUGACCGUCCAUCUUACCAUAUAUCUUAUUCUAUGUCAACCCAAGUCUCCCUUUUUUAUUAAAGAAAUUUUGAGAGCACUACUGGAGGGCGAUUUGCGGCGGACUAGGGUAAUCUCAGGUUAGUUGGCGAGUUCCAUUGCCGUUCUUGUUCAGUUUGUGCCCGUAUUAUUUUUUCUAUAAGUAAAUCUUCCCUUUAGAGGAUGUAGAUUUUGUUUACUAGGGUAAUGUUAAUUUUUGAUUUGCCGGACUUCACAAGUAGAUGUUAGCUUAAUUUAGUCUAAUCCGAGGAACGGUAUGAUGGAAUUGAUAAAGCGAAACUGCAGAGGCCUGAGCCUUCUCUUGAAUGAUUUAAUAAAUAAAAAUCCAAUACUUCAAUUUUAUUCAUGUAAUGUAAUAAGUAUAUUGAAUAAGUUUCUAAACCAGCCAGAUAGUGUGGUAAUAUUAAUUUUCUGAUCAGUUUUACUUGAUUGUUUCCUUUAAUUUACUGUUAAAAUCCAAUACAUAUAUAUAUUAUCUUGUUUUUAUGAUAUCUAGCUUAAUUUGAAACUAAACCUUGACUUGAUGAGAUCAAUUAAGGAAAUAGCGGUGUAUGAUCCGAGACUUGUAUAUAUUAAGGCAAUCAUAAUAUGGAUUCUCACAUAUAUACUGAAUGUUCGGGAACAAAUUAGUGUGACAUGCUUAUAGAUAGAAUAUGCUGUGUAGGAUAAAAAUCAAUUUGGCUAACUCCUCUUCUUCUUCUCUGUGUCUCCCUCUGUUAGACUGUUACAUUGCUGGCAUGUAAACCCGAAUUUAUUUCAUGGUAGUGUGAAAUAGAACAUAAUCCUUAAUACAGUAGUCAUACUUAACAUGCCAUUGCGUCACAUGUCUAUUAAGAAUAAUAAUGUCUGUGGAUGCAGUUGUUUUUACGAAUGAAACAUGCCAAGCUUUCAAAUAUGCAAUUUAAAUAAUUAUUUUGGGCUUACUUAUGGCUGCCCAAGUCAAGCUAAUAUUCUUCCAACUAGAAUAACCGAUUAUAUGCUUCGUGACCUGUUAUUUUUUUAAAAAGUCCGUUAGUCCAAACACUUCGCAGUGUUGAUUGUUGCUUUAGUUAUAUUAGUCACUGUGAUACUCUGUAGACAGUCACAAACAUAACACCUGAGGAACUAGACAGCAUUUGAAGCAUGAUCCACCUCUUUGUUGUGAAUAUACAUAUAUAUAUAUGUGUAUAUAUAUAUGUGUGUGUGUAAAGAAGCAAUAAAACACCAUUUAAGUUGUAAAGCGAUUUUGGUUGGUAACAUAACUUAGACAUUCAUCAGUAUAUUGUAAAGCGAUUUUGGUUGGUAACAUAACUUAGACAUUCAUCAGUAUAUGCCCUACUUAAUUUGUUUAUUACAGCAACCUGAAAGAGGUCUAAGUACUUUGAAGUACCACUUUUUUGACAUUUUGGAUUUCUGUGUGACUUAAUUAUUGGAUAUCGUAUGCUUAAAAUUUAUGUUUAUGAUGCUAACGAAAAAGAAAAUGAAGACUGAAAAAAAAAACUGGUUUCAUGCUGUCAAAAGAUGCGGAAAAUAAAAUCUUUUCUGUGGAUAUCCCUUUUUUCUUUUUGUACUUAUCCAUUUAAGUUGAGUUCCUUCUACAAACUUUUAAAGAGUAAUAGUAAAAGUCUGAAAGAAGCACAAGGAAAACCAAUAUAUUUCCAAUCUGACCAUUAUGUAUUCUGUGGUUAUUUAGGAAGAACAAGAGCUUAAGAGAAUCAGCCCAUUUUUUCAACGAAGUCAGAAUGGAAGUGGUUGAAAGGCCUUCCCUGGGUGGAAUGGAAAAGGCAUUUUGUAAUAAUGUUCUGAGGCGGAUUGUUGAUUUUUUAGCAGGGCGGUUGAUAAUUGACUAUUUCGGGUAACUAUGUUCUGAAUUUGCUUUAUGUAAAUAUUAUAAAUUUUGUCUUGAAGUUUUGGAGUUCCUGGUUUGGGGCAUCUAAUCCUUGCGUAGUAAAAAUCAAAAGUGUGGCUAAAUCUCAAGUCCCAAGAAGUGCAUGUAUACAGCCAAUUAAAGAAUAAGCACCCCUUGGAAGGGGGGAGAAUAAAGUCUUGGCUAAAUCUCAAGUGAAUAAAGUCAACUGGUUGUGCUAACAUAGAUGGAGUUAUUGCUAUAAUUUAGCAUCAAAAAGUGAUUUUUUGUGCUAAAAUAGCACCAUGUCUCCAAUGGUUGGUUUCAAAUCUUGUUUCACAUUUAAACAACUUCCAAAUACAUCCCACUUUUGAAUAUAAAUAUGACUAACUUUCAAAGACCCCGCACUUUCAAAGUACUUUCUUAUACAUUUUUUCAUCAUUUUAUACUUUAGCAAUUAUAGCUCCAUCUAUCUUUUGUUCUAAAUCUUGAACAAACUAUAGCAUUGUUCUAUUUUGAACAAGAUAUAGCACACCAUUAAUUGGACUUUCUCUAAGAGAUUCUACUGAAAACAUGGAAUAUACCUCACUCACUUUUUAUACAAAAAGUUGUCUACUAGAUAUAGCACACCAUUGGACUUUCUCUUGAAGUAUGCAUUACGUAUAUAGUUGUGGCCUCCUAAACUAGACUACUAUCGUAAAAGUAUCAUAUGCCAGUUGGAGCUUGAUUCUAAAUUUUCCGACUGGCCUCCCAGUUUCUUUAUCAAGUUCCUGGGAAGUUAACAAAUAUGUUUGGUUGUGGUGUAAGUAAGUUCCUAGGAAGUUCCANNNNNNNNNNNNNNNNNNNNNNNNNNNNNNNNNNNNNNNNNNNNNNNNNNNNNNNNNNNNNNNNNNNNNNNNNNNNNNNNNNNNNNNNNNNNNNNNNNNNNNNNNNNNNNNNNNNNNNNNNNNNNNNNNNNNNNNNNNNNNNNNNNNNNNNNNNNNNNNNNNNNNNNNNNNNNNNNNNNNNNNNNNNNNNNNNNNNNNNNNNNNNNNNNNNNNNNNNNNNNNNNNNNNNNNNNNNNNNNNNNNNNNNNNNNNNNNNNNNNNNNNNNNNNNNNNNNNNNNNNNNNNNNNNNNNNNNNNNNNNNNNNNNNNNNNNNNNNNNNNNNNNNNNNNNNNNNNNNNNNNNNNNNNNNNNNNNNNNNNNNNNNNNNNNNNNNNNNNNNNNNNNNNNNNNNNNNNNNNNNNNNNNNNNNNNNNNNNNNNNNNNNNNNNNNNNNNNNNNNNNNNNNNNNNNNNNNNNNNNNNNNNNNNNNNNNNNNNNNNNNNNNNNNNNNNNNNNNNNNNNNNNNNNNNNNNNNNNNNNNNNNNNNNNNNNNNNNNNNNNNNNNNNNNNNNNNNNNNNNNNNNNNNNNNNNNNNNNNNNNNNNNNNNNNNNNNNNNNNNNNNNNNNNNNNNNNNNNNNNNNNNNNNNNNNNNNNNNNNNNNNNNNNNNNNNNNNNNNNNNNNNNNNNNNNNNNNNNNNNNNNNNNNNNNNNNNNNNNNNNNNNNNNNNNNNNNNNNNNNNNNNNNNNNNNNNNNNNNNNNNNNNNNNNNNNNNNNNNNNNNNNNNNNNNNNNNNNNNNNNNNNNNNNNNNNNNNNNNNNNNNNNNNNNNNNNNNNNNNNNNNNNNNNNNNNNNNNNNNNNNNNNNNNNNNNNNNNNNNNNNNNNNNNNNNNNNNNNNNNNNNNNNNNNNNNNNNNNNNNNNNNNNNNNNNNNNNNNNNNNNNNNNNNNNNNNNNNNNNNNNNNNNNNNNNNNNNNNNNNNNNNNNNNNNNNNNNNNNNNNNNNNNNNNNNNNNNNNNNNNNNNNNNNNNNNNNNNNNNNNNNNNNNNNNNNNNNNNNNNNNNNNNNNNNNNNNNNNNNNNNNNNNNNNNNNNNNNNNNNNNNNNNNNNNNNNNNNNNNNNNNNNNNNNNNNNNNNNNNNNNNNNNNNNNNNNNNNNNNNNNNNNNNNNNNNNNNNNNNNNNNNNNNNNNNNNNNNNNNNNNNNNNNNNNNNNNNNNNNNNNNNNNNNNNNNNNNNNNNNNNNNNNNNNNNNNNNNNNNNNNNNNNNNNNNNNNNNNNNNNNNNNNNNNNNNNNNNNNNNNNNNNNNNNNNNNNNNNNNNNNNNNNNNNNNNNNNNNNNNNNNNNNNNNNNNNNNNNNNNNNNNNNNNNNNNNNNNNNNNNNNNNNNNNNNNNNNNNNNNNNNNNNNNNNNNNNNNNNNNNNNNNNNNNNNNNNNNNNNNNNNNNNNNNNNNNNNNNNNNNNNNNNNNNNNNNNNNNNNNNNNNNNNNNNNNNNNNNNNNNNNNNNNNNNNNNNNNNNNNNNNNNNNNNNNNNNNNNNNNNNNNNNNNNNNNNNNNNNNNNNNNNNNNNNNNNNNNNNNNNNNNNNNNNNNNNNNNNNNNNNNNNNNNNNNNNNNNNNNNNNNNNNNNNNNNNNNNNNNNNNNNNNNNNNNNNNNNNNNNNNNNNNNNNNNNNNNNNNNNNNNNNNNNNNNNNNNNNNNNNNNNNNNNNNNNNNNNNNNNNNNNNNNNNNNNNNNNNNNNNNNNNNNNNNNNNNNNNNNNNNNNNNNNNNNNNNNNNNNNNNNNNNNNNNNNNNNNNNNNNNNNNNNNNNNNNNNNNNNNNNNNNNNNNNNNNNNNNNNNNNNNNNNNNNNNNNNNNNNNNNNNNNNNNNNNNNNNNNNNNNNNNNNNNNNNNNNNNNNNNNNNNNNNNNNNNNNNNNNNNNNNNNNNNNNNNNNNNNNNNNNNNNNNNNNNNNNNNNNNNNNNNNNNNNNNNNNNNNNNNNNNNNNNNNNNNNNNNNNNNNNNNNNNNNNNNNNNNNNNNNNNNNNNNNNNNNNNNNNNNNNNNNNNNNNNNNNNNNNNNNNNNNNNNNNNNNNNNNNNNNNNNNNNNNNNNNNNNNNNNNNNNNNNNNNNNNNNNNNNNNNNNNNNNNNNNNNNNNNNNNNNNNNNNNNNNNNNNNNNNNNNNNNNNNNNNNNNNNNNNNNNNNNNNNNNNNNNNNNNNNNNNNNNNNNNNNNNNNNNNNNNNNNNNNNNNNNNNNNNNNNNNNNNNNNNNNNNNNNNNNNNNNNNNNNNNNNNNNNNNNNNNNNNNNNNNNNNNNNNNNNNNNNNNNNNNNNNNNNNNNNNNNNNNNNNNNNNNNNNNNNNNNNNNNNNNNNNNNNNNNNNNNNNNNNNNNNNNNNNNNNNNNNNNNNNNNNNNNNNNNNNNNNNNNNNNNNNNNNNNNNNNNNNNNNNNNNNNNNNNNNNNNNNNNNNNNNNNNNNNNNNNNNNNNNNNNNNNNNNNNNNNNNNNNNNNNNNNNNNNNNNNNNNNNNNNNNNNNNNNNNNNNNNNNNNNNNNNNNNNNNNNNNNNNNNNNNNNNNNNNNUAAGCACCCCUUGGAAGGGGGGAGAAUAAAGUCUUGGCUAAAUCUCAAGUGAAUAAAGUCAACUGGUUGUGCUAACAUAGAUGGAGUUAUUGCUAUAAUUUAGCAUCAAAAAGUGAUUUUUUGUGCUAAAAUAGCACCAUGUCUCCAAUGGUUGGUUUCAAAUCUUGUUUCACAUUUAAACAACUUCCAAAUACAUCCCACUUUUGAAUAUAAAUAUGACUAACUUUCAAAGACCCCGCACUUUCAAAGUACUUUCUUAUACAUUUUUUCAUCAUUUUAUACUUUAGCAAUUAUAGCUCCAUCUAUCUUUUGUUCUAAAUCUUGAACAAACUAUAGCAUUGUUCUAUUUUAGAACAAGAUAUAGCACACCAUUGGACUUUCCCUAAGAGAUUCUACUGAAAACAUGGAAUAUACCUCACUCACUUUUUAUACAAAAAGUUGUCUACUAGAUAUAGCACACCAUUGGACUUUCUCUUGAAGUAUGCAUUACGUAUAUAGUUGUGGCCUCCUAAACUAGACUACUAUCGUAAAAGUAUCAUAUGCCAGUUGGAGCUUGAUUCUAAAUUUUCCGACUGGCCUCCCAGUUUCUUUAUCAAGUUCCUGGGAAGUUAACAAAUAUGUUUGGUUGUGGUGUAGGAAAUUUCAGUGCCGGGGUGUCAUAUAAGCAAGUUUCUACAUUAUGUGGGAAUUCCAAUUUCCUAGGAAGUUCCACUUUCCAUAUAGCGGUCAACCAAAAAAUCUUACAAUUUGCUAGGAAGUUUAAAUUUCUGGAGAUUUACAUGUUAACCAAACCACCCCUUAUAAAUCUUGUUAUGGGUCAUUAGGAAGAUUACAUUCUUACUGGGGAACGUUGAAGUUCUCAUUUCGGAAAGAUGUUGAGUAUGCACACUCUUAAUCCAGUUCUGAUUAAUAUUUUAGAUUUUGGUGGCCUUAACAUAAACUCUGCAAUGAUUUUCAUUUUAAUAUGUGAACCUUCAGUGAAUUAGAUUGCAGUAAGAUUUAUUAUCUUCUAAUGUCUAGCUGCAGAACUUUUUACUGUACUGGCAAAAGGAACAUUCCUACUCUAGUUUCUCCUCUGUGUUAAAUUAAGUUCUUUUAAAUAUCGCAAAGGAUGAAUCUGUCCUUAAGAAACAUCUGUAAAAGUAAUGCCUUCCGUUUUCAACAAACUACCAAGUCUUUCUAAAUAAAAUUCAUAUGAAUGGGCAUGCUCAAUCUAGCUUUGUAGUGAGUUCUUCGUUUCCCUAUUUGGCUAUUUGUUAAAAGGAAAGCUCCACGAAAAGUAAAAGAAGGAAGAAAACGGAAAAGGACUUGCAGGAGAUCGGGUGACACAGUUUGGGGAGUUUGGGGUGUCAAUUUUGGUGAAGUUAAGUAUCGUGGACUACCUGUCAUUUAGCGGUGUUUGUAAAUCUUGGAGGUCUGCAUCUAUUGCUUUCCGCAAAUACUGUAUGGAGCGCCAGCAACCCCUAGUUGUUGUUCGACCAAAGUAUUCGAAAAAGUCUUGUCUAUUGUACAAUAUGUUCGAUUUAAAAAUUUACAGAGCAAUGCUGCCAGAUUUGCCUUGCAAGAAAUUAUUGGGUUUGUCAUGUGGGUACCUGAUUACAACCGACGGAAACUUAGGCUUUUGGCUCGUAAAUUUAAUAACAAAACAUGAGCUGCGUUUUCCUGUCCUUCCUGGACAUAUGGGUCGCAUAACCUGCUUUGAAUUUUCUGCCCUCCUAUUUCAGUCCACUCGGCUUUCAGAAACUUUCAUGGUUCUUUUCUCUCGGACAGAAAAUUAUAUAUUGUUGUCCAAAAGUGGCGGCAGCAGUUGGCAAAGAUAUGUUUUAUCCAACACAGAAACCAGGAUUGCAGAUGUGAAGAUUUUUGAUGGCAAAAUCUUUAUUUUGACUUCAGAUUUACGUUUUGGAGAAUUUAAUCCGAAGGCAGGUUCUGUUCCAAAAUUCUCCAAAAUCAACAUCCCUUACCAGGUUUUAUCUGAUAUGGAUUUGAAGUUGGUGGCAUCAGACAAUAAGCUAUACAUGACUGUAUUCAAUUGUUGUCCUUAUCCUACAUUGGACGGACAUCUGUCAUUAUUCGAAAUUGACCAUGAGACAAUGGAUAGGGCAAAACAGAUUCAUGACUUGGGUGCAAAAUCUUUAUUUCUUAGUUGGUUCAGUUCUGCUGUCGUCGAUACAACUGGUUGGGGAGUAGGUAAUUGUGUCUGUGUUCUUCACUUAGGAGUUUUCAACACAUGUUCUUUCUUUAACCUGAAUGGAAAUCAGCUAGGAACAACUCCGGUUGUUUGGGAUGGUCAUUUAACACCUUGUUUUUGGUAUUUUCCUAGUGAGAUUUGGUCCAUCAGUCGUGUCAGUGAUGAGUUUGGCGCAUGAUCACUUCUAAAUCUCAUAUCAGUUUUCCUCAUUAAGUCUGUAGUAAUUUUCUUCAUCUUACAUUAUGGAACUUUGUACUAGUUCCAUUAUGAAAACUUUUAAACAUUGAUGCUGUGAUGUUUGCCUUAGAGGCACCAGAACUCAAAUGUCAUUUUCUGUAUUUCUUAUUGGCACCUUGUUUCUUCGUGUAUAAGACAGAUUCUUAGGAGAAAAAUUCCCAAUUUGAAGCUGCCGUUUCUGCAGUUUAAUGUAGCUAUUUAUUUUUGUUAAGCAGAUUUUAAUUUAUAGAUGAUUACUUUGUUUCUGAAUUAUUUUAGUGACAAAUAAAUAAGUUAAUUUUUAAGGAGUAGCACUUUCUUGUUUGAAAAAAAUUUCUAUAAUUUCUGAAUGAAGGGCCUCUAAGUCUACCCUCCCAAACAAACUCCUCUUGCUCAAAUGAGUUCCUUCUGGUCAAACUAAUAUUGUUCAAGCUCAAUGAAAGUUAGUAUGUGUGAAAUUUGAAUGAACUCAGAAUCAACAUACCCUCGAAUAAAAUGAUAGUCAAUCUUCAAAUGUUUAGUUCUUUCUUGGAAGAUUUGCUUCUUUGCAAUUUGGUGAGCUGAAGUGUUAUCACAAUAAAGAUCCCUUAAAAAACCUUAAGACAAAGCAACUCAGAAGUUGUAUAGCUCAUACUUAUAUACUCGGCUUCUGCACUACUUUUAGAUUCUUUUUUUUGCUUCUUAAUUUUCCAAGAGAUUAAGGAAGAACCCUGGAAAAUAGCAUACCCAGACAAGGAUUUUGCAGAAAAUGAACAAGUUCCCUAGUCUACAUCUGAAUAUGCAAUUAAUUGCAGAGGAGUAUUAGCUUUGUAAAACAGACCAACAUUCAAUGAAAAUUUCAAGUUAUUUUAAGACAUGAAGAGCAGCAUCAUAAUGUGGCUGAGCUGGUUCUUGGUGAAACUAAUUAAGAAACCUGUUGAACAACAUAUGAAAUAUCAAGCCUACUUGAGUUCAAAUAAAGCAAUUUCCCGAUAAAUCUUCUAUACACUUCCGGGGCAGGCAAUUUUGAAACAUCCUUUGUACUUAGAUGCAAGCCUUUUAAUAAUGGAAAAGCAGCUGGUGUACAAUGAGCGAAGUAAGUAUUAACUAAUAAAUUCAAUACAUACUUUCUCUGAUCUAACUGAAUUCCGGACUCAGUUCUAAGAACCUCAAUGCUAAGGAAAUACUUCAAAUCGGCCCGAUUUCUAAUGGUAAAUUUUUGACACAAUAAGGAUCUGAUAGAUUAUUUAGUUAGUCUCGUGAAAAUCAAAAAUAUAAAAUUUUAAUUUUUUUUACAAAAAAAUAUUUAUUCAAGUAGGUGGUAAAAAUUCUACUCUGAUACGCAUUAUUAAAAUAAGUAUCCCUGUAUAUUCAUUCUCAAAAUGGGUGUCACCUAUAAAUUAACUUUUUAAUUAUUAGAAUGACCGAUACGCAUUCUCAGAAUAAGUUACCACAAUACACACUCUCAAAAUAAUAACCUUCUUAAAAUUUUGUUUUUCAUUAUUCAAAAUAUUUUAUCUUAUACAAAACCACACAACUAACCCCACACACACACAUAUAUAUUACCGUUUAUUUAACACACAACACCACCACCUAUAUUAUCAAUUAUCUCUAAAAAAAUUAUAAACAUCAAAUAUUGAUAAAUCGGUCACUCAUUCUCAAAAGGAUAAUAGAAUAAUAAUCUUGAUCAUUACUUUUAAAAGUGAUAUAUAAAAAUCUGAGGAUUUUGGUAAUUUAUCUCUGGCUCCUCACUUAGUUUUAAGGUAGAAAAUGACUAAUUUCAGCGUGUUAGUUGUAAGGCCGAAAAUGACUACUUUGAAUGUGUUGACCCUCCUGUUUAUCAUAAUUUUAAGCAAUAAUACCUCAAAUACCAGGUUUAGAAAAUAUGGAUCCAAAAUCACUUUAUAACAUUACACGUCUAAUAUUUAUAAAAAAAAAUUAAACAUUGCACGAUAUAGAGUUUAACUUUUUUUUACCCGAGGCUCACAAGAAAAAUAACUAAAACCAUAAAACCAAACUUAUCACAACGUUUAGUGUUAAAAGCACAAACCCAACGUUUAGUGUUAAAAGCACAAAUCCAUAUACAUCAUGAUGUGUCUUAUCCUGGGUUGGGGUGUAGGUCCUGACAGUCACGUUAACUAAUAAUAUGGCCAUAAAAAUCACAUUGCGUUAUAAUGGGUCUGACUGUCACAGCAAAACGCAAUUUAAUAUUGCGUCUAAAACGUGAGUUAAUCUCACGUUUUUUACUUCUAAAAGAAGCUGGUAUUGUCCUUUUCUCGUUAAAAUAUUUUUAAGUCUAAAUUAAUCAUUCUAAAACCCAAUUUGUGAACCCUAAAAUAUUAACAAUCAUUAAUUUACGUUUCAAUUAUUACUUUAUUAGACUGGCUCCUCGGCUUUAGGGCCUCACGGCCCUAAAGCCUCGAACUAAUUAGGGCUUAGGCUCGAGGGUUUAGGCCCUAAGCCCUCAAUCCUAAACCCUAACCAUUAGUUAAUUUAAUUUCAAGUAUAAAUUAAUCAUUCUAAAACCUAAAUAGGAAUAUGAACCCUAAAAAAUGAUUGUUAAAAUACACGGCAGAAUGCCACAAAAUCCAUCAUUUUAUCAAAUGCAAAAAAAUCCAGCAGCAUUUAAAUACCAUCAAAUUUUAAUAGAUUUUAAACAAUCCCAAUUGAAUACCAUCGGAUUUUAAAGCAUAAUUUAAAAUCUUAAUUGAAUACCACCAGAUUUUAUAGCAUAAUUUGAAAUCUCAAUUAAACACUUCAAGAUUCUAAUGGAUUUCAAAUAAUCUCAAUCGAACACCCCGAAUUUCAUGAAUGAAAAAAUAUUUUAAAAUACCAAUCUAAUACAACCGAUAAAUUACGUUAUUGGGGCCUUUUCUUCUAGGUUGGUAUUCAGAUAUUGAGGAUAUUUUAACAAUUUAUGGAAUCCGGCGCCUCCUGCUUUUAAGUAUCCGCAACCAGGCUGCAUCCCUACAGAGCCCCUUCCCUUGUUCAGUAUUACCUCUCUUCUUAAGUUUGUUAACACGAGAGACCUUUGUGUGGAAUCUUUUAAUCAAUUGAUUGGGUUGUUUUUGCGCUGCAAAUUUCAGAUGGUUAAAGGGCUUGUGUUUUUGGUAUAAACCCAUCAAUCUUUCAGGUUUCUGCUCAUCAUUUUUAGUCAAGUUUGUUAUUUAUAUACAUUGUGUGUGCGUUUUAUUUACACUUCCAUCUCAUCUAAUUGGAACUUACAGAUAUUGUAGACAAAUUUAAUAUCUUGCACCCAAAUUUUAUGAGAAUCUAACUUCGAUGAAGGUGUAAGCUGAGGUGUAUGAUAUGAUUGCCACAAAAAAAGGUUUUAAUCAAGGUCUGGUUUGGUUUUUGAUAACAGGCUUAUGUAGGGUGGUUGUUCAUGGUAAAUCAUUCAGUCGUAUCUUUCGGACCAAUCAAUGGACGGAAUACAUUCACUUGUUAUGCAAGGAGGCGAUAGUCUAGAACAGAGAAUGGGGGCAUGGUCUAGAAGGAAACAGGUGUGAGCGUUUUUUUUGUAAUUAGUUUAUAGCACUGGUUUUAUCUGUUAAAUCCAGUGUGCUGUUUCACGAUACUCAAUUUUGUUGCCAUGUUGGGAGUUUUCUUGUGUAUUGGUUACUUUCUGGUGUUCAAAAUUCUUUGAUAAAGAUAACAAAUAGGUCAUCAAUACGGAAGAUCAAUAUAGAAAAGACAAGGUUUUAUGGAACAUAUCAGCUUUGUUCCAUCAGUACUGAUCACCUAGCGCUAGCAGACCCAAUGUUGAACAUUUGGCGAGCCCUGUGGCACAUUAAGGUGCUUUCAACUUGUAAAUGAGACUGGUUCCACACGAAUGUUUAAACAUAAUGAAUGUGGCUUUGGAAAGAUAAGCUAUACUUGGAUGUUGCUUAAGUGCUAUUUAAAUCAUUCAAGAGAAGGCCCAAACUUUUUACAAAUUCGCUUUAUCAAUUCCUUCCUGUUUGUCCUGGGAUUUGACUAAAUUAAACUAACAUCUUCUUGUGAUUACCGGCAAAACAAAAAUUAAUAUCACUCUAGUAAACAAAUUUACAAUCCUCUGAAGGGAAGAUUUACUUGUUGAUCAGAUAGUACGGGCAAAAAAUGAACAGAAACAGCAAUGGAAUUCACCAACUUACUUGAAAUUACCCUAGUUCGCAGCAAAUUGCCCUCAUUUAGUACUCUCAAAAUUUCUUAAAGAAAAAAGAGACCUGGGCUGACAUAGUAUAAGAUAUACGGUGAGGUGGACGGUCAGGAUAAGGUGAUGGGUUUGUGAUAUUGCACCAUAUGAUGACACAUGUUAGUAUAGACGUACCCCAGUACAUACCCCACUAUAGAUCUUUUGAGGCGGGUAGGAUCGAGAUUACUAUCCCAAGGCCUAUUACUUGACAAAUGACCGGAUAACGCUGAUGGACUAAUAUAUAUUUUCAAAAAAUUUUUUAUUCCAUAUAUUAACUUAAUCUCGGAUUCACUUUUACAUUUAUUGAAUGAGUUCAUGUGUGUGAGCAAUCUGUGAAUUUGUGAUUAAGUUAAUAUAUGGAUCAUAGUAUUUUGAAAAAAAUAUUAGUCCAUCACCGUUGUCCGGUCAUUGGUCAUGUAAUUAAGCCUUGGGGGUAGUGAUCUCGUCCGGCCCAACUCAAUUGAUAUGUACAGGGGUAUAUUUAUACUAACAUGUGUCACCAUAUAGUGAAAUCUCACCAACCCAUUACCACAUCCUUACUGUCCAUCUCUCCAUAUAUAAAUCCUAUGUCAACCCAGGUCUCUUUUUUAUUUAAGAAAUUUUGAGAGCACUACUGAAGGGCGAUUUGCGGCGGACUAGGCUUUUUUCACGUGAGUUGGCGAGUUCCAUUUCCGUUUCUGAUCAGUUUUUGUCUGUACUAUUUGAUCAACAAGUAAAUAAUUCCUUUAGAGGAUUGUAAAUUUUGUUUACUAAAGUGAUGUUAAUUUUUGUUUUGCGGGACAUCACAACUAGAUUUUAGCUUAAUUUUGUCUGAUCCCAGGACCGGUUGGAAGGAAUUGAUAAAGCGAAACUGUAGAAGCCUGGGCCUUCUCUUUGAACGAUUUAAUAAAUAAAAAUCCAAUACUUCAGUUUUAUUUAUGUAAUGUAAUAAGUAUAUUGAUUAAGUUUCAGAUAGUGUGGUAAUGUUAAUUUUCCGAUCAGUUUUACUAGAUUGUUUCCUUAAAUUUACUGUUAAAAUUUAAGUUAGAUGGUAUAAGCUGAGGUGUAUGAUCUGAUUGCCACAAAAAAGGUUUUGAUCAAGGUCUGGUUUGGUGUUUGAUAACAGGCUUAUGUACCAUGGUGGUUCAUGGUAAAUUAUUCACUUGUAUCUUUCAGACCAAUCAAUGGACGGAAUACAUUCACUUGUAAUAUUCGAGAUUUUGGUCUCUAGUAGCAAAUGUUAUGCAAGGAGGCGAUAAUCUUGAACAGAGAAUGGGGGCAUGGUCUAGAAGGAAACAGGUGUGAGCGUUUCAUGUAAUGAGUUUAUUCUAGUGGUUUUAUUUGUUAAAUCCAGUGUGCUAUUUCAUGAUGCUAUCUACACAAAUCAAAUUUUUUUGUCAUGUUAGGAGUGUUCUUGUGUAAUGGUUAAUUUCUGGUGUUAAACUAAUAUGAUAAAGAUAACAAAUAGGUCAUCAAUAUGCGCGGAAGAUCAAUAUAGAAAGACAAGUUUUUAAGGAACAAUAAUGCGAAAAUCUAAGACUUUGGGAGCAAACUUAAAUACAACAUGGAUGGAAGUAUUUGCUUUGUAUCAUGCAGUAGUUUUGAUCACAUAGCGCUAGCAGACCCAAUGUUGAACAUUUGGCGAACCCUGCGGCACAUUGAGGCACUUUCAAUUUGUAAAUGUUACUGGUUCUAAACGAAUGUUCCAACAUAAUGAAUGUGGCUUUGGAAAGAUAAGCAUGCAUAGGUGCUAUGUAAAUCAUUUAAGAGAAAGCCCAGACUUCUUGUAAUUUUGCUUUAUCAUUUCCUUCCUACUGGUCCUGGGAUUAGACUAUAUUACGCUAAAUCUAGUUGUGAUUUCCUGCUAAACAAAAAUUAAUAGAACUCUAGUAAACAAAAUCUACAAUCCUUUUGAGGGAAGAUUUGCCUGUCGAUCAGAUAGUACGGGCAAAAAAUGAACAAAAAUGGCAAUGGAACUCGCCAACUCACCUGAAAUUAUCCUACUCCGCGGCAAAUCGCCCUUCUGUAGUGCUCACAAAAUUUUUAAAAUAAAAAAGAGACUUGGGUUGACAUAGGAAAAGAUAUAUGCUGAGGUGGACAGUCCUGAUAAGGUGAUGGGUUGGUGAGAUUUGCACCAUAUGACGACACAUGUUAGUAUAGAUGUACCCCCGCUACAGAUCAUUUGAGGUGGGCGGAUCGAGAUCACUACCCUCAUGGCCUAUUACUUGAGUAAUUACCAGAUAAUGCUGAGGGACUAAUAUAUUUUCAAAAAUACUAUGAUCCAUAUAUUAACUUAAUCGCGGAUUAACUUUUAUAUUUAUCGAAAGAGUUCAUGUACAUGAGCAAGUUGUGACAAACACAAUAUUGGUAACUUUACAAUUUGAUAUUGUCAUUUCCACGGGGUCAUUGGGGUCAAAUCUAAUAAUUCUUUGUCCAUUUUUUAUAAGAUUAAUAAUGCCUAGAUAUAAUUAGUGUGUAACACCAAAUACAAAUGUCACUACUUUCUCACAUACAUGAACUAUUCAAUUAAAAUAUAAGUAAAUCCGCGAUUAAGUUCAUAUAUGGAUCACAGUAUUUCUGAAAAUACAUAUCAAUUCCUCACAGUUAUCCGGUCAUUGGUCAUGUAAUAAGCCUUUGGGUAGUGAUCUCGAUCCGGCCCACCUCAAAUGAUCAGUGGUGGGUUAGUGAUCUCAAUCCGGCCCACCUCAAGUGAUCAUAUCCUGACCGUCCAUCUCAUCACAUAUCAAUCCUAUGUCGACCCAGGUCUAUUUUUAAUUUAAGAAAUUUUGAGAGCACUGCUUGACGGCGAUUUGCGGCGGACUGGGGUAAAUUUCAGGUGAGUUGGCGAGUACCAUUGCCGUUUCUGUUCAGUUUUUGCCCGUAUAAUUUGAUCAACAAGUAAAUCUCCCCUUUAGAGGAUUGUAGAUUUUGUUUACUAGAGUGAUGUUACUUUUUGUUUUGCCGGACAUCACAACUUGAUUUUAGCUUAAUUUAGUCCAAUCCUUGGACCGGUAGGAAGGAAUUGAUAAAGCAAAACUGUAAGAAGCUUUGGCUUUCUCUUGAAUAAUUUAAUAAAUAAAAAUCCAAUACUCCAAUUUUAUUCAUGUAAUAAGAAUAUUGAUUAAGUUACUAAACCUGCCUAAUAGUGUGGUAAUAUUAAUUUUCUGAUCAGUUUUACUUGAUUGUUUCCUUUCAUUUACCGUUAAAUGUGAUAAAAUCUAGUACAUAUCAAUAUUAUCUUGUUUUUAUGAUAUCUUGAUGAGAUCAAUUAAGGAAAUAGCGGUGUAUGAUCUGACACUUGUAAAUAUUAAGGCAAUCAUUAUAUGGUUCUCACAUAUUUACUGAAUGUUUUCGAAGAACGUAAUUUGCUGCAGGAACAAAUUAGUGUGACAUGCUGUGUAGGAUUAAAAUAAAUUUUCUUAACUCCUCUUCUUCUUCUCUGUGUCUUCCUCUGUUACUUUGCGGGUAUGUAAACCUGAAUUUACUUGAUGGUAGUGUGAAAUAGAACAUAUCCUUAAUACACUAGUCGUGCUUCACAUUUCAUUGUAUCGCUUGUCUACUAAGAAUUACAAUAUCUGUGAAUGCAAUUGUUUUUAUGAAUGAAACAUGCCAAGAUUUCGAGUAUGCAAUUUAAAUAAUUAUUUUGGGCUUACUAAUAGCUGCCCAAGUCAAGGUAAUGUUCUUCCAACUAGCAUAACCGAUAAUAUGCUUCGUGACCUGUUAUUUAUAAAAGAAGCCCGUUAGUCCAAAGACUUCACAGUGUUGAUUGUUGCUUUAGUUAUAUUAGUCACUGUGAUACUAUGUAGACAGUAACAAACAUAACACCCGAGGAACUAGACAGCAUUUGGAGCAUGUCCACAUUGUUGUUGUGAAUUAGAACCCCAUAUCUAUGUGAGAUAUGACAACUAAUCUAAGCCAUUAGAUCAAUCUAAUCUAAUGGCCCACUAGAAUUCACGAACCUGUACCCUCGCAUACAUGAUUACACAGAAUCCCUCCGUUUUUAAUUUGAUUUUUCCCGUCAAUCGGUUAACUUUUUUCAAAAUCCGACUUUACUGAAUUUUUAUUCGUCUCCCAACGAUCAAUUUGCAUACCAUAUGCGUUAUGUUUCGACAUGGUUCUCAUUAAAUUCUCAUUUUAAGGGUUCUCACUAGAGUAAAACACCACUUAAAUAUCGUAAAGCGAUUUUGGUAGGUAACUUAACUUAGACAUUCAGAUGUGUCUAUUAAAGCAACCUGAAAGUGGUCUAAGUACUUUGAAGUACCACUUUUUUGACAUUUUGGAUUUUUGUGUGACCCUUUAAUCAGAAUUAUUGGAUGUCGUUUGCUUAGAAUUUUGGAUGCUAAUGAAAAAGAAAAUGAAGACUGAAAAAAAAUGGUAUUAUGCAGUCAAAAGAUGCGGAUAGUAAAAAUCUUUUCUGUGGAUAUCCCUUUUUUUUGUACUUGUCCAUUUAAGUUGAAUUACUUCUACAAACUUGUAAGAGUAGUGGUAAAUGUCUGAACGAAGCACAAGGAAAGAUAUUUCCAGUCUGACUAUUAUGUAUCUGUGGUUAUUAGGAAGGACAAGAGCUUGAGAGAAUCAGCCCAUUUUUCCAACGAAGGCAGAAUGGAAGUGGUUGAAAAGCCUGCCUUGGGUGGAAUGGAAAAGGCAUUUUGUAAUAAUUUUCUGAGGCGGAUUGUUGAUUUCUUUGCGGGGAGGUUGAUAAUUGACUAUUUCGGGUAACUAUGUUCUGAAUUUGCUUUUAUAUUAAUAUUAUAAAUUGUGUCUCAGAAGUUUUGGACUUACUGGUUUGGGGCAACUAAUCCUUACGUUGUAACAAUCAAAAGUGUGGGCAACUGAACCUAAUUUAAUUAAUAUUAAGGCCACAAAAUCCAAGAAGUGCCUGUAUACAGCAAUUUAAAGCACAAGGACCCCUUGGAAGGGGGGAGAAUUAAGUCUUGGCUAAAUUUUAAGUGAAUAAGAGCAUGUCCAAUGGCUGUGCUAAAAUAGAUGGAGUUAUUGCUAUAAUUUAGCAUCAAAAAGUGAUUUAGUGCUAAAAUAGCACCAUGUCUCCAACGGUUGGUUUCAAUUCUUGUUUCAAAUUUAAACUUCUUCAAAUACAUCCUACUUUUGAAUAUAAAUAUAAGUAUAUAACUAACUUUCAAAGACCCCACACUUUCAAGUACUUUUUAAUACAUUUUUUCAUCAUUUUAUACUUUAGCAAUAUUUAUAGCUCCCUCUAUCUUUUGUUCUAAAUAUUGAACAAACUAUAGCAUUGCUCUAUUUUAGAACAAGAUAUAGAACACCAUUGAUGUAGAGAAUUUUAGUUUUUGUUCUAUAAUAUAGACAUAGAACAAUAUAAAGAACACCAUCAUUGUCUACUAAAACUUUAAAUUGAAUGUUCCCUACUUUCUCUUGAAGUAUGCAUUACGUAUAUAGUUGUGCCUUUGUAAACUAGACUGCUAUCGUAAAAGUAUCAUAUGCCAGUUGGACCUUGAUUCUAAAUUCUCCAAUUUGGCCUCCCAGUUCCUUUAUCAAGUUCCUGGGAAGUUAAAAAAUAUGUUUGGUUGUGGUGUAGGUAUUUUUGCAGUGCUGGGGUGUGACAUAAGAAAGUUUCUACAGUAUGUGGAAAUUCCAAUUUCCGAGGAGGUUCCACUUUCCAUAUAGCGGUCAACCAAAAAAUCUUACAAUUUGCUAGGGAGAUUUACAUGUUAACCAAACUGCCUCUUAUAAAUCUAGUUAUGGUUCAUUAGGAUGAUUGGAUUCUUAUUGGGGAUUGAAGAAGUUCUCAUUUCGGAAAGAUGUUGAGUAUGCACACCCUUUAUCCAGUUCUGAAAACAAAUUCAAUUUUAGUGGCCUUAAUUAACAUAAACUAUGCACUGAUUUGCAUUUUAAUAUGUAAACCCUCAGUAAAUUAGCUUCCAGUAAGCUUUAUUAUCUUCUGUCUAGUUUCUCCUCUAUGCAUUCUGUUUUCAACAAACUACUGACUCUUUCUAAAUAAAAUUCAUUUGAAUGUGCAUGCUCAAUCUAGCUUUGUGGUGAGUUCUUCAUUUCCCUAUUUGUUAACAGGAAUGCUCCACGAACAGUAAAACAAGGACGGGAACGGAAAAGGAUUUGCAGGAGAUCGGGUGACACAGUUUGGGGGGCAUGGGGCAUUCUUCCUGUUGAACUUCUGGUUUCAAUAUUGGUAAAGUUAAGUAUCGUGGACUACCUGUCAUUUAGCGGUGUUUGUAAAUCUUGGAGGUCUGCAUCUAAUGAUUUCCGCAAAUAUUGUAUGGAGCGCCAGCAACCCCUAAUUGUUGUUCAGCCAAAGUAUUCAAAAAAGUCUUGUGUAUUGUACAAUAUGUUCGAUAUGAAAAGUUACAAAACAAUGCUGCCAGAUUUGCCUUGCAAGAAAUUAAUGGGUUUGUCAUGUGGGUACCUGAUUACAAUUGACAGAAACCUAGGCUUUUGGCUCGUAAAUUUAAUGACAAAACAUGAGCUGCGUUUUCCCUUCCUUCGUGAUAUGGGUGACAGAAAUUGGUUUGAAUUUUCUGCUCGCCUCUUUCGGUCCACUCGGCUUUCAGAAACUUUCAUGGUUCUUUUCUCUCGGACAAAAAAUUAUAUUUGGUUAUCCAAAAGUGGCAGCAGCAGUUGGCAGAGAUAUGCUUUAUUCGACACAAAAGCCAGGAUUGCAGAUGUGAAGAUUUUUUAUGGCAAAAUCUUUGUUUUGACUUCAGAUGUACGUUUUGGAGAAUUUAAUCCGAAGGCAGGUUCUGUUCCGAAGUUCUCCAAAAUCAGAAUCCCUUUCCAGGUUUCAUCUAAUAUGUAUUUGAAGUUGGUAGCGUCAGACAAUAAGCUAUACAUGACUGUAUUGAAUAGUCAUCUAUAUCCUGCAUUGGAACGAUAUCUUUCAUUAUUCGAAAUUGACCAUGAGACAAUGGAUAGAGCAAAACAGAUUCAUGACUUGGGUGCAAAAUCUUUAUUUCUUAGUUCGUACAGUUCCGCUGUCGUCAAUACAACUGGUUGGGGAGCAGGUAACUGUGUCUGUCUUCUUCACUUUAAAGAUUUGAAUAAAUGUUCUUUCUUUAACCUGAAUGGAAAUCGGCUAGGAACAACUCCUGUUGUUUGGGAUGGUCAUUUAUUGCCAUAUUUUUGGUAUUUUCCUAGUGAAAUUUGGUCAAUUAGUUGUGUCAGUGAUGAGUUUGGCGCAUGAUCACUUCUAAAUCUCAUUCAGUUUUUUUCAUUAAGUCUGUAGUUUUUAUCUUCAUCUUACAUUAUGGAACUGUAAUGUUUGCCUUAGAGGCCCCAGACAAAACUCAAAUGUCAUUCUUUGUAUUUCUUAUUGGCACCAUGUCUUUUCGUGUAUAAUACAGAUUCAUAAGGAAAAAUUUCCCAAUUUGAAGCUGUAGUUUAAUAUAGUUAUAUAUUUUUACUGAGCAAACUUUAAUUUAUAGAUGAUUACUUUAUUUCUGAAUUAUGGUAGUGACAAACAGAUAAGUUAAUUUUCAAGAAGGAGAUGCAGUUUCUUCCAUCUCUUUUUCCUGCUAGAUCUUUGCAUGUCCAACUCUUUUUCCAGCCGCUGUGUCAUCAAGUGCUGCUUACUUAAACCAACUCCUUAAUUUCUGAAUGAAGGGCCUUUAAGUCUGUCCUUCCAAACAAACUCCUCUUGUUCAAAUGAGUCUUGGCAAAACUAUUCUUGCUCAACUUUACAACCAUACCCAGACUUUCCACUGGAGAUUGUAUCUCUUCGUAAGUGCAUUCUGGAUUCAUAUGUAUAGUCUACUGUACAGUAUAAUUGUUCGAAUUUUUUUUUAAUAAGCCAGACAAAAAGAUAUUGGGGUGUUUGGUUGGGCUUAAAAACUCAUCUUUUAAACUUAUAAGUCUACGUACUUCAAUUAAAUCUCAUUUCAACUCUAGAAAGCAAGUCGCUGGUAUGGUUGUAAACGCUAGAUCACACAGUUGGUGAUUCUUAUUCCGUGUAGAUUUGGUCCAAAAAAUAUCUAGGGAUUCUAAGGGAAGCAAAAAAAUGGUGUGAAGUAAACAAUAGAUGCUAAAAAUAGAGCUAUAUAUAUGCUAAAAAUAUGGAUAAGGGGUAAACCAUAUCCCUAGUUCUCCUUCACAACCACAAACCCUAGUUUAAAAAAUUACUUGGUGGCCUGCAUUGCGUAAUCACCACUAUGUCGUAUACAAAUUCAUCAUUUCAACAACCAUAUAUUUAAUAAAAUACAUGGAAGCAACUAAGCACCGAGACAGAGAAAUUGCCUCUCAAGUGUUGAUCAGCAAAAAGCUUCAUCAUCCUCAGUGCCUAAAAGUUAAAUUAUUUUUCAAUCAACAAUUGCGCGCUGUUUUGGGAGAAGAGAAAUCCCAUCACUUAGCACUUUCAGCGCAUUAAGGGAGCGGAAAAUAUUAAGAGAAAGCUUAUUUGAUCUUCAUUAGUGUGAUUCAAGUUUGUUAGGGAGAGCUGAACAGAAUGAAACUGUUAAAAUUGACUUGUUGCUCCAUAAGCUGUAUUUACAAGUAUAUAUACUAACAACACUAACAGAAUAUUCCUACAACUACUCUAACUAACUAUGUAGCUGGAAGCUUCUACAACAUUUAUUUACAAUACAUGUACAUAGAUCAAUACCCCCUUCAAGCUAGGCAUCAAAGAGGAUCAAAUUGAAGACCAAGCUUGAUACUAAGAAGCUUGUGAUGAGCAGCAUCCAAUGGCUUUGUCAGUAUAUCAGCUAGCUCAAUGAAAGUACUAAUAUGUGAAAUUCGAAUGAACUCAGAAUCAACAUACUCUCGUAUAAAAUGACAGUCAAUCUUCAAAUGUUUAGUUCUUUCUUGGAAGAUUUCCUUCUUUGCAAUGUGGUGAGCUGAAGUGUUGUCACAAUAAAGAUCAAUUGGCAAAGGUAUUUGAUCAUGAAGAUCCCUUAAGAAACCUUCAAGAUAAAUCAACUCAGAAGUUGUAUUUAUAUACUCAGCUUCUGCACUACUUUUAGAUUCUUUUUUUGCUUCUUAAUUUUCCAAGAGAGUAAGGAGGAACCCUGGAAAAUAGUAUACCCAGACAAGGAUUUUGCAGAACAUGAACAAGUUCCCUAGUCUGCAUCUGAAUGUGCAGUUAAUUGCAAAGGAUUAUUAGCUUUGUAAAACAGACCAACAUUCAAUGAAAUUUUCAAGUUAUUUUAAGACAUGAAGAGCAACAUCAUAAUGUGGCUGAUGAGCUGGUUCUUGGUGAAACUAAUUAAAAAAAGCUGUUAAACAACAUAUUAAAUAUCAAGCCUACUCGAGUUCAAAUAGAGCAAUUUCCUGAUAAAUCUUCUAUACACUUCUGGGUCAGGCAACUUUGAAACAUCCUUUGUACUUGGAUGCAAGCCUUUUAAUAAUGGAAAAGCAGCAGCCAAGUGAGUAUUAGCUGAUAAAUUCAAUAUAUACUUCCUGUGAUCUAACUGAAUUCCGGCUUCAGUUCUAAGAAUCUCAAUGCUAAGUAAAUACUUCAAAUCAGGCAGACUUUUAAUGGUAAUUUUUUGAUGAAAUAAGGAUUUGAUAGAUUACUUAGUCAGAGCAUCUCCAAUAGCCUCCUAACCUGUUCUUAAAUAUAAUAUAAAAUAUUAGACUCCUAGUAAGUUGAUGCAAGUUUAGGAGUCUCAAUUCCAACAAUAUUCUUUAUACUUGCUCUUAAGUUAAUAUUUUAUUCUUGUUUGGACUCGUAUAUGUCACAAACUCAAAUGUAAUUGGAGGCAAUGAAUAUGUUAUUGUAAAAAAUAAGUUAAGAGCUUUGUAGUGGCUCUUAACUUUGAGGAGAGAGGAGAGAGAAACAAGAGUCUCUCAGUGACAUGAAGAGCUCGUAAGAGUCUCUUGUAGCAAAAAUUUCUUUCUCCCUCCUCAAAUUUCAAUUUAAGAGCGAGUCUCUUGCAGAUGCUCUAUGUCUCAAGUACAAGAAAGCUAAAUAUAUCACAUUUUAACCUUUUUUUUUACAAGAAAAUCAAUUUUCAAGUAGAUGGACCACUAUGAUACACAUUCUUUAAAUAGGUAUCCCUAUAUAUUCAUUCUCAAAAUGGGUGUCACAUAUAAAUUAAUUUUUAAAAAGACCAAUACACAUUCUCAGAAUAGGUAACGGUAAUACUCACUCUUUGGAUAAUAACCUUCCUAAAUUUUUUUUUUUCAUUAUUCAAAAUAUUUUAUCAUAUACUCCCCCGUCCCAAAAUAGUUGUAACAUUUGGUUUUGUGCCGGUCAAAUUGACUAAAGUUUGACUGAAAUUUAUUAAUAUUUUAUCAAUUGACAAAAUAAAAAAAAAUAUGUCACUGGAAAUAACUUUUAAUCUACUUUAUGAUAUAAUUUUCAGUUUUUUAAAAUAAUGGGUGAUUUGACUUAUAAUCUUUGGUCAAAACUUAGUCAAUUUGAUCAACAAAAAUAGAAAUGUGACAACUAUUUUGAGACGGAGGGAGUACAACACAACCACUCACACAUAUAUAUUACCGUUUAUUAAACAAACAACCCCACCCUCUAUAAUAUCAAUUAUCCCUAAAAAAAUCAUAAACAUCAAAUAUUUAUAAAUUGGUCACUCAUUCUAAAAAAGAUAACAGAACAAGAUUCUUGAUCAUUAAUUUUAAAGGUAAUAUAUAAAAAUCACGGUAUUUUGGUUUUUUUUUUCUCUAGCUCCUCGCUUAGUUUUAAGGUAGAAAAUGACUACUUCAUUGUCGACCCUCUUUAUCAUAAUUUCAAACAAUCAUAUUUCAAAUAUCAGGUCCAGAAAAUAUGGAUUCAAAUAUCAUCUUAUAACGUUAUCAUUGAUAUUUAUAAUUUUUUUUUUAACAUGACAUACCUUUUCUUACUCCAAGCUCACAAGAAAAACACCUACAACCCUAAAAAAAAAUUAAAAAUUAAGAUAAUGUGCGUGUUUGUUUGCUAGAAGCAGUUUCUACUUCUGGCUUCUGCUUUUCUUGACCCGUUUGUAUAAAGAAGUAGAAGUACUUUUAGGAAGCUGAGAAUGCUGACUUCUCUCUCACAGCUUCUGCUUCUUUUCCAAACACUUUAUUAACUUAUUUCCUUUUCACUUCUACCCCACUUAUUUAAUUUAAGCAAGAAGUCAAUUAUUUUAAGCUAACUCAAACGGCCCCGAUAUAACGUGUAGUCGUUUAAAGCACAAAUAUUACUUAUAACUUACUUUCCCUUUGUUCAGUAUUACUUACUUCUCUUCUUAAGUUUGUUAACAUGAGAGACCAUUUGUGUGGAAUCUUUAAUCAAUGGAUUGGGAUGUUAUGUGCUGGAAAUUUCAGAUGGGAAAAGGGGUUAUGUUUUUGGUAUAAACCCAUUCAAUCUUUGUUGAAGAACAUACUACAGUAUGCUGCAACAUGCUGCAGACUAACAAAACCAGAUGUUCUUCAGAUGCUCCAGAUGCUUCCAGAAGGAGAAUACCAGCUCAGUGACAGCUCAUAUAACUGAUUGUGUUAGUUAGUUACAUAACAGAAUAUUCUGUUAUGAUCCAAAGUUAGUUAGUAGUCUGUUAUCAGCACUGUAUAUAAACACUAGUCUAGUAGUCUUGUAGUUUAAGCUUUCUGUUAAUACAAUGCUCUCUUCAGUUUGUUCUUCAUCUUACUCAAGUUACAUUUUCAUACUGUAAACUUUAACAUGGUAUCAGAGCGAACAAAGAUCUAUUCUGCAAUUAAGCUUCAACAAUGGCGAUUUUCAGGUGUUUUCUUCUCCAAUUCGUUAUCUGCAAAUUGUUUUCUCUGUGAUUUGAUCUGUUGUGCUUAGUCAUAGUUGUCAUCGUGUUUGUACAUAUUCGAUCAUCUUGUUGAGUUUUUAGGUUUAGAAUUCUGAGAUUUCUAGUUCACUAUGGGAGAUACUGGUAAUGUGUGGAAUCGUAAUGUUGUGAAUCCUGUGAAUCCUAUCACCGAUCAAUCAAGUGUCUAUUUCAUACAUUCAUCAGAUCACAGUACUUCACAGAUUGUUUCAGUUAAAUUCAAUGGCACUGGAUUUGCCAAUUGGAAACGUUCUAUGCUUCUUAGUUUAUCGGUUAAAAACAAAUUAGGAUUUGUUGACGGUUCUGUGACUAAACCUGCUGCAAAUUCACCUGAUGCAAAAGCAUGGGAACGAUGCAAUGAUAUGAUCUGUGCUUGGCUGUUAUCUAAUUUGGAUGAAACAAUUGCUCAAAGUGUUCUGUAUUUCAAGAAUGCUGCUGAAAUUUGGUCCGAUCUUGAAGAAAGAUUUGGAUCUCCAUCUUUAGCACAGAUGUAUGCUAUUGAACAACAAUUAACAGAUUUGAAUCAAGGAUCCAAGACUGUUUCUCAGUUUUUUACUGAGAUGAGGACUCUUUGGGAUGCAUUAAGUGAUGCUGAUCCUUUACCAGCUUGUGAAUGUGGCAAAUGUACUUGUCAUGUCACUGAAAAAGUCCAGACACAACAGCAAAAGCACAGGAUAAUUCAGUUCAUGAUGAAGCUUGGGGAUAAGUUUUCCACAAUCAGAGGUAAUGUGCUUAUGCAACAGCCAUUGCCUAAGCUACCUGCUGUGUUUCGAUUAUUUGAACAAGAAGAGAAACAUCAGGAGAUUGCUCAUCUUGGCACUAAUACUGAGUCUCUAGCUUGCCUGGCUGAUAACACCAAACAGACAUAUGCUUCUAGACUUAUGUCUGGUAACAAGAAUUCUGGCACCAGUUCUAAUGCUAAGAAGAAUUCUAGGUAUUUUUGUACUCAUUGCAAGAUACCAGGACACAGUAUUGAGAGAUGUUUCAAGAUUAAUGGCUAUCCACCUGGUUUCAAAGGUUUUAAGGACAAGAAAGUAGCUGCAGUUGCCUGUGGUGGCAGUGAUGAGUCUAAUGGACAAUCUCCUCAGUUCACUAUGGCUCAAUAUAAUCAGUUACUUUCUAUGCUAAAUCAGACACCAGGGAACACUAAUCAGGAUGGAACCAAUCAUCAUGCAUUACUGGCAGGUAAGUUUUGUUUUCUGACUGAUCAUCAUAUCAAAUCUGGAUGGCUGAUAGAUAGUGGAGCUACAGAUCAUAUAUGUUCAUCAUUAACAGAUUUUAUCAGAUACAGGUCUGUAGAAUCAGAUGAGUUUAUUACUAUUCCUAAUGGUAAACAUGUGGCCAUUAACACUAGUGCAAAAAUCACUUUUUGCAACGCCCCUUUUGUGUCGGCAUUUUAAAAGACCGUCGCUUAAGACCCCAUAAAGCGUCGGUUUAGAACUUAACCGACGCUUAAAGUGAUAUUUUUUGAUUUUUAGCGUCGGCUGUUUAAAAAACCGACACUUAAAGUUUAUUUUUUACUACGGUUGUCAGAGUAGCGACGCCUAAAAUUAUGUUUGUGUGUCGGUCCAUGAAGCACCGACGCUAUAGAUAUAGUGUUUUAGUGUCGGUCCAAUAAACACCGACACUUAAACUACUGUUUUUAGCGUCGCCAUGUCUUUACCCGUAGUAAAAGAUUUUUUAUUUUUUUAAAAAAGUAAAAACCUAUACGUAAUAUAAGUUAGUCGACACGGGCUGUAGAAUGAAUUGAGCUGCAGAAUCAAUUAGUCACACCUCCUCAGAAAAUCAUUGAGAAGAUAUUUGAUUUCUUCAUAUCUUGAUUUCUCGAUCUCAAUUGUUAAUCUCGGAGGAAUCUCUAUUGCUAUUCUCGACUUGCGAUUCGCUAAUCUCUAAUCUCGACUGCUACUCUGUUCUGCCGACUUGUAUGUGCUCUGCUAAUCUGAAAUUAGGGUUUCUUUGCUGGGUUUCUGCUAAUCUGAACUGCUACUCUGUUGUGCUACUCUAUUGUACUUUGCUUGUUCUUUGCUGGGUUUGCUAGGUUUCAAUUCGCCGGGUUGUGAAAUUAGGGUUCUUUGUCGGGUUUCUGGUAAAUCUCAAGAACAAGGGUCCUUUUACUUGCCAAAUCACGUAUGCUUGUGCUAGAUUAGGGACUUUCUUUCCUUAUUUUGUAUUUUUGCAUAUCUUUAUAUUUCCCUUUGAUUUUGCUCAUUUUACAGUACUAUUUUCCAUCAGGUUGAAUUUCUACCAGCAACUUAUUGCAAUACUCGUUUUGCAUAUCUUUAUGUUUUGCUUUAUGUUGAAUUUUUAUACUGGGUUUAGAUUUGUGUAUAGUAUAAUGAUAUGAGCUUUUCAUCCCAUCCACUAAUACAUAUUUAAUCUAGCUUCCGACUUUAAAUAGAUUUUGAUAGAUUUGGAUGUAAUUUGAAAAGUAAUAUUUCAGGAUUCGCAUUGUCAGUUGGAAUAUAAAUGUCAUCAGUAGUUCUCAUGUAAUUAAGAAGAUGUUCUGAUAACUAUUGGCUGAUGGUAAACUAUGUUUACAGAGAAUGUAAUUUAGAUGUAACCUAAUUAAAAAUGUAUCACUUCUACUUAAAUCAGGGACAUUAUAUUAUAAAUUAGCCUAUAAUUCUCCGUGUAUAUGUUUUCAAAUUGGAUCCGUUCAGGUCAUGAUUCUUGUUUAUUUGGUUUUGUAACAAUGAUUUCACAAGUGAAGCCGUGAAGGUUUGGGGAAUACAAAGUUGUUGAAUUGUUUAAAGUUUAAACUGUAGUAAAGACACACCUGAGUAUUAUUACUGACUAAAAUAUUUGUAUGCUUUAGGUUGUGAUUGGAAGCUAUAUUCAUGGCUAUCAGCAGGAGCCAAAGCCUAAAACGCAGAGAUCCGAGUUUGCACCAACUAUCUCUUCAGUCCCUGCUCCUAAUCAUGCUUAUGCAGGAAGUAUUGAUUCAAUAUAUAAUCUUGCGAUGCAAAGCAUCACCCCUCCUUCAUAUCAUGGAAUCAAUGGGAAUGCAGGUAAUUCUGUUAGUGGCCCAAGUAUUCUUGCUGCGGAAAAUAAUAUUUCUAGUAUCAGGUAUCAAGUUGGGGGUAGCAAUCUUUGUUCCAUUACAAUAUACAGUUACUAUUUAAGCGUUAAGUUUCAGGGUGAAAAGUGUAAAGGGUGCAAAUAAACAACAAUUCCCGUACGAGGUGCUUAUCUUAUUGUUUUAUACUUCCAUCUAUAUUUAAGAUUGAUUAUCACUACAAGUGGUGUUAGUGCUGACUUGGGUCUUUUUAGUUUGUUUUCCAGACGAAGUAAAUCAGUCCAUUGUAAUAAGGUUAGUUGUACAAUACUAUAUAUAUAUUAUUGCUACCAUGAAUCAUGCCUAGCUACAAUUUGCUGAGAACUGCUUCUGUUUAUUUUAUCUGAUGCUUGCCCUUUGCAGUGAAAUGAAUACCAUAUUGCUAAUGUUGUAAGAUUUGUUCUGUACAAAAUUUCCAGUAUAGAGAUGCAGUAUCUUUUGUAGCAUCAAUGCAAGAAUGUCUAAUGGACAUCUAGGAAUCUUAAAUCAGUUUCAAACAAUCAGAGUUUUUAUCUUCUUCUUAUAUCAAGGAUUAAGUGUUGUACAGGGAGUAAUUAUCUAACAAGAGAAUUUUUGUUGCCGCCAGUGAAGUAUAUGUCUUAUGUGUGAGAUAAGCAAAUCUAUUCUGCACUGAUCAGCAUUUUUUUUAUUGUGAAGUGGUGAAAGUGGAGCCGGAAAACUGAAACGGCUAAGAUAGCAAUGCAAUGUUGGGCUGCACUUGGAGGCGGAAAUGGCAUAGAAUACGAAAUAUUAAAAACUAAUCCUAUUCUGGAGGCCUUUGGUGAUGCAAAGACAUCAAGAAAUAACAACUCUAUUCGAUUUGUAAGUCAUACUUUUUUACAUGGACAUUUAAACUUAAUCCAUGAAGUCAUGUUGGCAAUGUAGUGGAAUUGGUCUUUCCUGGGCUACAACUUGCAUCCAUUUGUUUUGGGUGCCACCGGGUCCUUUUUAUUUAUAUUAAUUUUUAAUACAUGUUAUUACAUUUGAAAUGUAUCUAGGCUGAUUUUUUUUGUCUUUUUGUGCUCUCUUGCUAUCAUUCUGGAUCGUGAUUCUUGGUUCACACAGUUUUACUUGAGAAGGCAAAUCUUUGAUACAUGGAUCAUGCAUUUUACCAAGCCUUCUUCUUAACACAGCACACUAACUUUCAAUUCUUUUAGUAAUAGCAUUACUAUUAGUUCUACUAUUUGCCGCCUAUGCUGUUGUAACUUGUAUGCAUCUUAGUUUGAGAUAUGCUGCUCCAAAGAACAUUGAUGGAACUGUAUAUUUGUAAUGGAAAUAACAAUUCGGCAUCAUAAUACCUUGUAAUUCUACCUUAAGUCAGUUCUAUAAUAUGAUUUUAUAUGGUGGUCUUGACUCAUUGUUAGUUGCUUCCAUUGCAGCUCGUCAUUUUGCAGGCACUAAAUCUACCAAACUAUGUGAAGCACAGCUUCAAUCCUUCUGUGUUGGCCUUGAUGUAUAUCUGUUGCCUUUAAUAACAGAUUACAUUAAAUUGUUUUUGAGUACUUUAGUCUUCUUGUGCUUCACAUCAUUUAUGGGACAGGGGUCACCAGAUUUGAAGGCUGGAAAGGAAGUUGCUGAUUAUUUGGAAGUGCUCACCAAGAGUUUCACUUCACUGUUCAGGUAUUUGACUAAACUAUAUUAUAUAUGCUUAUUGCAUCUAGGUAUUAUCUUAAUUUACGAGGUAUAGUUUUAAUUAGUUCUUACUCAACAGGAUGGCAUAGAUGCAAUUGAGGAUGUUAUUUGUCAUGUUACUACUUAUGAUUAGUUCUUACUCACAAAUGGCAUUGUUAUCAGGGGUAUAGCUAGCAAUCAUACUACUGUGCUUAGCUCUUUCACUUGCUUUUAUAUACUCCUUUAGGUCCCUGGCCAUCAGAAAAGGUUCUUGCUUAUUGCUAUGGCCGCUGAAGCUUCGGAAGUUAAGUAGUGGAUUGUAUCCUUUUCACUUUGUCAUGUGCAGCUCCAUCCUGUUACUAAGGAGGUAAUCAUAUUUUUAAUACUGUGUAUUUUUCUUUUCUUCUCAGCUUACAAUUAAUCUUUAAUGUUUAACUUUAUGCAGUACUUAGUUUAGACAUUUUAUAGUUAUUUCCCACAAUCAUGCUGCAAGCUCUAGGAAAUUCAAGAGUGUGUAUAUAUAUCAGACUUCUCACAUUGUAGCCCAAAACAGUGAAUGCUUCUUAUGACGAUAAUGAGGCUGCAGGUUUAUUAUGACCAUUCCCUGUUGAAAUAUUACCAGAUAAUGUGACACUGUUUUGUGGUUUAAUAAAUUAGAAUAUAGUAUAGUCUUUACACGGCUCAACAAUUUAGAAAAUAUUAGUAUUGUGACUAUGGUCCGUAUUUUUUUUAUGUAUAUAGUAUAUUAUUCUUCUUUUAUGUAUUCAGUCAUGAUCGUGUAAUUAGGAUUGUUAAUCUAAUAUCUAAUAAUUCAUAUAGUAUCUGCUGGUUAUUCAUUCUAGUUUUUUUAUUAGCAAGUUGAUAGCUCCAUGGACAGGAUCAGAAGUUAAGGUACUUGUUAAAUUCAUGGUUGGAGAGGAAGAUGCGAAUGGUUCUAAUUUUUUGGUCAUGCAGGACGCUGAAGAAAAUUGAUACUGCAUUCAAAUGUAUAUCAAAUGUAUAAAUUUGGCUAUUAAUUGUUAAGUUUUCAUUACAUAUUGCUCUUUGUAGAGGCAUAUUGUUCCAUGUAAUAAUCAACUAUGUAAUAUUUUUUUCUUAAUAAGAUCCAAUUGAUGGUUUACUCUUCUUAUGUAAGCUGAGCUGUUUUUUAUUCUAGUGAAUUGCCAAAUGCUUGUGGUUACAGGAAGGUAAAAAUAUUUUUUUAAAAAAUAUUUUUUUAAAAAAAUACUUUAGGCGUCGGUUUGUUGGGCAGACGACGCAGUUGGAUAGACCUAUAGCGUCGGCAUUUUAAAUGCCCGACGCAGUAGACUGAGCCUAUAGCGUCGGCCAUUCAGGUAACCGUCGCUUAUUCUAGUACUAACAGCGUCGGUCAUACAGGUAUCGACGCUUAUUCUUGUACCAAUAGCGUCGGUGUUUUAGAUAACCGACGCUUAUGCUAUACCUAGAGCGUCGCCUAGAUAACCGACGCAAAAGGUCCAUACCUUUAGUGUCGCCUGCAUAUACUACGCCACUUGACCGACGCUAAAAGUAUGUACAGUUGAAUGCAGAUCUAGUUCUGGAAAAUGUACUUCAUGUACCUGAAUUUCAGUUUAACUUGUUGUCUGUGCAAAGGAUAUGUAAAGAUUUGGGAUGCACAAUGUUAUUUACAAAGGAUGAGUGUGUUUUACAGGGCCUUUCACAGAGCAAAUCUCAGACAGUUCUUGGUAAGAUACAUGGAGGAUUAUACAGCAUUAAUCAAGUUGGAAAUGCUGUUGAUUUCAAGAGUUGCAAUAUAGCUGUGAAGGAUGCAAAAUUGUGGCAUAUCAGAUUAGGACAUAUACCUUUUGACAGAAUCAAGCUAAUUCUUCCUCAUGUGGAUGCUUCUCAUCAUGAUUUUGUCUGUCAAGUUUGUCCAAUGGCUAAGCAGACUAGAAAUAGUUUUUCUCAUAGUAGCAUAAAGACAAAGUCUAGUUUUGAGCUGAUACACAUUGAUGUAUGGGGACCAUAUCAGACUAAAUCUACUACAGGAUGUAAUCAAUUUUUGACAAUUGUUGAUGAUUUUAGUAGAUUUACUUGGGUACACUUACUUAAACACAAAUCAGAAUGUGUUCAAAUCAUGAGUAAUUUCUUUGAAUAUGUUUCUAAGCAGUUCAAAACUACUGUUGCUAUGGUCAGAUCAGAUAAUGCCAAGGAGUUUUGUUUUGGUGAAAUGCAGAAAUUAUUUCAAGUUAAUGGAAUAAUUCAUCAAACCAGUUGCAGCUAUACUCCACAGCAGAAUGGAGUGGUUGAGAGAAAACACAGGUUUCUUCUUGAAACUGCUAGAUCUUUACUGUUUCAGUCUAAAGUUCCUACAAAGUAUUGGGGAGAAUGUAUUAUGUGUGCUACAUACUUGAUUAAUAGAGUCCCUUUACACAGCAUUGGCAAUGAUACACCAUAUUUUAGGCUCUAUAAAGAAUCCCCAGAUUUUAGCCUGUUGAGAUCAUUUGGAUGUCUUUGUUUUGUUACAACACCAGCAGUUCAGAGGAGUAAAUUUGAUCCUAGAGCUAAUAAGUGUGUUUUUAUGGGUUAUACUCCAUCUCAGAAAGGCUACAAGGUGUUAAAUUUGGCCACUGGCAAAAUUGUCAUUUCCAGAGAUUUGGUUUUCCAUGAAAUUCAUUUUCCUUUUCAUUCUGGUUCAAAUGCACAGUCACAGCCAGAGAAUACUUUCAGUGGCACUUAUUUACCAAAAUUUUCUGGUCAUGAUCCAUGUGUAGAUAAUAUUGAUUUUGAUAAUCAAUAUAUAUCUCAGAAUCAUAAUUCUACACUUGACACAAAUUCACCUGGUAAUUCUGGUAUUCAUAACUCAGAUUUCUCUAGAAAUUCUGGAAUUCAUGAUGACUCUCCACAUCAAGAUAAUUUCAGUAAUGAAAUUUCAGAACAUAUGGAAUCUGAUCCAGAGUCUUCUCAUGUAAUUGACAUGAGAACUGCAGAAGUCACACCAGUACUCAGAAAAUCUUCAAGAGUUCAUAAAUUGCCUUCUUACUUGGAUUCUUAUCAGUGUAAUGCUGUUACAAACAAAACACAUUGGUGUAAUUUGGUACAACAUUCUUCUGCUGUUUCUCAGUGCACAUUGACAGAGCCUAAAUCAUAUGCAGAAGCUGCUACCAAUCCUUUGUGGCAAGAUGCUAUGCAGAAUGAAUUAAAGGCUUUACAUCAUACUCACACAUGGGAAUUAGUUCCAUUACCACCUGGAAAGAAGGCCAUUGGUUCUAGAUGGGUGUUCAAAGUAAAGCUGAAAGCAGAUGGCGGUCUAGAUAAAUGCAAGGCUAGACUUGUAGCUAAAGGAUUUAACCAAAAGUAUGGUAUAGAUUUUGAAGAAACUUUUUCACCAGUUGUGAAAAUGGGAACUAUCAGAAUUUUAUUAGCAUUGGCAGCUAGUAAGAAAUGGGAUGUAUACCAGUUGGAUGUUAACAAUGCUUUUCUGCAUGGUGAUUUGAUUGAAGAAGUAUAUAUGACAGUGCCUGAAGGGAUACCAAAUCCACAUACUUUGGUAUGUUUGCUUAAAAAGUCAAUUUAUGGCUUAAGACAAGCUUCUAGAAUGUGGAAUGCUAAACUUGUGGCAGAAUUGCUAGCUCAAGGUUUUACACAAAGUAAAAAUGAUUACAGUCUGUUCAUUAGAAAUCAGGAUGGGAAAAUUUGCAUUGCUGCAGUAUAUGUGGAUGAUGUACUGUUGACUGGAACAGAUACAGAGGGAAUUCAAGCACUUAAGUCUCAUCUUGAUAAUUUGUUCAAAAUCAAGGAUUUAGGAAAAGCUCAUUAUUUCCUUGGAAUAGAAAUUGAUCACACUCCUGAUGGUUUUGUCCUCAGCCAAAGAAAAUUUGCAAAAGAGUUAUUGAAAUCUGCUGAUUUAGACCUGUCAAAAUCAGUUGUCACUCCUUUACCAGUGCAUUUGAAGCUUAGCAAGCUUGAUGGUGAUGUAAUUGAUGCACCAGAGAGAUACAGGUCAUUGGUGGGGAAACUAAAUUACUUGACUAAUACCAGACCUGAUUUAUCAUAUGUGGUGCAAAGUCUGAGUCAAUUCAUGAAUGAGCCUAGAUCUUCCCACUGGUCUGCUUUAGAACACACAUUGAGAUAUGUCAAUUCAACUGUUCAUCAAAAAAUUCUCCUUAAUUCCUCAGACAAUUUAAAAUUGUAGGCUUUUUCUGAUGCAGAUUGGGCAUCAUGUCCAGACUCUAGAAGGUCUAUCACAGGUUAUAUUUUGCUAUUUGGAAAUUCACCAGUUACAUGGAAAUCAAAGAAACAGCCCACUGUAUCUAAAUCUUCUUCAGAAACUGAAUAUAGAGCUAUGGCUUCAGCAGCAUCAGAAGUCACUUGGGCAGUAAGGCUCUUGGAGGAUCUUGGAGUAACUAAUCUAAAGCCAGUCACAUUGCACUGUGAUAAUCAGAGUGCACUACACAUUGCAAAGAAUCCUGUGUUCCAUGAGAGAACAAAGCACAUAGAAUUAGAUUGUCAUUUUACUAGAGAUAAAGUGAUGGAAGGGUUACUACAACUUACUUAUCUUCCAACAAAAUCACAACUUGCAGAUGUGUUUACAAAAAUUUCACCAUCUGUACAUUUCAACAACAUGUUGUCCAAGCUAGGAGUUUGUUCUGUAAACACUCCUAACUUGAGGGAGGCUGUUGAAGAACAUACUACAGUAUGCUGCAACAUGCUGCAGACUAACAAAACCAGAUGUUCUUCAGAUGCUCCAGAUGCUUCCAGAAGGAGAAUACCAGCUCAGUGACAGCUCAUAUAACUGAUUGUGUUAGUUAGUUACAUAACAGAAUAUUCUGUUAUGAUCCAAAGUUAGUUAGUAGUCUGUUAUCAGCACUGUAUAUAAACACUAGUCUAGUAGUCUUGUAGUUUAAGCUUUCUGUUAAUACAAUGCUCUCUUCAGUUUGUUCUUCAUCUUACUCAAGUUACAUUUUCAUACUGUAAACUUUAACAAUCUUUCAUGUUUCUGCUCAUCUUUUUUAGUCAAGUUUGAUAUUUACAUACAUUAUGUGUGUGUUUUAUUUACACUCACUACUAGAAACAGAUAUAUUAUUUGAGGAUUUUGAUUUAAGUAACGGUAUUAUUUAUGUUAUGAAAUUAGUUUUUAAUAUUCCGAAAUUCGGGAUGUUACAUUGAGGCACCAGGUGGUCCUAGUACGUUUAAUUAGCAAUAGACAUCGGUCUGGAACCGAUGUUAAAAAAAUUUAGAAGCGAUGUCUUCGCAUGUGUAGAGAAAGGUCCAGCUUUUUAGACAUCGGUUCACAACCGAUGUUAAAGAUUCACCUAGACAACGGUUCUAACUUAGACACUGAUGUCUUUUUUUUAAUAUUUUACAUUUUAACACAUGAUCACGAGUUCAAUAUUAGUUUAUCUUGUAAUUUCAAUCAAUUUAAGCAUGCGAUCCACAAGUGAAAAAAAGACAAAGACAACGUAUAUGCAAAUCAGGACGUUGUAAAUAAGUACUUUUGACAUCGGCUAUUAUCUGGACUGAUGUGAACAACAAUAUUAAACAUCGAUUAUGUAGGCCUAUAUUUGGGAUCUCUUUUGAGCUGUUGUUAAAGAUAUAAUUUAACAUCGGUCAUCUUAAAUCCAGUUGAUGUUAUAUCUUUGAUAAGACAUCAGUUCCUUGUAUAUCUCACACUCAGAAAUGAAAAUUCAAAUACCCAGAAGCAAUAUACCAAACCAAAUAACUAGUAUACAAAAAUCAAUAUACCAAAACCAAAGUUGCAUUCAAUUGGCCAAGUACAUUAUCUAAUUCAUCUAAUUUCAUGCUCCUAAACAUAAACUGUACUUGAACUGCAUUUUGUAAUCAUCCCCAAGUAUAAAGUCAUCCCCAAGUAUAAAGUCAGAUCUCUAUUCCUCCAUUAUCUUAGUAUAUUUUGUUCAGUAGUGUUGUCAAAUUAUUAUUCAUCCUGCAAACAGACCAGGGAAAGGCAAAUUUAAUCCUACAAGUAUAUUGAGAGGCUAAAGAGUGAAGUAAUGAAACUGAACAUUGCCUUAAUAUGUUUACCUAAUCGACUAGAAUUACCACCAUGCCUAAUGCAUGCAUCGAUGUGUCUUGAUAUGCUGCAGAAGACUUCUGGUAGAAGAAUAUUAAAGAUUUUGGUAUAUGCGAAGCCAACUCCAGGAUAUGCUCAUAAGGUUGAAUUCUGGAAGUAGAAAUGAGGAGAGUAAGCAAACGGAUCAAUCUUAAAUUUAAGUCUAUAGCUCCAUUCAGUAAAAAUAACUAGACAAUGCAAUUAAAACAAGGAAGUUAUUUAUGUUGCUUACUUUUGUAAAAGUAUUACCUGAAGGGAUAAUAUUGUUGCAUCUCUGCUGAAACGAGUCCAAAAGAUUUUGCAUGCUCUCGCACUCAGUAUUGUUCCAUAUCUCGGAAGAAAUUUAGUUCCCCGUAUCCAUAUGAGUAUGGCAAUAACUCUUCCACCUCAAUCCUGGAGCUGGAACAACUCAUUCUUCUUUUGAAUCUACUAUGGUUUAUAGACUCAACCUCAGCCAGAAAUAUGCUGUAAACUGGUCUAUGAUCUGAGAAACGAGACUCACCACGAACAUAAGACAUUUGAUGCAGACCUCUACCAUACCACAGUAUGCGAUCACAGAACCUAAGUUUCAAUAGCUGAAUGUAUGUUCAGAGUGCAUUACAUAUUGUACAAUUGCAAUAAAUCAUAACAGAUUGUAAUUUUAAUUUGAAGCACAUUAUCCAGCAGUAUGAUGCACUACUAUCAAAAGAAUAAUGUAACAUCAAAAACAGAAACCAAUUUCCUAGCCAAUGGAUCAUCUAUUGUUAUCAAAUUUAUACUUGAAAGAACCCUUAGUCUAUAGAACACCGGAAUAUAUUAUAUUAAAUUCAGCAAAAAGUUAGAUAUCUGUGCAUGUACAGACGAUUUAUCCACUCUACAACAGAGCUUCAAAUUCAUUUUGGCUAAUAAAAUAUUUGAACUGAAUGCAGAAAACUUAUUGCGGAAAGUGAAAUAUCACUUACAGCUUCUUUCCUGGAAGUACCAUACUUGCUCUGCAUAUGUAGAAUGACCCCGUUCAAUGAAUUAGAGUAAUCAUACAUCAAUAAAAUACACUGAAGAAAUAUUAGCUAUUGCAUAGACCUUCAUAGAGAACUCAGGCACAUCUAACAACAGCAACUUCGCGUCAAAAUAAUGUGACAGGGCUUUUGCAAGCAUUUGCUGGUAAAGUUCUAGAACAGAAGACAUAAACAAGCAAUAAAUCCAAAUCAGACAGAAAUUCGAUUAAUCUGUAAUAUAGAUACUUCCUUUCACACCACUGCAGGGCAUGACAAUAAGAUUGUAUGGAGUAACAAAAAAACAGCUCAUGUUAAUACACAAAAGCUUCCAAAAAUUGUGAACUAGAGUGCUUGUCAACUAGGGAAUACAAUCAGAUUUUUUCACAUCAACUUUGGCACUAUAAGAGUUUGUAAAUACAUCCAACAAUUAAUAAUAUUGAGCUAAUUUUGAUCCAAGAACCUCAUAAUCCUCAAUGAUCCAGAUUUGCAAAAAUAUUCAAUCUUUAACAAAUAAGAACCCUAGACGAUUUAAUUGAAAAUCAAAAGCCAGUAUAAUCAUACAUAUAUACAAAGAGUAACUGAUCAAAAGUAGAAAAUAGAGAGAUUUGAGAAAGAGUACCUUUCGUAAUUGGUAAAACCCCCAACUCAAGAAUAGAAACCCUAACAAGAUCAUAUCGAAAAAUGAAAAACAAAGUCAAUCAAUAUAUACACAAACACAAAAUAUAUGAUAAUGAAAAGGGAACCACCUUUUAGCCAAUUUAUCAGGCGCCGGAGCCUUUUUACACUGCUAUUAUUAAAACCACCAUCGAAUCGAGACUAAGAGAAGACUCAUCGAAUGAAUUUCUAUGCUUGUGAGUCCCUGAGUCACACACAAUCCGUGACCCGACCCAUGACCCGUCCAUUGAAGUCUGCAACGAUGUCGUCUAAUAGGAGGUCGUCGUCUUCGAAACGGAAGCAGAUCUCGAAUUGGGCUCGGUGGUGGUAGGUCUGGCGAGUUGGUAAUUCAGGCAUCUGGUUGAAGUCUAGCAUGGGGUUAAAGCUUGACGAGAGAGAGAGGAGUGCGAGAGACUACGUGUGAGAGAGAGAGAGAGAGAGAGAGAGAGAGAGAGAGAGAGAGAGAGAGAGAGAGAGAGAGAGAGAGGGUGUGGACAGUGAAAGGAGGGGGAGGGAGAGGAGGGGGGAACGGGGAAUAAAGUUUUGGUUUAGGAAAAAUUCAAAAUUUUGGCUGAGGAAUGGAAUGUGUAUGUAUGUAAUGAGGUACUUGUACUUUUAGUUGUUUUGAUUUUAUUUUCAAAAAAUUUUGAUUAGACAGCGAUUAUGUUUUAAAACGAUGUUUAUAGAUAUUUUAACAUCGCUUAAAAAUCGAUCGAUGUUAAAAAUAUUUUUGACAUCAGUGCUUUUCCUAGCCGAUGUUAAAACGGUGAUGUCUAUUGCAUUAUUUCUAGUAGUGACUUCCAUCUCAUCUAAUUGGAAUUUACAAAUAUUGUAGACAAAUUUGAUGUCUUGCACCCAAAUUUCAUUGAGAAUCUAACUUUGAUGAAGGCGACAAUCCAGAACAGAGAUCACCUAGCGCUAGCAGCCCCAAUGUUGAACAUUUGGCGAGCCCUGCGGGACAUUAAGGUGCUCUCAACUUGUAAAUGAGACUGGUUCCACACGAAUGUUUAAACAUAAUGAAUGUGGCUUUCGAAAGAUAAGCUAUUGUACUUGGGUGAUGCUUAAGUGCUAUUUAAAUCAUUCAAGAGAAGGCCCAGACUUCUUACAAAUUCGCUUUAUCAAAUCCUUCUGGUUUGUCCUGGGAUUUGACUAAAUUAAACUAACAUCUUCUUGUGAUUACUAGAAAAAUAAAAAUUAAUAUCACUCUAGUAAACAAAAUCUACAAUCCUCUAAAGGGAAGAUUUACUUGUUGAUUAGAUAGUACGGGCAAAAAAUGAAGAGUGGAACUCAACAACUCACCUGAAAUUAUCCUAGUUCGCGGCAAAUCGCCCUCCUGUAAUGCUCUCAAAAUUUCUUAAAUAAAAAAGAGACCUGGGUUGACAUAGGAUAAGAUAUACGGUGAGGUGGACGGUCAAGAUAAGGUGAUGGGUUUGUGAUAUUGCAUCAUAUGAUGACAUAUGUUAGUAUAGACGUACCCUAGCACAUACCCCACUAUGGAUCUUUUGAGGUGGGUAGGAUCCAGAUCACUAUCCCAAGGCCUAUUUUUUGACCAAUGACCGGAUAACGCUGAUGGACUAAUAUAUAUUUUCAAAAAAUCACUAUGAUCCAUAUAUUAACUUAAUCUUGGAUUCAGUUUUAUAUUUAUCAAAUGAGUUCAUGUAUGUGAGCAAUCUGUGAAAUUGUGAUUAAGUUAAUAUAUGGAUCAUAGUAUUUUUGAAAAAAAACAUUAGUCCAUCACCGUUGUCCGGUCAAUGGUCAUGUAAUUAAGCCUUGGGGGUAGUGAUCUCGUCCGGCCCAACUCAAUUGAUUUGUACUGGGGUAUAUUUAUACUAACAUGUGUCGCCAUAUAGUGCAAUCUCACCAACUUAUCACCACAUCCUGACCGUCCAUCUCUCCAUAUAUCGAUCCUAUGUCAACGCAUGUCUCUUUUUUAUUUAAGAAAUUUUGAGAGCACUACUGAAGGGCGAUUUGCGGCGGACUACGCUUCUUUCCGGUGAGUGGGCGAGUUCCAUUUCCUUUUCGGAUCAGUUUUUGUCUGUACUAUUUGAUCAACAAGUAAAUUUUCGCUUUAGAUGAUUGUAGAUUUUGUUAACUAAAGUGAUGUUUAUUUUUGUUUUGCGGGACAUCACAACUAGAUUUUAGCGUAAUUUAGUCUAAUCCCAGGACCGGUAGGAAGGAAUUGAUAAAGCGAAAGUGUAGAAGCCUGGGCCAUCUCUUGAACGAUUUAAUAAAUAUAAAUCCAAUACUUCAAUUUUAUUUAUGUAAUGUAAUAAGUAUAUUGAUUAAGUUUCUAAACCUGCCAGAUAGUGUGAUAAUGUAAAUUUUCUGAUCAGUUUUACUUGAUUGUUUCUUUUAAUUUACUAUUAAAAUCUAGCACACAGUACAUAUCAAUUGUUUGAUAUCUAGCUUAAUAUGAAACUAAAUCUUGACUUGAUGAGAUCAAGUAAGGAAGUAGCGGUGUAUGAUCUGCGACUUGUAAAUAUUAACUGAAUGUUCUCGAAGAAUGUAAUUUGGUACAAGAACAAAUUAGUGUGACAUGCUUAUAAAUAGAAUGUGUUGUGUAGGAUUAAAAUCAAUUUGGUUAACUCCUCUUUUUCUUCUCUGUGUCUCCCUCUGUUACAUUGCUGGUAUGUAAACCCGAAUUUAUUUCAUAGUAGUGUGAAAUAGAACAUCAUCCUUAAUACACUAGUCAUACUUCACAUGUCAUUGUAUCGCUUGUCUAUUAAGAAUUAUAAUGUCUGUGAAUGCAGUUGCUUUUACGAAUGAAACAUGUCAAGCUUUCAAGUGUGCAAUUUAAAUAAUUAUUUUGGGCUUACUAAUAGCUGCCCAAGUCAAGCUAAUAUUCUUCCAACUAGGAUAACCAAUUAUAUGCUUCGUGACCUGUUAUUUCGUAAAGAAGUGUUGAUUUAAGUUAUAUUAGUUACUGCGAUACUCUGUACACAGUCACAAACAUAACCAGCAUUUGGAGCAUGUCCACCUUUUUAUUGUGAAUAUAUAUGGAGAAAAUUAAUUCUAAAGUCCCUGAACUAUAGGCACUUUUUUUUCUGAGUCCCUGAACUAUAAAUGUCAAUUCAUAAGCAAUUCAACUCUUGAUUUUUUCCUACUUGGGUCCUCCCGUUAGAUUUGGUUUGACGUCGUUAGUUUUUCUGGCGAACUUGGUCGGAAAAGCUCAAAUCCGAUGAGCUCGAAUUUUCCGACGAGGCUAAUUUGAAUAUUAAAAAGCACGAAAAUUAUAUGAACAUGCUCAUAAUCACACGAUCUAUCAAUCUACAUCAUUAUAAUUCGAAUAAAAGCUAUUAAAAUGAAAACUAAUAUUCAACUUAAAAUUUGAAAAUUACCAAACUAAAUUUUGAUGGUAUAGAUGGAUAGGGGAUUGAAAAACGAGCAAUUUGAUUACUCAAGCUUCAAAUUUGGAUACCGGAAUCACCUUCAAAGUCAUCUUUGAUUCUCAUGAACUUAAUAAGAACUAACGGCGUCAAACCAGAUCUAACGGAAGGACCCAAAUAAGAAAAAAUCAAGAGUUGAAUGACUUAUGAAUUGACAUUUAUAGUUCAGGGACCUAGAAAAAAAAGUGUCUAUAGUUCAGGGACUUUAUAAUUAACUUUCCCUAUAUAUAUAUAUUAUAUAAGAAGCUAUAAAAAACCAUUUUAGUUGUUAAGCGAUUUUGGUAGGUAACAUAACUUAGACAUUCAUCAGUAUAUGCCCUACUUAAUUUGUUUACUACACAAACCUGAAAGAGGUCUAAGUACAAUGAAGUACCACUUUUUUGACAUUUUUGAUUUCUGUGUGAUCCUUCAAUCAGAAUUAUUGGAUAACGUAUGCUUAAAAUUUAUGUUUAAUUAUGAUGCUAACGAAAAAGAAAAUGAAGACUGGAAAAAAAAAACUGGUUUCAUGCUGUCAAAAGAUGUGGACAGUAAAAUCUUUUCUGUGGAUAUCCCUUUUUUCUUUUUGUACAUGUUCAUUUAAGUUGAAUUCCUUCUACAAACUUGUAAAGAGUACUAGUAAAUGUCUGAAAGAAGCACAAGGAAAACCAAGAUAUUUCCAGUCUGACCAUUAUGUAUUCUGUGGUUAUUAGGAAGAACAAGAGCUUGAGAGAAUCAGCCCAUUUUUUCAACGAAGGCAGAAUGGAAGGGGUUGAAUGGCCUUCCUUGGCUGCAAUAAAAAAGGCAUUUUGUAAUAAUGUUCUGAGGUGGAUUGGCGAUUUUUUUGUGGGGCGGUUGAUAGUUGACUAUUCCGGGUAACUAUGUUUUGAAUUUGCUCUAUGUAAAUAUUAUAAAUUUUUUCUUGAAGUUUUGGAGUUCCUGGUAUGGGGCAUCAUAUCCUUACGUAGUAAAAAUCAAAAGUGUGGCUCAAUCUCAACUCCCAAGAAGUGCAUGUAUACAGCAAAUUAAAGAAUAAGCACCCCUUGGAAGGGAGGAGAAUAUAGUCCUGGCUAAAUCUCAAGUGAAUAAAGUCAAUUGGUUUUGCUAAAAUAGAUGGAGUUAUUGCAAUAAUUUCCAAAUACAUCCCACUUUUGAAUAUAAAUAUGACUAACUUUCAAAGACCCUGCACUCAAGUAAUUUUUCAUACAUUUUUUAAUCAUUUUAUACUUUCAAGUAACUAUGUUCUGAAUUUGCUGUAUUUGAAUAUUAGAAAUUGUGUCUUGAAGUUUUGGAGUUCCUGGUAUGGGGCAUCUGAUCCUUGGUAUGGGGCAUCUGAUCCUUACAUAGUAACAUACUCCCUUCGUCCCAAAAAGAUUUAGCUGGUUUGACUUUCACUGAGAUUAAGAAAAAGGUAAUAAAAAAGAGUAAAUUUAGUUGAAAAGUGGGUAAAGUGGUGGGACCUGUCAAAAUUUAACAAUAGAUUUGAGAUAGUGGAGGAAGGUAUAUAUUGCGUGUAAUAGUGUUUAUUUAAUAAAAAGAGAGUAAAAAAUUGAGAGGUAGUGUGUGUAAUAGUGAAAAGUAGUGUUCAAAAAUAAUAAGUAUAAUAAGUUCAAUCUUUUUCGGACAUCCAAAAAGGAAUUAGGGUCAAUUAAAAUGGGACGGAAGGAGUAUAAAAGUGUGGGAGACUAAAGUCUUGGCCAAAUCUCAAGUCCCAAAAAGUGCAUGCAUACAACAAAUNUCUUGGCUAAAUCUCAAGUCCACAAGAGCAUGUCAAUUGGUUGUGCUAAUCACUUUUGUGCUAAAAUAGCACCUUCUUUCCAAUGGUUGGUUUCAAAUCUUGUUUCACAUUUAAACAACUUCCAUAUACAUACCGCAUUUAAAUAUAAAUAUGCCUAACUUUCAAAGACCCUGCAAUUUUAAUACUUUCUUAUACAUUUUUUCAUCAUUUUAUGGUUUAGCAAUUAUAGAUCCAUCUAUCUUUUGUUCUAAAUAUUGAACAAACUAUAGCAUUGUUCUAUUUUAGAACAAGAUAUAGAAUACCCUUGGAGUAGGUAAUUUUAAUUUUUGUUCUAAAAUAUAAAUAUAGAACAAGAUAUAGCACACCAUUGGACUUUCCCUAAGGGAUUCUACCAAAAACAUGGUUUAAAUAUACCUCACUCAGUUAAAAUUUUAAUCUAAAAUUAAUGCUACCUACUUUCUUUUGAAGUAUGCAUUACGUAUAUACUUGUGCCCACCUAAACUAGAAUGCUAUUGUAAAAGUAUCAUAUGCCAGUUCCUUUAUCAAGUUCCUGGGAAGUUAACAAAUAUGUUUGGUUUGUGGUGUAGGAAUUUUCGGUGCCCGGGUGUGAUAUAAGCAAGUUUCUAUAUUAUGCAUGUGGGGAAUUCCAAUUUCCUAGGAAGUUCCAGACUUCCAGUUUCCAUAUAGCGGUCAACCAAAAAAUCUUUCAAUUUGCUAGAAAGUUUAAAUUCCUAGAGAUUUACAUGUUAACCAAACUACCUCUUAUAAAUCUAGUUAUGGUACAUUAGGAAGAUUACAUUCUUACUAGGGAACGUUGAAGUUCUCAUUUCGGAAAGAUGUCGAGUAUGCACACUCUUAAUCCAGUUCUGAUUAAAAAAUUUAGAUUUUAGUGGCCUUAACAUAAACUAUGCACUGAUUUGCAUUUUAAUAUAUGAACCGUCAGUGAAUUAGCUUCCAGUAAGCUUUAUUAUCUUCUAAUGUCUAGCUGCAGAACUUUUUACUGUACUGGCAAAAGGAACAAUCCUACUCUAGUUUCUCCUCUAUGUGUUAAAUCAAGUUCUUUUAAAUCUUGCAAAGGAUGAAUCUGUCUUUAAGAAACAUCUGUAAAAAUAAUGCAUUCCGUUUUCAACAAACUACUAAAUCUUUCUAGAUAAAAUUCAUUUGAAUGGGCAUGCUCAAUCUAGCUUUGUGGUGAGUUCUUCGUUUCUCUAUUUGUUAGCAGGAAUGCUCCACGAACAGUAAAACAAGGAAGAAAACGGAAAGGACUUGCAGGAGAUCGGGUGACUCAGUUUGGGGAGCUUGGGGAAUUCUUCCUACUGAACUUCUGGUGUCAAUUUUGGUUAAAUUAAGUAUCGUGGACUACCUGUCAUUUAGCGGUGUUUGUAAAUCUUGGAGGUCUGCAUCUAUUGAUUUCCGCAAAUAUUGUAUGAUGCACCAGCAACCCCUAGUUGUUGUUCGGCCAAAGUAUUCAAAAAAAUCUUGUGUAUUGUACAAUAUGUUUGAUAUGAAAAAUUACAAAACAAUGCUACCAGAUUUGCCUUGCAAGAAAUUAUUGGGUUUCUCAUGUGGGUACCUGAUUACAAUCGACAGAAACUUAGGCUUUUGGCUCAUAAAUUAAAUGACAAAACAUGAGCUGCGUUUUCUCGUCCUUCCUGGACAUAUGGGUGGCAUAAACUGCUUUGAAUUUUCUGCUCUCCUCUGUCGGUCCGCUCGGCUUUCAGAAACUUUCAUGGUUCUUUUCUCUCAGACAGAAAAUUAUAUAUUGUUGUCCAAAAGUGGCGGCAGCAGUUGGCAGAGAUAUAUUUAUCCGACACAGAAGACAAGAUUGCAGAUGUGAAGAUUUUUUAUGGCAAAAUCUUUGUUUUGACUUCAUAUGUACGUUUUGGAGAAUUUAAUCCGAAGGCAGGUUCUGUUCCGAAGUUCUCCAAAAUCAGCAUCCCUUUCCCGGUUUCAUCUGAUACUUUUUUGAAGUUGGUGGCAUCAGACAAUAAGCUAUACAUUACUGUAAUAAAUUGUUAUCCUUAUCCUGCAUUGGACCGACAUCUGUCAUUAUUCGAAAUUGACCACGAGACAAUGGAUAGAGCAACACAGAUUCAUGACUUGGGUGCAAAAUCUUUAUUUCUUAGUUGGUUCAGUUCUGCUGUCGUCGAUACAACUGGUUGGGGAGCAGGUAACUGUGUCUGUGUUCUUCACUUAGGAAGUUUCAAUGCAUGUUCUUUCUUUAAACUGAAUGGAAAUCUGCUAGGAACAAUUCCUGUCGUUUGGGAUAGUCAUUCAUCUCCAUAUUUUUGGUAUUUUCCUAGUGAAACUUGGUCCAUCAGUUGUGUCAGUGAUGAGUUUGACGCAUGAUCACUUCUAAAUCUCAUAUCAGUUUUUCUCAUUAAGUCUGUAGUUUGUAUCUUCAUCUUUCAUAAUGCAACUUUGUACUAGUUCCAUUUUGAAAACUUUUAUACAUUGAUGCUGUAACGCAUUGGAGGCACCAGAACUCAAAUGUCAUUUUCUUUAUUUCUUAUUGACACCUUGUUUGUUCGUGUAUAAGACAGAUUCUUUGGUGAAAAAUUCCCAAUUUGAAGCUGCACUUUCUGCAGUUUAAUAUAGUUAUAUAUUUUUGUUAAUCAAAGUUUAAUUUAUAAAUGAUUACUUCGUUUCUGAAUUAUUGUAGUUACAGAUAGAUGAGUUAAUUUUCAAGGAGCUGCAGUUUCUCGUUCGAAAAUGAUUUCUAUAAUUUCUGAAUGAAGGGCCUCCAAGUUUGUCCUUCCAAACAAACUGAUCCUCUUUCUCAUCAAAUGAGUUCCUUCUGUCCAAAAGCUAAUAUUAUAUUAUAUUAGUUUGAGUAAAACUAAGUGGAGGUCCGAACCGACCUGUUUGAUACUGGAUAAAGCAAAUCUUGGUUGAUCUCAGUUUGCCUUGUUACACUGACGUAUUAGAACUGAUACCUACAUGUGCUCGAUUCGAUCUAUUUCUUUAUCUCCCCAUGCAUCGUAUGUUUGUAACAAUAUGGACAGAAUUUUCAACUUUACAACUAAUCCAGACUUUCCAACAGGGACGAAGCUACAUAGGGGCCAGACGGGGCCAUGGCCCCCAGGGUUUCAAUAGUAUUAUAAUUUCUAUUAUAUAAUUCUGAAAAAAAUUGUAUUUUAUCUAUAUAUUUAUAUAAAUAUAAAAAUUUGGUCCCUCUCAAAAAAUAUUUGUUCGCUUCUAAGAAAUAUUUAACAUUGUAAAAUAAAGUUUUCAUUCUUAGAUUUUUCUAAUUUAUUGUAUUAGACCAAAUUUAAAAAUAAAAAUAAACAAAAAUAUGGAUAUAUAUACAAUUAUAUUAUUUAAAAAAAUUGAUCAUAAAAUGUGAUAUGUGAUAAAUAUUAAUGUAAAUAUGGUUCUUUUUUUAAAAUAAGAAUCUUUGGUGAAGGUCUUAUCCAAAAAACUUAUAUCUCACUUCAUUUCUACAUUUUCAUAGAAUAGUUAGUCCUCGUGCAUUAUCAAUUUAUUAUUUAAUAUUAAUAUUGAUCUACUCAUAUUCAAUUUAAGUUUCCAAUGGAGAUUGUAUCUCUUCACAGGUGCAUUCUACAUUCACAUGCAUAAUAAUAUACUAUAUAGUCUAAUUGAUCGAUUUUCUUUAUAAGCUGGACAAAAUGAUUGGCAGGGCUUAAAAGCCCAUCUUUGGACUUACAAGUCAGUAACACAUUCGUAUUGUUUGCGUAAAAAACUGAUCAAUGAACUUGAGACUUAUAAGACAGAAUAUGAGAAGUUAGAAAAUCUCAACUUUUUUUUAGUCUUAUUUUAGAAAUUUCAUUUUACACGAAAGUAAAGGACCACUUUAAGAAAUAAUUUAGAAUAAUUUAUUAUUAUAAUAAUAAUUUUAUACCCUGUAAAUAUAAAAAAAUAUCCAAACAUAUACAUUAAAAGUUAAUUUUCAUUUUAUAUAACUUUUUACGUUUAAUCAAUUAACACAUCUUUUACAGCCUCAUUAUUCUCGUACCUUUAUCAGAGCACUUCCACGCUUCUGCCAUUUCCACAAUCCUACGAGAUGAUCUGAAUACAGUCCACCCACCAUUUAUUUUUUACAGAGAUUUCUCCUGCUUUUUUUCUCUUUCUCUACAAUCUUCUAAGCUCUAGUUUAUCUUAUAUAUCUUAUUUAAAUGGGCAAGGAGCAUUGCUUCUCCACUUCUGUAACCACAUGUGAAUUUACAGCUUCUAAAAAUCAUCCCAAUAUCCCAACACCAUAGAGGUCGGUCUGGAGUGCUACAUGUCUGGAGAAAUAACAGAAAAUAAUUUGUAUAGCUAGUAAUAUAUGACACAGAGUCUAAGUACUUGAAGCAAUUCUCAUUUUAAGUCUAGAAUACAAGUGGCUGGUAUGGUUGUAAAUACUAGAUCACAUAGUUGGUGAUUCUUAUUUCACGUGGAUCUGGUAUAAAAAAACAUCUAGAGAUUCCAAGGGAAGCAAAAAAUGGUGUGAAGAAAACAAUAGAUGCUUAAAAUAGAGAACGAACUAAUGCCUCCUUCGGGAAUCUCGAUCGCUGUAAAGUGAGAUGUAAAAUUACAAGCAACACCUUACCUGGACAAAAUGCAUGUAAACCAUACCCCUAGUUCUCAUCUCCAACGCUAAAGAUGAAACUGUUAGCUAAAAUAUCAUUAUCUAAAUUUUUUUGAGCCUGUAAGGAUUUUUGCUCCGGCGGGUAUUAGCUAAAACCAUUAGCUAUAUUCAAAAAAAUAAUUUUAAAUCUUAAUUACAAAUAUACAAUAAAAUAAUAUAUUUCGUUUUUAUUCUAUAUUAUUGAAAACAAAAUAAUAUCUUUAAUAAAAAAUGGUUAAUUAUAAUAUUUAGCAUUUUUAAAUUAUUAUAUUAUAAUUUUUUAAAAAUUUGAUUAGCAAUAAAGUAACAGUUUCUCAUAAUAUUACAUAACAAUAUUAUUUAUAAAAGAAACAUAAAUAAACAUCUAUACUUGAAAUAAUAAUAAUAGAACCUUAAAUAUUUCAAGUUAAAUAUCGUAAAAAUGAUUUAAGAUGGAAUGUGAUAUGCUAUAAAUUUAAAAAUAAAAUUUAGAAGGGCAAAAAUCAAAGUUAAACUGAAAGACUUUAAGCUAAUUAUCUUUUGAUAGAAAGGGUUUGAAAGAAUUAAAAAUAAAAAAUUAAUUAUUUUUUUAUUUAAUACAAGUGAAUAAAAAUAUAAUUAAUAAAAACAGAUAUACCGAUACUAUUCUAAUAAUAAAAACUUGAAAAAACUAAUUAACAAAAACUACUUAUAUCAUGUAAAAUAUUUACUAAUUUUCUUUGUUAUAAAUACACAAUAUAUAAGUCAUUAUAUUAGUUUAAUUAUAUUAUUUUUAUUAUAUAUUUUUUUAUAAAUAUUUUUACACUUUACAAUGCAUAAAAUUAAAUUAUAAAAUUAAAAAGUUAUACAAAUAUAUAUGAUAGAAUUAUAAUAUUAUGAUAGAUAUAUAAUAUAAAAUACACACCUAAGUUGGAGUAAAGUUAAAUUUUAAAAGAAAAUGACGUGGAUAUGAUAUAGAUCAGAGACACUCGUUCAACAAAUGUAGCGUGCUAAUUUCUCGGCAUCUAAAAAUAUUGCUAAGGGGUUGUUGCUUUGGAGUGGUGGUUUUUUCACAUAUUAGGUAUAUGAGUUGUCACGUAGGUUUUAAAGCUAACAGGUGACCUGCGUUGGAGAUGCUCUAACAACCGCAAAUUGAUAAGUGGUAUUUAUACACACUUAUAGGCCUUCAUUUCCACUUAAAUUGGUUGGUUGUACUUAAGUGUUUAGUGUUUUUUGAUGUGUUUUUAUUGUUUUUCUGUGCAGGUCACGAGUUGAGGUGAUGAAGUGAAUUUCUAUCAUUUUAGGUUGGUUUUGGUGCAUUAUUUGCAAGAAUAGAGAAUUAUGGAUUCACCGCGACUUGGGAUUUUGUGGGUAUAUCUUCUACAAACCCUCACGAGAGCACACUCGUCCACUAGAGCUAUCUAGGGGUUUAAAGGGCUUGUUGCAUAUGCUAAAUGCAACCGUGAUCACCUACGGAAGUGGUACUAGAAGCGAGGAAGGACAUGCACGCGAGAACGAGCGAGAAACGAAGAAACGGGGCUGCCAUCACAGACAGUAGCGCGCCCGCGCUACUUGACAGCGCGCCCGCGCUAUCCACUGGGACAACUAGCGCGCCUGCGCUAGUUUAGCGCGGCCGCGCCCAGCAGAAGUUCCCCGGGCCGAUUUUUACAGCUUUUUAGCGGAUUUUCGCAGCGGUCGAGGCCCGGUUGACUUGGUCAAUGUAUUUUUAUUUCUCGUGUGUAAAACCCUAGCCUCGGAGAAGUAGUUUUAGUAGAGAACAAUAUCGUAGUUAAGUUUUAUUCAUUCAAGCACAUUAUCAGUUUGUAUUAGAUCGUUCUUCGCGAGGAAGUGACAGUUUCGAGCGAGAUCGUGAACAUCAAAUCUGUAACGUGUGAUCUUUAUUAUUAAUUCAAGCAUUUUUAUUCCGUUUAAUUCUUGUCUUUUAUUUAUCAUGUUUUCAUUAGAACCCAUGAUGUCGAUUAGUUCGAUUAUGAACUAACCGCCUUCAUGGGAUUCUAAUGGAUUUAUCGAUGUAGUCUAGUAACGAAUAUUAAUUACUUGAUUUUGUGACGUACGUUGAUUUCUUUGCAUGAGCCGUGCUUAUUCUUCUUAGGAGCGUAGCUAACUUCUAAGUUGUUUGUUAAUUCUUUCUGAAGCGAGAGUGGAUGAUUGAAUUUAGAACUAUGCCAUGUAAACAUAGGAUUAUGUGAAUGAAACAUAAUUUGUGGUAGACUUGAACUAUUUUUAUCACCCUGUGUAAUCACGAUAGACGACUUGUUAUUAAACCUCUCUGCUUACACUACCGCUAUAGAGAUAUAGGGUCUGAGCUUUGUUGGUGUCCAUGAGAUUUCUGUCUUAAUUGCGGAUUUUGAUUGGUAUGAUAUGUGUGCAACGAGAGUUGGCAUGUAUUACUUUCGUGUUGUCUGAUUAGGAUCAACAGUCACAUUUUAAUCAGUAAUUUCAAUUCUAGAUGAAUUCGAUAAUGAAGUUAGAAUCCCAUGUGUUUUCCUAUUCUGAAUUUGAUUAGUAAUUUUAGUUAUUAGUAUAAAAGAAACCAUCCUUGUUAAUUGUCUUGGCAGUGAGAAUUGAACAUACAUUGUUGCAUAGGUGCGUAUUCUUAAUUCACCAGUCUCUGUGGGAUCGAACUUAAUAUAUUACUUGUGAUCACGUGCGCUUGCGUGUAGAUUUCACCGAACAAGUUUUUGGCGCCGCCGCCGGGGACUCGGUGUUAAUUAAUUAGUUUACGUACUUGUCAUCAGUGUGCAUUAAAAUUCACUGACUAGGAUUCUAUUCUCUUCUCACUUUUCUUCUUUUCUUUAUUUCAGGUACUUGGGUCGCGUUUAUGCAAACACGUUCUCAGACCCGUAAGAAAGCAAUUGAUUCAUCUUCAUCUUCUUCUUCUGAUUCUGAAACAAUGACAGAACCUGAAGCACAACCAGACAGUAAGGCAUUGAAGGACUUCUCUAUGCCAAAAAUCGAUGAUAUCCAAUCAAGCAUUGUCAGGCCUGCAAUCGCAGCCAAAGCCUUUGAAAUCAAACCAGGAACUAUUCAAAUGGUGCAGAACUCGGUACAGUAUGGGGGUUCUCCUACUGAAGACCCUAAUAUGCAUAUACGGAAUUUUAUAUAGAUCUGUGACACUUUCAAAUUCAAUGACGUCUCUGAUGAAGCUGUGAAGUUAAGACUUUUCCCAUUUUCACUGAAGGAUAAGGCCAAGGGAUGGUUACAUUCUUUGCCUUCUGGUUCGAUUACUACAUGGGAAGAUCUAGCUCAGAAAUUUCUCACUAAAUUCUUUCCCAUGGCAAAGACUGCUGCGCUACGAAAUGCUCUAUCUCAAUUCUCUCAACAAUCAGGAGAAACAUUCUGUGAAGCCUGGGAGCGAUAUAAGGAGAUGCUAAGGAAGUGUCCCCAUCAUGGCAUGCCGGAUUGGAUGCAAAUAAACAGUUUCUAUAAUGGUCUUGGACCUCAAUCCAGACCUAUGCUUGAUGCUGCUUCUGGAGGUGCGCUAUGGGCUAAAAGUUAUGAAGAAGCUUAUGAUCUUAUUGAAAUGAUGGCUGCUAAUGAAUAUCAGAACCCUACUCAAAGACUUACUCAAGGGAAGGUAGCCGGAAUUCUUGAUCUUGACACGUCUACAGCUAUAGCAGCUCAACUUAAGGCUCUCACGAUGAAAGUCGAUUCUCUGGCUCACCAAGGAAUUCAACAGCCAAUCUCUAUUUGCGAAUUAUGUGCUGGUACUCAUGCUACUGAUCAGUGUGCCAUUUCUAGUGAAUCAGCACAAUUUGUGAGCAACUUUCAGAGAGGUCAACAGCCUGCUCCAGCUACUUACCAUCCUAACAACCGAAAUCAUCCGAAUUUCAGCUGGAGUAAUAAUCAGGGUUAUAAUCAGCCUCAACAAGGAUUUCAACAGGGACCUAAACAGUAUAGUCAGGCUGGAACUUCACAACAGUAUGCACCUAAACAGCCAUAUCACCCUCCGGGAUUUCAGAAUCAUGGGCAAUCAGCUAACGAAAGGUCUGACAUGGAAGAGCUAAGACUCAUGUACAAGAGUCAGGCAGUAACUUUAAAAGCCUUGGAGACACAAGUCGGUCAGUUAGCUAAUGCUUUACUAAGCAGACCACAGGGGAAUCUCCCUAGUGAUACAGAGGUACCAGGUAAGAGGGACCCUAAAGAGCAAGUCCAAUCCAUUACGCUGAGAUCUGGAAAAACUACAACAGGGCCUACCUCAACAUUAGUACAAGAUCAGGGUGAUGAACCGCAAGAAAUUCCAGCAGAAGUUCCUUCAAAUACAAUUGGCACCAACCCUACUGUUGAAAAGGAUAAGGCUAUUCCUGCAGCUGCUCCGAUGUCAAAACCAGUAUAUCCACCACCUCCAUUUCCUAGGAGGUUAAAAAAACAGCAGCUGGAUAAGCAAUUUGGUAAAUUCCUAGAAGUAUUCAAAAAGCUUCACAUCAACAUUCCAUUUGCUGAAGCACUCGAGCAAAUGCCUAGUUAUGCCAAGUUCAUGAAGGGUAUUCUUUCAAAAAAGCUAAAGCUCGAGGAGUUAGAGACAGUGGCUUUAACGGAGGAAUGUAGUGCUGUGCUUCAACAGAAAUUACCACCUAAGCUGAAAGACCCGGGAAGCUUUACUAUCCCUUGCACUAUUGGGAAGUUCUCUUUUGAUAAGUGUCUGUGCGACUUGGGAGCUAGCAUCAAUCUGAUGCCUCUAUCUAUCUUCACACAACUUGGCCUGCCAGAGCUCAAGCCAACAAAUAUGUCUUUACAGUUGGCUGAUCGUUCGAUCACACAUCCGAGGGGUAUAAUUGAAGAUGUGCUAGUCAAGGUUGAUCAAUUAAUAUUUCCAGCAGACUUCGUGAUUCUUGAUUUUGAAGAAGACAAAAGGAUUCCUAUCAUCUUGGGUAGACCCUUCUUAGCCACCGGGCAAACAUUGAUCGAUGUCCAAAAAGGGGAACUUACAAUGAGAAUACAAGAUCAGACGGUCACGUUCAACGUAUUCAAUGCAAUGAAAUUACCAACCGAUGAGGAAUCUUGUUUUAGUAUGGAUGUACUUGAUACUACAGCAGAAGCUAAUAGCAAGCGGGUUUUACAGGAUGAUGCAUUGGAAGCGAUCCUUACAAAUGAUGAGGAAUGGGGCAGUGAAGAAGAAUUGGAAGAAAUCCAUCACCUUAACUCAUCACCUUGGAGAAGGAAUUUUGAACCACCUGUCGAAUCUCUUGGCUUGGAGGAACAAAAAGAAGAUCACAAACCACUACAACCAUCAGUAAUCGAAGCACCUAAACCUGAACUUAAACCACUACCGGAUCACUUAAGGUAUGCUUUUCUUGGUGAAGGUUCUACUCUUCCUGUUAUUGUUGCAUCUAACUUGUCAGGUGAGGAAGAGGAAAAACUUUUGAGGGUGCUAAGGGAAUUCAAAACAGCGAUUGGUUGGACCAUAGCUGAUAUCUUUCAAAUCCAAUACACAUACACCUCUUGCAACUCUAAUCUCUACCAAUGGCACCCAAAAGAGCCCGAAGAUCACAAGGAACGAGCACCCAAGCCCCCGCAUCUAGCGAUUCUUCCUCGAUGGGUGAAGUUGAGUUCACCUCGGAUGGAGCACGAACCGAGUUCCAACGGCUUAUGAAUAAGUCGAUAGUUAAGGAGAGGGGAUUCUUACCCACGGCGGAGGAUGGUGAGCUCUUGAACAUGAUUCAAGAACGGGGUUGGGAGUCUUUUUGCGAGGCUCCGGAGGCGGUUCCCUUGGCUAUUAUUCGAGAGUUUUAUGCUAAUGCCAAGGAGAAUCGCGAUGGAUUCACGGUGGUACGGGGAAUCCGGGUGGAUUAUAGUGCGGAUGCGAUCCGUAGAGUUAUUGGGGGGCGUGCCAGGCGCCGUAAUGAAGAAGAUUGGGUGGUUGAGAGGAUUGGGCGUGCUAAACGCCGGUUUGAUGAUGAUCCAGUUGAUCUUGAUCGAUUGGUGUAUGAUUUGUGUGUGCCGGAUACAGCUUGGAAGAUGACGCAACCUCCUUUGCCGGCNNNNNNNNNNNNNNNNNNNNNNNNNNNNNNNNNNNNNNNNNNNNNNNNNNNNNNNNNNNNNNNNNNNNNNNNNNNNNNNNNNNNNNNNNNNNNNNNNNNNNNNNNNNNNNNNNNNNNNNNNNNNNNNNNNNNNNNNNNNNNNNNNNNNNNNNNNNNNNNNNNNNNNNNNNNNNNNNNNNNNNNNNNNNNNNNNNNNNNNNNNNNNNNNNNNNNNNNNNNNNNNNNNNNNNNNNNNNNNNNNNNNNNNNNNNNNNNNNNNNNNNNNNNNNNNNNNNNNNNNNNNNNNNNNNNNNNNNNNNNNNNNNNNNNNNNNNNNNNNNNNNNNNNNNNNNNNNNNNNNNNNNNNNNNNNNNNNNNNNNNNNNNNNNNNNNNNNNNNNNNNNNNNNNNNNNNNNNNNNNNNNNNNNNNNNNNNNNNNNNNNNNNNNNNNNNNNNNNNNNNNNNNNNNNNNNNNNNNNNNNNNNNNNNNNNNNNNNNNNNNNNNNNNNNNNNNNNNNNNNNNNNNNNNNNNNNNNNNNNNNNNNNNNNNNNNNNNNNNNNNNNNNNNNNNNNNNNNNNNNNNNNNNNNNNNNNNNNNNNNNNNNNNNNNNNNNNNNNNNNNNNNNNNNNNNNNNNNNNNNNNNNNNNNNNNNNNNNNNNNNNNNNNNNNNNNNNNNNNNNNNNNNNNNNNNNNNNNNNNNNNNNNNNNNNNNNNNNNNNNNNNNNNNNNNNNNNNNNNNNNNNNNNNNNNNNNNNNNNNNNNNNNNNNNNNNNNNNNNNNNNNNNNNNNNNNNNNNNNNNNNNNNNNNNNNNNNNNNNNNNNNNNNNNNNNNNNNNNNNNNNNNNNNNNNNNNNNNNNNNNNNNNNNNNNNNNNNNNNNNNNNNNNNNNNNNNNNNNNNNNNNNNNNNNNNNNNNNNNNNNNNNNNNNNNNNNNNNNNNNNNNNNNNNNNNNNNNNNNNNNNNNNNNNNNNNNNNNNNNNNNNNNNNNNNNNNNNNNNNNNNNNNNNNNNNNNNNNNNNNNNNNNNNNNNNNNNNNNNNNNNNNNNNNNNNNNNNNNNNNNNNNNNNNNNNNNNNNNNNNNNNNNNNNNNNNNNNNNNNNNNNNNNNNNNNNNNNNNNNNNNNNNNNNNNNNNNNNNNNNNNNNNNNNNNNNNNNNNNNNNNNNNNNNNNNNNNNNNNNNNNNNNNNNNNNNNNNNNNNNNNNNNNNNNNNNNNNNNNNNNNNNNNNNNNNNNNNNNNNNNNNNNNNNNNNNNNNNNNNNNNNNNNNNNNNNNNNNNNNNNNNNNNNNNNNNNNNNNNNNNNNNNNNNNNNNNNNNNNNNNNNNNNNNNNNNNNNNNNNNNNNNNNNNNNNNNNNNNNNNNNNNNNNNNNNNNNNNNNNNNNNNNNNNNNNNNNNNNNNNNNNNNNNNNNNNNNNNNNNNNNNNNNNNNNNNNNNNNNNNNNNNNNNNNNNNNNNNNNNNNNNNNNNNNNNNNNNNNNNNNNNNNNNNNNNNNNNNNNNNNNNNNNNNNNNNNNNNNNNNNNNNNNNNNNNNNNNNNNNNNNNNNNNNNNNNNNNNNNNNNNNNNNNNNNNNNNNNNNNNNNNNNNNNNNNNNNNNNNNNNNNNNNNNNNNNNNNNNNNNNNNNNNNNNNNNNNNNNNNNNNNNNNNNNNNNNNNNNNNNNNNNNNNNNNNNNNNNNNNNNNNNNNNNNNNNNNNNNNNNNNNNNNNNNNNNNNNNNNNNNNNNNNNNNNNNNNNNNNNNNNNNNNNNNNNNNNNNNNNNNNNNNNNNNNNNNNNNNNNNNNNNNNNNNNNNNNNNNNNNNNNNNNNNNNNNNNNNNNNNNNNNNNNNNNNNNNNNNNNNNNNNNNNNNNNNNNNNNNNNNNNNNNNNNNNNNNNNNNNNNNNNNNNNNNNNNNNNNNNNNNNNNNNNNNNNNNNNNNNNNNNNNNNNNNNNCAUUGAAAAUUUUAAGGUAAUCUAAGGAAGAGCAUAUUAUUAGAUAGUUUUUUUUUUAUUUUUUUAUUUGCAUGUGUUAGUUAGUUCAUGUAGUUCACGUUUAUUUUAUUUUGCUUUGAUUAUUUCUCACAUUUUUUUUUUAUUUUUCUCAUUUUUUUUUUUUUAUUUUACAUGUUUAGUGGUAAUUGUCGUAGUUAGUAUCACGAGCAUUUGCAUGAAUUAUGAAGUUAAGCCAAGUUAAUUGCCUAUGAUGAGUUAUGUGCGUAGUUCUUGAUUAGUAGUUUCAAUUGCAAUGCUAGGUUAGUACUUGGAAACUGCUUGUGUUGGAAAUUGUAAUUCACAUAUGUUCUUGAGAUAGGAUUUAGACGAAAUUCCAUGAAUUCUAGGAUUGAAUUGAACACCCUUCAGCUUAGGUCUGUAAAUCUUAAGUUUGGGGGAACUGAGGAGUAGAUGUACCUUUCUAAAAAGAAAAAAAAAUAUAGAAAAGAAAAAAAAAUAGUAGUAAAUAAAUUCACUUAAAAAAUAAGUGGUAGAAUUAACUAGGUUGAGCUCAUUAGUACUCGAGUAAUUAAGUCUGAGGGGACUUUGUGCCUAACAACCUAAAGCCCUUCGUGGUUUGGGAUUGUUGACCCAACGCUCGCUACAUGGGUACUAGUGCAUAAAUCUUUAGGGAUCUCAACCAUUGCACGGUUAAAUAAACCACUAGAAUAGAGUGAAUAAUUGGUGUGUGAAGUCUUGUGGUGUUCGUAACGCAUUUACACUGCGAAGCGCUCUGACCUUAGACCGAGCAAUUAAUCACCAAUAAAAAGAAAAAAAAAAAUUAUAGUGAAUAAAAUAGAAGGGUGUAGACAUUCUUUGGGACCUUGGCUUUUAGUUGGACUUGAGUGACGGGGUGUUAGUUUUAAACUUUUACGAUUCUUGAUUGGGAUUCUGUGGGAGUAGUAGUUUUUGUCUUGUCUCAAUAAAAGAGCAUGCUUGCACACACUGGCACUCCACACUUGUAAAUAGAAGAGUAAUUGACUUAGUAGCGAGAGAGAUGAAAUUCGAGAACAUUAGCACAAUCUGAGGUAUUAUAAUUGGCAAGGCAAUUACUUCAUAGUUCACUCAUUCAUCACGUAGUUGCAUUCAUGCAUUGCAUUGUAUUAUUGUAUAGUGUCGUUGACGCUUGAGGACAAGCAUCAGUUUAAGUUUGGGGGUGUGAUAAGUGGUAUUUAUACACACUUAUAGGCCUUCAUUUCCACUUAAAUUGGUUGGUUGUACUUAAGUGUUUAGUGUCUUUUGAUGUGUUUUUAGUGUUUUUCUGUGCAGGUCACGAGUUGAGGUGAUGAAGUGAUUUUCUAUCAUUUUAGGUUGUUUUUGGUGCAUUAUUUGCAAGAAUAGAGAAUUGUGGAUUCAUCACGACUUGGGAUUUUGUGGGUACAUCUUCUACAAACCCUCACGAGAACACACUCGUCCACUAGAGCUAUCUAGGGGUUUAAAGGGCUUGUUGCAUGUGCUAAAUGCAACCGUGAUCACCUACGGAAGUGGUACUAGAGCGAGGAAGGGCAUGCACGCGAGAACGAGCUAAAAAACGAAGAAACGGGCUGCCAGUGGCAGACAGUAGCGCGCCCGCGCUAGAUCUUAGCGCGCCCGCGCUAGCUACUGUCCCACUAGCGCGCCUGCGCUAGUUUAGCGCGGCCGCGCCCAGCAGAGUUGUUCCGGGCCGAUUUUUGGAGCUUUUCUGAUGGAUUUUAGCAGCGGUCAAGGCCCGGUUGACUUGGUCAAUGUAUCUAAUUUCUCAUGUGUAAAAACCCUAGCCUCACUUGUAUCGUAGAAUAUCGGAAUAUAGUUUUAUCAGUUUUUCUCUUGUAAUAAAACACAUUAGUGAAUUGUAUUGGAUCGUUCUUCGCGAGGAAGUGACAGUUUCGAGCGAGAUCGUGAACAUCAAUUCUGUAACGUUGUGUUCUUAUUUAUUAAUUCAAGCAAUUGUCUUAUGUUUAAUUCUCGUCUUUUAUUUAUCAUGUUUUCAUUAGAACCCAUGAUGUCGAUUAGUUCGAUUAUGAACUAACCGCCUUCAUGGGAUUCUAAUGGAUUUAUCGAUGUAGUCUAGUAACGAAUAUUAAUUACUUGAUUUUGUGACGUACGUUGAUUUCUUUGCAUGAGCCGUGCUUAUUCUUCUUAGGAGCGUAGCUAACUUCUAAGUUGUUUGUUAAUUCUUUCUGAAGCGAGAGUGGAUGAUUGAAUUUAGAACUAUGCCAUGUAAACAUAGGAUUAUGUGAAUGAAACAUAAUUUGUGGUAGACUUGAACUAUUUUUAUCACCCUGUGUAAUCACGAUAGACGACUUGCUAUUAAACCUCUCUGCUUACACUACCGCUAUAGAGAUAUAGGGUCUGAGCUUUGUUGGUGUCCAUGAGAUUUCUGUCUUAAUUGUGGAUUUUGAUUGGUAUGAUAUGUGUGCAACGAGAGUUGGCAUGUAUUACUUUCGUGUUGUCUGAUUAGGAUCAACAGUCGCAUGUUAAUCAGUAAUUUCAAUUCUAGAUGAAUUCGAUAAUGAAAUUAGAAUCCCAUGUGUUUUCCUAUUCUGAAUUUGAUUAGUAAAUUUAAUUAUUAGUAUAAAAAGAACCCAAUCCUUGUUAAUUGUCUUAGCAGUGAUAAUUGAUCAUACAUUGUUGCAUAGGUGCGUAUUCUUAAUUCACCAGUCUCUGUGGGAUCGAACUUAAUAUAUUACUUGUGAUCACGUGCGCUUGCGUGUAGAUUUUUGCGAACACAAAUCCCAUACGAGUUCAAAAAAUUACUUGGCCUGUAUUGCAUAAUCAACACUAUAUCGUAUACAAAUUCAUCGUUUCAACAACAAAAAUUUUAAUAAAAUACAUAGAAAGCAACUAAGCACCGAGAUAGAGAAAUUGCCUCUCAAGAGUUGAUCAGCAAAAAGCUUCAUCAUCCUCUAGUGCCUAAAAUUUGUAUUAUUUUUCAAUCAACAAUUGCGUAUUGGAGAGGAGAAAUCCCAUCACUUAGCACUUUCAGCGCAUUAAGGGAGCGGAAAAAUGAUAAGAUAAAGCUUAUUUAAUCUCCAUUAGUGUGAUUCAAGUUUAUUUGGUGGUUCAAGUCUUUGGCUUCUCCCAAGAAGUUAAUGUGUAGGCUAAAGCAAAGCCAAAAUAUCACUUUUUAACUCUUUUUUUCUACAAAAAUAUCAUUUUUAGAUAGAUGAUCAAAAAUAUAUAUUCUCAAAAUAGAUAUCACAUAUAAAUUUAAAUUUAAAUUUUUAAAAAGACAGAUUCCCAUUUUCAGAAUGGCUAACCCCAAUAUUCAUUCUAAAAAUAUUAACUUUUUUAAAUUUUAUUUUUUUAUUAUAAAAAAUAUCUUAUCAUAUAUAACAACACACAAUGACCAAACAUAUAUAGCAUCGUUUAUUCAACACACAACACCAUCACCUACAUUAUGAAUUAUCCCUAAAAAAUUUAUAGAUAUUAGAUAAUGAUAAAUGGGUCACUCAUUCUCAAAACGACAAUAAAAUAAUAUUUUGAAUCAUUAGUUUAAAAAAUGGUAUGUAAAAGUAUGGUAUUUUUGUAUUUUUCUCUGUAAUUCCUCUCUUAAUUUUUAAGGUAGUAAAUGACAACUUUUAAGAAGAGGCAGUCAGGCUGCACUGCAGAUCCCCUUCCCUUCCCAUGUUGAGUACUACCUCAUUUCUUGAAUUUGUUAAAUACAAUUCUGAUACGCAUUUUCAAAAUGGGUAUCAAAAUGAUGGUAAAAAAACACGAGUAUCAAAAUGUAUGCAUUUUCAAAAUAGGUAUCGCUUAGAAAUCAAUAUUUUUUAAUUUUUAAAAGGACUGAUUCGUAUUCUCAAAAUUGGUACUGAGAUGCUCAUUCUUAAAAUAAUAACCUUCUUAAAAUUUUACUUUUUAUCAUCAAAAAUAUCUUAUCAUAUAUAACACCACACAAUUACCCACACAUAUAUACCACUAGGGGUGUACACGGUUCGGGUUGGGCGGGUUAGCGGAAUUUGUCAACCCAACCCAAUUAAUUCGGGUAUUCAAAAUUCCAACCCAAGCCGAACCGUAUAAAUUUGCAACCCAAACCAAUUUGUAGUACCUCGGUUUGGAUCGGAUUGGUUUGGUUUGGUUGGAUAUUAUAAAUUUGUAACACAAACAUUUAUAUUUGUUUGAUAUUUAAAUAGAUAAAUUUAAGACCACAAAUAUAUUUAAGUAGCAAACGAAUAUAGUAUUCAUGUUUGUGUGCUCUUAAACAAGCAUAGUAAUAAAUUUAAUCUCAUAUUCUCAUUCAUACAUUUAAUCUCAUAUACAUUCAAGUAGCAAACAAAAAUUAUUAUAUUGAAUUUAAGGAGCACACAAAUAUAAUAAACUAAAUAGACUAGACUAAUAUGUGAUGAGUUGGAUAAAUUUUAUAUGCUUUCAUACUUUUCAAUCGGGUUGGGUUGGAUCGGUUUACAAAUACUGAAACCCGUGUCCAACCCAAUUAAAUCGCGUUAAUACUUUUUUGGGUCCUGUUCCCUGACAAUUGAUUGUGAGGGAACAUUUACACAACACACUGUGUCCCAGUUGUUGGAUCGACGAUCCAACGGCUAGGACAAAAGGAAAAUUUUUUAGAUAUCCGCUGUAAAUAACCGCGGACACCAGGUCUUUCCGCCUGUUUUUUACGCGGACACACAGGGGUAUCCGCUGUUAAUAACAGCGGACAACAAAGACACAUGUAUUAACUGUCAAAAUACUAGAUCCUUCCUUCUCCAUAAAACUGAAAUUAUCAUUAUUACCUAUACAUUCUAAUAUUAAUAUUUUAUUAUAAAUUUAAUUGUUAUUUUUCUAAGAUUUUUUAUUGAUUGACUAAUUUUUUUUUUUGUGAAUAAUUAAUAUAUAAUUUUUAUUCUUGUCACAUAUUAUAUAUUAAUUAUAAGUAUUAUUUAUUUUUUGUCUUAUAUAAAAUAUAUUUAAAUUUAAUUUAUAUAACAAAAAUAUAAAAUGCUACUUAGACAAUGUAUGUUUUUUAGACGUUUUUCUUGUUUUAAAAUUUAAAUUAAUAUAAAAGAGAAUAAUAUUUAUGUGGUAUAUAUACCACAGAAUAAUAUUUAUGUACCGAAAAGAUCGAAUGGGUUUAUACCAGGCGGCAGCCCUACAGAGCCCCUUUCCCCUGUUCAAUAUCACCUCUCUUCUUAAGUUUGUUAACACGAGAGACCAUUUGUGCGGAAUCUUUAAUCUAUGGAUUGGGAUGUUUUUGUGCUGGAAAUUUCAGAUGGGAAAAAGGCUUGUGUAUAUGGUAUAAACCCAUUCAAUCUUUUAUGUUUCUGCUCAUCUUUUUAGUCAAGUUUGUUAUUCAUAUACAUUGUCUGUGGGAUCUAAUUUGGAUGGUAUAUUAGCUGAGGUGUAUUAUAUGAUUGCCACAAAAAAGGUUUUGAUCAAGGUCUGAUUUGGUGUUUGAUAACAGGCUUAUGUACAGUGGUUGUUCAUGGUAAAUUAUUCGAGAGUUUGGUCUCAAGUAGCAAAUGUUAUGCAAGGAGGCGAUAAUCUUGAACAGAGAAUGGGGGCAUGGUCUUGAAGGAAACAGGUGUGAGCGCUUCCAUGUAAUUAGUUUAUUGUAGUGGUUUUAUUUGUUACUUCCCGUGUGCUGUUUCAUGAUACUAAAUCUACACAAAUCAUAUUUUUUUGUCAUGUUAGGAGUGUUCUUGUGUAAUGGUUAAUUUCUGGUGUUCAACUAAUUUGAUAAAGAUAACAAAUAGGUCAUCAAUACGGNNNNNNNNNNNNNNNNNNNNNNNNNNNNNNNNNNNNNNNNNNNNNNNNNNNNNNNNNNNNNNNNNNNNNNNNNNNNNNNNNNNNNNNNNNNNNNNNNNNNNNNNNNNNNNNNNNNNNNNNNNNNNNNNNNNNNNNNNNNNNNNNNNNNNNNNNNNNNNNNNNNNNNNNNNNNNNNNNNNNNNNNNNNNNNNNNNNNNNNNNNNNNNNNNNNNNNNNNNNNNNNNNNNNNNNNNNNNNNNNNNNNNNNNNNNNNNNNNNNNNNNNNNNNNNNNNNNNNNNNNNNNNNNNNNNNNNNNNNNNNNNNNNNNNNNNNNNNNNNNNNNNNNNNNNNNNNNNNNNNNNNNNNNNNNNNNNNNNNNNNNNNNNNNNNNNNNNNNNNNNNNNNNNNNNNNNNNNNNNNNNNNNNNNNNNNNNNNNNNNNNNNNNNNNNNNNNNNNNNNNNNNNNNNNNNNNNNNNNNNNNNNNNNNNNNNNNNNNNNNNNNNNNNNNNNNNNNNNNNNNNNNNNNNNNNNNNNNNNNNNNNNNNNNNNNNNNNNNNNNNNNNNNNNNNNNNNNNNNNNNNNNNNNNNNNNNNNNNNNNNNNNNNNNNNNNNNNNNNNNNNNNNNNNNNNNNNNNNNNNNNNNNNNNNNNNNNNNNNNNNNNNNNNNNNNNNNNNNNNNNNNNNNNNNNNNNNNNNNNNNNNNNNNNNNNNNNNNNNNNNNNNNNNNNNNNNNNNNNNNNNNNNNNNNNNNNNNNNNNNNNNNNNNNNNNNNNNNNNNNNNNNNNNNNNNNNNNNNNNNNNNNNNNNNNNNNNNNNNNNNNNNNNNNNNNNNNNNNNNNNNNNNNNNNNNNNNNNNNNNNNNNNNNNNNNNNNNNNNNNNNNNNNNNNNNNNNNNNNNNNNNNNNNNNNNNNNNNNNNNNNNNNNNNNNNNNNNNNNNNNNNNNNNNNNNNNNNNNNNNNNNNNNNNNNNNNNNNNNNNNNNNNNNNNNNNNNNNNNNNNNNNNNNNNNNNNNNNNNNNNNNNNNNNNNNNNNNNNNNNNNNNNNNNNNNNNNNNNNNNNNNNNNNNNNNNNNNNNNNNNNNNNNNNNNNNNNNNNNNNNNNNNNNNNNNNNNNNNNNNNNNNNNNNNNNNNNNNNNNNNNNNNNNNNNNNNNNNNNNNNNNNNNNNNNNNNNNNNNNNNNNNNNNNNNNNNNNNNNNNNNNNNNNNNNNNNNNNNNNNNNNNNNNNNNNNNNNNNNNNNNNNNNNNNNNNNNNNNNNNNNNNNNNNNNNNNNNNNNNNNNNNNNNNNNNNNNNNNNNNNNNNNNNNNNNNNNNNNNNNNNNNNNNNNNNNNNNNNNNNNNNNNNNNNNNNNNNNNNNNNNNNNNNNNNNNNNNNNNNNNNNNNNNNNNNNNNNNNNNNNNNNNNNNNNNNNNNNNNNNNNNNNNNNNNNNNNNNNNNNNNNNNNNNNNNNNNNNNNNNNNNNNNNNNNNNNNNNNNNNNNNNNNNNNNNNNNNNNNNNNNNNNNNNNNNNNNNNNNNNNNNNNNNNNNNNNNNNNNNNNNNNNNNNNNNNNNNNNNNNNNNNNNNNNNNNNNNNNNNNNNNNNNNNNNNNNNNNNNNNNNNNNNNNNNNNNNNNNNNNNNNNNNNNNNNNNNNNNNNNNNNNNNNNNNNNNNNNNNNNNNNNNNNNNNNNNNNNNNNNNNNNNNNNNNNNNNNNNNNNNNNNNNNNNNNNNNNNNNNNNNNNNNNNNNNNNNNNNNNNNNNNNNNNNNNNNNNNNNNNNNNNNNNNNNNNNNNNNNNNNNNNNNNNNNNNNNNNNNNNNNNNNNNNNNNNNNNNNNNNNNNNNNNNNNNNNNNNNNNNNNNNNNNNNNNNNNNNNNNNNNNNNNNNNNNNNNNNNNNNNNNNNNNNNNNNNNNNNNNNNNNNNNNNNNNNNNNNNNNNNNNNNNNNNNNNNNNNNNNNNNNNNNNNNNNNNNNNNNNNNNNNNNNNNNNNNNNNNNNNNNNNNNNNNNNNNNNNNNNNNNNNNNNNNNNNNNNNNNNNNNNNNNNNNNNNNNNNNNNNNNNNNNNNNNNNNNNNNNNNNNNNNNNNNNNNNNNNNNNNNNNNNNNNNNNNNNNNNNNNNNNNNNNNNNNNNNNNNNNNNNNNNNNNNNNNNNNNNNNNNNNNNNNNNNNNNNNNNNNNNNNNNNNNNNNNNNNNNNNNNNNNNNNNNNNNNNNNNNNNNNNNNNNNNNNNNNNNNNNNNNNNNNNNNNNNNNNNNNNNNNNNNNNNNNNNNNNNNNNNNNNNNNNNNNNNNNNNNNNNNNNNNNNNNNNNNNNNNNNNNNNNNNNNNNNNNNNNNNNNNNNNNNNNNNNNNNNNNNNNNNNNNNNNNNNNNNNNNNNNNNNNNNNNNNNNNNNNNNNNNNNNNNNNNNNNNNNNNNNNNNNNNNNNNNNNNNNNNNNNNNNNNNNNNNNNNNNNNNNNNNNNNNNNNNNNNNNNNNNNNNNNNNNNNNNNNNNNNNNNNNNNNNNNNNNNNNNNNNNNNNNNNNNNNNNNNNNNNNNNNNNNNNNNNNNNNNNNNNNNNNNNNNNNNNNNNNNNNNNNNNNNNNNNNNNNNNNNNNNNNNNNNNNNNNNNNNNNNNNNNNNNNNNNNNNNNNNNNNNNNNNNNNNNNNNNNNNNNNNNNNNNNNNNNNNNNNNNNNNNNNNNNNNNNNNNNNNNNNNNNNNNNNNNNNNNNNNNNNNNNNNNNNNNNNNNNNNNNNNNNNNNNNNNNNNNNNNNNNNNNNNNNNNNNNNNNNNNNNNNNNNNNNNNNNNNNNNNNNNNNNNNNNNNNNNNNNNNNNNNNNNNNNNNNNNNNNNNNNNNNNNNNNNNNNNNNNNNNNNNNNNNNNNNNNNNNNNNNNNNNNNNNNNNNNNNNNNNNNNNNNNNNNNNNNNNNNNNNNNNNNNNNNNNNNNNNNNNNNNNNNNNNNNNNNNNNNNNNNNNNNNNNNNNNNNNNNNNNNNNNNNNNNNNNNNNNNNNNNNNNNNNNNNNNNNNNNNNNNNNNNNNNNNNNNNNNNNNNNNNNNNNNNNNNNNNNNNNNNNNNNNNNNNNNNNNNNNNNNNNNNNNNNNNNNNNNNNNNNNNNNNNNNNNNNNNNNNNNNNNNNNNNNNNNNNNNNNNNNNNNNNNNNNNNNNNNNNNNNNNNNNNNNNNNNNNNNNNNNNNNNNNNNNNNNNNNNNNNNNNNNNNNNNNNNNNNNNNNNNNNNNNNNNNNNNNNNNNNNNNNNNNNNNNNNNNNNNNNNNNNNNNNNNNNNNNNNNNNNNNNNNNNNNNNNNNNNNNNNNNNNNNNNNNNNNNNNNNNNNNNNNNNNNNNNNNNNNNNNNNNNNNNNNNNNNNNNNNNNNNNNNNNNNNNNNNNNNNNNNNNNNNNNNNNNNNNNNNNNNNNNNNNNNNNNNNNNNNNNNNNNNNNNNNNNNNNNNNNNNNNNNNNNNNNNNNNNNNNNNNNNNNNNNNNNNNNNNNNNNNNNNNNNNNNNNNNNNNNNNNNNNNNNNNNNNNNNNNNNNNNNNNNNNNNNNNNNNNNNNNNNNNNNNNNNNNNNNNNNNNNNNNNNNNNNNNNNNNNNNNNNNNNNNNNNNNNNNNNNNNNNNNNNNNNNNNNNNNNNNNNNNNNNNNNNNNNNNNNNNNNNNNNNNNNNNNNNNNNNNNNNNNNNNNNNNNNNNNNNNNNNNNNNNNNNNNNNNNNNNNNNNNNNNNNNNNNNNNNNNNNNNNNNNNNNNNNNNNNNNNNNNNNNNNNNNNNNNNNNNNNNNNNNNNNNNNNNNNNNNNNNNNNNNNNNNNNNNNNNNNNNNNNNNNNNNNNNNNNNNNNNNNNNNNNNNNNNNNNNNNNNNNNNNNNNNNNNNNNNNNNNNNNNNNNNNNNNNNNNNNNNNNNNNNNNNNNNNNNNNNNNNNNNNNNNNNNNNNNNNNNNNNNNNNNNNNNNNNNNNNNNNNNNNNNNNNNNNNNNNNNNNNNNNNNNNNNNNNNNNNNNNNNNNNNNNNNNNNNNNNNNNNNNNNNNNNNNNNNNNNNNNNNNNNNNNNNNNNNNNNNNNNNNNNNNNNNNNNNNNNNNNNNNNNNNNNNNNNNNNNNNNNNNNNNNNNNNNNNNNNNNNNNNNNNNNNNNNNNNNNNNNNNNNNNNNNNNNNNNNNNNNNNNNNNNNNNNNNNNNNNNNNNNNNNNNNNNNNNNNNNNNNNNNNNNNNNNNNNNNNNNNNNNNNNNNNNNNNNNNNNNNNNNNNNNNNNNNNNNNNNNNNNNNNNNNNNNNNNNNNNNNNNNNNNNNNNNNNNNNNNNNNNNNNNNNNNNNNNNNNNNNNNNNNNNNNNNNNNNNNNNNNNNNNNNNNNNNNNNNNNNNNNNNNNNNNNNNNNNNNNNNNNNNNNNNNNNNNNNNNNNNNNNNNNNNNNNNNNNNNNNNNNNNNNNNNNNNNNNNNNNNNNNNNNNNNNNNNNNNNNNNNNNNNNNNNNNNNNNNNNNNNNNNNNNNNNNNNNNNNNNNNNNNNNNNNNNNNNNNNNNNNNNNNNNNNNNNNNNNNNNNNNNNNNNNNNNNNNNNNNNNNNNNNNNNNNNNNNNNNNNNNNNNNNNNNNNNNNNNNNNNNNNNNNNNNNNNNNNNNNNNNNNNNNNNNNNNNNNNNNNNNNNNNNNNNNNNNNNNNNNNNNNNNNNNNNNNNNNNNNNNNNNNNNNNNNNNNNNNNNNNNNNNNNNNNNNNNNNNNNNNNNNNNNNNNNNNNNNNNNNNNNNNNNNNNNNNNNNNNNNNNNNNNNNNNNNNNNNNNNNNNNNNNNNNNNNNNNNNNNNNNNNNNNNNNNNNNNNNNNNNNNNNNNNNNNNNNNNNNNNNNNNNNNNNNNNNNNNNNNNNNNNNNNNNNNNNNNNNNNNNNNNNNNNNNNNNNNNNNNNNNNNNNNNNNNNNNNNNNNNNNNNNNNNNNNNNNNNNNNNNNNNNNNNNNNNNNNNNNNNNNNNNNNNNNNNNNNNNNNNNNNNNNNNNNNNNNNNNNNNNNNNNNNNNNNNNNNNNNNNNNNNNNNNNNNNNNNNNNNNNNNNNNNNNNNNNNNNNNNNNNNNNNNNNNNNNNNNNNNNNNNNNNNNNNNNNNNNNNNNNNNNNNNNNNNNNNNNNNNNNNNNNNNNNNNNNNNNNNNNNNNNNNNNNNNNNNNNNNNNNNNNNNNNNNNNNNNNNNNNNNNNNNNNNNNNNNNNNNNNNNNNNNNNNNNNNNNNNNNNNNNNNNNNNNNNNNNNNNNNNNNNNNNNNNNNNNNNNNNNNNNNNNNNNNNNNNNNNNNNNNNNNNNNNNNNNNNNNNNNNNNNNNNNNNNNNNNNNNNNNNNNNNNNNNNNNNNNNNNNNNNNNNNNNNNNNNNNNNNNNNNNNNNNNNNNNNNNNNNNNNNNNNNNNNNNNNNNNNNNNNNNNNNNNNNNNNNNNNNNNNNNNNNNNNNNNNNNNNNNNNNNNNNNNNNNNNNNNNNNNNNNNNNNNNNNNNNNNNNNNNNNNNNNNNNNNNNNNNNNNNNNNNNNNNNNNNNNNNNNNNNNNNNNNNNNNNNNNNNNNNNNNNNNNNNNNNNNNNNNNNNNNNNNNNNNNNNNNNNNNNNNNNNNNNNNNNNNNNNNNNNNNNNNNNNNNNNNNNNNNNNNNNNNNNNNNNNNNNNNNNNNNNNNNNNNNNNNNNNNNNNNNNNNNNNNNNNNNNNNNNNNNNNNNNNNNNNNNNNNNNNNNNNNNNNNNNNNNNNNNNNNNNNNNNNNNNNNNNNNNNNNNNNNNNNNNNNNNNNNNNNNNNNNNNNNNNNNNNNNNNNNNNNNNNNNNNNNNNNNNNNNNNNNNNNNNNNNNNNNNNNNNNNNNNNNNNNNNNNNNNNNNNNNNNNNNNNNNNNNNNNNNNNNNNNNNNNNNNNNNNNNNNNNNNNNNNNNNNNNNNNNNNNNNNNNNNNNNNNNNNNNNNNNNNNNNNNNNNNNNNNNNNNNNNNNNNNNNNNNNNNNNNNNNNNNNNNNNNNNNNNNNNNNNNNNNNNNNNNNNNNNNNNNNNNNNNNNNNNNNNNNNNNNNNNNNNNNNNNNNNNNNNNNNNNNNNNNNNNNNNNNNNNNNNNNNNNNNNNNNNNNNNNNNNNNNNNNNNNNNNNNNNNNNNNNNNNNNNNNNNNNNNNNNNNNNNNNNNNNNNNNNNNNNNNNNNNNNNNNNNNNNNNNNNNNNNNNNNNNNNNNNNNNNNNNNNNNNNNNNNNNNNNNNNNNNNNNNNNNNNNNNNNNNNNNNNNNNNNNNNNNNNNNNNNNNNNNNNNNNNNNNNNNNNNNNNNNNNNNNNNNNNNNNNNNNNNNNNNNNNNNNNNNNNNNNNNNNNNNNNNNNNNNNNNNNNNNNNNNNNNNNNNNNNNNNNNNNNNNNNNNNNNNNNNNNNNNNNNNNNNNNNNNNNNNNNNNNNNNNNNNNNNNNNNNNNNNNNNNNNNNNNNNNNNNNNNNNNNNNNNNNNNNNNNNNNNNNNNNNNNNNNNNNNNNNNNNNNNNNNNNNNNNNNNNNNNNNNNNNNNNNNNNNNNNNNNNNNNNNNNNNNNNNNNNNNNNNNNNNNNNNNNNNNNNNNNNNNNNNNNNNNNNNNNNNNNNNNNNNNNNNNNNNNNNNNNNNNNNNNNNNNNNNNNNNNNNNNNNNNNNNNNNNNNNNNNNNNNNNNNNNNNNNNNNNNNNNNNNNNNNNNNNNNNNNNNNNNNNNNNNNNNNNNNNNNNNNNNNNNNNNNNNNNNNNNNNNNNNNNNNNNNNNNNNNNNNNNNNNNNNNNNNNNNNNNNNNNNNNNNNNNNNNNNNNNNNNNNNNNNNNNNNNNNNNNNNNNNNNNNNNNNNNNNNNNNNNNNNNNNNNNNNNNNNNNNNNNNNNNNNNNNNNNNNNNNNNNNNNNNNNNNNNNNNNNNNNNNNNNNNNNNNNNNNNNNNNNNNNNNNNNNNNNNNNNNNNNNNNNNNNNNNNNNNNNNNNNNNNNNNNNNNNNNNNNNNNNNNNNNNNNNNNNNNNNNNNNNNNNNNNNNNNNNNNNNNNNNNNNNNNNNNNNNNNNNNNNNNNNNNNNNNNNNNNNNNNNNNNNNNNNNNNNNNNNNNNNNNNNNNNNNNNNNNNNNNNNNNNNNNNNNNNNNNNNNNNNNNNNNNNNNNNNNNNNNNNNNNNNNNNNNNNNNNNNNNNNNNNNNNNNNNNNNNNNNNNNNNNNNNNNNNNNNNNNNNNNNNNNNNNNNNNNNNNNNNNNNNNNNNNNNNNNNNNNNNNNNNNNNNNNNNNNNNNNNNNNNNNNNNNNNNNNNNNNNNNNNNNNNNNNNNNNNNNNNNNNNNNNNNNNNNNNNNNNNNNNNNNNNNNNNNNNNNNNNNNNNNNNNNNNNNNNNNNNNNNNNNNNNNNNNNNNNNNNNNNNNNNNNNNNNNNNNNNNNNNNNNNNNNNNNNNNNNNNNNNNNNNNNNNNNNNNNNNNNNNNNNNNNNNNNNNNNNNNNNNNNNNNNNNNNNNNNNNNNNNNNNNNNNNNNNNNNNNNNNNNNNNNNNNNNNNNNNNNNNNNNNNNNNNNNNNNNNNNNNNNNNNNNNNNNNNNNNNNNNNNNNNNNNNNNNNNNNNNNNNNNNNNNNNNNNNNNNNNNNNNNNNNNNNNNNNNNNNNNNNNNNNNNNNNNNNNNNNNNNNNNNNNNNNNNNNNNNNNNNNNNNNNNNNNNNNNNNNNNNNNNNNNNNNNNNNNNNNNNNNNNNNNNNNNNNNNNNNNNNNNNNNNNNNNNNNNNNNNNNNNNNNNNNNNNNNNNNNNNNNNNNNNNNNNNNNNNNNNNNNNNNNNNNNNNNNNNNNNNNNNNNNNNNNNNNNNNNNNNNNNNNNNNNNNNNNNNNNNNNNNNNNNNNNNNNNNNNNNNNNNNNNNNNNNNNNNNNNNNNNNNNNNNNNNNNNNNNNNNNNNNNNNNNNNNNNNNNNNNNNNNNNNNNNNNNNNNNNNNNNNNNNNNNNNNNNNNNNNNNNNNNNNNNNNNNNNNNNNNNNNNNNNNNNNNNNNNNNNNNNNNNNNNNNNNNNNNNNNNNNNNNNNNNNNNNNNNNNNNNNNNNNNNNNNNNNNNNNNNNNNNNNNNNNNNNNNNNNNNNNNNNNNNNNNNNNNNNNNNNNNNNNNNNNNNNNNNNNNNNNNNNNNNNNNNNNNNNNNNNNNNNNNNNNNNNNNNNNNNNNNNNNNNNNNNNNNNNNNNNNNNNNNNNNNNNNNNNNNNNNNNNNNNNNNNNNNNNNNNNNNNNNNNNNNNNNNNNNNNNNNNNNNNNNNNNNNNNNNNNNNNNNNNNNNNNNNNNNNNNNNNNNNNNNNNNNNNNNNNNNNNNNNNNNNNNNNNNNNNNNNNNNNNNNNNNNNNNNNNNNNNNNNNNNNNNNNNNNNNNNNNNNNNNNNNNNNNNNNNNNNNNNNNNNNNNNNNNNNNNNNNNNNNNNNNNNNNNNNNNNNNNNNNNNNNNNNNNNNNNNNNNNNNNNNNNNNNNNNNNNNNNNNNNNNNNNNNNNNNNNNNNNNNNNNNNNNNNNNNNNNNNNNNNNNNNNNNNNNNNNNNNNNNNNNNNNNNNNNNNNNNNNNNNNNNNNNNNNNNNNNNNNNNNNNNNNNNNNNNNNNNNNNNNNNNNNNNNNNNNNNNNNNNNNNNNNNNNNNNNNNNNNNNNNNNNNNNNNNNNNNNNNNNNNCACCGUUAUUGGGGCCUUUUCUCCUUAGGUUGGUAUUCAGAUAUUGAGGAUAUUUUAACAAUUUAGGAAAUGCGGCGCCUUUUCUCCUGCUUUUAAGCAUCCGCAACCAGGCUGCAUCCCUACAGAGCCCCUUCCCUUGUUCAGUAUUACUAUCUCUCUUCUUAAGUUUGUUAACACAAGAAACCAUUCGUGUAAUCUUUUAAUCAAUGGUGGGGUUUUUUGUGUUUGGGUCGCUGUUUCAAAGCGCGACCCGUGCUGUAAAAAGUUUUUCGUUCAGGUCGCGUUUUCUCCCCUCAUUUAGACUGGUUAGUUUUGAAAGCUCGAAAAAAAACUGGUUACUUUUGAAAAGUGGUUGAAUAGAGUGGUUACAAAUGAUACGGAGCCCAAUCUUUUAUGUUUCUGCUCAUCUUUUUAGUCAAGUUUGUUAUUCAUAUACAUUGUCUGUGGGAUCUAAUUUGGAUGGUAUAUUAGCUGAGGUGUAUUAUAUGAUUGCCACAAAAAAGGUUUUGAUCAAGGUCUGAUUUGGUGUUUGAUAACAGGCUUAUGUACAGUGGUUGUUCAUGGUAAAUUAUUCGAGAGUUUGGUCUCAAGUAGCAAAUGUUAUGCAAGGAGGCGAUAAUCUUGAACAGAGAAUGGGGGCAUGGUCUAGAAGGAAACAGGUGUGAGCGUUUCAUGUAAUUAGUUUAUUCUAGUGGUUUUAUUUGUUAAAUCCAGCGUGCUGUUUCAUGAUGCUAUCUACACAAAUCAAUUUUUUUUGUCAUGUUGGGAGUGUUCUUGUGUAAUGGUUAAUUUCUGGUGUUCAACUAAUAUGAUAAAGAUAACAAAUAGGUCAUCAAUACGCGCGGAAGAUCAAUAUAGAAAGACAAGUUUUUAAGGAACAAUAAUGCGAAAAUCUAAGACGUUGGGAGCAAACUUAAAUACAGCAGACCCAAUGUUGAACAUAAUGAAUGUGGCACAUUGAGGCACUUUCAAUUUGUAAAUGUUACUCGUUCUAAACGAAUGUUUAAACAUAAUGAAUGUGGCUUUGNAUGUUGAACAUUUGGCGAACCCUGCGGCACAUUGAGGCACUUUCAAUAUGUAAAUGUUACUGGUUCUAAACGAAUAUUCAAACAUAAUGAAUGUGGCUUUGGAAAGAUAAGCAUGCAUAGGUGCUAUGUAAAUCAUUUAAGAGAAAGCCCAGACUUCUUAUAAUUUCGCUUUAUCAUUUCGUUCCUACUGGUCCUGGGAUUAGACUAAAUUACGCUACAACUAGUUGUGAUUUCCAACACAACAAAAAUUAAUAUCACUCUAGUAAACAAAAUCUACAAUCCUCUGAAGGGAAGAUUUACUUGUCAAUCAGAUAGUACGGGCAAAAAAUGAACAGAAAUGGCAAUGGAACUCGCCAACUCACCUGAAAUUACCCUAGUCCGCGGCAAAUCGCCCUUCUGUAGUGCUCACAAAAUUUUUAAAAUAAAAAAGAGACUUGGGUUGACAUAGGAAAAGAUAUAUGCUGAGGUGGACAGUCCGGAUAAGGUGAUGGUUUGGUGAGACUUGCACCAUAUGAAGACACAUGUUAGUAUAGAUAUACCCCUGCUACGGAUCAUUUGAGGUGGGCCGGAUCGAGAUCACUACCCUCAUGGCCGGAUUAAUAUAUAUUUUCAAAAAUACUAUGAUCAAUAUAUAUAUAUAUAUAUAUAUAUAUAUUAAUUAACUUAAUCGCGGAUUCACUUUUACAUAUAUUGAAAGAGUUCAUGUAUAUGAGCAAGUUGUGACGAACACAAAAUUGGUAACUUUGCAAUUUAAUAUUGUCAUUUCCACGAGGUCAUUGGGUCAAAUCUAAUAAUUCUUUGUCCAUUUUUUACAAGAUUAAUAAUGCCCGGAUAUAAUUAGUGUGUAACACUAAAUACAAUUGUCACUACUUGCUCACAUACAUGAACUAUUCAAUUAAAAUAUAAGUAAAUCCGCGAUUAAGUUAAUAUAUGGAUCAUAGCAUUUCUGAAAAUACAUAUUAGUUCCUGACGAUUAUCCGGUCAUUGGUCAUGUAAUAAGCCUUUGGGGUAGUGAUCUCGAUCUGGCCCACCUCAAAUGAUCUGUGGUGGGGUUUAAUUUAUACUAACAUGUGUCGUUAUAUGGUACAAUCUCAGCAACCCAUUACCAUAUCCUGACCGUCCAUCUCAUCACAUAUCAAUCCUAUGUCGAACCAGGUCUAUUUUAAAUUUAAGAAAUUUUGAGAGCACUGCUUGACGGCGAUUUGCGGCGAACUAGGGUAAAUUUCAGGUGAGUUGGCGAGUACCAUUGUCGUUUCUGUUCAGUUUUUGCCCGUAUAAUUUGAUCAACAAGUAAAUCUUCCCUUCAGAGGAUUGUAGAUUUUGUUUAUCGAGUACCAUUGUCGUUUCUGUUCAGUUUUUGCCCGUAUAAUUUGAUCUACAAGUAAAUCUUCCCUUCAGAGGAUUGUAGAUUUUGUUUAUUAGAGUGAUGUUAAUUUUUGUUUUGCUGGACAUCACAACUAGAUGUUAGCUUAAUUUAGUCCAAUCCUUGGACCGGUCAGAAGGAAUUGAUAAAGCAAAACUGUAUGAAGCCUUGGCUUUCUCUUGAAUAAUUUAAUAAAUAAAAAUCCAAUACUCCAAUUUUAUUCAUGUAAUAAGUAUUGAUUAAGUUUCUAAACCUGCCAGACAGUGUGGUAAUAUUAAUUUUCUGUUCACUUUUACUUGAUUGUUUCCUUAAAUUUACCGUUAAAUGUGUUAAAAUCUAAUACAUAUCAAUAUUAUUUUCUUUUUAUGAUAUCUUGACUUGAUGAGAUCAGUUAAGGAAAUAGCGGUGUAUGAUCUGACACUUGUAAAUAUUAAGGCAAUCAUUGUAUGGUUCUCACAUAUUUACCGAAUGUUUUUGAAGAACGUAAUUUGCUGCAGGAACAAAUUAGUGUGACAUGCUGUGUAGGAUUAAAAUAAAUUUGGUUAACUCCUCUUCUUCUUCUCUGUGUCUUCUUCUGUUACUUUGCGGGUAUGUAAACCCGAAUUUACUUGAUGGUAGUGUGACAUAGAACAUAAUCCUUAAUACACUAGUCGUGCUUCACAUUUCAUUGUAUCGCUUGUCUACUAAGAAUUAUAAUGUCUGCGAAUGCAAUUGUUUUUAUGAAUGAAACAUGCCAAGCUUUCGAGUAUGCAAUGUAAAUAAUUGUUUUGGGCUUAUUAAUAGCUGCCCAAGUCAAGCUAAUGUUCUUCCAACUAGCAUAACCGAUUAUAUGCUUCGUGACCUGUUAUUUAUUAAAGAAGUCCGUUGGUCCAAAGACUUUACAGUGUUGAUAGUUGCUUUAGUUAUAUUAGUCACUGUGAUACUCUGUAGACAGUAACAAACAUAACACCUGAGGAACUAGACAGCAUUUGGAGCAUGUCCACCCUUUUGUGGUGAAUAUAUAUAUAAAGAACCAAUAGAACACCACGUACUUAAAUUGUAAAUCGAUUUUGGUAGGUAACGUAACUUAGACAUUCUGAUGUGUCUAUUAAAGCAACCUGAAAGAGGUCUAAGUACUUUGAAGUACCACUUUUUUGACAUUUUUGAUUUCUGUGUGACCCUUUAAUCAGAAUUAUUGGAUGUCGUAUGCUUAGAAUUUUGGAUGCUAAUGAAAAAGAAAAUGAAGACUGAAAAAAAAAUGGUUUCAUGCUGUCAAAAGAUGUCACUACAAGAAAAACUGGGUAUUUUUGACCGAUUAUUUUUGACCGGCUUAUUUUUGACCGCUAGCAGUCAAAUUUAAGGUCAACUUCAUAUGAUAUCAAGUCAAGGUUAAAAUUGACCGACUAUUUUUGACCGCUUUCAUAUUUGACCAAAACCGGUCAAAUUUAGCACCGGUCAAAUUUAUCCGGUCAAAUUUAGUAUGCGGGUCCCCAAAAAAAUAGGAGGGAAAAUUCCCUCCCAAAAAAAUUAGGGCUGACGUCAUUAAUUUUGACCGCCUUCGGACAAAAAUGAAGUCGGUCAAAUUUAACUUUGGGCGGCAAAAUUUCCCGCUUGAAGUGGUGGAAAUUUUUUGAAUAAUAAUUGACUAGUUUCGGUCAAAUUUAUAAAUUUGACCGCUGGCGGUCAAAUUUAUCCUUCCCAGAUCUAAUUACUUUCAUUACAUGUUAAAAUUUAAUUAGUUUAAAUUUUAAAUAUUUGUAAAUUUUUAAAUAUGAAUAAAUAUAUAUUUAUUUUAGGCGUGUGAAAUAAUUUAAAAAAUUUAAAAUUUAAUUUGCAUGACUUUGUAAGAAAUAUUUAAUAAGAAGUACUACUCCUUAAAAUGCGAUUCAUUCCUAAUUAAUAUAAUAAUUUUUUGAAAUAAUUUAAUCAACGAUCCAACCGUACGGAUAUUAACAUAUGUUUAUUUUAUUCAUGUGAAAAAAUAAUUAAAAGAUUUGAAAUUUGACUUGCAUGACCUUAGAAAAAAAAUCCAGUAAGAAGUCAUACUCCUUAAAAUGAGAUUGAUUCCGGAUUAACAAAAUAAAUUAUUAAAAUGAUUCUUUGAUCGAUCCAACCGUACGGAUAUUAACAUAUGUUUAUUUUAUUCAUGUGAAAAAAUAAUUAAAAGAUUUGAAAUUUGAAUUGGAUGACUUUAUAGGAAAAAUCCAGGAUGAAGUAAUACCCCUUAAAAUGAGAUUUAUUCCUGAUUAAUAAAAGAAAAAUUAUAUGAUUCUUUCAACUAUCCAACCAUAGGGAUGUUAAGAUACAUUUAUUUUUGUCAUGUAAAAAAAUAAUUAAAAUAUUUGAAAUUUAACUUGCAUGACUUUAUAAGAAAAUCUUGUAAGAAGUGCUACUUCUUGAAAUAAGAUUCAUUCCCGUUUAACAAAAUUAAUUAUUAAAAUGAUUUUUUCAACGAUCCAACCGUACGAAUGUUCAGAUAUAUUAAUUAUAGUCAUGUGAAAAAAUAAUUAAAAGAUUUGAAAUUUGACUUGCAUGACUUUAUAAGAAAAAUCCAGUAAGAAGUACUAUUCCUUAUAAUGAGAUUCGUUCCUGAUUAACGAAAUAAAUUAUUAAAAUUACUUUUUCAAUGAUCCAACUAUACGGAUGUUAUGAUAUAUUAAUUUUAGUCAUGUGAAAAACAAUUUAAAAGAUUUGAAUUUGACUUGCAUGACUUUGUAAGAAAAAUAUAUUAAGAGAAGUAGUAAUCCUAAUAUAACAUUCAUUCCCGAUUAACAAAAUAAAUUAUUAAAAUUAUUUUUUGAACGAUCCAACCGUACGGAUGUUCAAAUAUAUUGAUUUUAAUCACGUGAAAAAAUAAUUAAAAGAUUUGAAAUUUGACUUGCAUGACUUUAUAAGAAAAAUAUAUUAAGAAGUACUACUCCUUAAAAUGAGAUUCAUUUCUGAUUAACAAAAUAAAUUUUUUAAAUGAUAUUUUCAACAGUCCAAACAUAUAGAUGUUAAGAUAAUACUAUUUGAAUUUAGCACCUUUUUUUUAGUAAUUUAAUUAAAUGAUUAUAUAUUUAUUUUGCUUUUUUUGAAAUUAAUCUAUUAAAUUUUUUUGACCGAAAUCGGUCAAAUUUACAUUUUCGACCAGCGAUGGUCAAAUUUGCAUUCAAAUAAUUCGAAUUAUUUUGUGAGGGAAAUUUGCCGCCCAAAGUUAAAUUUGACCGCCAGCGGUCAAUUUUAACUAAAUUUGACCGCCAGCGGUCAAAUUUAUUGCCAUGUCAGCAAUCCGCGUGAAACACAUCUAAUGGUCCUUAUUUAAUAUACCAACACAACAAUCCAACGGUCUAAAAUCAUCACAACAUAUCUUUAUCCUAUAUAUACAUACAAACACACAUUAUAACCUAAAUACACUCUCCAUUCUCCAAAUCUCUCUCUCUCCCCCUCCCCGUCUUCAUCUCCAUGACUCCAUGACUCCAUCUUCCCCUCUUCCCCUCUUUUACAUACACAUUCAUAACCAUAUAUAUUUUUACAUACACAAUCUCUAUCUACAAUAACAUGAUUUGUACAAGAAUAUCACCAAGAAAAUUAACUCGUGGAAUGGUAAUUUGGGAGGAAUUCCGGCAACUCAAGCAACUCCGGCGUCCGAGAAACAACUCCGUCGAUCAAAAAUCUCAAGUCACAAUUUCCGUCCAAAUUGAUAAGGAACAAAGUGGAACUACAAAAUCCAAUUAGGAACUUAUAUUAAAUUUGUAAAUUUUUUUUUUAAAUAGAAAAAUUCUUAAUGUACAUGAAUUUCAUUUUGAUUUUUUUUUGUUAAUAAGGUAUAUAAUUUUGAGAAUUAUGUGAUAUAUAUGUUGAUUAGUAAGAUAAUAUUAUGUGAAUUUACUAAAUAAAGUAUUAAAAUUCGCACACAAGAAUAUACCACAAAGUAGCAAAAUACAUUCUGUCCAGGUUUAAAUUUGACCAGAUAUGGUCAAAUUUAAAAUUUGACCGCAUUCGGUCAAAUUUAUAAUUUUAAAUUUAAAAUUUUAAAUUUCAAAUUUUCAAGCGGGAAAUUGAAAAAAAUUCAAAUUUCAAAAUUUUCAAAAUUUCGGUCAAAUUUAAGCGGUCAAAUUUAGUCGGUCAAAAAUAUUCGGUCAAAUUUAGCUAAUUUUGACCGAUUUUGCUAAAUUCGACGACGUUAUGACUGACCGACAUGAAUCGGUCAAAUUUAGCUAAAUUUGACCGCGGGCGGUCAAAUUUAACUAAAUUUGACCGAUUUUUUCGGUCAAAUUUACCCGUUUUUCUUGUAGUGUGUGGAUAGUAAAAAUCUUUUCUGUGGAUAUCCCUUUUUUUUUUGUACUUAUCCAUCUAAGUUGAAUUACUUCUACAAACUUGUAACAGUAGUAUUAUAUGUCUGAAAGAAGCACAAAGAAAGAUAUUUCCAGUCUAACUAUUAUGUAUCUGUGGUUAGGAAGGACAAGAGCUUGAGUGAAUCAACCCAUUUUUUCAACGAAGGCAGAAUGGAAGUGGUUGAAAAGCAUGCCUUGGGUGGAAUGGAAAAUGCAUUUUGUAAUAAUGUUCUAAGGCGGAUUGCUGAUCUUUUUGCGGGGCGGUUGACAAUUGACCAUUUCGGGUAACUAUGUUCUGAAUUUGCUCUAUAUAAAUAUUAUAAAUUGUGUCUCGAAGUUUUGGAGUUCCUGGUUUGGGUCUUCUAAUCCUUACGUAGUAACAAUCAAAAGUGCGGGCGACUGAACCUAAUUUAAUUAAUAUUAAGGCCACAAAUCCCAAGAAGUGCAUGUAUACAUCAAAUCAUAGCAUAAGCACCCCUUGGAAGGGGGGAGAAUAAAGUCUUGGCUAAAUUUUAAGUGAAUAAGAGCAUGUCCAAUGGUUGUGCUAACAUAGAUGGAGUUAUUGCUAUAAUUUAGCAUCAAAAAGUGAUUUUUUGUGCUAAAAUAGCACCAUGUCUCCAAUGGUUGGUUUCAAAUCUUGUUUCACAUUUAAACAACUUCCAAAUACAUCCCACUUUUGAAUAUAAAUAUGACUAACUUUCAAAGACCCCGCACUUUCAAGUACUUUCUUAUACAUUUUUUCAUCAUUUUAUAAUUUAGCAAUUAUAGCUCCAUCUAUCUUUUGUUCUAAAUAUUGAACAAACUAUAGCAUUGUUCUAUUUUGAACAAGAUAUAGCACACCAUUGGACUUUCUCUAAGAGAUUCUACUGAAAACAUGGAAUAUACCUCACUCACUUUUUAUACAAAAAGUUGUCUACUAGAUAUAGCACACCAUUGGACUUUCUCUUGAAGUAUGCAUUACGUAUAUAGUUGUGCCCUCCUAAACUAGACUACUAUCGUAAAAGUAUCAUAUGCCAGUUGGACCUUGAUUCUAAAUUUUCCGACUGGCCUCCCAGUUUCUUUAUCAAGUUCCUGGGAAGUUAACAAAUAUGUUUGGUUGUGGUGUAGGAAUUUUCAGUGCCGGGGUGUCAUAUAAGCAAGUUUCUACAUUAUGUGGGAAUUCCAAUUUCCUAGGAAGUUCCACUUUCCAUAUAGCAGUCGACCAAAAAAUCUUACAAUUUGCUAGGAAGUUUAAAUUUCUCGAGAUUUACAUGUUAACCAAACUACCCCUUAUAAAUCUUGUUAUGGUUCAUUAGGAAGAUUACAUUCUUACUGGGGAACGUUGAAGUUCUCAUUUCGGAAAGAUGUUGAGUAUGCACACUCUUAAUCCAGUUCUGAUUAAUAUUUUAGAUUUUAGUGGCCUUAACAUAAACUCUGCAAUGAUUUUCAUUUUAAUAUGUGAACCUUCAGUGAAUUAGAUUGCAGUAAGCUUUAUUAUCUUCUAAUGUCUAGCUGCAGAACUUUUUACUGUACUGGCAAAAGGAAAAUUCCUACUCUAGUUUCUUCUCUAUGUGUUAAAUGAAGUUCUUUUAAAUCUUGCAAAGGAUGAAUCUGUCCUUAAGAAACUUCUGUAAAAUUAAUGCCUUCCGUUUUCAACAAACUACUAAGUCUUUCUAGAUAAAAUUCAUUUGAAUGGGCAUGCUCAAUCUACCUUGUAGUGAGUUCUUCGUUUCCCUAUUUGUUAACAGGAAAGCUCCACGAACAGUAAAACAAGGAAGAAAACGGAAAAGGACUUGCAGGAGAUCGGGUGACACAGUUUGGGGAGCAUGGGGCAUUCUUCAUACUGAACUUCUGGUGUCAAUUUUGGUGAAGUUAAGAAUCGUGGACUACCUGUCAUUUAGCGGUGUUUGUAAAUCUUGGAGGUCUGUAUCUAUUGCUUUCCGCAAAUACUGUAUGGAGCGCCAGCAACCCCUAGUUGUUGUUCGACCAAAGUAUUCGAAAAAGUCUUGUGUAUUGUACAAUAUGUUCGAUUUGAAAAGUUACAAAACAAUGCUGCCAGAUUUGCCUUGCAAGAAAUUAUUGGGUUUGUCAUGUGGGUACCUGAUUACAACCGACGGAAACUCAGGCUUUUGGCUCAUAAAUUUAAUGACAAAACAUGAACUGCGUUUUCCCGUCCUUCCUGGACAUAUGGGUCGCAUAACCUGCUUUGAAUUUUCUGCUCUCCUAUUUCAGUCCACUCGGCUUUCAGAAACUUUCAUGGUUCUUUUCUCUCGGACAGAAAAUUAUAUAUUGUUGUCCAAAAGUGGCGGCAGCAGUUGGCAGAGAUAUGUUUUAUCUGACACAGAAACCAGGAUUGCAGAUGUGAAGAUUUUUUAUGGCAAUAUCUUUAUUUUGACUUCAGAUUUACGUUUUGGAGAAUUUAAUCCGAAGGCAGGUGUUGAUUUCUGGCUCAUCCUUCAUAUUAAGUCAGCUCUAGGUUUGUCUUGUUAGGCAACUACUUGCCUUGGUAAUAGCUGGGUGUAAUAUUUUCUACCCUAAGGUAUGAAUGGAAGAAAACUAGCAGGCACAAGGUGGUUGGCUAUGAGUGCAUAUUUAUGUUGCUUGUCUACAGAUAAGUACUAUAAAUUAAGCACUCUCCCAGUUCUGAAUAUACAUCAGGAAAUACAAGUUAGAACAAGCUUAGUAUGUUAGUUUAUGUAGGAGAUUUUCAGCAACUUUGGGAAACACCUGGGAAACACUUUGAGAGAUAUUAUUAGUGAGAAAAUCUGUUUUCAGCUCUCUGUAAUUUACUCACUCUGUUUAAUAAUAUUAGCAGCCUCCUGUGGAUGUAGGCAAAUUGCCGAACCACAUAAAUCUGUGUGUUUCAAGUUUACUGUGUUUUUGAUAUAUUGUUAUUGCUAUUUGUUUCUCUGCGCACUACAAAUUGGUAUCAGAGCCAAACAUAGCAGUAUCAUAUAUCAAAUCGAAGCUCUCACCGAGACGAAUUCAACGCCGCAAAAAUCACCUCAAUCGGAGUUCUGAAGCACUGCCAGAACCUGUUAGAGUUUUGCUGCCAGAAUUCAGGAAGGGCUUAUUUUCUGCAGUUUUUUAUUCUGAAAAAAAUUAGCUUUCAGCUAUGGCAGAUGAUAGAGGGACUGAAAGAAGUUCACAUGCCGAGGAUGAAAGUUCUAAUGAUCAAAGAAGUUCUGUUCGAAGAACCAUGUUGUCAAACGCAAAGUUUGAGGUGGAGAAAUUUGACGGCACCAAUAACUUUGGUAUGUGGCAAUGUGAGGUAUUGGAUCUUGUAUUCAGAGAAGGAUCAGAUAUCGCUCUGGAGUCCAGGCCAAAAGAUUAUUCUGAUGAAGAUUGGAAUUAUGUCAACCGUCAAGCUUGUGGCACAAUUCGAUUGUGUUUGGGAAAAGAUCAAAAAUAUUUUGUCAUGAAAGAAAAUGUAGCAGCAAGUCUCUGGAAAAAGCUGGAGGACAAGUACAUGACAAAAAGUGUAGAGAACAGGCUCUACUUGAAGAAGAAGCUUUUCCGUUUUCAGUUCAAGAAAGGUACAGCUAUGAUUGAGCACUUAAAUAAUUUCAAUAAGAUUUUGGCAGAUCUCCAAAAUUUAGAUGUUGAAAUUAUUGAUGAAGAUAAAGCUUUGUUGUUGCUAAAUUCAUUACCUGAAAGCUAUGAGCAUUUAACUACAACUCUGUUAUACGGUAAAGAUGAGGUUAAGUUUGUUGAUGUUUCUAAUGCUUUGGUAAAUAAUGAAUACCGAAAGAAGGAUCAGCAUGAUCACAGGGAUUCAACAUCAGAAGCACUGGUCACAAUAAGAGGCAGACAAAGCAAUAAAUCUGGUCCAACGAAUAACAGGGGGCGAUCGAGAUCAAAGUCCAGAGGAGAGCCAUCCAGAAGGCGUCUUGCGAAAGAUGAGUGUGCAUAUUGUCACCAGAAAGGACACUGGAAGAAAGAUUGUCCAAACAAGGACAAGUCUGCCACUGCAAAUAUUGUACAGAAGUCUGAAGAAGAGGAAGCUGCGUUCACGGUUUCAUUAUCAGACACAUAUUCAGACAAAUGGAUACUUGAUUCUGGAUGUUCGUAUCAUAUGUGUCCUAAUAGACAUUGGUUCUCGAGUUUUGAAGAGCUUGAUGGAGGUGUUGUCCUUAUGGGUAACAAUAAUGCAUGCCAAACAAAGGGAAUUGGGACAGUGCGUUUGAAGAUGCACGAUGGUACAAUUAAGAGACUAACAGAUGUGAGGUACAUACCUGAUUUAAAAAAGAAUCUUAUUUCAUUGGGAGUGCUUGAUUCUGAUGGUUAUAAGAUUAUAAUGGAAAAUGGAGUUUUAAAGGUUGUACGAGGUGCAUUUGUUGCAAUGAAGGGUACUCAAAAGGCAAAUUUAUACUUCCUAGAUGGAAGUACAGUUACAGGAAGUGCAUCUGUUUCAAGCAGUCCAAACCAGAUCACAUCUGAUUCCUCUCGCCUUUGGCAUAUGCGCCUGGGACAUGCUGGAGAGAAGGCUUUGCAAGGCCUAGUGAAGCAAGGUCUACUAAAAGGUGCCAAGACCGGAAAGUUUGAUUUCUGUGAGCAUUGUGUACUAGGAAAGCAAACAAGAGUCAAAUUUGGCGCUGCUAUUCAUCGCACAAAAGGAACUUUGGAUUACAUCCACACGGACGUUUGGGGACCUUCCAGAAAUGCGUCAUUGGGAGGUAAACGAUGGUUUGUAACUUUUAUCGAUGAUUUUUCUAGAUAUGUUUGGGUAUACACUAUGCGUCACAAAGAUGAAGUUCUGGACAUCUUUCUUGAAUGGAAGAAGUUGAUUGAAACUCAAACUGGCAGAAAAAUUAAAAGAUUAAGAUCUGAUAACGGUGGCGAGUACAAAUCAGAUCCAUUUUUGAAAGUUUGUCAAGAUGAAGGCAUAAUCCGACAUUUUUCAGUUCCCGGCACGCCACAACAAAAUGGAGUGGCAGAACGGAUGAAUCGUACUUUGGUAGAAAAAGUUCGAUGUAUGCUAUCUCAUUCUGGAUUGAGCAAAACAUUCUGGGCAGAAGCUUUGUCAUAUGCAACUCAUAUUGUCAAUAGGCUGCCAGCAUCUGCCUUAGACGGAAAAACUCCUAAAGAGGUAUGGUCUGGAGAACUUGUUUCAGAUUAUGAUUCUUUAAGAAUUUUUGGAUGUCCUGCAUAUUAUCAUGUUAAAGAAUCUAAAUUGGAUCCUAGAGCAAAGAAAUCUAUUUUCUUGGGUUAUACCGGAGGAGUUAAAGGAUCCCGUCUUUGGUGUACCGAAUCAAAGAAGAUUGUUUUAAGUCGUGAUGUUACUUUUGAUGAGUCUGUUAUGCUAAGACAAACAACUUCAGAUACUGAAAAUGAAAGUCCCAACACUACUUCUAAAGUACUGCUUGAGGCACCAGAAAAUUUGCAAACAGUUGAUAAUGGCGAAGAUGAAAAUGAUGAUCAAGAUGAAAUCUCUGAUGAGGUGGAGAUUCCCUCGCCAUCUCCGAUAAUUCAACCUGAAAACAUUGCCACUACAAGACCGAGAAGGGAGAUAAGAAAGCCUGCCGGGUACACUGAUAUUGUAGCUUUUGCACUUCCAAUAAUUGAUGAUAAUGUUCCUUGUACUUAUAGAGAAGCUGUGCAAAGUACUGAUAGUGCAAAGUGGAAAUCAGCAAUGGAUGAAGAAAUGAAGUCUUUACACCAGAAUAAGACGUGGGAGUUGGUCCAGAUUCCCAAAGGAAAGAAAACAAUCGGCUGUAAAUGGGUAUAUACCAAGAAAGAAGGUUUACCCGGUGAAAAUAACAUCCGGUACAAAGCGAGAUUGGUAGCAAAAGGAUAUGCUCAGAAAGAGGGAAUAGAUUACAAUGAGGUAUUCUCACCUGUUGUAAAGCAUUCAUCUAUCCGAAUCUUGCUGGCAUUAGUGGCACAAUUUGAUCUCGAAUUAGCUCAACUUGAUGUUAAAACAGCGUUUCUUCAUGGUACUUUAAAUGAAGAGAUCUACAUGACUCAACCAGACGGUUUUAAAGUUCCCGGUUGUAAGGAAUGGGCUUGCAAGCUGAACAAGUCAUUGUAUGGUCUAAAACAGUCUCCACGACAAUGGUACAAGCGUUUUGACAGCUUCAUCCAGGAGCAUAAGUACACCCGCAGCCAAUUUGAUCAUUGUGUAUAUUUUCGGAAACUCCAAGAUGGUACGUUCAUUUACUUACUCUUAUAUGUUGAUGAUAUGUUAAUUGCAUCUAAGAGUAAGGUAGAGGUCGCUAAGUUGAAGACCUUGUUAAAUUCUGAAUUCGAAAUGAAAGACCUUGGAGAAGCUAAGAAAAUUCUUGGAAUGGAGAUCACAAGAGAUAGAGCUGCAAGCACUGUAUGUUUAUCACAAACUCAGUAUUUAAAAAGGGUACUUCAAAGGUUUGGUAUGAAUGAGAAAACCAAAUCAGUUAGUACACCGCUUGCUCCUCAUUUUCAGUUAAGUACAAAGAUGUGUCCCACAACCAAUGAUGAGAAAAAGAAAAUGGAGUGCAUCCCUUAUGCAAAUGCUAUUGGCGCGUUGAUGUAUGCGAUGGUAUGCACCAGGCCCGAUAUUUCUCAUGCCGUUAGUAUGGUAAGUCGUUACAUGCAUAAUCCCGGAAAAGAACAUUGGCAAGCAGUGAAAUGGAUUUUAAGAUACAUCUAUGGUACAGUAGAUGUUGGCUUAAAAUUUGAAAGAAACAAGGCUGAUGGUAAUCAUUUAGUCGGAUAUGUGGAUUCUGAUUUUGCGGGAGACUUAGAUAAGCGUCGAUCAACAACUGGUUAUGUGUUCACUAUGGCAGGAGGACCAAUUUGCUGGAGAUCGACAUUACAAUCAACUGUAGCUUUGUCAACAACGGAGGCAGAAUAUAUGGCUGUAACUGAAGCAUUUAAAGAAGCUAUUUGGCUUCUCGGAUUGACCAAGGAUUUUGGUAUUGUUCAGGAAAAUGUGAAGGUAUUCUGUGACAGCCAAAGUGCCAUUUGUUUGGCAAAGAACCAGGUACAUCAUGGUCGCACUAAGCACAUCGAUGUACGUUAUCAUUUUGUUCGUGAAAUUGUUGAGGAUGGGAAUGUACUACUUCAGAAGGUAAGCACUGUAGAGAAUCCUGCAGACAUGCUUACAAAAGUGGUUUCUGGGAUCAAGUUUCAGCAUUGUCUGAACUUGAUCAAUAUCUCUUGAAAUUAGAGGUCUGUGGUGCUUUGGAGGCAGCACUAUUUAGUGAAGUUUCGCCAAGGUGGAGAUUGUUGAUUUCUGGCUCAUCCUUCAUAUUAAGUCAGCUCUAGGUUUGUCUUGUUAGGCAACUACUUGCCUUGGUAAUAGCUGGGUGUAAUAUUUUCUACCCUAAGGUAUGAAUGGAAGAAAACUAGCAGGCACAAGGUGGUUGGCUAUGAGUGCAUAUUUAUGUUGCUUGUCUACAGAUAAGUACUAUAAAUUAAGCACUCUCCCAGUUCUGAAUAUACAUCAGGAAAUACAAGUUAGAACAAGCUUAGUAUGUUAGUUUAUGUAGGAGAUUUUCAGCAACUUUGGGAAACACCUGGGAAACACUUUGAGAGAUAUUAUUAGUGAGAAAAUCUGUUUUCAGCUCUCUGUAAUUUACUCACUCUGUUUAAUAAUAUUAGCAGCCUCCUGUGGAUGUAGGCAAAUUGCCGAACCACAUAAAUCUGUGUGUUUCAAGUUUACUGUGUUUUUGAUAUAUUGUUAUUGCUAUUUGUUUCUCUGCGCACUACAGCAGGUUCUGUUCCAAUAUUCUCCAAAAUCAACAUCCCUUACCAGGUUUCAUCUGAUAUGGAUUUGAAGUUGGUGGCAUCAGACAAUAAGCUAUACAUGACUGUAUUCAAUUGUUGUCCUUAUCCUACAUUGGACGGACAUCUGUCAUUAUUCGAAAUUGACCAUGAGACAAUGGAUAGGGCAAAACAGAUUCAUGACUUGGGUGCAAAAUCUUUAUUUCUUAGUUGGUUCAGUUCUGCUGUCGUCGAUACAACUGGUUGGGGAGCAGGUAAUUAAUUGUGUCUGUGUUCUUCACUUAGGAGUUUUCAACACAUGUUCUUUCUUUAACCUGAAUGGAAAUCAGCUAGGAACAACUCCGGUUGUUUGGGAUGGUCAUCUAACACCUUGUUUUUGGUAUUUUCCUAGUGAGAUUUGGUCCAUCAGUCGUGUCAGUGAUGAGUUUGGCGCAUGAUCACUUCUAAAUCUCAUAUCAGUUUUUCUCAUCAAGUCUGUAGUUUGUAUCUUCAUCUUUCAUAAUGCAACUUUGUUUCUGAAUUAUUGUAGUGACAAAUAAAUAAGUUAAUUUUUAAGGAGUCGCAGUUUCUCGUUUGAAUUCUAUAAUUUCUGAAUGAAGGGCCUCUAAGUCUGCCCUCCCAAACAAACUCCUCUUGCUCAAAUGAGUUCCUUCUGGUCAAACUAAUAUUGUUCAAGCUCAAUGAAAGUUAGUAUGUGUGAAAUUCGAAUGAACUCAGAAUCAACAUACCCUCGAAUAAAAUGAUAGUCAAUCUUCAAAUGUUUAGUUCUUUCUUGGAAGAUUUGCUUCUUUGCAAUGUGGUGAGCUGAAGUGUUAUCACAAUAAAGAUCCCUUAAAAAACCUUCAAGACAAAGCAACUCAGAAGAUGUAUAGCUCAUACUUAGAUACUCAGCUUCUGCACUACUUCUAGAUUCUUUUUUUGCUUCAUAAUUUUCCAAGAGAUUAAGGAAGAACCCUGGAAAAUAGCAUACCCAGACAAGGAUUUUGCAGAAAAUGAACAAGUUCCCGAGUCUGCAUCUGAAUAUGCAGUUAAUUGCAGAGGAGUAUUAGCCUUGUAAAACAGACCAACAUUCAAUGAAAAUUUCAAGUUAUUUUAAGACAUGUAGAGCAGCAUCAUAAUGUGGCUGAGGUGGUUCUUGGUGAAACUAAUUAAGAAAGCUGUUGAACAACAUAUGAAAUAUCAAGCCUACUUGAGUUCAAAUAGAGCAAUUUCCCAAUAAAUCUUCUAUACACUUCUGGGGCAGGCAACUUUAAAACAUCCUUUGUACUUAGAUGCAAGCCUUUUAAUUAUGGAAAAGCGCGCAGCUGGUGUACAAUCAGUGAAGCUAUUAACUAAUAAAUUCAAUACAUACUUCCUCUGAUCUAACUAAAUUCCGGUCUCGGUUCUAAGAACCUCAAUGCUAAGGAAAUACUUCAAAUCAGCCAGAUUUCUAAUGGUAAAUUUUUGACACAAUAAGGAUUUGAUAGAUUAUUUAGUUAGUCUCGCUUAGGUGAAAAUCAAAAAUAUAAAAUUUUAAGUUUUUUUACAAGAAAAUCAUUUUUCAAGUAGAUGGUAAAAAAAUUCACUCUCAUACGCAUUAUUAAAAUGAGUAUCACUGUAUAUUCAUUCUCAAAAUAGGUGUCACCUAUAAAUUAACUUUUUAAUUAUCAGAAUGACCGAUAUGCAUUCUCAGAAUAAGUUAUCACAAUACACACUCUCAGAAUAAUAACCUUCUUAAAAUUUUAUUUUUCAUUAUUCAAAAUAUUUUAUCAUAUACAAAACCACACAACUAACCACACAUAUAUAUAUUACCGGUUAUUUAACACACAACACCACCACCUAUAUUAUCAAUUAUCCCUAAAAAAAUUAUAAACAUCAAAUAUUGUCCCUAAAAAAAUUAUAAACAUCAAAUAUUGUCCCUAAAAAAAUUAUAAACAUCAAAUAUUGAUAAAUCAGUCACUCAGGAAAUAAAAUAAGGUCUAAACAAAGCAAGAUCUUUGGUUAGACACUACAAGAAAAAGAAUAAUAUAUGGAAAAUUUAAUUUAUAAAAUGUCGAAAAAGCAAUGGCACUUAAUUGCCUCUUACAAAGUCAAAACAUACUCCAUCAAUCAUAGCUACUCAUAAAUGGUACUAAAUAGCCAUCAAUCAAAGCCACAAUUAACACUUAAACCGAUUAAAAGAGAUUUAUGAAAUUUUGAAAUAAUUUCAAAUUAUUUCCAUUUAUACAAAAAGUGAUAACAUCAAUGUAAUAAAGAAGAAAUUCUAAUUAAAAAAACUAAAGAAUUUAUACCAAAUCCUUAAAAAUUAACAAGACAUCAAUUAAUAAUAUAACAAUUACCAAAAAAAGGAAAAUUGUAAAAUUUGAAAUAUUAAUAAUUAAUAAGUCAGGCAAUAUCCAAGAACAUAUCGCAUAAUACAAGUUGCAUUUACUAUAAUCAAACUAUUUAAUUAAUUUAAAUGUAGACAAUUAAAAGAAAUAAAAAAUUAAAUACAAUUCUAUAAUAUUGAAAAUGUAAAUCAUGGCUAAAUUUUAGUCAAUAAUAUCACCAGCGCAUACCGCCAUUGAACCUAGGCCUGUAAACGGAUCGGAUUUGGAUCGGAUCUAGCUAAAUCCAUAUCCUAAUCCAUUAAAAUUUAUCGGAUUCGGAUCGGAUCGGAUUAGGAGUCGGAUAUUUUACAAGUCAAUCCAUAUCCGGUCCACUCGGAUCAUGGAUAAUCGGAUCGGAGCCCCGAUCCACUAAAAAUUAUGAAAUAUAUUUUUUCACCGUGAACAAUGUUUUAACUUCCAUACCAAAAAAAAGUGAUAUUUUCUAGCUAUAUUAAUUCAUAAACUUUAGCGUAAUAGGUAAAAAAAAACUAAUAAAGUAGUAUUUAAUAAAAACUUUGUUGGUUGUUCCUAUAAAAACUUUAACACAGAAUUUAUCAAGUAAAUAGAAAAAUAAUAAAUAAGUUGCUUAAUACUUUUGGAGGAAGCAAAUUAUGAUUUGCUCCUCUAUUAAUAAGGAUUAAAAUCGAUAAAUAUAUUUUAAAUACGGAACCAGGUGAUUGAGGAGGUUUUAAGUGGAAGAGUUAGCUCCUGUGUUUAUACUCACUCUCCAUAAAAAAAAAAGAGUGAUUAUUAGAUUAACAGAAUAACAAGAGUGAGAGCCAUAUCAAGAAUUAGGAGCGGCUGAUCGAUUAUAAGAAAAUAUGAUUUAGGGUUUUGUCUUGUAUCUUUAGAAAUUUUUAUUUUGUAUGUAAUAUAUUAAUAUUAAUAUAUUAUAUUAUAAUACACUAUAAUAUAAAAUAUAUAAUAUAGUUAAGCAUGAAUCGGAUCGGAUCGUUAGCAGAUCGGAUUUGACCAUAUCCAUUCUUUAUCGGACCGGAUUAUUAGCAGAUCGGAUUUUUUUAAUAAGGAUCCACAUCCAUUAGCAGUGGGUGUAAUAGUGUUUAUUCAAUAAAAAGAGAGUAUAAAAUAGAGAAGUAGUGAGUAUAAUAGUGAAAAGUAGUGUUCAAAAAUAAUAAGUAUAAUAGGUUCAUUAUUUUUGGGAUGUCCAAAAGGAAUAAGGGUCAGGGACGGAGGGAGUUAUAUACAACAUAGGGAUAAAUAUCAAGUAGGUCACUCUUUUCGUCCAAAUGUAUCAAUUAAGUCACUGAUUUCCAAUUAAUUGACUCAAAUGAGACACUCAUUAGGAAAAUUUGUAUCAAAAAUAUCACUCUAUCAUUAGUCGAAAUUUUAAAAGUAGUAUAUAUUGAGUUUCGCACAUUUUUUAUGAAUGGUAUUACAUCCAAAUGAAAGAUUCCGAGUUCUACUAUUUUCGCUAAUUUUUUCAGAUUUUAAAAAAUUUAUCAACUAUUUAUUUUUAAUUUUGUGAUUGUUUUAUUUGAUUUAAAUUUUAAAAGUACUUUUAUUUGAUUUAAAUAAAAAAUUUCUUUUUUUGAAUAAAAAUCUAAUGUUUUAAUUUUUAUUCAGAAAAAGAAAAUUAUAAAAAUAAGUAAUAGAAAUAUAUUUUAUAUAAGUCUUAAAAUACGUGCCGAGCACCCCAUUUCAAACGACAAGAAUUGGAAGGGACGGAGGGAGUAAAAGCGUGUGUGUAUAUCAUUUAUGUAGAGAAAGAAAAUAAAAUAAAGUCUAACCAAAGCAAGAUCUUUGGUUAGACACUAAAGGAAAUAAGAUAAUAUAUAGAAAAUUUAAUUUAUAAAACAUCUAAUAAGCCAACAAAUGGCACUUAAUUGCCUCUUACAAAGUCAAAACAUACGCCAUCAAUCAUAGCCACUUAUAAAUGGUACUAAAUAGCCAUCAAUCAAAGCCACGAUUAACAUUCAAACUGAUUAAAAGAUAUUUAUGACAUUUUUAAAUAAUUCCAAAUUAUUUCCACUUAUACAAAAAGUGAUAACAUCAAUGUAAUAAAGAAGAAAUUCUAAUUAAAAAAAACUAAAGAAUUUAUACCAAAUCCUUAAAAAUCUAAACAAGACAUCUAUUAAUAUAUAAUAUAACAAUUACUAAAAAAGAAGGAAAAUUUCAAAAUUCAAAAUAUUAAUAAUUAAUGAGUCAAUCACUAUCUAAGAACAUAUCACAUUAUACAAUUUGCCUUAACUACAAUCAAACUAAUUUAUCAAUUUAAAUGUAGACAAUUAAAAGAAACGAAAAAUUAAAUACAAUUCUAUAAAAUUGAAAACAUAAAUCAUGCCUAAAUUUUAGUCAAUAAUAUCACCACCGCAUACCGCCAUGGAACCACACCACUUAACCGUUAUCACAUAUCUCGUAAUAUACAACAUAUAAACGUCUAAAACAAAAACCUAGCUCUAGGCACGGUCAUAUAUUAAAAGAUCAUUGUUACUCUAACAAAUAACAAAAUGCAAUGAGUUUAUUAAAGGAAAUUAUGAUAUUAAAAUUCCGCUGUAUAUAUCUAAAUUACAACGGAUCACAUAUAUAAACAAGUAGGAUUAUGAAUUAGAAAAAAUACACAUUAGUUUUUGUGGAGUAUAUUCACACAAAAUGAUUCUUCAUCGAAUUUGAUGUUUCAAUCGAAUAUUUUUUGUCCAUUACCUCGAUAUUUGACUAUUUCCUCAAUAUAGUUAGUCCGGGUGACGACACAAGUCAAUUACACUCAGAAAUAAGCUCACUAAAUGAAUUUCCAAAAGUGGAUCUGUAAUUAUGUUAAUUUACGGAUCAUAGGCUUCGUAAAAGAUCCAUGAGUCCAUAAGCAUUAUCCAAAGGCCUCGAACAUUGUGAUGCCAAUCCAGCCCACAUUGAAAGAUUAAUAUCGAGGCAAAGUUGGAUGGACAUGUGUCAUCAUAUGAUACGAUCCCAACCCGUCACCUCCACCCUUCUAUAUAUUUUACCUAUUGCUUCCCUACGGGCUACGGUCCAUUCUCUUUACAUAAAUUUUAAAGGGCGCCUCCGGCGGGUCAUUUGCGGCGAACAAGAUCGACCCUACUAGUUGUUUCGGUGAGUUCCGUCACUCUUAGAUCUCCAACAAGUAAUUUUUUUCUCUAUAAGGAAUGUAGCUUUUUUUUUUAAUUGAGUUAUUUUUUACUUAUUUCGCUAGAUAUGACAACAAGAUGUCAAUUUAAUUUGUUUAUUCAGAAAACCGCAGGAAGGAAUUCAUAAUCGAAAAUCAUAUGGUCAUCAUCUUGAUUUAGCAAUUACUCCCUCCAUCCCCCUCAUUUGUUUACAUUGGGGGACGGGGGCUUGGCACACAUUCUAAUGCUAUCGUAAAAUGUAGUUGAUAAAGUAUUUUGAACUUUUAUCUUUUCUGAAUAAAAUUUGAUAUUUAAACUUCUAUACAAAAAAGAAAUUUGUAAUUUUUUUUUAUAAAAUUAUGUUUUAUAUGCGCCUUAAAAUGCGUUUCGAUUAGUGUAAAAAAACCGUAAAGAAAUGAGAGUGACAGAGGGAGUAAUAUUUAAUAACAGUUUGUGUAUUGUCUUAACUCGUAGGAUUAAUAAUUACGUUUGCAAGCCUGCUAGUUAAUUUGGUACUUCUAUAUUAUUGUUACUGAUCUUCUAAUCAAAUUGCUUCAGGGUUUCCCUUACACUGCCUUGAUUUUAUAUUUUCUGUUUGUGUUAUUCUACAAUUGUCAAGUCUCUAUGGUUUUCUUUACCCAAAAACUUGAGAGUGUUUAUUGUUGAUUGUUAUAUAUAACGCAGUGCUUUUCUAUUGUGAAAAUAUAUAUGUAUUUUAUAAGCAAUUGAACACCAGUUGUAGAGAUAUUUCGGGAAGUAACAUAACUUUGAUAUUCUGAUGUACAAGUCCUCGUCUAUAGAAUCUAUAAACCAUAAGUAUAUAAAUCUACUAAUGCAUCUAUUACACCAACCUGACAGAGAAACAAGUAUAGACAUAGCAAUAUUUUGGUCUUUUGGAUUUCCUUUCAACCCUUCAGUUAGAAUUGAAGACUCCUAUUGAUUUCUUAUAUUCUUUCUACUAAUAUUUUUUUGUACAAACAUGUAUUAUUUUUGUUGUAUAUAUGUAUAUAGAUUAUUCUUUUUUACCCGCAAAAAGGGAAACAUACUUGUAGCUAGCUCCGCAUGAUUGAAAGGUUUAUCAGCUUUUUGGUUUUGGAUCAUUUCAUUUCUCCGUCUUCGUAUGCUCUUUUGGGUUCUCAAACAGAAAUUUUUUCUGGAUUUUAAACAUCACAUUUCAACCAAAGAAUGAGGGGCCCCUAUUAUGCCUUUCAUGUCGUCUCGUGUUAAACCUUAAGGAAGCGCGUCCUUCCAGUUGAGAAUAAGGGAGAUACGGAAUGUGAACAUCUUGUUGUCCGCAGACCCAGAUUUCAUGUGUGAUAUAUUGUGGUUUUCUGGCUUAUAUUGCAUUUUUUAUGUAUUUGUGUCAAUAUUCUUUGCUGUCAUGAGUUAAAAAAUUUAUGUUAAUUUUAUGUUUGUGAUGCUAGUGAAAGAAAGUAGGGUAGGCAAAAAGAUUGUUUCCAUGCUGUCAAAAUAUGGGAUUAGUUGAUUUAUCUGGAAGAUCAAAAAAAAUUAUAGCAGUUGCGAUCUAUUUUAAAUCUUUUAACAGAUGUUCUAGACUUCGUUUCCUUAAAACUAUCCUUUAAAUUUACUUGAAAUAUUUCUACAAACUGUUAACAGGAACAGUACUUGUCUAAAAGCAGCACUAGGGAGGCUCAAGUUAUUUCCAGUCAGACUUAAGAGCUUUGGAAGUAUCCCUGCGGGAUGGAAGUGGAUUGGAGACCUAACCUUGGUGGGAUGGAAAAGGCAUUUAGCAUGAAUGUGAUGAUGCUGAUUGUUAAAUAUUUUGCGGGAUGUUCGAUAACACACUGGUAACUUUUCUUUAAAUCUGCUCUAUAUUAGUCUUGUGAUCUGUAUCUUUAAGUUUUUAAGUCCUUGAUAUGAGGCAUCAAAUCUUUACUUAUCAUUAGUAGCAAUCGCAAGUUUGGGAGACUGAAGUCAUUGAACCUGUGUUAAUUGUUAUUAUACCAAGGCUAAAUGUCCCAAGAAGUCCAUGUAUGCAGCAAAGCAAAGCAUAAGCAUUCCUUUGGAAAAUAAAAGGUUUAAUUCCAAGUUAAAAAUAUAUUAUACUAAACAUGGAUUUUCCUCCAAGUCAAAACUCACAUAGAUUUGAUGUUCUUUACCUUUUACUUUCUGUUUUGAAUAGUUGCCUAUUCAAAUCUUAUGAACAAGUCUAUGCAGUAUGCAGUGCUUUGCAUUUGAAUUAGCUUCCAGCACACUUUAUUAUCUCCUUAUUAUAAGCUGCAGAACUUUUGAAGCGCAGAUAGCGUGUUAUAAGUUUGGGACAUUGUAUACUGUCUUUUUACUUAAUUCUGUUAUCUAUUUUAUAGUUAACUAUGAUUAGGCUUUUGCAUCUAUUUGUAAAACCAAAACAAUCCUACUUUUGGUUCUCUUCUAAUUUUUGUCUUAUAUUCGUAAAAUUCUUGUAAUGGAUGACUCUAACCUGAAGAAGAUCUUUAAAAGUAAUGAAUUCCAUUAAUGACAAAGUACUCUGUUUUUCUAUAGAGAAAAAGUCUGAACUUUACAAAGAUAAAAAAAAUAUAUGAAUGGGCAUGUUCAAUUUCGCUUUGUAAUGAGUUCUGCAUUUCCCUAUUUCUGUAAAGGAGUCCUGCACCAGCUACAAAACAAAAAAGAAAACGAAAAGAGAUCUGCAGCAGAUCAAGUGACAGAGUUUGCGGAGCAUGGGAUAGUCUUCCUGAUGAACUUAUCCUUUCAGUUCUAAUGAAAUUGAAUAUUAUCGACUACCUUGCCUUCAGUGGUGUGUGUAGAUCCUGGAGGUCAGUGUCUACCGAUAUUCGCAAAAGUUUUAUGGAGCGUCUGCAACCCUUAGUUCUAGCAAGACCAAGAUAUUCAAAAAAAGCUUGUGUGCUAUAUAAUAUUUUUGACAGGAAAAGUUGCAAGUCAAUGCUUCCGAAUAUGCCUCGCAAAAGCUUAUGGGGUUUAGCAAGUGGUUACUUGAUCACAUAUGACAGGAACAUGGGGUUUUGGCUUGUGAACUUAAUGACAAGACAUGAGAUGCACUAUCCUGUCCUGUCAGAAAGCAGCUAUAGCAUCUUUGACUUCACUCCUCGUGCUGUCCUCUUGCGGUUGACUCGGCUUUCAAGAAUUUUCAUGAUUAUUUUCUCUGAGAAGCAUAAUUUUUUACUGAUGUCUGAAAGUGGCUCUAGUAGUUGGCAGGAAUAUCUUUUCCCAAACACCAGUGCUGGAAUUGCAGAUGUAAAGAUUUGGAAUGGCAAAAUUUUUGUUCUAACCUGUGAUGCACAUUUUGGAGAAUUUAAUCCGAGGGCAGAUUCUGUUCUGAAGCUCUACAACCGUAACAUCCCUAUUCAACUUUCAUCACGUUCGAUGUUUCAGUUAGUGACUUCAGACAACAAGAUCUACAUGGUUAUAUCUCAAUAUCCUUGUCCAUGUGUAACUUUGUUCGUCCAAUAUCUUUUCUUGUACGAACUUGACUUCAGUAUGGAAUCUGCAAAACAGUUUCAUGACUUGGGAUCAAAAUCUUUGUUCCUGAGUGUAUAUAAUUCUGCCCUGGUUGACACAACUGGUUGGGGAGUGGGCAACUGCGUAUGUUUUCUUCAAAAUACAAUGGGAAAAUGUUCAUUCUUUCACUUGGAUGGUCGCGGGCUAGCAACGAUUCCUGCUGUUUGGGAUUGUUAUGUGAGACUAUAUUUCUGGGUUUUUCCCGGUGAAUGUUGGGACAUGAGUUGUGUUGGUGAUGAAUUUGGCACUUGAUCAUUUCCACUUCUGAAAUCUGUUUUCCCGGCCAAAUCUUCGGUUGUAGUUUCAUCUUACAUUCAGAAUAUUUGUAUUCUUUCAGUUUCAUGGAUCCUUUCAUUGAGACUAUAAAGUUAUGAUGCGAUGUGAAUUUUAUAUUAUGCAAGCAAAACUUUCAUAGCUUUUAAACUUAUUAUUUAAGAGAAUUGACAUUAUUAUUUAAGAGAAUUGACAUUUUAGUAUAAACAUCUAUUAUUUUUUGUCCUUGUGUACACUUACGAAUAUUAUAGUAUUUUUUAUAUUUUGUUUUCUGUACAGGUUAUGUUUAACGGGGAGAAGCGAGCGGGUAUAGGUGGUGCCUCUCAAAAACCCUGUUUUAUUUUUAUAAUUUAUGAAAAUUUUGAAUUAUAAAUAUAUAAAAAAUAAGUUACCCAUUUUUAAAUUUUGAAUAUAUUGAUAGGAAAGUUGAAAACUGUCUUUCUCAGUAUUGGAAGAAAGUGUCAAAACUAUCUUUUUUGGUUUUGAUAUUAUUGAAAGGCAGUUUCAAUUUGUAAAAUUACAUAGUUCGAUUUUUCUAGUGUUUUAAAAUCUUUGAAAUCUAUAUAAUUGAAAAAAAAGUUUUUUUUUUGACAAAUGCAAAAAGAUUUCAUUAACUUGAAUAUAAUACAGUCGGGACAAUGAUAAACCAGGUGGUAAAACAAAUAACAUACUAAAAACAAUUAGAUGAUUUGUUUUCUGAUCGUUUAAUUAACACAUAGAAUUUAAAAAUUCUUGAUGCUAAAAAUGAAAUCAAAAACAUCCCAAGCGAUCCAAAUUGCACCAAAAUGUCGGGAAACGGUAACAUCGCAAUUGACCAUAUCACAUAAAAAUUACUGUUACCCGAAUGUUCAGAAACACCAAUCGCAUAAAUCGAGAUUGGAGAAGUUGCAGCACAGCUAUCUACAUGCCGGAUACCAACUAUAAACCUGCCGAAGGCAACCCAGCUAUCUACAUGCCGGAUACCAGCUAUAGACAUGCCGAAAGUGUAAAUCCGUGAAUGAUGAACAAUCUUUGGUUGUGAAAGGUGAGCUCUUUCAAUAAUCACCACCAUUCCAGAUUCGAUACAGUUUUUAUAGAUCACCAAAAAUAUCAAUAAACUCGUUCUCAACAGAUCCAACACGAAAUAAACCCAAUCAUGACUAAACAAAAACAUAACAAACACUCUAAAAAAAAGAGACUAAACAAACACCCCAAAAGAAGAGACAAGACACACACUCCAAAAGGAGAGACACACAAACACACACAAAAUUGGGUUUAAUUGAAAAGAAAUUAACGAGUGUAAAAGAUAGGUAAUGAAGGGUUUGGGGCUUUCUACCGGAGAAAACCAGUGGAAGCCCCUCGAUUUACUUGAAAAAGGACAAAACCUAAUAGAGGAAGAAUUGAACAAAAGUUUUAAACUAUAACAUUUGAUUUUUAGAGACUUUGGGAAGGACUAUAUAUUUUAAAGGAAGGAUUCAUUGACGAUAUGUUUAUGUGUUUGUUCGAUUUCGAUUAUACAUGUGGAUGUCGUUUGUCUUUUCAUUACUGAAUUAUUUUCUCAUUUCAAAAAAAAAGUAUAUUGAUGAUGAUUGAUUGUAUAAGUAUAUUGAUGAUUGAUUGACGAUAGUGACGAUAAUUAUUUCCUUUGUCCCUCUGAUUUCUCAACAUUUUUUUUAGUAUUUGAUAAGCAUUUUAAGGUGCAUAUAAAAUAUAGGUUUAAUUUUAUUUUUUUUAAUCUUCUCGUUCGGUAUUAAUAUUUCAACGUUAAAUUUUUAUUCGAAAGAAAAGAUUUUAAAAAAAUUAUCAAACUAAAUAUUUCUAUGAGAACCUUAAAAUGUGUGUCAAACCCAUUCUCCGAAACCUAGAAAUUGAUUACUGAUCCAAUUUGAGUACCUCUACAUGAUACCUCAACAGAAAAUUGAGGCGGACAGAGGUGGGAGUCGUUGAUAAUUUAUCACCAAAAUUGUUUGAAGAAUUUCAAAUCGGAUUUAUUUAGUUCGAUAAUAAUUUUGCAUAUUAAUAAUCGAGGGCUAGCCUCCCUAAUAAAAGACGGAAAUUAACGUCUCGGUUCCUAUAUACACUAGUGUGUGUAUGGGGUUCUCAAGUCGCAGGAGGAGAAGAUGAAAGUUUGGGUCCUUGCCAUGGCGUCGUUUUUUAAUCGGUAACUUCUUUCUCCGUUUCAUAUAUAAGUUGUUUAAUUUUGUUUCCCUUUUCUAUGCAAAUAUAUAUGUAUAAAUAUCGAUGUUUGUUUGAUUAAGAGUGGUUAUCAGGUGUUAGAUGGACUAGGCAACCACAAAGCACAUGACCAACUCUGUUCUUUGAAUGUGCAAGCCAGUGAAUCGCCUAACGAAAUCCGACCAUCUCAACCAUUUAAUUGCGCUUCAUGGGCUACUGGAUGACAGUACCCUAUUAAUGAUUAUUGAUGGGUUGGCCCGAGAGCUUGGGCUAAGGUAAGGUCUUUGCCUUCUAGAUGAGGUGGGUGCAUUACUAAUCAUUUUUAUAAGAUGCAUCCUUAUAUCGAUUAUUGCUGGUGGCCUGAGAUCGCUCGGGCUCACGUCUUUGCUAUCUAGAUUCAGGUGGGUGCAUCACUAAUCAUAUGCAUUUCUAUAGAAGGUUGUGGUGAUCAUUUUAGGUUACAUGCUUAGUUUUCGUGGGAUGGGAAGUUUGAGAGCUGAGAACUACAAAAUUGCUCCUCCUUCAAACCUAAAGUUAGAUUAGUUUCCAGUGGCAUUUUAAAUAGUUUAUUGUAAUAUAUUUGGUGAAUGCUAGUACAUGUUGACACGAGAGUACAUCUCCACACUUAUUUAGCAUUUUAGAAGGCUGUGAUAUAUAGUGAUCACUAUUACGUGUCCAUAAAUUAGGAACAUUGACAUAGGAAGAUUAAGCUUAAUAGAACUUAUUAACAAUGAACAUCAAUAAUUGCAGAUUAAGCUUAAAAGAACAACUGUGCAAAAGUUGAAUUUGGGUUGAAAAACAAUGGUUGCAUACUUGGAGUUGGAGGGAGUAGGGGACACUUAGCUGACCAAAUUUUGAAUCUUUGGCUAGCUCUAUUAUUUCACAUUAAAGCACUUUCAGUUUGUUGAUGAGACCGCGAAUGUUUCAAGUUUCACCUUUACAGGAAUGUUCUGGUGGAGAGAAAAGGGAUUGUGUUUGAACUUGGCUGUUAGUUUAGGAUCCGUAGGUGGUAAUGUAACAUAUUGUAUUGAAGUUAACUUGUAAAUAAAUAGAAACCUAAAAUUUUUCGCUAAAACAUGGCAUUUUCCUUUACAAGGCACCAACAGAUAUGCUAAAUAUUGUAAUCCUUUAUUUUAACCUUUCUGUAAUCCAAUUUAGUAUUUCAAUACUUAUUUUUCCACAAGGUUGAGUGUUGCCUCGAUGUAAUUAGUUUCCGAGACUGUGACACUACCGACAAUCAUGCAUACACAUUAACUCACUAGAUGAUUUGGACAAGUGAAUCUUUUAUUACGUAAAUCUACACACAACAAGCUUCCUAGGACAUCAGUCCCAUGAUUUAUACAGUAAUUGGUGUAGGAAUAGGCAUUGGGUUUAGUUAUAUCUAUCCAACCCACUUUGAAUGAUUGUUAGUUGGGUACAACUGUAGUGACAUGUGUCAUCAUCUGGUGCAAUCCUGCCUGCCCAUCACUUCAUCCCGAGUCUUUUUUCUCAUUGAGAACUUCUUUGGAGCAGGGAGGGCCAUUCCGGCAAAAAAGGUGAUUUCAGAAAACUUAUUUUAUAUGUUUCCAGUCAUAUUUGCUGAAUUUGUAGUUGUUUGCUAACACCUACAACAAAUUCUUCCUUCUGUGAGGUUUUAGGUUUGCUCUACUUAAUUGAUAUAUCAUUUUCUUGUUUCAAUGAACAUCACAACAAUAUUCUAGUUUAACUUGGUCUUGUCCUAAGACAACUAAAGGAAAAUUUUGAUAAAGCAAAAUCGUGAUCACCAGAUUCAUGGUUUAAUCCUUAUUAUUUUUCGUGGUCUUUACAUCUUUUACUCUUUGUGUUUAUGGCCAUGAUCUAUUCACCUAAGUUAUAGCGUGCCUGUGGUUGUCUAUGGAUUUUUAAUGUAUAUUGUGUAAAUUUAACUGAUAGUGAAAAUAUCUACCACCAGUGCUAAUUAGAUUUUUUUUGUAGGGUUUUAUAUUUUCUUUCUAACUGUACAACAAGGUAACACUUUUACAAGCAAAUAAGAAUGUUUAAAACCAAAAACUUCCUUAGCUAUGGAGACAGAGGUAAAGACAUAGCCUGUAUUGAAAAUUACAAUGUGGAGGUUAUUCCUCGUUAUAACCGGCCUGGAGGUGGGACAUCAAUUUUUUAUUACUCUGUAGAGGUUAAUUUUAUAUAGAGUAUUGAUAUAUAUAUAUAUAUAUAUAUAUAUAUAUAUAUUUAUGUAUGUAUGUAUGUAUUUGUGUGCAUAUAUAUAUAUAUGUUAUAUACUUGUGGUUCACUCUUAUUAUAUAUACAACUACUAUAAAUUACUCACUCCGUCUUAACUAAUUCUUGAUACUUUCCUUUCCUAGACUGUCCCUCUCAAUUAUUUAAAAGGUCGGUCAAUGUUUUAUUUUUUAUGGCUUAUUUUAAAGCCAAGCACAUUAUUGAUUAUACAUUCUAGACUUUUAGUCAAAAACAAACUCUGAAACACCUAGUCGCCUCAAUCAACCUCUACAAAUCCUCAACAAAGCACUAGUAACUACCAACGACUACAAAUCUAUCACUGCUAAUUCAAUUUUAUAUGAGUUUUUUAUGUAAAUUUUAUGCUCAAUGAUAGGGUUACGGCUGAGUUGUGUGUUCUAGGGCUAUUUGGCGAUCCCCUUGAAUUUCUCCAUGAAAUCUUACCAUUGCGAUAAUUAGUAUAGUGGCAGAUGACAAUUUAAGGGCGGUCAAUGUAGAGAGAGAGGUAUGAAACCUUCUUAAUAUUUUAUAUUUCUUUUUAACUAUUUAGAGGGUAUGAUUUUUCAAAUAAUCAAUACUUUAUUUUUUGCUUUAUUGCAGAAGGAGAAUAGUUCAUAAUUUGUUGCAUAUCGACAUAAACUUAGUGCCUUCUCUCUUAUAUUUCGAUUUUCUUCUUGUCACCAUCCUUUACUUGCAUGUGCCUUGGCAAAAAUAAUGCAAGAUGAGGGAAAUCGUUGUAGUUGUAAAGAUGAAAAUCCAGUGUGACAGCUUAUAUGUAUGAUAAAUAGUGACAAUCAACAUGUGGUAUGUAAGUCCCUACUAUUUUUUAGAGUGAGAAUGAAUCUCAAGGGAAUUGAUUGAGCAACAUCUUGACCGUUCAUUCAAGAAAGUUAUCAUCUAACCAUCGGACAUGCAAGAUGACCGGAGACAUUUAGACAAUAAUGAUUUUAUGUCCGAAAAGAAAAGACCCAUCUUCUUCCAAGCAUCCUAAAAAAAUGAAUGAACGAAAGAAGUAAAAUAAAAGUCGAUAUAUAACAGAUUAUAUAUAUAUAUAUAUAUAUAUACACACACAUUAUAAAAUAAUUAAGUAUAUUAUAUCCAAUAAUAAAUAAAUAUUAAAUAUUAAAAGCGUGUGUGUAUAUCAUUUAUGAAGAGAAAGAUAAUAAAAUAAAGUCUAAGCAAACCAAGAUCUUUGGUUAGACACUAAAGGAAAUAAGAUAAUAUAUAGAAAAUUUAAUUUAAAAAACAUCGAAUAAGCCAACAAAUGACACUUAAUUGCCAUUUAAAAGUGAACACAUACGCAUUAAUCAAUCAUAGCCACCCAUAAAUGGUACUAAAAUAGGCAUCAAUCAAAGCCACGAUUAACAUUCAAACUGAUUAACAGAGAUUUAUGACAUUUUUAAAUAAUUUCAAAUUAUUUCCACUUAUACAAAAAGUGAUAACAUCUGUGUAAUAAAGAAGAAAUUCUAAUUAAAAAAAACUAAAAGAACUUAUACCAAAUCCUUAAAAAUCUAAACAAGACAUCUAUUAAUAUAUGAUAUAAAAAUUACUAAAAAAGAAGAAAAUUUUCAAAAUUCAAAAUAUUAAUAAUUAAUGAGUCAAUCACUAUCUAAGAACAUAUCACAUUAUACAAUUUGCCUUUACUACAAUCAAACUAAUCUAUCAAUUUAAAUGUAGACAAUUAAAAGAAACGAAAAAAUUAAAUACAAUUCUAUAAAAUUGAAAACAUAAAUCAUGCCUAAAUUUUAGUCAAUAAUAUCACCACCGCAUACCGCCAUGGAACCACACCACUUAACCGUUAUCACAUAUCUCGUAACAAACAACAUAUUAACAUCUAAAACAAAAACCUAGCUCUAGGCACGAUCAUAUAUUAAAAGACCAUUGUUACGCUAACAAAUAACAAAAUGCAAUGAGUUUAUUAAAGAAAAUAGUGAUAUUAAAAUUCCGCAGUAUAUAUCUAAAUUACAACGGAUCACAUAUAUAAACAAGUAGGAUUAUGAAUUAGAAAAAAUACACAUUAGUUUUUGUGGAGUAUAUUCACACAAAAUGAUUCUUCAUCGAAUUUGAUGUUUCAAUCGAAUAUUUUUUGUCCAUUACCUCGAUAUUUGACUAUUUCCUCAAUAUAGUUAGUCCGGGUGACGACACAAGUCAAUUACACUCAGAAAUAAGCUCACUAAAUGAAUUUCCAAAAGUGGAUCUGUAAUUAUGUUAAUUUACGGAUCAUAGGCUUCGUAAAAGAUCCAUGAGUCCAUAAGCAUUAUCCAGAGGCCUCAAACAUUGUGAUGCCAAUCCAGCCCACAUUGAAAGAUUAAUAUCGGGGCAAAGUUGGAUGGACAUGUGUCAUCAUAUGAUACGAUCCCAACCCGUCACCUCCACCCCUCUAUAUAUUUUACCUAUUGCUUCCCUACGGGCUAUGGUCCAUUCUCUUUACAUAAAUUUUAAAGGGCGCCUCCGGUGGGUCAUUUGUGGCGAACAAGAUCAACCCUACUGGUUGUUUCGGUGAGUUCCGUCACUCUCAGAUCUCCAACAUGUAAUUUUUUUCUCUAUGAGGAAUGUAGCUUUUUUUUUUAAUUGAGUUAUAUAUUACUUAUUUCGCUAGACAUGACAACAAGAUGUCAAUUUAAUUUGUUUAUUCGGAAAACCGCAGGAAGGAAUUCAUAAUCGAAAAUCAUAUGGUCAUCAUCUUGAUUUAACAAUUACUCCCUCCGUCUCCUUCAUUUGUUUACAUUGGGGGACGGAGGCUUGGCACGCAUUCUAAUGCUAUCGUAAAAUGUAGUUGAUAAAUUAUUUUGAACUUUUAUCUUUUCUGAAUAAAAUUUGAUGUUUAAACUUUUAUACAAAAAAGAAAUUUUUAAUUUUUUUUAAUAAAAUUAUGUUUUAUAUGCGCCUUAAAAUGCGUGUCGAUCAGUGUAAAAAAACUGUAAAGAAAUGAGAGGGACAGAGGGAGUAAUAUUUAAUAACAGUUUGUGUAUUGUCUUAACUCGUAAGAUAAAAAUUACGUUUGCAAGCCUGCUAGUUAAUUUGGUACUUCUAUAUUAUUGUUACUGAUCUUCUAAUCAAAUUGCUUCAGUGUUUCCCUUUCACUGCCUUGAUUUUAUAUUUUCUGUUUGUUAUUCUACAAUUGUCAAGUCUCUAUGGUUUUCUUUACCCAAAAACUUCACAGUGUUUAUUGCUGAUUGUUAAAUAUAACGCAGUGCUUUUCUAUUGUGAAAAUAUAUUUGUAUUUUAUAAGCAAUUGAACAGCAGUUGUAGAGAUAUUCCGAGAAGUAACAUUACUUUGAUAUUCUGAUGUACAAGUCCCAGUCUAUGAAUCUAUAAACCAUAAGUAUAUAAAUCUACUAAUGCAUCUAUUACACCAACACCUGACAGAGAAACAAGUAUAGACAUAGCAAUAUUUUGGUCUUUUGGAUUUGCUUUCAACCCUUCAGUUAGAAUUGAUGACUCCUAUUGAUUUCUUAUAUUAAUAUUCUUUUUUACCCGCAAAAAACAUGUAUUAUUUUUGGAUUUUCCUUUUUUACCCGCAAGAAACAUGUAUUAUUUUUGUUGUAUAUAUGUAUAUAGAUUAUUCUUUUUUACCCGCAAAAAAGGAAACAUACUUGUAGCUAGCUCCGCAUGAUUGAAAGGUUUAUCAGCUUUUUUGGUUUUAGAUCAUUUCAUUUCUCCGUCUAUCUCGUAAGCUCUUUUGGGUUUUCAAACAGAAAUUUUUUCUGGAUAUUAAACAUUACAUUUCAACCAAAGGAUGAGGGGCCCCUAUUAUGCCUUUCAUGUCGUCUCGUGUUAAACCUUAAGGAAGCGCGUCCUUACAGUUGAGGAUAAGGAAGAUACGUAAUGUGAACAUCUUACUGUCCGCAGACCCAGUUUUCAUGUGUGAUAUAUAUUGAUUUUAUGGCUUAUAUUGCAUUUUUUAUGUAUUUGUGUCAAUAUUCUUUGCUGUCGUGAGUUAAAAAAAUUAUGUUAAUUUUAUGUUUGUGAUGCUAGUGAAAGUAAGUAGGGUAGGCAAAAAAAUUGUUUCCAUGCUGUCUAAAAGCAUGAAAAAUAUUUCUACAAACUGUUAACAGGAACAGUACUUGUCUAAAAGCAGCACUAGGGAGCCUCAAGUUAUUUCCAGUCAGGCUUAAGAGCUUUGGAAGUAUCCCAGCGGGAUGGAAGUGGAUUGGAGACCUAACCUUGGUGGGAUGGAAAAGGCAUUUAGCAUGAAUGUGAUGAUGCUGAUUGUUAAAUAUUUUGCGGGAUGCUCGAUAACACACUGGUAACUUUUCUUUAAAUCUGCUCUAUAUUAGUAUUGUGAUCUGUAUCUUUAAGUUUUUAAGUCCUUGAUAUGAGGCAUCAAAUCUUUACUUUUCAUUAGUAGCAAUCGCAAGUUUGGGAGACUGAAGUCACUGAACCUGUGUUAAUUGUUAUUAUACCAAAGCUAAAUGUCCCAAGAAGUCCAUAUAUGCAGCAAAGCAAAGCAUAAGCAUUCCUUUGGAAAAUAAAAGGUUUAAUUCCAAGUUAAAAAUAUAUUAUACUAAACAUGGAUUUUCCUCCAAGUCAAAACUCACAUAGAUUUAAUGUUCUUUACCUUUUACUUUCUGUUUUGAAUAGUUGCCUAUUCAAAUCUUAUGAACAACAAGUCUAUGCAGUAUGCGGUGCUUUGCAUUUGAAUUAGCUUCCAGCACACUUUAUUAUCUCCUUUUUAUAAGCUGCAGAACUUUUGAAGCGCAGAUAGUGUGUUAUAAGUUUGGGAUAUUGUAUACUGUCUUUUUACUUAAUUCUGUUAUCCAUUUUAUAGUUAACUAUGAUUAGGCUUUUGCAUCUAAUUUUUGGUUCUCCUCUAAUUUUUGUCUUAUAUUCGUAAAAAUCUUGUAAUGGAUGACUCUAACCUGAAGAAGAUCUUUAAAAGUAAUGAAUUCCAUUAGUGACAAAGUACUCUGUUUUUCUAUAGAGAAAAAGUCUGAACUUUACAAAGAUAAAAAAAAUAUAUGAAUGGGCAUGUUCAGUUUCCCUUUGUAAUGAGUUCUGCAUUUCCCUAUUUCUGUAAAGGAGUCCUGCACCAGCUACAAAACAAAAAAGAAAACGAAAAGAGAUCUGCAGCAGAUCAAGUGACAGAGUUUGCGGAGCAUGGGAUAGUCUUCCUGAUGAACUCCUCCUUUCAGUUCUAAUGAAAUUGAAUAUUAUCGACUACCUUGCCUUCAGUGGUGUGUGUAGAUCCUGGAGGUCAGUGUCUACUGAUAUUCGCAAAAGUUUUAUGGAGCGUCUGCAACCCUUAGUUCUAGCAAGACCAAGAUAUUCAAAAAAAGCUUGUGUGCUAUAUAAUAUUUUUGACUGGAAAAGUUGCAAGUCAAUGCUUCCGAAUAUGCCUCGCAAAAGCUUAUGGGGUUUAUCAAGUGGUUACUUGAUCACAUAUGACAAGAACAUGGGGUUUUGGCUUGUGAACUUAAUGACAAGACAUGAGCUGCAUUAUCCUGUUCUGCCCGAGAGCAGCUAUAGCAUCUCUGACUUCACUGCUUGUGCUGUUCUCUUGCGAUCGACUCGGCUUUCCAGAAUUUUCAUGAUUAUAUUCUCUGAGAAGCAUGAUUUUUUACUGAUGUCUGAAAGUGGCUCUAGCAGUUGGCAUGAAUAUCUUUUACCAAACACCAGUUCUGGGAUUGCUGAUGUAAAGAUUUUGGAUGGCAAAAUAUUUGUUCUAACCUGUGAUGCGCAUUUUGGAGAAUUUAAUCCGAGGGCAGAUCCUGUUUUGAAGCUCUACAACCGUAACUUUCCUAUUCCACUUCCAUCACGUUCGAUUUUGAAGUUAGUGACUUCAGACAACAAGAUCUACAUGGUUAUAUCUCAACAUCCUUGUCCACGUGCUAUGUUGGUCCUAUAUCUUUCCUUGUACGAACUUGACUACAGUAUGGAAUCUGUAAAACAGAUUCAUGACUUGGGGUCAAAAUCUUUGUUCCUGAGUGUAUUUAAUUCUGCCCUGGUUGACACAACUGGUUGGGGAUCGGGCAACUGUGUAUGCGUUCUUCAAAAUACACUCGGAAAAUGUACAUUCUUUCACUUGGAUGGACAACGGAUAGCAACGGUUCCUUCUGUUUUCGAUGAUUAUUUGAGACUAUAUUUCUGGUUUUUUCCUGGUGAAAGCUGGGACAUCAGUCGUGUUGGUGAUGAAUUUGGCACUUGAUCACUUCUACUUCUGACAUCUGUUUCGAUGGCCAGAUCUUUUGUUUUACUUUCAUCUUACAUUCAGAGUAUUUGUGUUCUUUCAUUAAUCCUUUCACUCAGACUAUAUCGUUAUAUUGUGAUGUGAAUUUAGUAUUAUGUAGGCCAAGCUUUUAUGGUUUUUUAAUUUAGUAUUCAAGAGGUUUGACAUUUUAGUAUAAUCAUCCAUUAUCCUUUGUCCUUAGGUGUAUUAUAGAAAUUUUAGUAUUUUUCUGUGUUUUGUUUACUACACCGACCUGGUGCACAAGGUAAAAUUUUAUUUUCUGCAAAAAAAAAAGAUAAAAUUUUACUCUAAUGUAUUUAUAAUCAAUCACUUACUGUGGUUUCAAGUACGCUGUGGAUUUAGUACUAUAAAGUAUAAAGCAAUAUAUCAAAGUUCAAGAAAAGAACAUCUGAAAACUAGAGGAUUAUAAGAUUAUUUCUUUUCAAAAGGUUUUCAUGCCGUUACGGGCACUAAAGGCUUUACUAUGCUUCAUAAAAUACUAUUCAUGAACAAAACUUUGUUUGCGACUAAAAUAUAGGGAAUUUUCUACGUACGUCUUUGAAAUAAAGGUUAUGUUUUUUUGAUCUCUUCAUUUUAGCAUUUUCUAAUCAGAUUUUUUUCAUCAGUGUUAUAAUCAAUAACUAUGAUUUUUAAUGUUCAUACGGAUCAAAGCAGUUUUUAAGGUGUUAAUGAUAUUCAAAUUUAAAGUUCUCGUAGUCAAAUUGUAAUUUGAAUGACUAACGACAUUCAUAUCACAUAAAUUUUCACAAACUAGAUCCAAUUCAAAAUUUAAGGUCUCUAAAUUUAAUCAAGAAUCCCAAAUUUAUAGUCCAGUUUAGGAUUUUUUUUAAUUGGCGGUCUGGUUAGUGUGUGGAACAACUACUUUUAAUAUGGGUGGGAGAUUUUAAUUGGUGGGGAUUUCUAUGCAUGCAUGGGGCAUCAUUAUUGGUGGGAUGUGAGCCAAUCAAAAUCCACCAACUAGUUAAAAGUAGUUGUUAGUGUGUGCUUAUGGACACACAUUAGAAAACCCGUUUUUUAAUUAAACCUAAUUUGUGAAAAUUGGUGUCGUAUUCAAGAUUUAGCUAGCAACUUAUAAAAUUUAGGUCAAUUAUAUUGUAUAGUGUCAUGAUACCAAAAAAUUGAGAAAGGUGAGGCAAUUGAGCACUAGGAAAAAAAAAAAGCCAGCAAGGAAAAUGAAAAAGAUAAAAAAUUAUAACUAGAUAAAGUAAUUAAUUAAUUUUCUAAAAAUAAUGAAAGGAUCAUAACUGCACUAAUUCUCAAAAAAGACCAUCAACCCUAAAACCACUGUUCCCUCCGUCCCAUUCAUUUGUAUAUAGUUUUCCUUUUAGGAUGUCAUAUCAUUUCUAUACAUUUCAAAAAUAGUAAUUUUUAAUAAUAUAAUACACUAUUAAUAAUUUACUUUAACUACUUUAAUUUUUCACCAAUACCUUUCUUUCUUUAAUAAUGUAUAUAUUAUUUAUACCCCUAUUUUCCUCCACUAUCUCAAUGCUGUAAUUAAAUAUAAGUAAAUUCUCACUUCACCCACCUUUCAUCUAAUUUUACUCAUUUUUCAAAUUUUUUCUGACUUUUUCUUUAGUUUCUCGCUUAUUUUUAAGGAAGAAAAUGACUACUUUAAGCAUACGCAGCCAGGCUGCAGCUCAACAGAGCCCCUUGUUGAGUAUAACCUCUCUUCUCAAGUUUGUUAACACGAGAGACCAUUUGUGUGGAAUCUUUUAAUCAUAGGAUUGGGAUGUUUUUCUGCCAAAAAUUUCCGAUGGUUAAAGGGCUUGUGUUUUUGGUAUAAACCCAAUAUUCAAUCUUUCAUGUUUCUGCUCAUCAUUUUUAGUCAAGUUUGUUAUUCAUAUACUUUGUCUCUGUGUUUUAUAUACAAUUAUAUCUCAUCUAAUUGGAACUUACAAAUAUUGUAGACAAAUUUACUAUCUUGCACCCAAAUUUUCUGAUGAGAAUCUAAUUUUGAUGAAGGUGGACGCUGAGGUGUAUGAUAUGAUUGCCACAAAAAAAGGUUUUAAUCAAGGUCUGGUUUGGUGUUUGAUCACAGGUUUAUGUACGGUGGUUGUUCAUGGUAAAUUAUUCAGUCGUAUCUUUCGGACCAAUCAAUGGACGGAAUACAUUCACUUGUAAUAUUCGAGAGUUUUGGUCUCUACUAGCAAAUGUUAUGCAAGGAGGCGAUAACUUAGAACAGAGAAUGGGGGCAUGGUCUAGAAGGAAACAGGUGAGAGUUUUGGUCUCUACUUGCAAAUGUUAUGCAAAGAGGCGGUAAUCUAGAACAGAGAAUGGGGGCAUGGUCUAGAAGAAGGAAACAGGUGUGAGCGUUUCUUGUAUAGUAGUGGUUUUAUUUGUUAAAUCCAGUGUGCUGUUUCACGAUACUCAUAUUUUGUUACCAUGUUGGGAGUGUUCUUGUGUAUUGGUUACUUUCUGGUUUUCAACUUUGAUAACGAUAACAAAUAGGUCAUCAAUACAGAAGAUCAGUACAUAAAGACAAGGUUUUAAGGAACAAUAAUACGAAAAUUUAAAACUUUGGGUGCAAAAUUAAAUACAGCAAGCUUUGGCCAUGGAUGGACAUAUUUGCUUUGUACCAUUGGUAGUUUUGAUCACCUAGCGCUGGCAGACCCAAGGUUGAACAUUUGGCGAGCCCUGCGGCACAUUAAGGCACUUUUAAUUUGUAAAUGUGACCGGUUCUGAACGAAUGUUUAAACAUAAUGAAUGUUGCUUUGGAAAGAUAAGCAUUGUACUUGGAUAAUGCUUAGGUGCUAUCUAAAUUAUUCAAGAGAAGGCCCAGGCUUCGUAUAAUUUCGUUUUAUCAAUCCCUUCCUACUGGUCCUGGGAUUAGACUAAAUUACACUAACAUUUAGUUGUGAUGUUCAACAAAACAAAAAUUAAUAUCACUCUAGUAAACAAAUUCUACAAUCCUCUAAAGGGAAGAUUUACUUGUUGAUUCAAUAGUCAGAUAGUACAGGGCAAAAAAUGAACAAAAAUGGCAAUGGAACGCGCCAACUCACCUGAUAUUACCCUAGUCCGUGGGAAGUCGCCCUCCUGUAGUGCUCUCAAAAUUUCUUAAAUAAAUAAGAGACCUAGGUUAAUACAGGAUAAGAUAUAUGAUUAGGUGGACAGUCAGGAUAAGGUGAUGGGUUGCUGAGAUUUUCACCAUAUGACGACAAUGUUAGUAUAGAUAUACCCCACUAUGGAUCAUUUGAGGUGGGGUGGAUCAAGAUCACUACCCCAAGGCCUAUUACUUGACCAAUGACCGGAUAACACUGAUGGACUAAUAUAAUUUCGAAAAAAAACUAUGAUCCAUAUAUUAGCUUAAUCCCGGAUUCAAUUUUGUAUUUAUCGAAUGAUUUCAUGUAUGUGAGCAAGUUGUGACAGACGUAUUUAGUGUUACACACUAAUUAUAUUUAUGCAUCAUUAACCUUGUGAAAAAUGGACAGAGAAUUAUUAGAUUUGACCCCAUUGACCCCGUGGAAACAACAAUAUGGUCACAACUUGCUCACAUAUAUGAACUCAUUCGAUAAAAAUAAAAGUGAAUCUGCGAUUAAGUAAAUAUAUGGAUCAUAGUAUUUAUUAAAAUAUAUUAGUCCCACACCGUUAUCCGGUCCUUGGUCAUGUAAUAGGCCUCAGGGGUAGUGAUCUCGAUCCGGCCCACCUCAAAGGAUCCGUAGUGGUGUACAUCCGUACUAACAUGUGUCGCCAUACGAUGCAAUCUCACCAACCCCAACACCUUAUCCCGACCGUCCAUCUCACCAUAUAUCUUAUCCUAUGUAAACCCAUGUCUCUCUUUUUCAUUUAAGAAAUUUUGAGGGCACUACUGGAGGCGAUUUGUGGCGGACUAGGGUAAUCUCAUGUGAGUUGGCGAGUUCCAUUGCCGUUUCUGUUCAGUUUGUGCCCGUAUUAUCUUUUCAACAAGUAAAUCUUCCCUUUAGAUGAUUGUAGAUUUUGUUUACUAGCGUAAUGUUAAUUUUUGAUUUGCUGGACUUCGCAAGUAGAUGUUAGCUUAAUUUAGUCUAAUCCGAGGACCGGUAAGAAGGAAUUGAUAAAGCGAAAUUGUAGAAGCCUGAGCCUUCUCUUGAAUGAUUUAAUAAAUAAAAAUCCAAUACUUUAAUUUUAUUUAUGUAAUGUAAGAAGUAUAUUGAAUAAGUUUGUAAACAUGCCAGAUAGUGUGGUAAUGUUAAUUUUCUGAUCAAUUUUACUUGAUUGUUUCCUUUAAUUUACUGUUAAAAUCCAAUACAUAUCAAUAUUAUCUUGUUUUUAUGAUAUCUAGCUUAAUUUGAAACUAUAUCUUGACUUGAUGAGAUCAAUUAAGGAAAUAGCGGUGUAUGAUCUGAGACUUGUAAAUAUUAAGGCAAUCAUAGCAUUGAUUCUCACAUAUUUGCUGAAUGUUCUGGAACAAAUUAGUGUGACAUGCUUAUAAAUAAAAUAUGCUGUGUAGGAUAAAAAUCAAUUUGGUUAACUCCUCUUCUUCUUCUCUGUGUCUCCCUCUGUUAGACUGUUACUUUGCUGGUAUGUAAACCCGAAUUUAUUUCAUGUUAGUAUGAAAUAAAACAUAAUCCUUAAUACACUAGUCAUACUUAACAUGUCAUUGUAUCGCAUGUCUAUUAAGAAUUAUAAUGUUUGUGAAUGCAGUUGUUUUUACGAAUGAAACAUGCCAAGCUUUCAAGUAUGUAAUUUAAAUAAUUAUUUUGGGCUUACUAAUAGCUUCCCAAGUCAAGAUAAUAUUCUUCCAACUAGCAUAACCGAUUAUAUGCUUUGUGACCUGUUAUUUCGUAAGGAAGUCCGUUGGUCCAAAGACGUCACAGUGUUGAUUGUUGCUUUAGUUAUGUUAGUCACUGUGAUACUCUGUAGACAGUCACAAACAUAACACCUAAGGAACUAGACAGCAUUCGGAGCAUGUCCACCUCUUUGUUGUGAAUAUAUAUACAAUUAUACAUAUAUGUGUGUGUGUGUGUGUGUAAAGAAGCAAUAAAAACACCAUUUAAGUUGUAAGGCGAUUUUGGUAGGUAACAUAACUUAGACAUUCAUCAGUAUAUGCUCUACUUAAUUUGUUUAUUACAGCAACCUGAAAAAGGUCUAAGUACUUUGAAGUACCACUUUUUUGACAUUUUGGAUUUCUCUGUGUGACUUAAUUAUUGGAUAUCGUAUGCUUAAAAUUUAUGUUUAUGAUGCUAGCGAAAAGGAAAAUGAAGAAUGAAAAAAAAAAAACUGGUUUCAUGCUGUCAAAAGUUGUGGACGAUAAAAUCUUUUCUGUGGAUAUCCCUUUUUUCUUUGUACUUAUCCAUUUAAGUUGAAUUCCUUCUACAAACUUUUAAAGAGUAGUAGUAAAUGUCUGAAAGAAGCACAAGGAAAACCAAGAUAUUUCCAGUCUGACCAUUAAUAUUCUGUGCUUAUUAGGAAGAACAAGAGCUUGAAAGAAUCAGCCCAUUUUUUCAACGAAGGCAGAAUGGAAGUGGUUGAAAGGCCUUCCUUGGGUGGAAUGGAAAAGGCAUUUUGCAAUAAUGUUCUGAGGCGGAUUGUUGAUAUUUUUGCAGGGCGGUUGAGAAUUGACUAUUUCAGGUAACUAUGUUCUGAAUUUGCUCUAUGUAAAUAUUAUAAAAUUUGUCUUGAAGUUUUGGAGUUCCUGGUUUGGAGCAUCAAAUCCUUACAUAGUAAAAAUCAAAAGUGUGGCUAAAUUUCAAGUCCCAAGAAGUGCAUGUAUACAGCCAAUUAAAGAUUAAGCACCCCUUGGAAGGGGGGAGAAUAAAGUCUUGGCUAAAUCUCAAGUGAAUAAAGUUAACUGGUUGUGCUAACAUAGAUGGAGUUAUUGCUAUAAUUUAGCAUCAAAAAGUGAUUUUUUGUGCUAAAAUAGCACCAUGUCUCCAAUGGUAUUCAAUCAUGAAGAUCCCAUAAAAAACCUUCGAGACAAAUCAACUCAGAAGUUCUAUAGCUCACACUUAUAUACUCAGCUUCUGCACUACUUUUAGAUCCUUUGUUUGCUUCUUAAUUUUCUCAGAGAUUAAGGAAGAACCCUGGAAAAUAGCAUACCCAGACAAGGAUUUUGCAAAAGAUGAACAAGUUAUUUUAAGACAUGAAGAGCGGCGUCAUAAUAUGGCUGAGCUGGUUCUUGGUGAAACUAAGAAAGCUGUUGAACAACAUAUGAAAUAUCAAGCCUACUGGAGUUCAAAUAGAGCAAUUUCCUGAUAAAUCUUCUAUACACUUCUGGGUCAGGCAACUUUGAAACAUCCUUUAUACUUCCUCCGAUCUAACUGAAUACCGGCUUCAGUUCCAAGAACCUUAUGCUAAGGAAAUACUUCAAAUCAGCAGAACUUUAAUGGUAAAUUUUUGACGCAAUAAGGAUUUGAUAGAUUAUAAACAUCUAAUAUUGAUAAAUCGGGUCUUGGCAAAAAAAAAUAUAUAUUGAUAAAUCGGGCUCUCAGCCUCAAAAAAAUAAUAGAAUAAUAUUCUUGAAUAAUAUUCAUGAUCAUUAAUUUUAAAAGUGAUAUAUAAAAAUCACGGUAUUUUGGUAUUUUAUCUCUAACUCCUCGCUCAAUUUUAAGGUAGAAAAUGCCUAUUUUAAAUAUGUUGACCCUAUUUAUCAUAAUUUUAUACAAUAAUACCUCAAAUAUCACGGCCACAAAAUAUGGAUCCAAAAUUAUUUUACAACAUUACACGUCUAACACUUAUAAUUUUUUUUAAACAUUACACAAUACAUAGUUUAACCUUUUUUCACCCCAAUCUCGCAAGAAAAACAACUAAAACCCUAAAAAAGCCUUAACAUAAAUAAAUUACAUAAUACGCUUGGUAUUCAGAUAUUGAAAUGCGGCGCCUUGUCCCUAGAUCCCUACAGAGCCCAUUCCAUUGUUCAGUAUUACCUCUCUUCUUAAGUUUGUUAACACAAGAGACCAUUUGUGUGGAAUCUUUUAAUCAAUGGAUUGGGAUGUUUUAAUUUUGAUCUUUUAAUCUUUUAAUUUUGAUGAAGGUGUAAGCUGAGGUGUAUGAUAUGAUUGCCACAAAACAAGGUUUUAAUCAAAGUCUGGUUUGGUGUUUGAUAACAGGCUUAUGUACGGUGGUUGUAUCUUUCGGACCAAUCAAUGGACGGAAUACAUUCACUUGUAAUAUUGGAGAGUUUGGUCUCUAGUAGCAAAUGUUAUGCAAGGAGGCGAUAAUCUAGAACAGAGAAUGGGGGCAUGGUCUAGAAGAAGGAAACAGGUGUGUGCGUUUCUUGUAAUUAGUUUAUAGUAGUGGUUUUACAUGAUACUAAAUCUGCACAAAUCAUAUUUUGUUGCCAUGUUGGGAGUGUUCUUGUGUAUUGGUUACUUUCUGGUUUUCAACUUCUUUAAUAAAGAUAACAAAUAGGUCAUCAAUAUAGAAAGACAAGGUUUUAAGGAACAAUAAUAUGAAAAUUUUAAACUUUAUGUGCAAAAUUAAAUACAGCAUGCUUCGGCCAUGGAUGGGGACAUAUUUGCUUCGUACUUGAUCACCUAGCGCUAGCAGACCCAAUGUUAAACAUUUGGGAAGCCCUGCGGCACAUUAAGGUGCUUUCAAUUUGUAAAUGAGACCAGUUCCACACGAAUGUUUAAACAUAAUGAAUGUGGCUUUGGAAAGAUAAGCUAUUGUACUUGGAUGAUGCGUAGGUUUUAUUUAAAUCAUUCAAGAGAAGGCCCGGGCUUCUUACAAGUUCGCUUUAUCAAUUCCUUCCUAUUUGUCGUGGGAUUUGACUAAAUUAAACGAACAUCUAGUUCUGAUUACCAACAAAACAAAAAUUAAUAUCACUCUAGUCAACAAAAUCUACAAUCCACUAAAGGGAAGAUUUACUUGUUGAUCAGACAGUACGGGCAAAAAAUGAACAAAAACAACGGCAAUGGAACACGCGAACUCAUCUGAAAUUAUCCUAGUCCUCGGCAAAUCGCCCACCUGUAAUGCUCUCAGAUGUUCUUAAAUAAAAAAGAGACCUGGGUUAACAUGGGAUAAGAUAUACGGUGAGGUGGACGGUCAGGAUAAGGUGAUGGGUUAGUGAGAUUUGCACCAUAUGACGACACAUGUUAGUAUGGAUAUACCUCUGCUACGGAUCAUUUGAUGUGGGCCGAAUCGAGAUCACUACCCUCAUGACCUAUUACUUGACUAAUGGCCGGAUAACGCUGAGGGACUAAUAUAUAUUUUCAAAAAUACUAUGAUCUAUAUAUUAACUUAAUCGCGGAUUCACUUUUAUAUUUAUCAAAAGAGUUCAUGUAUAUGAGCAAGUUGUGACAGACACAAAAUUGGUAACUUUGCAAUUAAUAUUGUCAUUUCCUCGGGGUCAUUGGGGUCAAAUCUAUUCUUUGUCCAAUUUUUACAAGAUUAAUAAUGCCUAGAUAUUAUUAGUGUGUAACACCAAAUACAACUGUCACUACUUGCUCACAUACAUGAACUAUUCAAUUAAAACAUAGGUAAAUCUGCGAUUAAGUUAAUAUAUGGAUCAUAGUAUUUCUGAAAAUACAUAUCAAUUCCUCACGGUUAUUCGGUCAAUGGUCAUGUAAUAAGCCUUUGGGGUAGUGAUCCCGAUCUGGCCCACCUCAAAUGUUAUGUGGUGGGUUAAAUUUAUAGUAACAUGUGUCAUCAUCUGGUACAAUCUCACCAACCCAUUACCAUAUCCUGAUCGUCUAUCUCAUCACAUAUCAAUCCUUUGUCAACCCAGGUCUAUUUUUAAUUUUAGAAAUUUUGAGAGCACUGCUUGUGGGCGAUUUGCGACGAACUAGGGUAAAUUUCAGGUGAGCUAGCGAGUACCAUUGCCGUUUUUGUUCAGUUUUUGCCUGUAUUAUUUGAUCAACAAGUAAAUCUUCCCUUUUGAGGAUUGUAGAUUUUGUUUACUAGAGUGAUGUUAAUUUUUGUUUUGCUGGACAUUACAACUAGAUGUUAGCUUAAUUUAGUCCAAUCCUUCGACUGGUAGGAAGGAAUUGAUAAAGCAAAACUAUAAGAAGCCAUGACUUUCUCUUGAAUAAUUUAAUAAAAAAAAAUCCGAUACUCCAAUUUUAUUCAUGUAAUAAGUAUAUUGAUUAAGUUUCUAAACCUGACAGAUAGUUGGUAAUAUUGAUUUUCUGAUCAGUUUUACUUGAUUGUUUCCUUUAAUUUACCUUUAAAUGUGUUAAAAUCUAAUACAAAUCAAUAUUAUCUUGUUUUUAUGAUAUCUUGACUUGAUGAGAUCAAUUAAGGAAAUAGCAGUGUAUGAUCUGACACUUGUAAAUAUUAAGGCAAUCAUUGUAUGGUUCUCACAUAUUUACUGAAUGUUCUGGAAGAACGUAAUUUGGUGCAGGAACAAAUUAGUGUGACAUGCUGUGUAGGAUUAAAAUAAAUUUAUGUAACUCCUCUUCUUCUUCUCUGUGUCUUCCUCUGUUACUUUGCGGGUAUGUAAACCCGAAUUUACUUGAUGGUAGUGUGAAAUAGAACAUAAUCCUUAAUACACGAGUUGUGCUUUACAUUUCAUUGUAUCGCUUGUUUACUAAGAAUUAUAAUGUCUGUGAAUGCAGUUGUUUUUAUGAAUGAAACAUGCCAAGCUUUCGAGUAUGCAAUUUAAAUAAUUAUUUUGGGCUUACUAAUAGCUGCCCAAGUCAAGCUAAUGUUCUUCCAAUUAGCAUAACCGAUUAUAUGCUUCGUGACCAGUUAUAUAUUAAAGAAGUCUGUUAGUCCAAAGACUUCACAGUGUUGAUUGUUGCUUUAGUUAUAUUAGUCACUGUGAUACUCUGUAGACAGUAACAAACAUAACACUUGAGGAACUAGACAGCAUUUGGAGCAUGUCCACCUUUUUGUUGUGAAUAUAUANNNNNNNNNNNNNNNNNNNNNNNNNNNNNNNNNNNNNNNNNUAUAUAUAUAUAUAUAUAUAUAUAUAUAUAUAUAUAUAUAUAUAUAUAUAGCAAUCCGAAAGAGGUCUAAGUACUUUGAAGUACCACUUUUUCGACAUUUUGGAUUUCUGUGACCCUUCAAUCAGAAUUAUUGGAUAUUGUAAAAUUUAUGUUUAUGAUGGUAAUGAAAAAGAAAAUAAAAACUGAAAUAAUUUGGUUUCAUGCUGUCAAAAGAUGUGGACAGUAAAAUCUUUUCUGUGGAUAUCCCUUUUUUCUUUUUGUACAUGUCCAUGUAAGUUGAAUUCCUUCUACAAACUUGUAAAGAGUACUAGUAAAUGUCUGAAAGAAGCACAAGGAAAACCAAGAUAUUUCCAGUCUGACCAUUAAUAUGUAUUCUGUGGUUAUUAGGAAGAACAAGAGCUUGAGAGAAUCAGCCCGUUUUUUGAACGAAGGCAGAAUGGAAGUGGUUGAAUGGCCUUCCUUGGGUGGAAUGGAAAAGGCAUUUGGUAAUAAUGUUCUGAGGCGGAUUGUUGAUUUUUUUGCGGGGCAGUUGAUAAUUGACUAUUCCGGGUAACUAUGUUGUGAAUUUGGUCUAUGUAAAUAUUAUAAAUUUUGUCUUGAAGUUUUGGAGUUCCUGGUUUGGGGCAUCAAAUCCUUACGUAGUAAAAAUCAAAAGUGUGGCAAUAAAAUCCUUACGUAGUAAAAAGUCUCAAGUCCCAAGAAGUGCAUGUAUACAGCAAAUUAAAGAAUAAGCACCGCUUGGAACGGAGAAGAAUUAAGUCCCGGCUAAAUCUCAAGUGAAUAAAGUCAAUUGGUUGUGCUAAAAUAGAUGGAGUUAUUGCAAUAAUUUCCAAAUACAUCCCACUUUUGAAUAUAAAUAUGACUAACUUUCAAAGACCCUGAACUUUCAAGUAAUAAUUUAUACAUUUUUUAAUCAUUUUAUACUUUAGCAAUUAGAGCUUCAGUGAAUUAGCUACCAGUAAGCUUUAUUAUCUUCUUAUGUCUAGCUGCAGAACUUUUUACUAUACUGGCAAAAGGAACAAUCCUACUCUAGUUUCUCCUCUGUGUUAAAUCAAGUUCUUUUAAAUCUUGCAAAGGAUGAAUCUGUCCUUAAGAAACAUCUGUAAAAGUAUUGCAUUCCGUUUUCAGCAAACUACUUGUCUUUCUAGAUAAAAUUCAUUUGAAUGGGCAUGCUCAAUCUAGCUUUGUAGUGAGUUCUUUGUUUCUCUAUUUGUUAACAGGAAUGCUCCACGAACAGUAAAACAAGGAAGAAAAUGGAAAAGGACUUGCAGGAGAUCGGGUGACACAGUUUGGGGAGCAUGGGGCAUUCUUCCUACUGAACUUCUGGUGUCAAUUUUGGUUAAGUUAAGUAUUGUGGACUACCUGUCAUUUAGCCGUGUUUGUAAAUCUUGGAGGUCUGCAUCUAUUGCUUUCCGCAAAUACUGUAUGGAGCGCCAGAAACCCCUAGUUGUUGUUCGUCCAAAGCGUUCGAAAAAGUCUUGUGUAUUGUACAAUAUGUUCGAUAUGAAACGUUACAAAACAAUGCUGCCAGAUUUGCCUUGCAAGAAAUUAUUGGGUUUGUCAUGUGGGUACCUGAUUACAACCGAUGGAAACUUAGGCUUUUGGCUCGUAAAUAUAAUGACAAACAUGAGCUGCGUUUUCCCGUCCUUCCUGGACAUAUGGGUGGCAUAAACUGCUUUGAAUUUUCUGCUCUCCUAUUUCGGGCCACUCGGUUUUCAGAAACUUUCAUGAUUGUUCUCUCUCUGACAGAAAAUUAUAUAUUAUUGUCCAAAAGUGGUGGCAGCAGUUGGCAGAGAUAUGUCCAGGAAACAGUCAUGUAUAGCUUAUUGUCUGAUUCCACCAACUUCAGAUACAUAUCAGGUGAAACCUGGAAAGGGAUGCUGAUUUUGGAGAGCUUUGGAACAGAACCUGCCUUCGGAUUAAAUUCUCCAAAACGUAAAUCUGAAGUCAAAACAAAGAUUUUGCCAUCAAAAAUCUUCACAUCUGCAAUCCUGGCUUCUGUGUCGGAUAAAGCAUAUCUCUGCCAACUGUGACCAAGAGGAUACAAUUCCCCUUUUUCUGAACCCACCCUUGCGGGCAAAUUUGAAUCAGUGAACGGUUCACUAAUUCCCAAUUUGGAUCACUAGAUCACUACUGGAGGAGAAUUUGGGAUCACUGCUGGAGGAGAAUCAGUGAUCUAGUGAUCCAAAUUGCGAAUUAGUGAACCGUUCACUGAUUCAAAUUUGCCCGCAAGGGUGGGUUCAGAAAGAGGGGAAUUGUAUCCUCUUGGUCAUAGUUGGCAGAGAUAUGCUUUAUCCGACACAGAAGCCAGGAUUGCAGAUGUGAAGAUUUUUGAUGGAAAAAUCUUUGUUUUGACUUCAGAUUUACGUUUUGGAGAAUUUAAUCCGAAAGCAGGUUCUGUUCCAAAGCUCUCCAAAAUCAGCAUCCCUUUCCAGGUUUCACCUGAUAUGUAUCUGAAGUUGGUGGCAUCAGAUAAUAAGCUAUACAUGACUGUAUUCAAUUGUUGGCCUUAUCCUGCAUUGGACCGACAUCUGUCAUUAUUCGAAAUUGACCAUGAGACAAUGGAUAGAGCAAAACAGAUUCAUGACUUGGGUGCAAAAUCAUUAUUUUUUAGUUGGUUCAGUUCUGCUGUCGUCGAUACAACUGGUUGGGGAGCAGGUAACUGUGUCUGUGUUCUUCACUUAGGAGUUUUCAACACAUGUUCUUUCUUUAACCUGAAUGGAAAUCAGCUAGGAACAACUCCGGUUGUUUGGGAUGGUCAUUCGUCACCUUGUUUUUGGUAUUUUCCUAGUGAAAUUUGGUCCAUCAGUUGUGUCAGUGAUGAGUUUGGCGCAUGAUCACUUAUAAAUCUCAUAUCAGUUUUUCUCAUUAAGUCUGUAGCGUUUAUCUUCAUCUUACAUUAUGGAACUUUGUACUAGUUCCAUUAUGAAAACUUUAAUACAUUGAUGCUGUGAUGUUUGCCUAAGAGGCACCAGAACUCAAAUGUCAUUUUCUGCAUUUCUUAUUGGCACCAUGUUUGUUCGUGUAUGAGACAUUCUUAAGAGAAAAAUUCCCAAUUUGAAGCUGCAGUUUCUGCAGUUUAAUAUAGUUAUAUAUUUUUGUUGAGCAAAGUUUAUUUUAUAGAUGAUUACUUUGUUUCCGAAUUAUUGUAGUGACAAAUAGAUAAGUUAAUAAAAUACAUGGAGAGCAACUGAGCACCGAGACGGAGAAUAAUAUCGUCUUUUACAGACUCAUUAUUGUGACGUUAAAAUAUAAUUUAUAAUAAUAUAUAUUUAUAUUAAAAAAUUUAUAUCUUAUAAAUAUAAAAAAUGAUCCAAACACAUAAAUUAAAAGUUAAAUUCAAUUUAUAACUUUUUACUUAUAAUCAAUAAAAACGUCUUUUACAGCCUCAUUAUUCACAUACUUUUAUCAUCACUUCCACACUUCUGCAGUUUACACAAUCCUGCAAGAUGAUCUGAAUUCUGAAUACAUGCAAGUCCAACCACCAUUUAUUUUUUGCUGAUAUUUCUUCUACUUUUUUCUCUUUCUCUGCAAUCUUAUUUUAAAUGGGCAUGGAGCAUUGCUUCUCCACUACUAUAACCAAAUGUAAAGUUACAGCUUGGUUAUUCCCUUAAAGAUUGCUUCCAUCUUGUGCUCUGUUUUCUGAUUCAAUUUACAAAGAUCACAUUCAUGACUCAGUAGCAGCCAAACUAGCAAAUCUUUUGAGUCAUCUUGAGCAAGUUCUGAGAAAUUCUGUCUGGAAGAAGUCCUAUUUGUUUUUUCCUGCCGAGUUGAACUCAUGGCAGAAGUUUGCGGUUAAAUUAAAUUGCGUCCUGUUUUAGGAGAGGAGAAAUCCCAUCACUUAGCACUUUUAGUGCAUUAGUGUGAUUCAAGUUUGUUAGAGAGAGAAUGAACUGAAUGAAUCUGUUAAAAUUGACUUGUUGCUCCAUGAGCUGUAUUUACAAGUAUGUAGCUGACACUAACAGAAUAUUCAUAUACUAACUAUGUAGCUGGAAGCUUCUAGAACAUUUAUUUACAAUACAUGUACAUAGAUCAAUACCCCCUUCAAGCUAGGCAUCAAAGAGGAUCAAAUUGAAAACCAAGCUUGAUACUAAGAAACUUGUGAUGAGCAGCAUCCAAUGGCUUUGUCAGUAUAUCAGCUAGCUCAAUGAAAGUACUCAUAUGUGAAAUUCGAAUGAACUCAGAAUCAACAUACCCUCGAAUAAAAUGACAGCAAAUCUUCAAAUGUUUAGUUCUUUCUUGGAAGAUUUGCUUCUUUGCAAUGUGGUGAGCUGAAGUGUUGUCACAAUAAAGAUCAAUUGGCAAAGGAAUUUGAUCAUGAAGAUCCCUUAAGAAACCUUCAAGAUAUAUCAACUCAGAAGUUGUAUAGCUCAUAUUUAUAUACUCAGCUUCUGCACUACUUUUAGAUUCUUUUUUUGCUUCUUAAUUUUCCAAGAGAGUAAGGAGGAACCCUGGAAAAUAGCAUACCCAGACAAGGAUUUUGCAGAACAUGAACAAGUUCCCUAGUUUGCAUCUGAAUGUGCAGUUAAUUGCAGAGGAUUAUUAGCUUUGUAAAACAGACCAACAUUCAAUGAAAUUUUCAAGUUAUUUUAAGACAUGAAGAGCGGCAUCAUAAUGUGGCUGAGCUGGUUCUUAGUGAAACUAAGAAAGCUGUUGAACAACAUAUGAAAUAUCAAGCCUACUGGAGGUCAAAUAGAGCAAUUUCCUGAUAAAUCUACCAUUCACUUCUGGGUCAGGCAACUUUAAAACAUCCUUUGUACUUAGAUGCAAGCCUUUUAAUAAUGGAAAAGCAGCAGCCAAGUGAGUAUUAGCUGAUAAAUUCAAUAUAUACUUCCUCUGAUCUAACUGAAUUCCGGCUUCAGUUCCAAGAAUCUCAAUGCUAAGGAAAUACUUCAAAUCAUCCCGACUUUUAGUGGUAAUUUUUUGAUGCAAUAAGGAUUUGAUAGAUUACUUAGUUAGUCUCAAGUACGAGAAAGCUAAAUAUAUCACAUUUUAAUUUUUUUUUACUUGAAAAAUUUUCAAGUAGAUGGACCACUAUGAUACCCAUUCUUAAAAUGGGUAUUCCUAUAUAUUCAUUCUCAAAAUGGGUGUCACAUAUAAAUUAAUUUUAAAACGAUCAAUACACAUUCUCAGAAUAGGUCACAGUAAUAUACUCACUCUUUGGAUAAUAAUCUUUCUAAAAUUUAAUUUUUCAUUAUUCAAAAUAUUUUAGGGAAAAUCAAUUUAAAAGUCUCUGAGCUAUUGGUGUUUUAUUGUCUGGUUCCCUGAAAUAAAGAUUCCAAUAUUCGGGUCCCUUACGUUUUUAGUUUUCCUGUUUGAGUCCUUCCAUUAACUGAACUUCUGACGGACGUUAGAAUCUCGAUGACGUGGCAGAAUUGUUAACAUGUGUAUAUAAAUUUUAUUUUAAAGGUCCUGAACUAUUAAUAAUUUUCUUAUUUGAGUCUUUUCAUUGAUUUAAAAUUUAUUAUGUAAACAUUAAAUCGGCUUAGAAUGUAUUCAAUCUUUGAUACAACUUUAGUUUUUUAAUUUGUAAUUAUUUUAGGCGUCUAAUAGAUAAUAAUAAACAUUAAUAUAACAAAGUAAAAUAAACAUUAAAUAUAUUUAUUAAUAUAGCACAAUAAAUAUAUUAGUGUUUCCUUAUAUUUGAAGUAAAAAAUUACCAAGUCAUCGAGAUUCUAACUUCAGUUAACCGAAGGACUCAAAUAAUAAAAUUGAAAACGUAAGUGACCCGGAUAUUGGAAUUUUUAUUUCAGGUAUCUAGACAAUAAAACACCAAUAAUUUAGGGACCUUUAAAUUAAUUUUCUCAAUAUUUUAUCAUCUAUACUAUAUUAUAAAAAGCCAACAUGGGUAUAAUUUGUAGUCGUACAAAAUUUUGGUACGGUAGUCUCCUCUCCUCUAAAACUAAAAGUCUACAACAUGUGGAUAUCUAUUAAACAGUUUCAUAUACUCAAAACACUCCUUAUGUAUAUUAAUAUCUUUUUUAAUAUAAUUUAUAAUUAGUUGAAAAAAGGUGAAACUACUAUUAAUAACAUGUAUUAAUGUUAAAAAAUACUUAUAGAUAAAUGUAUAACUAAUAAUAAAUAUAUAAUUUUGAAUAUCUUUUGUCUAAAAUACGUACAUAUAAAUAAGGGCUUUUUUUAUUCAUAACCACGUUUUCAAUCUUAUUUCCAAAAAUACUACCUUAUCCAAUCUUAUUUUCAAAAAUACUACCUACACUAAAAUAUUUUCAAAAAUACUACAUUUUUGGAAAAUAUUUUCAAAAAGGUAGUAUUUUUGAAAAUAUUUUAGAGAUUUGAAAAUAAGAUUGGAUAAGGUAGUAUUUUUGAAAAUAUUUUAGAGAUUUGAAAAUAAGAUUGGAUAAGGUAGUAUUUUUGAAAAUAUUUUAGAGAUUUGAAAAUAAGAUUGGAUAAGGUAGUAUUUUUGAAAAUAUUUUAGAGAUUUGAAAAUAAGAUUGGAUAAGGUAGUAUUUUUGAAAAUAUUUUAGAGAUUUGAAAAUAAGAUUGGAUAAGGUAGUAUUUUUGAAAAUAUUUUAGAGAUUUGAAAAUAAGAUUGGAUAAGGUAGUAUUUUUGAAAAUAUUUUAGAGAUUUGAAAAUAAGAUUGGAUAAGGUAGUAUUUUUGAAAAUAUUUUAGAGAUUUGAAAAUAAGAUUGGAUAAGGUAGUAUUUUUGAAAAUAUUUUAGAGAUUUGAAAAUAAGAUUGGAUAAGGUAGUAUUUUUGAAAAUAUUUUAGAGAUUUGAAAAUAAGAUUGGAUAAGGUAGUAUUUUUGAAAAUAUUUUAGAGAUUUGAAAAUAAGAUUGGAUAAGGUAGUAUUUUUGAAAAUAUUUUAGAGAUUUGAAAAUAAGAUUGGAUAAGGUAGUAUUUUUGAAAAUAUUUUAGAGAUUUGAAAAUAAGAUUGGAUAAGGUAGUAUUUUUGAAAAUAUUUUAGAGAUUUGAAAAUAAGAUUGGAUAAGGUAGUAUUUUUGAAAAUAUUUUAGAGAUUUGAAAAUAAGAUUGGAUAAGGUAGUAUUUUUGAAAAUAUUUUAGAGAUUUGAAAAUAAGAUUGGAUAAGGUAGUAUUUUUGAAAAUAUUUUAGAGAUUUGAAAAUAAGAUUGGAUAAGGUAGUAUUUUUGAAAAUAUUUUAGAGAUUUGAAAAUAAGAUUGGAUAAGGUAGUAUUUUUGAAAAUAAGAUUGAAAAAACAAUAUACAAGAUAAUUCCCCUAUAAAUAAUUGGAGACGCUACUUUUUAAUUAUAACGUAUUCUACUCGAAAUUUAACUCUAACGUGUUCUAUUUCAUUACAAACACGAACCAUUACGUAACAUAUGAAGAUAUAUAAAAUAUGAAAAUUUUAAUUUAAAAUUAAUUGAAUAAUAAACUGUCACAUAUUAAUAUCAGAAAAAUAUUUACAGAUAGAUAAUAAAUUGUGAAAGCUAAAUUUCCGUUAGAAGAUAUAAUCAGUUGGUUAAUAUAAUUUAAUCAAAAUUCAAUUCAUUAAUACUAAAAUACUAACAAUAUGAUGUUAAGAUUUAUAUUAUAAUUAAUAAAUUGCAAAUUAUAUACCCGCCCGUGCUUUGCACGGGUUAAACGCUAGUAUAUAUAACCACACAACCACCCACACAUAUAUAUUACCGUUUAUUAAACACACAACACCACCAUCUAUAUUAUCAAUUAUCCCUAAAAGAAAAAUAUAAACAUCAAAUAUUUAUAAAUUGGUCACUCAUUCUCAAAAAGAUAAUAGAACAAGAUUCUUGAUCAUUAAUUUUAAAAAUAAUAUAUAAAAAUCACGGUAUUUUGAUUUGGUAUUUUUUUUUCUUUAGCCCCUCGCUUAGUACUUUUAAGGUAGAAAAUGACUACUUUACAAUGUGUUGAUCCUCUUUAUCAUAAAUUCAAAUAAUAAUAUUUCAAAUAUUAUGUCCAUAAAAUAUGGAUCUAAAUAUCAUUUUAUAAAUUAUUUUUUAAACAUGACGCACUUUUUCUUAGUCCAAGCUCACAAGAAAAACACCUAAAACCCUAAAAAAAAAAACCAAUUAACGUGUAGUCGUUUAAAGCACAAAUAGAUCAUUAUGUAUUAUGUGUCUUAGCUUGGUAUUCAGAUAUUGGGGAUAUUUUAACAAUUUAUGAUAUGCGGCUCUUCUCUCCUACUUUUAAGCAUCGGCAACCAGGCUGCAUCCCUACAGAGCCCCUUCCCUUUGUUCAGUAUUACUCUCUUCUUAACUUUGUUAACACAAGAGACCUUUGUAUGGAAUCUUUUAAUCAAUGGAUUGGGAUGUUUUUGCGCUGCAAAUUUCAGAUGGUUAAAGGGCUUGUGUUUUUGGUGUAAACCCAUCAAUCUUUCAUGUUUCUGCUCAUCAUUUUUAGUCAAGUUUAUUAUUUAUAUACUUUGUGUGUGUGUUUUAUUUACAAUAAUAUCUUAUCUAAUUGGAACUUACAAAUAUUGCAGACAAAUUUAAUAUCUUGCACCCAAAUUUCCUGAGAAUCUAAUUUUGAUGAAGGUGUAUGAUAUGAUAUGAUAUGAUAUGAUAUUGUAUGAUAUGAUUUCCACAAAAAAAGGUUUUAAUCGAGGUCUGGUUUGGUUUUUGAUAACAGGCUUAUGUACGGUGGUUGUUCAUGGUAAAUCAUUCAGUCGUAUUUUUCGGACCAAUCAAUGGACGGAAUACAUUCACUUGUAAUAUUCGAGAGUUUGGUCUCUAGUAGCAAAUGUUAUGCAAGGAGGCGAUAAUCUAGAACAGAGAAUGGGGGCAUGGUCUAGAAGGAAACAGGUGUGAGCAUUUCUUUUGUAAUUAGGUUAUAGUAGUGGUUUUAUUUGUUAAAUCCAGUGUGCUGUUUCACGAUACUCAUAUUUUGUUGCCAUGUUGGGAGUUUUCUUGUGUAUUGGUUACUUUCUGGUGUUCAAACUUCUUUGAUAAAGAUAACAAAUAGGUCAUCAAUACGGAAGAUCAAUAUAGAAAAGACAAGGUCUUAUGGAACAAUAAUGCGAAAAUUUAAAACUUUGGGUGCAAAAUUAAAAACAGCAUGCUUUGGCCAUGGAUGGGUACAUAUUUGCUUUGGACCAUCAGUAUUGAUCACCUAGCGCUAGCAGACCCAAUGUUGAACAUUUGGCCAGCCCUGCGGCACAUUAAGGUGCUUUCAACUUGUAAAUGAGACUGGUUCCACAGGAAUGUUUAAACAUAAUGAAUGUGGCUUUGGAAAGAUAAGCUAUUGUACUUGGAUGAUGCUUAAGUGCUAUUUAAAUCAUUCAAGAGAAGACCCAGACUUUUUACAAAUUCGCUUUAUCAAUUCCUUCCUGUUUGUCCUCGGAUUUGACUAAAUUAAACUAACAUCUUCUUGUGAUUAUCGGCAAAACAAAAAUUAAUAUCACUCUAGUAAACAAAUUUACAAUCCUCUAAAGGGAAGAUAUACUUGUUGAUCAGAUAGUAUGGGCAAAAAAUGAACGGAAACGGCAAUGGAACUCACCAACUCACUUAAAAUUACCCUAGUUCGCAGCAAAUCGCCCUCAAUUAGUACUCUCAAAAUUUCUUUAAAAAAAAAGAGACCUGGGCUGACAUAGGAUAAGAUAUACGGUGAGGUGGACGGUCAGGAAAAGGUGAUGGGUUUGUGAUAUUGCACCAUAUGAUGACACAUGUUAGUAUAGACGUACCCCAGUAAUACCACACUAUGGAUCUUUUGAGGUGGGUAGGAUCGAGAUCACUAUCCCAAGGCCUAUUACUUGACAAAUGACCGGAUAACGCUGAUGGACUAAUAUAUAUUUUUAAAAACACCUGUAAAUUUGUGAGCAAUCUGUAAAUUUGUAAAUUUGUGACCUAUAACCCACUAUGUAUGUGAGCAAUCUGUAAAUUUGUGAUUAAGUUAAUAUAUGGAUCAUAGUAUUUUUGGAAAAAAUAUUAGUCCAUCACCGUUGUCCGGUCAUUGGUCAUGUAAUUAAGCCUUGGGGGUAGUGAUCUCUUCCGGACCAACUCAAUUGAUCUGUACUGGGGUAUAUUUAUACUAACAUGUGUCGCCAUAUAGUUCAAUCUCACCAACCCAUCAUCAUAUCCUGACCGUCCAUCUCUCCAUAUAUCAAUCCUAUGUCAACCCUGGUCUCUUUUUUAUUUAAGAAAUUUUGAGAGCACUACCGAAGGGCGGUUUGCGGCGGACUAGGCUUUUUUCAUGUGAGGUUCCAUAUCCGUUUCUGAUCAGUUUUUGUCCGUACUAUUUGAUCAACAAGUAAAUCUUCCCUUUAGAGGAUUGUAAAUUGUGUUUACUAAAGUGAUGUUAAUUUUUGUUUUGCGGGACAUCACAACUAGAUUUUAGCUUAAUUUUGUCUAAUCCCAGGACCCGUUGGAAGCAAUUGAUAAAGCGAAACUGUAGAAUCCUGGGCCUUCUCUUGAACGAUUUAAUAAAUAAUAAUCCAAUACUUCAAUUUUAUUUAUGUAAUGUAAUAAGUAUAUUGAUUAAGUUUCUAAACCUGCCAGAUAGUGUGGUAAUGUUAAUUUUCUGAUCAGUUUUACUUGAUUGUUUCCUUAAAUUUACUGUUAAAAUCUAAUUUAGAUGGUAUAAGCUGAGGUGUAUGAUAUGAUUGCCACAAAAAAGGUUUUGAUCAAGGUCUGGUUUGGUGUUUGAUAACAGGCUUGUGUACCAUGGUGGUUCAUGGUAAAUGAUUCAGUUGUAUCUUUCAGACCAAUCAAUGGACGGAAUACAUUCACUUGUAAUAUUCGAGAGUUUGGUCUCCAGUAGCAAAUGUUAUGCAAGGAGGCGAUAAUCUUGAAUAGAGAAUGGGGGCAUGGUCUAGAAGGAAACAGGUGUGAGCGUUUCAUGUAAUUAGUUUAUUGUAGUGGUUUUAUUUGUUACAUCCAGUGUGCUGUUUCAUGAUGCUAUCUACACAAAUCAAAUUUUUUGUCAUGUUGGGAGUGUUCUUGUGUAAUGGUUAAUUUCUGGUUUUCAACUAAUAUGAUAAAGAUAACAAAUAGGUCAUCAAUACGCGCGGAAGAUCAAUUUAGAAAGACAAGUUUUUAAGGAACAAUAAUGCGAAAAUAUAAGACUUUGGGAGCAAACUUAAAUACAGCAUGGAUGGAAGUAUUUGCUUUGUACCAUGCAGUAGUUUUGAUCACAUAGCGCUAGCAGACCCAAUGUUGAACAUUUGGCGAUCCCUGCGGCACAUUGAGGCACUUUCAAUAUGUAAAUGUUACUGGUUCUAAACGAAGGUUCAAACAUAAUGAAUGUGGCUUUGGAAAGAUAAGCAGGCAUAGGUGCUAUGUAAAUCAUUUAAGAGAAAGCCCAGACUUCUUAUAAUUUCGCUUUAUCAUUUCCUUCCUACUGGUCCUGGGAUUAGACUAAAUUACGCUAAAUCUAGUUGUGAUUUCCAGCAAAACAAAAAUUAAUAUAACUCUAGUAAACAAAAUCUACAAUCCUAUUAAGGGAAGAUUUGCCUGUCGAUUAGAUAGUACGGGCAAAAAAUUAACAGAAAUGACAAUGGAACUCGCCAACUCACCUGAAAUUACCCUAGUCCGAGGCAAAUCGCCCUUCUGUAGUGCUCACAAAAUUUUUAAAAUAAAAAAGAGAAUUGGGUUGACAUUGGAAAAGAUAUAUGCUGAGGUGGACAGUCCCGAUAAGGUAAUGGGUUGGUGAGAUUUGCACCAUAUGACGACACAUGUUAGUAUAGAUGUACCCCCGCUACAGAUCAUUUGAGGUGGGUCGGAUCGAGAUCACUACCCUCAUGGCCUAUUACUUGAGUAAUUAUCGGAUAACGCUGAGGGACUAAUAUAUUUUGAAAAAUACUAUGAUCCAUUUAUUAACUUAAUCGCAGAUUCACUUUUAUAUUUAUCGAAAGAGUUCAUGUAUAUGAGCAAGUUGUGACAGCCACAAAAUUGGUAACUUUGCAAUUUGAUAUUGUCAUUUCCAUGGGGUAUUUGGGGUCAAAUCUAAUAAUUCUUUGCCCAUUUUUUAUAAGAUUAAUAAUGCCUAGAUAUAAUUAGUGUGGAACACCAAAUACAAAUGUCACUACUUUCUCACAUACAUGAACUAUUCAAUUAAAAUAUAAGUAAAUCCAUGAUUAAGUUCUUAUAUGGAUCAUAGUAUUUCUGAAAAUACAUAUCAGUUCCUCAUUAUCCGGUCAUUGGUCAUGUAAUAAGCCUUUGGGUGAUCUCGAUCCGGCCCACCUCAAAUGAUCAGUGGUGGGGUAAAUUUAUACCAACAUGUGUUGUCAUAUGGUACAACUCACCAACCCAUUAUCAUAUCCUGACCAUCCAUCUCAUCACAUAUUAAUCCUAUGUGGUCUAUUUUUAAUUUAAGAAAUUUUGAGGGCACUCCUUGACGGCGAUUUGCAGCGAACUAGGGUAAAUGUCAGGUGAGUUGGCGAGUACCAUUUCCGUUUUUGUUCAGUUUUUGCCCGUAUAAUUUGAUCAACAAGUAAAUCUUUCCUUUAGAGGAUUGUAGAUUUUGUUUACUAGAGUGAUGUUAAUUUUUGUUUUGCUAGACAUCACAACUAGAUGUUAGCUUAAUUUAGUCCAAUCCUUGGACCUGUAGAAAGGAAUUGAUAAAGCAAAACUGUGAGAUGCCUUGGCUUUCUCUUGAAUAAUUUAAUAAAUAAAAAUCCAAUGCUCCAAUUUUAUUCAUGUAAUAAGUAUAUUGAUUAAGUUUCUAAAACUGCCAGAUAGUGUGAUAAUAUUAAUUUUCCAGAUAAGUUUUACUUGAUUGUUUCCUUUAAUUUACCGUUAAAUGUGUUAAAAUCUAAUACAUGUCAAUAUUAUCUUGUUUUUAUGAUAUCUUGACUUGAUGAGAUCAAUUAAGGAAAUAGCGGUGUAUGAUCUGACACUUGUAAAUAUUAAGGCAAUCAUUAUAUGGUUCUCACAUAUUUACUGAAUGUUUUGGAAGAACGUAAUUUAGUGCAGGAACAAAUUAGUGUGACAUGCUGUGUAGGAUUAAAAUAAAUUUGCUUAACUCCUCUUCUUCUUCUCUGUGUCUUCCUCUGUUACUUUGCGGGUACAUGUAAACCUGAAUUUACUUGAUGGUAGUGUGAAAUAGAACAUAAUCCUUAAUACACUAGUUGUGCUUCACAUUUCAUUGUAUCGCUUGUCUACUAAGAAUUACAAUAUCUGUGAAUGCAAUUGUUUUUAUGAAUGAAACAUGCCAAGAUUUCGAGUAUGCAAUUUAAAUAAUUAUUUUGGGCUUACUAAUAGCUGCCCAAGUCAAGCUAAUGUUCUUCCAACUAGCAUAACCGAUAAUAUGCUUCGUGACCUGUUAUUUAUAAAAGAAGUCCGUUUGUCCAAAGACUUCACAGUGUUGAUUGUUGCUUUAGUUAUAUUAGUCACUGUGAUACUCUGUAGACAGUAAGAAACAUAACACCUGAGGAACCAGACAGCAUUUGGAGAACCCCAUAUCUAUGUGAGAUAUUAGAACUAAUCUAAGCCAUUAGAUCAAUCUAAUCUAAUGGCCCCCUAGAUUUUGGUAGGUAACGUAACUUAGACAUUCUGAUGUGUCUAUUAAAGCAACCUGAAAGUGGUCUAAGUACUUUGAAGUACCACUUUUUUGACAUUUUGGAUUUUUGUGUGACCCUUUAAUCAGAAUUAUUGGAUGUCGUAUGCUUAGAAUUUUGGAUGCUAAUGAAAAAGAAAAUGAAGACUGAAAAGAAAUGGUAUUAUACUGUCAAACGAUGUGGAUAGUAAAAAUCUUUUCUGUGGAUAUCCCUUUUUUUUUGUACUUGUCCAUUUAAGUUGAAGUACUUCUACAAACUUGUAAGAGUAGUAGUAAAUAUCUGAAAGAAGCACAAGGAAAGAUAUUUCCAGUCUGACUAUUAUGUAUCUGUGGUUAUUAGGAAGGACAAGAGCUUGAGAGAAUCAGCCCAUUUUUCCAACGAAGGUGGAAUGGAAGUGGUUGAAAAGCCUGCCUUGGGUGGAAUGGAAAAGGCAUUUUGUAAUAAUGUUCUUAGGCGGAUUGUUGAUUUCUUUGCGGGGCGGUUGAUAAUUGACUAUUUCUGGUAACCAUGUUCUGAAUUUGCUCUAUAUAAAUAUUAUAAAUUGUGUCUCGAAGUUUUGGAGUUCCUGGUUUGGGGCAACUAAUGCUGACGUAGUAACAAUCAAAAGUGUGGGCAACUGAACCUAAUUUAAUUAAUAUUAAGGCCACAAAUUCCAAGAAGUGCAUGUAUACAGCAAUUCAAAGCAUAAGGAUCCCUUGGAAGGGGGGAGAAUAAAGUCUUGGCUAAAUUUUAAGUGAAUAAGAGCAUGUCCAAUGGCUGUGCUAAAAUAGAUGGAGUUAUUGCUAUAAUUUAGCAUUAAAAAGUGAUUUAGUGCUAAAAUAGCACCAUGUCUCCAACGGUUGGUUUCAAUUCUUGUUUCAAAUUUAAACUUCUUUAAAUACAUCCCACUUUUGAAUAUAAAUAUAAGUAUCUAACUAACUUUCAAAGACCCCACACUUGCAAGUACUUUUUAAUACAUUUUUUCAUCAUUUUAUACUUUAGCAAUUAUAGCUCCCUCUAUCUUUUGUUCUAAAUAAUGAACAAACUAUAGCAUUGCUCUAUUUAGAGCAAGAUAUAGAACACCAUUGAUGUAGAGAAUUUUAGUUUUUGUUCUAUAAUAUAGAGUUAUAGACAUAGAACAAUAUAAAGAACACCAUCAUUGUCUACUUAAACUUUAAUUUAAAUGUUCCCUGCUUUCUCUUGAAGUAUGCAUUACGUAUAUAGUUGUGCCUUUGUAAACUAGACUGCUAUCGUAAAAGUAACAUAUGCCAGUUGUGCCUUGAUUCUAAAUUCUCCAAACUGGCCUCCCAGUUCCUUUAUCAAGUUCCUGGGAAGUUAAAAAAUAUGUUUGGUUGUGGUGUAGGUAUUUGCAGUGCCGGGGUGUGACAUAAGAAAGUUUCUACAUUAUGUGGAAAUUCCAAUUUCCUAGGAGAACACUUUCCAUAUAGCAGUCAACCAAAAAAUCUUACAAUUUGCUAGGAAGUUUGAUUUCCUGGAGAUUUACAUGUUAACCAAACUACCUCUUAUAAAUCUAGUUAUGGUUCAUUAGGAUGAUUGCAUUCUUACUGGGGAAUGUUGAAGUUCUCAUUUCAGAAAGAUGUUGAGUAUGCACACCCUUUAUCCAGUUCUGAAAAAAAAUUUGAUUUUAGUGGCCUUAAUUAACAUAAACUAUGCACUGAUUUGCAUUUUAAUAUGUAAACCUUCAGUAAAUUAGCUUCCAGUAAGCUUUAUUAUCUUCUGUCUAGUUUCUCCUCUAUGCAUUCUGUUUUCAACAAACUACUGACUCUUUCUAAAUAAAAUUCAUUUGAAUGUGCAUGCUCAAUCUAGCUUUGUGGUGAGUUCUUCGUUUCCCUAUUUGUUAACAGGAAUGCUCCACGAACAGUAAAACAAGGAAGAGAACGGAAAAGGAUUUGCAGGAGAUCGGGUGACACAGUUUGGGGAGCAUGGAGCAUUCUUCCUGUUGAACUUCUGGUUUCAAUUUUGGAGAAAUUAAGUAUUGUGGACUACCUGUCAUUUAGGGGUGUUUGUAAAUCUUGGAGGUCUGCAUCUAUUGCUUUCCGCAAAUACUUAAUGGAGCACCAGCAACCCCUAAUUGUUGUUCGGCCAAAGUAUUCGAAAAAGUCUUGUGUAUUGUACAAUAUGUUCGAUAUGAAAAGUUACAAAACAAUGCUGCCAGAUUUGCCUUGCAAGAAAUUAUUGGGUUUGUCAUGUGGGUACCUGAUUACAAUUGACAGAAACCUACGCUUUUGGCUCGUAAAUUUAAUGACAAAACAUGAGCUGCGUUUUCCCUUCCUUCCUGGUAUGGGUGACCGAAAUUGGUUUGAAUUUUCUGCUCGCCUCUUUCGGUCCACUCGGCUUUCAGAAACUUUCAUGGUUCUUUUCUCUCGGACAAAAAAUUAUAUUUGGUUAUCCAAAAGUGGGGGCAGCAGUUGGCAGAGAUAUGCUUUAUUCGACACAAAAGCCAGUACUGCAGAUGUGAAGAUUUUUUAUGGCAAAAUCUUUGUUUUGACAUCAGAUUUACGUUUGGGAGAAUUUAAUCCGAAGGCAGGUUCUGGUCCGAAGUUCUCCAAAAUCAGAAUCCCUUUCCAGGUUUCAUCUAAUAUGCAUUUGAAGUUGGUAGCGUCAGACAAUAAGCUAUACAUGACUGUAUUGAAUAGUUAUCUCUAUCCUGCAUUGGACCGUUAUCUUUCAUUAUUCGAAAUUGACCAUGAGACAAUGGAUAGAGCAAAACAGAUUCAUGACUUGGGUGCAAAAUCUUUAUUUCUUAGUUCGUACAGUUCCGCUGUCGUCAAUACAACUGGUUAGGGAGCAGGUAACUGUGUCUGUCUUCUCCACUUUAAAGAUUUGAAUAAAUGUUCUUUAUUUAACCUGACUGGAAAUCGGCUAGAAACAACUCCUGUUGUUUGGGAUGGUCAUUUAUUGCCAUAUUUUUGGUAUUUUCCUAGUGAAAUUUGGUCAAUUAGUUGUGUCAGUGAUGAGUUUGGCGCAUGAUCACUUCUAAAUCUCAUUCAGUUUUUUUAAUUAAGUCUGUAGUUUUUCUCUUCAUUUUACAUUAUGGAACUUUGAUGUUUGCCUUAGAGGCCCCAGACAGAACUCAAAUGUCAUUCUCUGUAUUUCUUAUUGGCACCAUGUUUUUUCGUGUAUAAUACAGAUUCAUAAGGAAAAAUUUCCCAAUUUGAAGCUGCAGUUUAAUAUAGUUAUAUAUUUUUACUGAGCAAACUUUAAUUGAUAGAUGAUUACUUUAUUUCUGAAUUAUGGUAGUGACAAAUAGAUAAGUUAAUUUUCAAGAAGGAGCUGCAGUUUCUUCCAUCUCUUUCUCCUGCCAGAUCUUUGCAUGUCCAACUCUUUUUCCAGCCGCUGUGUCAUCAAGUGCUGCUUACUUAAACCAACUCCUUAAUUUCUGAAUGAAGGGCCUUUAAGUCUGUCCUUCCAAACAAACUCCUCUUGUUCAAAUGAGUCCUGGCAAAACUAUUCUUGUUCAACUUUACAACCAUAUCCAGAGUUUCCACUGGAGAUUGUAUCUCUUCAUAACUGCAUUCUAGAUUCAUAUGUAUAGUCUACUGUACAGUCUAAUUGAUCGAUUUUUUUUAAUAAGCCAGACAAAAAUAUAUUGGGGUGUUUGGUUGGGCUUAAAAACCCAUCUUUCGGACUUAUAAGUAAGAUGUAACUCAUUCGCACAGUUUGUGUAAAAAACUGAUCAGUGAACUUCUUACUUAUAAGCUAAAUUUGAAAAGUUGAAAAUUUUAGCUUUUUUUAGUAAAUUAUUUUUAUUUUUAAAAAUUGAUUUUACAAAGAAAUAAAGGAUCAUUUUAAAAGAUAAAUUACAAUAAAUUAUUAUUAUGUUAAUAUUUUUAUCCUUUGUAAAUAUUAAAAUAAUGAUCCAAACACAUAAAUUAAAAGUUAAUUUUCACUUGUAUAGUAUGACUUUUUAUUUAUAAUCAAAACGCACAUGGUUACGCCAAACGGCCUCAAUAUUCCCGUACCUUUAUGAGAUCAUCACUUCUGCGGUUUCCACAAUCCUGUAAGAUGAUCUUAAUACAUUAAGUCCACCCACCAUUUAUUUUUUUGCAGAUGUUUCUUCUACUUUUUUCUCUUUCUCCGCAAUAGUCUAAGCUCUGGUUUAUCUUCUAUUUCUUAUUUUAAAUGGGAAAGGAGCAUUGCUUCUCCACUUCUAUAAGAUUACAUCCAUCUUAUGCUUUGGUUUCUGAUUCAAUUUUCAAAGAUCACUUUCAUGACUCAGUAGCAGCCAAACUCGCAAAUCUUUUGAGUCAUCAUGAGCAAGUUCUGAGAAAUUCUCUACUACGCCAUAAGUGGGCUAUUGCAAUGCCCAUUUUAUGUUACAACAGACCCCAAAAGGGUUACAAUAUGUCAAUUGUAUCACAAGGGGGCGUUACAAAUGUGAGCAUUACAAUAGGUGCUCUAAUGUAACACAGGUUUCGUCUACUGUAACAUAGACAAAAGCAUUACAUUUUCAUCCUAUUGCAACACUAAAAUGCCCAAAUGCAACUGCUAGUCAGUGUUACAUUACGCUGAAUCCAGAUGACCCCACUGGUCCCACACGUUGGUCCCACAUGCAGGUUGGUCCCACAUGCACGUGGGUCCCGGUUGUGGUGUGGGGUCCACAUGGUCUACUGCAACACUAUGUUUUGACUAUUGUAACACUACAUUGUUGUAAUCAAGAAACACCAGCUUUGAUAAUGUAACACUAUAUAUAAGCAUACAUUAAUUACACUAGAAUAGGCAAAUGUAACACUUAAUAAUAUAAUUUUUGAAAUACAUGCUCUGUUUAAACAACUAUCCCACAGUAGCACCAAAACAACAAAGUACCAAUACAUAACAAUCUCAUCUCUAAACCAAACCAAUUCCAGUACAUGACAAAAGUACUCCAAAACCAACUACUCCAAAUAGUCUCAUUUCCUACACCAACUACUCCAAAAUACUGCAUAUCCAAAUUACGACAUAAGUACUAAAUAACAGUUCAAAGUACUGUCUACCAAGGUACAAGAGCAUAAAAGUAACUAAGUUUGAUAAAGGCAAAUCCGAUAACAUAUUUAAGAAGUGCCGCCUUGUGUGCCAGGAGUUUGAGUGGCGGGAGUGAUAGGUGUGCCAUUCUCGUCUUGAUCACUUGAGAAGGUCGCACAAAAGUCUCCAAUAUCAAAUUUCAUACUAGGAUUUGCCUCUCCUAGUUUUUUUUAGCAACCAAGCCAUGUUCUCCUGGACUUUUCUAUUUACCUUGGCUACCAUUUCAUUCUCCAGAUUUUGAGUUAUCUUUGCAGUCAACUCAUCAACAUAAGGUUCUGGAAUAGCGUGAAUUUUUUCCAAGGCAACUGCUGUGCCCUUCCUUCCUACCAACCAAUCUGCCCCAUGUUUGCCUCCGGGAAGCAUCACAUCUGCAUCAUUUCCUUCUUUCAGCAUCUCGUCAAUGGAAUCCUACAUGAGAAAUUUACAUAAAUUUGUUAAAGCUACAACAAGCUCAGGUUUAUUAUUUAUGAUAAAAUAUACUUACAAUUCUUUUGUUGAUUGCUUUCCUAUUUGACUUGUACUUGUGCCCCUUUUUGUGCUUACGACUUUUCACAUAGAUUUUAGCUUGUGAGGGAGAGGCAAGAUUGGGGUCUUUACUUUUCUGGCAUGUACAGAAAACAAUAUAACAAAUAAAGAACAAGUUAUCUAAAAUAUGAAAUAAUCAAGACAACAAUAAAAAUGUGGACAAAGAAAAUAAUCUAGCAAGAUACCUCAAUAAUUUAGCAACUAAAAGAUGACUAUCAUUUUUCACAAUUGAAAAGAAGGUCAUACCAGUUCAUCUUUAAGUUCAGCAAGAGUUUUACGACCAAGUGUGUGGGGGUCAACAUAAGAAUGACGACGUGCUGUAUUAUCCUCUGCAAGUGACUGUUAUAAAAAAUAUUCUCAACUCAAAAUGUCCUUGGGUGUGAAAUAAAUGAAGAAAAAUACUUGCUCAACUUUAAUUCUAUUUUAUAUACUCAUGUCAAUGUGUUUUACCUGAACUCCUUCAUCUGCCCAAUACUUCAACAAUAUCUUAAAAUCAUCCAGUGGAAUUUCAGGUGGCCUAUUUUCAAUCCUUUUUUCGUCAGUGUCAUAUUUUGUAUAAUGAUCCUUCUUGACACGGGACUUGUGCACUCUCCAAGAAGAAUUAAGUGUCUUAUUUAUCCAUUUUUGCCCGUGUUCCGGAAUAUCAUACCUAUCCUAUAUUAUGUCAAACAUAAAAAGCAUUAUUUCAACAAACAUAUAUUAAUAAGAAUCCAAUCUCAGGUUUAGGUAAUAGAGGUUACCAGAAUAUAUUGCAACAUUUUGUUCUUUAAUUCUUGCGGAACAAGAUGCCAGUUAACAUGAGUAAGCGACACAUGAUCUUUAACUAGUGUCCCCAUAAAAUUGCUUAGCUCAUAUCUAAUCUUCUUGUCUCCAAUUGGUUGACCGCAUUUAUUGAAUGUAACGACUAGCUUUUCGUUACUACUCCUACCAUGAACUUUUAACAUUUUUGUCCGUCCUCUACGUCUUUUAGGCUCUGGUCACAUAAACACAUAGAAACGAGAUAAUAGAAAGUGAGUGUACUAUUUACUAUAUUUUUUGCUAAUAGUCCUACAAAUACAUAUUCAGGUUUACAUAUGUAUUACCUUUUUCAACUUCUUCAUCAUCAUGUGCAUCUUGUAAAUUCGACUCACCAACAUCCUCAAUCCUAGGAUCAACUUCUAGAUUUUGCUUCUGACAUUCCCGCAGGGCUACAUAUGCAGCAGCUGAACCACUUUCGACAUUACAAUGCUGUUUUAACAAUUUACUACAUGUUGGUUUUAUCAGUUUUGGAGCAAAUGAAUGCUUCACUUUGGUGUUCAUAGUAGUGGAAGCAUUGGCUCGCGAACGAGUUCGGGGACCAGGCAGUGUUUUCCUUUUCUUGAUGGUCUGAAUGCUCUGUACAUGCAACAAGUAGAAUGAAGUAAAAAUACUAACUCAAACAAAAUAUAUUUAUAUAUACUAGUUUAUAUCAUAUACAACCUAUUAUGUAAAACUAAUAAGACUAUAAUUAGAUUAAUAUUUGAACUAUAAUUAAACUAACUAUAAUUAGAACAUAUCAGAUUAACAUUUUAAGCUAAGUUAAAUAUUUGAUAAUUAGACUUAUUAAUUAUGUGGAUUUUAUUCAGAUUAUAAUCAGAUUGUAAAAUUUGUUGUUCAACUAACAUUUUCAAGUAAGAAUGAGAUGUAUACAAUUAAUGACUAUCAGAUGAAAUGUAUGGUUAAUUUAGAUGUAGUGUACCGUCGAUGAAUCAUCACUUUCGCUCUCACUUUCCAUGAUAUAUUCAUCAGAAACCUCUUGGCUUUUUUCUUUUCCUUUUCCUUUGUGGACUGCUGGUGGAUUCGGAUUAGUCCCAUAGUUACCCAACCCAAGUUCUUCAAACUUUGCCCUGUUUUCUUGCACACGUUUGAUUUUACUUAGCUCAUACUCAUUCACAGUUAUUUACAUACCAAAUCACGUGUGCACAGUAGUAGCUUGAUGAAUAACAAUUACACAUAUUAGUUCCUGAGUUUAUUAAUAAUUUUUUAAAAUGCCUCUGGUAUUCUGCAGGGUCCUAUUCGAGUUACUUGUAUAUUCAUCAGACCGAAAGACACACAUACACUAGAACAUAUUUUAAGUACUACAACUGUUGGUGCUAGUCAAAUUAUUAUUUACUUUUAAAUAAUAAUUAUUAUUUACUUUUAACCAAUAAUUAUUUUCGUAAGUUACUUAUACUAAUGUUACAAUUAUUAUAUUAUUGUUAACUUGUCCACAAAGAAUUAAACAAGUGUUAGAAGUAUUAUAUUAUAUUGUUGUUAACUUGUCCACAAAGAAUUAAAGAAUCAAAUUGUUGAUAACUUUAUAUUAUAUCACCUUAAGCCACCAACUACAGGUUAUGAAGUGUCAAAGGUUUAAGGUUCUCACUAAUUAAUAUCAAGGUUAUUUAACUAGACAAUUAAAGAAGGUAAUUAAUCUACUAUGUGUUAGGGUACUACUACAACUGCAUGGUCACCAUAGUCGUACACCGCCCCUCACAAUGCACCUUAAUCUUUUUCUUAUUUCCCUUCACUAUUAUUCCAAUAUUGUAUAUACGGUUGUAAUUUCAUGUUUGCUGGAUUUUCUUUGCUUAAACACACCACUACUAAACACAUAACAAAUUAAACAAUAUAUACAACACCCAAAUAUCAAACAUACAACAAACACCCUCUCUCUUCAUAUAAAAAUCUCUCCAAUCAACUAAGUAGCAAAAACUAUACAAACAGCACAAAAAAAAAAUCAAACAUACAGAUAAACAUACAAAUAUCAACCAUGCAGAUAUCAAAUGAAAAGCAGAGAAAUAUCAAACACAUAAAUACCAAACAAAAAAACACAAAUAUCAGACAAAGAACAUACAAAUAUCAAACAAACAUCCAAUUUUUACCUCAAUGCAAGCUUUAAACACCAAAUUAGCUUUAAUGCAAAUCGCUUGAACCCUAAUUAGCUAUACUAUGAAACCCAAUCGCCUGAAAUAAAAAGAUAUGGUUUAGAAUACACAGAAUAGAGUCUCUAAAAGACAAGAUGUAACAAGAUUAGUGUGUAUUUACCUCUUAAUCGGAGCAACUGUAAAAGCCCCAAUCUAUGAAAUUGUAAUCACCUGCAAAAUCAAAAGAAAUCCGAAGUUAGCAAGCCCUAAUCGGAGAAUUUGUAUCUAUAUGUUUAUUUAGAUACCCGGUCUUCAAUCCAUCAUUCUUCAAUUCGGCAGAAAAGACAGAGAAAGUUGAAAGAGUAGCGAGUGUUUAGUCUAAGUCGAGAGAUGGUGUUUGGGGGGAAAGUAUAGUCUGUGCAUUUUCAUUUAGGGGGAAAACUACCGCUCAAUAUUUCACCUCAAUAACCGUGCACUGUCUACUCUCUUUUAAUUUUAUUUUUAAUUAAUAAAAUUAUUAAUUAUUUAAUAUUUAUUAAUAUUAAAAAUGAUUUAUGUGAUACAAAUAUAAUAGUAUUCUUUUGUGAAUGAAUAAUAAUAAAUUCUUAAAAGUUUAUAAUAUUAUAUAUAAUAUUCUAUUAUCACGGAUAAUCCAGAAUAUAUUUUAUUUAUAAAUUUAUUAUAAUAUAUUAAAUUUAUUAUAUUUAAAAAUAAGAAAGUAACUAAUGUAACACGAGUAAUUGGUGUUACAUAUUGUGCAACACCGUCUGUCCCAUGCAACACUAGCUUUACAGCUAUUGUAAUACUAAAUGAGUGGUGUUACAAUAAGACAUAAAUUUCACAUCUACCGCAACGAAAUGCUUGUAACACUUCUCAGAAACCAUUGCACUAGCCCACUUAUGGCGUAGUGAUCUCUGUAAGAAGUCGCAUUUGUUUGUUCCUGCCGUGUUGAACUCAUGGUAGAAGUUUGCGAUUGAUUUAAAUUUUUUAGACCUUUACAUGUUGAGAGUGCUUGCAGUGUUGUCCUCAUUCAGUAUUUUGGAUCUCUAUUUCUCAAAUUCGACUCCUGUUUGUAUUACGAAUACGCCUUUUUCUAGGAAUCGUUUUUAAAGGAGUAGCACCAUUACGCCUUUGCAUGAUUUUAGAAAGAAAUCAUCCCAAUAUCCUAACACCAUAAGGUUGGUCAAAAGUGCUACAUGUCUGGAGAUAUAACAUGAUAUAAGUUGUAUCGCUUGUAAAAUAUGACAUAGAGUCUACGUACUUCAAUUAAAUCACAUUUCAACUCUAGAAUGCAAGUCGCUGGUAUGGUUGUAAACGCUAGAUCACACAGUUAGUGAUUCUUAUUCCGUGUAGAUCUGGUACAAAAAAUAUCUAGGGAUUCUAAGGGAAGCAAAAAAUGGUGUGAAGUAAACAAUAGGUACUAAAAAUAGAGCUAUAUAUAUGCUAAAAAUAGGGAUAUGGGGUAAACCAUAUCCCUAGUUCUCCUUAACAACCACAAACCUUAGUUCACAAAAUUACUUGGCCUGUAUUGCGUAAUCACCACUGUGUCGUAUACACAGACAUUGUAAUUGCCUCUGAAGUGUUGAUCAGCAAAAAGCUUCAUCAUCCUCUAGUGCCUAAAAGUUAAAUUAUUUUUCAAUCAACAAUGGCUGUUUUGGGAGAAGAAAAAUCCAAUCACUUAGCACUUUCAACGCAUUAAGAGCAAGUCCAACAGCUGCCCUAUUUAGUGUCCUAAGUCAUAAUAUUGGGCAUUUGAUGAAAAAAAUUUGAUCCAACAAUGUCCAAGUGAUUCCCUGUAUCACUAGGACAACCCAUUCAGGCCCUAUUUUUGAGGCACUCUCUCUCCUUGCCGUAUCCCAUAUUUUAUAAUAAAUUCUUACCAACACUUUCUUUCUCUCUCUUAUUUAUAUUAUGUUUUAAUGAUGAAAGUGAAUUUUUAAUAAUAAAAUAUUAAACAUAUAGUGAAAAUAAGACACAUUGUUGGAGUUGAAGUUAGUAGAAUAUAUCCUAAACUAGUAGCACAUAAUUUUUUAUAUUAUAUUUAGGGCUCCAACUAGGAAACUGUUGGAGUUGCUCUAAGAGAGCAAAAAAUAUUAAGAGAAAGCUUAUUUGAUCUUCAUUAGUGUGAUUCAAGUUUGUUAGGGAGAGCUGAACGGAGUGAAACUGUUAAAAUUGACUUGUUGCUCCAUAAGCUGUAUUUACAAGUAUAUAUAGCUAACAACACUAAUAUAAAAAAAUUAUAAACAUCAAAUAUUGAUAAAUUGGUCACUCUUUCUCGAAAAGAUAAUAGAAUAAUAUUCUUGAUCAUUAAUUAUAAAAGUGAUAUAAGAAAAUCAUGGUAUUUUUGUUUUUUUUUCCUCUCUAGCUCAUCACUUAGUUUUAUUUUGAGGAAGAAAAUGACUACUUCCAAAGUGUUGACUCUCCUUGUCAUAAUUUCAAACAAUAAUAUCUCAAAUAUGAAUUCAAAAAAUAUCAUUUUAUAAUAUUACAUUGUCUAAUAUUUAUAAACUUUUUUUAAACAUCCAACAAUGUAGAAUUUAACUUUUUCUUACCCCAACCUCAGAAGAAAAACAACUGAAACCCUAAAAAAUAACUUAACAUGAUGUAACGUGUAGUCGUUUAUAGCACAAAUCCAUAUACAUCAUCGAUGUGUCUUAGGAUAUGCGGCGCCUUUUCUCCUACUUUUAAGCAUCGGCAACCUCUCGUCCCUUCCCUUGUUCAGUAUAACCUCUCUUCUUAAGAUUGGGAUGUUUUUGCGCUACAAAUUUCAGAUGGUUAAAGGGCUUGUGUUUUUGGUAUAAACCCAUCAAUCUUUCAUGUUUCUGCUCAUCACUUCUAGCUAAGUUUGCUAUUUAUAUAUAUACAUUGUGUUUGUGUUUUAUUUACACUUUCAUCUCAUCUAAUUAGAAUCGUGUGUGGAAUCUAAUUUAGAUGGUAUAAGCUGAGGUGUAUGAUAUGAUUGCCACAAAAAGGGUUUUGAUCAAGGUCUGGUUUGGUGUUUGAUAACAGGCUUCUGUACGGUGGUUGUUCAUGGUAAAUUAUUCAGUCGUAUCUUUCGGACCAAUCAAUGGAUGGAAUACAUUCACUUGUAAUAUUCGAGAGUUUGGUCUUUAGUAGCAAAUGUUAUGCAAGGAGGCGAUAAUUUAGAACAGAGAAUGGGGGCAUGGUCUAGAAGGAAACAGGUGUGAGCGUUUCUUGUAAUUAGUUUAUAAUAGUGGUUUUAUUUGUUAAAUCCAGUCUGCUGUUUCACCAUACUUAUAUUUUGUUGCCAUGUUGGGAGUGUUCUUGUGUAUUGGUUACUUUCUGGUGCUCAAACUUCUUUGAUAAAGAUAACAAAUAGGUCAUCAAUACGAAGAUCAAUACAGAAAAGACAAGGUUUUAAGGAACAAUAAUGUGAAAAUUUAAAACUUUGGGUGCAAAAUUAAAUACAGCAUGCUUUGGCCAUGAAUGGGGACAUAUUUGCUUUGUACCAACAGUAUUGAUCACCUAGCGCUGACACACCCAAUGUUGAACAUUUGGUGAGCGCUGCGGCACAUUAAGGUGCUUUCAACUUGUAUAUGAGACUGGUUCCACACGGAUGUUUAAACAUAAUGAAUGUGGCUUUGGAAAGAUAAGCUAUUGUACUUGGAUGAUGCUUAAGUGCUAUUUAAAUUAUUCAAGAGAAGACCCAGACUUCUUACGAAUUCGUUUUAUCAAUUCCUUCCUAUUUGUCCUGGGAUUUGACUAAAUUAAACUAACAUCUUGUUGUUAUUACCGACAAAAAAAAAUUAAUAUCAUUCUAGUAAACAAAUCUACAAUCCUCUAAGGGAAGAUUUACUUGUUGAUCAGAUAGUACGGGCAAAAAAUGAACAGAAACAACAAUGAAACUCGCCAACUCAUUUGAAAUUAUCCUAGUCUGUGGCAAAUCGCCCUCAUAUAGUACUCUCAUAAUAUCUUAAAUAAAAAAGAGACCUGGGUUGACAUAGGAUGAUAUACGGUGAGGUGGACGGUCAGGAUAAGGUGAUGGGUUUGUGAUAUUUCACCAUAUGAUGACACAUGUUAGUAUAGACGUACCCCACUAUAGAUCAUUUGAGGUGGUUAAGAUCGAGAUCACUACCCCGAGGCCUAUUACUUGACCAAGAUAACGUUGAUGGACUAAUAUAUAUAUUUUCAAAAAAACAAUAUGAUCCAUAUAUUAACUUAAUCCCGGAUUCACUUUUUUAUAUUUAUCAAAUGAGUUCAUGUAUGUGAGCAAUCUGUGAAUCUGUGAUUAAAUUAAUAUAUGGAUCAUAGUAUUUUUGAAAAAAAAUAUUAGUCCCUCACCGUUGUCCAGUCAUUGGUCAUGUAAUUAAGCCUUGGGGGUAGUGAUCUCGAUCCGGCCCAACUCAAUUGAUCUGUACUGGGUACAUUUAUACUAACAUGUGUCGCCAUAUGAUGCAAUCUCACCAACCCAUCACCACAUCCUGACUGUCCAUCUCUCCGUAUAUCUGUCCAUCUCUCCGUAUAUCAAUCCUAUGUCAACCUAAGUCUCUUUUUUGUUUAAGAAAUUUUGAGAGCACUACUGAAGAGCGAUUUGCGGCACACUAGGCUUCUUUCAGGUGAGUUGGCGAGUUCCAUUGCCGUUUCCGAUCAGUUUUUGUCUGUACUAUUUGAUCAACAAGUAAAUCUUCCCUUUAGAGAGUAUCGUAGAUUUUAUUUACAAAGGUGAUGUUAAUUUUUGUUUUGCGGGACAUCACAACAAGAUUUUUGCUUAAUUUAGUCUAAUCCCAGGACCAGUAGGAAGAAAUUGAUAAAGCGAAACUGUAGAAGCCUGGGCCUUCUCUUGAACGAUUUAAUAAAUAAAUCCAAUACUUUAAUUUUAUUCAAUGUAAUAAGUAUAUUGAUCUAAUAAGUAUAUUGAUUAAGUUUCUAAACCUGCCAGAUAGUGUGAUAAUGUAAAUUUUCUGAUCAGUUUUACUUGAUUGUUUCUUUUAAUUUACUAUUAAAAUCUAGCACACAGUACAUAUCAAUUGUUUGAUAUCUAGCUUAAUAUGAAACUAAAUCUUGACUUGAUGAGAUCAAGUAAGGAAGUAGCGGUGUAUGAUCUGCGACUUGUAAAUAUUAACUGAAUGUUCUCGAAGAGCGUAAUUUGGUACAAGAACAAAUUAGUGUGACAUGCUUAAAAAUAGAAUAUGCUGUGGAGGACUAAAAUUAAUUUGGUCAACUCCUCCUCUUCUUCUCUGUGUCUCCCUCUGUUACAUUGCUGGUAUGUAAACCCAAAUUUAUUUGUGUGAAAUAGAACAUAAUCCUUAAUACACUAGUUAUACUUCACAUGUCAUUGUAUCACUUGUCUAUUAAGAAUUAUAGUGUCUGUGAAUGCAGUUGUUUUUACGAAUGAAACAUGUCAAGCUUUCAAGUAUGCAAUUUAUAUAAUUAUUUUGGGCUUCCUAAUAGCUGCCCAAGUCAAGGUAAUAUUCUUCCAACUAGCAUAACCGAUUACAUGCUUCGUGACCUGUUAUUUCGUAAAUAAGUCUGUUAGUCCAAAGUCUUCACAGUGUUGAUUUAAGUUAUAUUAGUCACUGCGAUACUCUGUACACAGUCACAAACAUAACUAGCAUUUGGAGCAUGUCCACCUUUUGUGGUGAAAACACACACACACACACACACACACACACACACACACACACAUAUAUAUAUAUAUAUAUAUUUAAAGAAGCUAUAAAAACCAUUUAAGUUGUAUAGCGAUUUUGGUAGGUAACAUAACUUAGACAUUCAUCAGUAUAUACCCUACUUUAUUUGUUUAUUACAGCAACCUGAAAGAGGUCUAAGUGCUUUGAAGUGCCACUUUUUUGACAUUUUGGAUUUCUGUGUGACCCUUCAAUCGGAGUUAUUGGAUAUCGUAUGCUUAAAAUUUAUGUUUAUGAUCCUAUCGAAAAAGUAAAUGAAGACUGAAAAUAAACUGGUUUCAUGCUAUCAAAAGAUGUGAACAGUAAAAAUCUUUUCUGUGGAUAUCCCUUUUUUCCUUUUGUACUUGUCCAUUUAAGUUGAAUUCCUUCUACAAACUUUUAAAGAGUAGUAGUAAAUGUCUGAAAUAAUUAAGCACAAGGAAAACCAAGAUAUUUCCAGUCUGACCAUUAUGUAUUCUGUGGUUAUUAGGAAGAACAAGAGCUUGAGCGAAUCAGCCCAUUUUUUCAACGAAGGCAGAAUGGAAGUGGUUGAAAGGCCUUCCUUGGGUGGAAUGGAAAAGGCAUUUUGUUAUAAUGUUCUGAGGCGGAUUGUUGAUUUUUCGCGGGGCAGUUGAUGAUAAUUGACUAUUUCGGGUAACUAUGUUCUGAAUUUGCUCUAUGUAAAUAUUAGAAAUUGUGUCUUGAAGUUUUGGAGUUCCUGGUUUGGUGCAUCGAAUCCUUACGUAGUAACAUAUAAAAGUGUGGGACACUAAAGUGUUAGUUAAAUCCCAAGUCCCAAGAAGUGCAGGUAUACAGCAAAUCAAAGCAUAAGCACCCCUUGGAAGGGGGGGAGAAUAAAGUCUUGGCUAAAUCUCAAGUGAAUAAGAGCAUGUCAAUUGGUUGUGCUAAAAUAGAUGGAGUUAUUGCUAUAAUUUAGCAUCAAAAAGUGAUUUUUUGUGCUAAAAUAGCACCUUGUCUCCAAUUGUUGGUUUCAAAUCUUGUUUCACAUUUAAACAACUUCCAAAUACAUCCCACAUUUAAAUAUAAAUAUGCCUAACUUUCAAUGACCCCGCAAUUUCAAGUACUUUCUUAUACAUUUUUUCAUCAUUUUAUGCUUUAGCAAUUAUAGCUCCAUCUAUCUUUUGUUCUAAAUAUUGAACAAACUAUAGCAUUGUUCUAUUUUAGAACAAGAUAUAUAUAGAACACCAUUGGAGGAGGGAAUUUUAAUUUUUGUUCUAAAAUAAAGAUAUAGAACAAGAUGUAGCACACCAUUGGACUUGCCCUAAGGAAUUCUACUAAAAACAUGGUUUAUACCUCACUCAUUAAAGUUUAUUCCUAAAAUUUUAGUCUAAAUGUUCCCUACUUUCUCUUGAAGUAUGCCCUCCUAAACUAGACUCCUAUUGUAAAAGUAUCAUAUGUCAGUUCCUUUAUCAAGUUCCUGGGAAGUUAACAAAUAUGUUUGGAUUGUGGUGUAGUAAGUUCCUAGGAAGUUCCACUUUCCAUAUAGCGGUCAACCAAAAAAUCUUACAAUUUGCUAGGAAGUUUAAAUUCCUGGAGAUUUACAUGUUAACCAAACUACCUCUUAUAAAUCUAGUUAUGGUUUGUUAGGAAGAUUACAUUCUUACUGGGGAAUGUUGAAGUUCUCAUUUCGGAAAGAUGUCGGGUAUGCACUGAUUUUCAUUUUAAUAAAAAUGAAAGAUGUCGGGUAUGCACUGAUUUUCAUUUUAAUAUGUGAACCUUCAGUGAAUUAGCUUCCAGUAAGCUUUAUUAUCUUCUAAUGUCUAGCUGCAGAACUUUUUACUGUACUGGCAAAAGGAACAAUCCCACUCUAGUUUCUCCUCUAUGUGUUAAAUCAAGUUCUUUUAAAUCUUGCGAAGGAUGAAUCUGUCCUUAAGAAACAUCUGUAAAAGUAAUGCAUUCCGUUUUCAACAAACUACUAAGUCUUUCUAGAUAAAAUUCAUUUGAAUGGGCAUGCUCAAUCAGCUUUGUGGUGAGUUCUUCGCUUCUCUAUUUGUUAACAGGAAUGCUCCACAAACAGUAAAACAAGGAAGAAUGAACUUCUUCCUACUGAACUUCUGGUGUCAAUUAUGGUAAAAUUAAGUGUUGUAGACUACCUGUCAUUUAGUGGGUUUGUAAAUCUUUGAGGUCUGCAUCUAUUGAUUUCCGCAAAUAUUGUAUGGAGCACCAGCAACCCCUAGUUGUUCGGCCAAAGUAUUCAAAAAGGUCUUGUGUAUCGUACAAUAUGUUUUAUAUGAAAAGUUACAAAACAAUGCUACCAGAUUUGCCUUGCAAGAAAUUAUUGGGUUUGUCAUGUGGGUACCUGAUUACUACCGACAGAAACUUGGGCUUUUGGCUCGUAAAUUUAAUGACAAAACAUGAGCUGCAUUUUCCCGUCCUUCCUGGACAUAUGGGUGGCAUAAACUGCUUUGAAUUUUCUGCUCUCCUCUUUCGGUCCGCUCGGCUUUCAGAAACUUUCAUGGUUCUUUUCUCUCAGACAGAAAAUUAUAUAUUGUUGUCCAAAAGUGGCGGCAGCAGUUGGCAGAGAUAUGUUUUAUCCGACACAGAAGACAGGAUUGCAGAUGUGAAGAUUUUUUAUGGCAAAAUCUUUGUUUUGACUUCAGAUAUACGUUUUGGAGAAUUUAAUCCGAAGGCAGGUUCUGUUCCAAAGUUCUCCAAAAUCAGCAUCCCUUUCCAGGUUUCAUCAGAUACGUGUUUGAAGUUGGUGGCAUCAGACAAUAAGCUAUAUAUGACUGUAUUGAAUUGUUAUCCUUAUCCUGCAUUGGACCGACAUCUGUCAUUAUUCGAAAUUGACCAUGAGACAAUGGAUAGAGCAAAACAGAUUCAUGACUUGGGUGCAAAAUCAUUAUUUUUUAGUUGGUUCAGUUCUGCUAUCGUUGAUACAACUGGUUGGGGAGCAGGUAACUGUGUGUGUGUUCUUCACUUGGGAGUUUUCAACACAUGUUCUUUCUUUAACCUGAAUGGAAAUCAGCUAGGAACAACUCCGGUUGUUUGGGAUGGUCAUUCGUCACCUUGUUUUUGGUAUUUUCCUAGUGAAAUUUGGUCCAUCAGUUGUGUCAGUGAUGAGUUUGGCGCAUGAUCACUUCUAAAUCUCAUAUCAGUUUUUCUCAUCAAGUCUAGUGUUUAUCUUCAUCUUACAUUAUGGAACUUUGUACUAGUUCCAUUAAGAAAACUUUAAUACAUUGAUGAUGUGAUGUUUGCCUAAGAGGCACCAGAACUCAAAUGUCAUUUUCUGUAUUUCUUAUUGGCACCAUGUUUGUUCGUGUAUAAGACAGAUUCUUAAGAGAAAAAUUCCCAAUUUGAAGCUGCAAAUAGAAAAAUAGAAGAGAAACAAACUCAUUAUAUAAAUAUCUCUUAAAGAUUCACUCAUUUUUUGACUGUUGGCAGGUCUCUUUGUAUGUGUUGUCCGGAAUGAGGAGGACUCCAUGAUUAUUCGUUCAGUAAAAAUUUUGGUAGAUAGGGAUCACAUAAAAACUUCUUUCGAGGAAUGGGCCAGGCCGGGUCAUUCUUUUUUCGACCAUCUUGAGCGCUUUGUAUGAGUUCAAGCUAUACUAAAAGGGUUAAAGAAGGAAGAUGCCUACCCAGAAAAGAAAAAAAAGAAGAAUUGUUUGAUCUGAAAGGAGAUCUUCUAUAAUUUCGCCGACCAAUUCGUUAACAUACCGCCGAGCCAUUUUUUAUUAACAUAAUGACACCGAGCCCUUAUUGCAGCCCAUGCUCCUAGGUCAGCUGCUUUAUUUUUCGUGCCAACGAUUAAGAAUUGUUUUCCCCUACUUGCUGCAUCAAAAACCAAAUCACAAGCUUCUGAUAAAAAACGAGCGGUUCUAGUAAGAUUUAUAAUAUGAAUACCUUUACGCUCAUUGGUAAAAGAGAGAAAAAGUAAGCGGGGUGCAUGAUCAGAUCGUUGAGAAUUAAGUGAGAUUUGACUACCUCCGGUUUUUACACUUUACUAAACGAAAGUAACUCUGUGCUCCUGACGGGGGAAAUGAAAGCAGAAUUCGUUUGGAUCCUCUCACAUGUUCAAUCUUUUUUUAGCGGUUUCCCCAGAGAUCUUUAUCAUUAAUGCAACCUUCAUUUUGCUCAUUCAUGGAGUUGUAUUUAGUACGUCUAAGAAAUAUGAUUAUCCACCGUUAGUCAGUAAUGUGGGUUGGCUUGGAUUACUUAGUGUUGCGCGCCUAGGAUGAAACAAGUCUGCGGUAGUUCAAAACUUACCUUUGUUGAUUCUGAACUUCGUUCGUGAAGGAACCGGACUUUUGACGGGCCAGCCCUUUUUUUUGUACCCCCAAUACAUCUUGCAUGCAUUUCUUGAUUUAUUUCAUCUAUUUCAUGACCAGAACAUGGGAGGAUACACGUUACACCAUGAUUUUGAAUCAGAAGAGAGAUUUCAAGAAAUGGCAGAUUUAUUCCUGAUAGAGGGUAUAGCGCGGAAACUGGAGGUUCUUUUAGAAAAAAAAAGGAGUCCCCUUACCUGUAAGCAAGAAAGCUCUCCCAGCCAGGGGAUAUUUCUUAAGUAAGGAAGAUUCUGACGGGAAUUCUACUCUAUCUUAUCUGACUAGUCUGGCUUUGAAUCAUAUCCAUUAUAUGGCUAAGAUUGAGCAUUCUAUCGCAAGAAUAGCACUCCAUAGGUUAGUCACUGUUGGAAACUGGGGAGUUGGCUGAUAAAGAUGGACAGUAACGAUCGCGUAAUAUAAAUUCUAGCUAGAGGCGGUUAAUGAGGAAGGGUUAAUGACAUCAGAAAUUUUGACAGAAGAGAAUUGGAAGAUGCAUUAAUAAGUCUCCACAAGGGCGUGCGAAUGUGAGCUGCUAUACCGAAUCCCCCGUCGGCCAUCGGGCAAUACUUAAAAAAGGAGCUCAUGGCCAAAUUAUUAUUACAGCGUUCUCUACCAUAGAAUUCGGCCUUCGGGGCCAACCCGGCGGCUUCUAUGAGGAAGGCGGCGCAAAGGAGGCUCGAGGGCUUGUUAAGGAAGGCGGCAAGGGCCGACGAAGGGGGGAAAACGAAAGGCGUUUUCUGGUCCCCCCUGAGCCGGGGGGUGCUUGUGGGGGGGGUGUGCCACGACGAAACAAGGGAAUGAAAGGCCGCUUUGCGUUGGAUGCUCUUUACCCUCCCCACAAUGAAGGCUCUGUUGUCUUGGGGAGCGUUGAAGCUUGCUUCUUCUCCAGAGUUUUCUUGGUCAUCAAUACGGCCUGUCUUUAAUAGAACCGAUCUGAUUCUCUGAACAAUCGGAAUUUCGUACUUCUGUCGGAUCCUCCCUAUCUCCUGAUCGAGCUUGUGUAGGUAGAUGUUGCCUGGUAGGGCCGAUAGUAAUACACUGUGUGGGACAGAGUAAGGGCCCUUCUCACCUCCUACGGGUCGUCCGGCGGAAAAGACUUUCUGAAUGGGGUAAAAGAACUUGGGAUCGGCUGAAUGUAGAGCAGUCCGCCCUUACAGCCUUUGUCCGCUGCCCGCCUCACAAAGCGGAUCGACGCGUCUGUGAAGAUGCGGACUACCUGCACCUGGACAACUGCUAGGACAACACCUCUCCAACAAAGCCCAGCCUACAAGUGGAACAAGAAGAACAGCUUCAAAAAGAAGGAGCAGAAAAUGAGGAAGAUGAAGAGAAUCCAGAGUUCAAUGCAGACGACUUGGUGCGCCCCCCCUAGUCGCGGUCAUGUCUCGCCCCCCCAGUAUAGUGACCGGUUCUCUCUUUUUCCCGAAUUUCAUCAGUUCCAGGCUCAAGUGCCUGUUCAUCCAUCUUCAUUCCAAAGGCGAAGCUCAAUAAGACUACUAAGCGAGCAAACCGCCCCCACGGUCACCGGGGAGACUAGAAUAGAAGAGUCCGUCGACUCUUUUGAGUUUUUAGAUAGUUAGGACUUGAUCGAGGGAUCAAUUGACUCCGGAACAUAAAGUAACAAAUAAGACCAGAACCCCGUGUGGACUAUGAACCAACAAAAAGAAGAAUGCCUUUGAGCUCUUGUUCGAGUUCUUCCUUGAUGACUGGAAGGGGAGACAGAAGUAGCAAAUUCCUCUUCUCCCUAGAGGCUUUCUGGCAUUUCCGACCCAGCGUUAGACCAUAUACAAUAAAAGGUAAAAUGAGUAGAAAAGUGGCCCUUGUUAAAGCAUUCACUUGCUUCGGCCCCAAAUAGCUCUUUCUACAGAUAUCGGAUUGUAGUAUACUCUAUCCCAUUUCGUUAGAUCAUAAAAUAGAUGGCAUUUUCUACAAUCGGCAACUGUUACGAUCAAAUACAAUCAAACAAGUUGUCAACGACUUCUACAUAAGGCGGUAAGAUUAUAUCUUGAGCAGUUACAUAUCCAGGACCCCUGACACAAAUAGACGCGUCGCAAGUUCCGUAUAGAUUACUUCUCAAUACAAUUUCUUUCAAAUUCAUUAAAAUGUCAUGUACCGAUUCUUGAAUACCCACCAAUAAAUCCAUGAGAGACUAUUUGUAAAAUGUUUGUAGGCCGUCUUAAAAUCAUAGAACAGACGUGAUGGGUUAUUUCUUGGGUUCGUCCAGUCAUUAAUAACUUGUGUUCGGAGCUAUCUGUUGUCCAUCGUUCCGAGCUAAGCAAAGCAGCUAAGUCGUUACCGUACGUGCGACUCUCACCGCAUACGGCUCGCACAAAGACUCCUAAAUCGAUCCCGAGCCUUUUAUUUUAUUCCACCUCUCCUCUCCAAUCCUCGAUAAAACUUGCGUUCCCCAGGCGCUAAUUAAAUGGGGGUCUUUCCUUUUCGCCUAUCGUAUGUAUCGGCUUGGCUUCGACUGUAGUUUAAUAUAGUUAUAUAUUUUUGUUGAGCAAAGUUUAUUUUAUAGAUGAUUACUUUGUUUCUGAAUCAUUGUAGUGAUAAAUAGAUAAGUUAAUAAAAUACAUGGAGAGCAACUAAGUACCGAGACAGAGAAUAAAAACGUCUUUUACCGCCUCAUUAUUGUGACCACUUUAAAAUAUAAUUUAAUAAUAUAUUUUUAUAUUAAAAAAUUUAUAUCUUAUAAAUAUAAAAAAUGAUCCAAACACAUAAAUUAAAAGUUAAUUUCAAUUUAUAAAUAACUUUUUACUUAUAAUCAAUAAAAACGUCUUGUACAGCCUCAUUAUUCGCGUACUUUUAUCAUAUCACUUCCACACUUUUGCACUUUCUACAAUCCUACAAGAUGAUAUGAAUACAUGCAAGUCCAACCACCAUUUAUUUUUUGCUGAUAUUUCUUCUACUUUUUUCUCUUUCUCUGCAAUCUUCUAAGCUCUAGUUUAUCUUGUAUAUCUUAUUUUAAAUGAGCAUGGAGCAUUGCUACUAUAACCAAAUGUAAAGUUAUAGCUUGGUUAUUCCCUGUUGUGUUUGGUUGGGGUGAAUGAAAAUGGAGGGAAUGGAAUGAAAGUUGAACUAUAAAGUAGUUGAAUGUUUAAUAAUUUCAUUCCUUCCACCAUUCCAUUCUUAUCAUCCUUAACUAGAGCUCAAACCCUCCACUUUGUGAAGGAAUGCUCCAUUCCUUGUCAUACUUAUUUUCUACCCAAAUCUCAUCAUACAAAAUUUACACUAGCUCAUAUUUUUUCAAAAUCCUCCAUCCUUCACUUUAUAUUUUCUUUUGUUUUCACUCAUUCCAUUCCAUUCACUCCAACCAAACACAAUUAAAGAUUACUUCCAUCUUGUGCUCUGUUUUCUGAUUCAAUUUACAAAGAUCACAUUCAUGACUCAGUAGCAGCCAUACUAACAAAUCUUUUGAGUCAUCAUGAGCAAGUUCUGGGAAAUUCUAUCUGGGAGAAGUCCUAUUUGUUUUUUCCUGCCAAGUUGAAGUUUGCGGUUAAAUUAAAUUGCGUCCUGUUUUAGGAGGGGAGAAAUCCCAUCACUUAGCACUUUCAGUGCAUUAAGGGAGUGGAAAAAUGAUAAGACAAAGCUUAUUUGAUCUCCAUUAGUGUGAUUCAAGUUUGUUAGAGAGAGAAUGAACAGAAUGAAACUGUUAAAAUUCUGUUAGUGUUGUUAGUAUUUACAAGUAUAUAUAUACUAACAACACUAACAGAAUAUUCAUAUACUAACUAUGUAGCUGGAAGCUUCUAGAACAUUUAUUUACAAUACAUGUACAUAGAUCAAUACCCCCUUCAAGCUAGGCAUCAAAGAGGAUCAAAUUGAAGACCAAGCUUGAUACUAAGAAACUUGUGAUGAGCAGCAUCCAAUGGCUUUGUCAGUAUAUCAGCUAGCUCAAUGGAAGUACUAAUAUGUGAAAUUCGAAUGAACUCAGAAUCUACAUACUCUCGAAUAAAAUGACAGUCAAUCUUCAAAUGUUUAGUUCUUUCUUGGAAGAUUUGCUUCUUUGCAAUGUGGUGAGCUGAAGUGUUAUCACAAUAAAGAUCAAUUGGCAAAGGAAUUUGAUCAUAAAGAUCCCUUAAAAAACCUUUAAGAUAAAUCAACUUAGAAGUUGUAUAGCUCAUACAUAUAUACUCAGCUUCUGUACUAUUUUUAGAUUCUUUUUUUGCUUCUUAAUUUUCCAAGAGAUUAAGGAAGAACCCUGGAAAAUAGCAUACCCAGACAAGGAUUUUGCAGAAAAUGAACAAGCUCCCUAGUCUGCAUCUUAAUAUGCAGUUAAUUGCAGAGGAGUAUUAGCUUUGUAAAACAGACCAACAUUCAAUGAAAUUUUCAAGUUAUUUUAAGACAUGAAGAGCAGCAUCAUAAUGUGGAUGAGCUGGUCCUUGGUGAAACUAAGAAAGCGGUUGAACAACAUAUGAAAUAUCAAGCCUACUCGAGUUCAAAUAGAGCAAUUUCCUGAUAAAUCUAAAAUGGAGUUAUUUAAGGAUAUAAUUUAUUGUAUUCUUGAUGUUAAUUACGAAUUCUAAUGAUUGGAAGUUGUUCGUUGAUAUGGGAACUUAAACUUUUAUAUUUGGGUUUAAGAAUUUUUCUUAAUGAAACCUAUAGAGAAAUAGAGUUGAAGUUAGUAGCUUGGAAGAGCUUGAACGAGAAUGGGUUAUUUGUCCCACAUAGAAGAGAAUAAGGUUGGUUAGUGGCGUUAUGUAGGGUCUGUUUAGGAGUGCCGUUAAAAAUUGUUGUGCUGUCAAAAAAAGUGCUGGUAAAAUAAGUGCUGUUGUAGAAAUCAGAUAACUGUUUGAUAAUUUUUUGAUAUUUACUUAUUUUGAGUUAUAAUAUAAAAAAAAUGAUGAUUUUGGUGAGUUUUUAUAAUGAAAUCUGUAACAGCAUUCUGCAAAAGCCAAAAAAUAGCUUUUUCUAAAAGUAUGGAAGGACCUGCUUUUUCAAACAGCAGCUUUUCAGCUAAAAACUUAUGUUCGGAAAAGCUGCUUUUAGAUUUACCAAAUAAUUUUUCACAUGCUUUUCAGCUGCUCUUUACCCCAAACAGUACCGUAGUAUUUCACACAAUGGUAGUGUAGAACUAAAUAACUACUAAAGUGUGAAAUGAUGUAUGGUGUUGCUAUGUGCUUUACGUGCGAAAUACUUCAAAUCAUGCAAUAAGGAUUUGAUAGAUUAUUUAGUUAGUUUCGAGUACGUGAAAGCAUGCAAUAAGGAUUUGAUAGAUUAUUUAGUUAGUUUCGAGUACGUGAAAGCAUGCAAUAAGGAUUUGAUAGAUUAUUUAGUUAGUUUCGAGUACGUGAAAGCAUGCAAUAAGGAUUUGAUAGAUUAUUUAGUUAGUUUCGAGUACGUGAAAGCUAAAUAUAUCACAUUUUAACUAUUUUUUACAAGAAAAUCAAUUUUCAAGUAGAUGGACCACUAUGAUAAGGCAUUCUCAAAAUAGGUAUCCCUAUAUAUUCAUUCUCAAAAUGGGUGUCACAUAUAAAUUAAUUUUUAAAAAGACCAAUACACAUUCUCAUGAUAUGUAACCGCAAUACUCGCUCUUUGGAUAAUAACCUUCUUAAAAUUUUAUUUUUCAUUAUUUAAAAUUUUUUAUCAUAUACAAAAUCACACAACCACCCCACAUAUAUUUAUAUUACUGUUUAUUUAACAUGCACACAACACCACCACAAAUAUUAUCAAUUAUCCCUAAAAAAAUUAUAAACAUCAAAUAUUUAUAAAUUGGUCACUCAUUCUUAAAAAGAUAAUAGAACAAGAUUCUUGAUCAUUAAUUUUAAAAGUAAUAAAUAAAAAUCACGGUAUUUUGGUUUGGUAUUUUUUUUUCUUUAGCCCCCCGCUUAGUUUUAACUUUUAAGAUGGAAAAUGACUACUUACAAUGUGUUGACCCUCUUUAUCAUAAUUUUAAAUAAUAAUAUUUCAAAGAUCAGGGUUAGAAAAUAUGAUUUCAAAUAUUAUUUUCUAAACAUGACACACCUUUUCCUACUCCAAGCUCACAAGAAAAACACCUAAAACCCUAUAAACAAUUAGCAAUUAACGUGUAGUCGUUUAAAGCACAAAUACAUCAUCAUGUGUCUUGGCUUAAUAUUCAGAUAUUGAGGAUAUUUUAACAAUUUAUGAUAUAACGCCUUUUCUCCUACUUUUAAGCAUCGGCAACCAGGCUGCAUCCCUACAGAGCCCCUUCCCUUGUUCAGUAUUACCUCUCUUCUUAAGUUUGCUAACAUGAGAGACCAUUUGUGUGGAAUCUUUAAUCAAUGGAUUGGGAUGUUUCUGUGCUGGAAAUUUCAGAUGGGAAAAGGCGUUAUGUUUUUGGUAUAAACCCAUUCAAUCUUUCAUGUUUCUGCUCAUCAUUUUUAGUCAAGUUUGUUAUUUAUAUACGUUACUAUGUGUGUGUUUUAUUUACACUUCCAUCUCAUCUAAUUGGAAUUUACAAAUAUUGUAGACAAAUUUGAUGUCUUGCACCCAAAUUUCAUUGAGAAUCUAACUUUGAUGAAGGCGACAAUCCAGAACAGAGAAUGGGGGCAUGGUCUAGAAGAAACAGAUGUGAGCGUUUCUUGUCAUAAUUAUUAGUUUAUAGUAGUGGUUUUAUUUGUUAAAUCCAGUGUGCUGUUUCACGAUACUCAUAUUUUGUUGCCAUGUUGGGAGUGUUCUUGUGUAUUGGUUACUUUUUGGUGUUCAAACUUCUUUGAUAAAGAUAACAAAUAGGUCAUCAAGACGGCAGAUCAAUAUAGAAAAGACAAGGUUCUAAGGAACAAUGAUGCGAAAAUUUAAAACUUUGGGUGCAAAAUUAAAUACAGCAUGCUUUGGCCAUGGAUGGGGACAUAUUUGCUUUGUACCAUCAGUAUUGAUCACCUAGCGCUAGCAGCCCCAAUGUUGAACAUUUGGCGAGCCCUGCGGGACAUUAAGGUGCUUUCAACUUGUAAAUGAGACUGGUUCCACACGAAUGUUUAAACAUAAUGAAUGUGGCUUUCGAAAGAUAAGCUAUUGUACUUGGGUGAUGCUUAAGUGCUAUUUAAAUCAUUCAAGAGAAGGCCCAGACUUCUUACAAAUUCGCUUUAUCAAAUCGUUCUGGUUUGUCCUGGGAUUUGACUAAAUUAAACUAACAUCUUCUUGUGAUUACCAGCAAAAUAAAAAUUAAUAUCACUCUAGUAAACAAAAUCUACAAUCCUCUAAAGAGAAGAUUUACUUGUUGAUUAGAUAGUACGGGCAAAAAAUGAAGAGUGGAACUCAACAACUCACCUGAAAUUAUCCUAGUUCGCGGAAAAUCGCCCUCUUAUAAUGCUCUCAAAAUUUCUUAAAUACAAAAGAGACCUGGGUUGACAUAGGAUAAGAUAUAAGGUGAGGUGGACGGUCAUGAUAAGGUGAUGGGUUUGUGAUAUUGCAUCAUAUGAUGACAUAUGUUAGUAAGACGUACCCUAGUACAUACCCCACUGGAUCUUUUGAGGUGGGUAGGAUCGAGAUCACUAUCCCAAGGCCUAUUACUUGACUAAUGACCGGAUAACGCGGAUAAUGAUGAUGGACUAAUAUGUAUUUUCAAAAAAACACUAUGAUCCAUAUAUUAACUUAAUCACUCGGAUUCACUUUUAUAUUUAUCGAAUGAGUUCAUGUAUGUGGGCAAUCUGUGAAAUUGUGACUAAGUUAAUAUUUGGAUCAUAGUAUUUUUGAAAAAAAAUAUUAGUCCAUCACCGUUGUCCGGUCAUUGGUCAUGUAAUUAAGCCUUGGGGGUAGUGAUCUAGUCCGGCCCAACUCAAUUGAUCUGUACUGGGGUAUAUUUAUAAUAACAUGUGUCGCCGUAUAGUGCAAUCUCACAAACCCAUCACCGCAUCCUGACCGUCCAUCUCUCCAUAUAUCAAUCCUAUGUAAACCCAGGUCUCUUUUUUAUUUAAGAAAUUUUGAGAGCACUACUGAAGGGCGAUUUGCGGUGGACUACGCUUCUUUCAGGUGAGUGGGCGAGUUCCAUUUCCUUUUCCGAUCAGUUUUUGUCUAUACUAUUUGAUCAACAAGUAAAUUUUCCCUUUUAGAUGAUUGUAGAUUUUGUUAACUAAAGUGAUGUUAAUUUUUGUUUUGCGGGACAUCACAACUAGAUUUUAGCUUAAUUUAGUCUAAUUCCAGGACCGGUAGGAAGGAGUUGAUAAAGCGAAACUGUAGAUGCCUAGGCCAUCUCUUGAACGAUUUAAUAAAUAUAAAUCCAAUACUUCAAUUUUUUUAUGUAAUGUAAUAAGUAUAUUGAUUAAGUUUCUAAACCUGCCAGAUAGUGUGGUAAUGUUAAUUUUCUGAUCAGUUUUACUUGAUUGUUUCCUUUAAUUUACUGUUAAAAUCUGAUACAGCACAUAUCAAUAUUUUUUUGUUUUUAUGAUAUCUAGCUUAAUAUGAAACUAAAUCUUGACUUGAUGAGAUCAAGUAAGGAAGUAGCGGUGUAUGAUCAUAGACUUGUAAAUAUCAAGGCAAUCAUAAUAUGGAUUCUCACAUAUUUACUGAAUGUUCUGGAAGAAUGUAAUAUGGUACAAGAACAAAUUAGUGUGACAUGCUUAUAAAUAGAAUGUGCUGUGUAGGAUUAAAAUCAAUUUGGUUAACUCCUCUUCUUCUUCUCUGUGUCUCCCUCGGUUACAUUGCUGGUAUGUAAACCCGAAUUUAUUUCAUAGUAGUGUGAAAUAGAACAUAAUCCUUAAUACACUAGUCAUACUUCACAUGUCAUUGUAUCGCUUGUCUAUUAAGAAUUAUAAUGUCUGUGAAUGCAGUUGCUUUUACGAAUGAAACAUGUCAAGCUUUCAAGUGUGCAAUUUAAAUAAUUAUUUGGGCUUACUAAUAGCUGCCCAAGUCAAGCUAAUAUUCUUCCAAGUAGGAUAACAGAUUAUAUGCUUCCUGACCUGUUAUUUCGUAAAGAAGUCUGUUAGUCUAAAGACUUCACAAUGUUGAUUUAAGUUAUAUUAGUCACUGCGAUACUCUGUAGACAGUCACAAACAUAACCAGCAUUUGGAGCAUGUCCACCUUUUUAUUGUGAAUAUAUAUAUUAUAUAUAUAUAUAUUUAAAGAAGCUAUAAAAAACCAUUUAGUUGUAAAGCGAUUUUGGUAGGUAACAUAACUUAGACAUUCAUCAGUAUAUGCCCUACUUAAUUUGUUUACUAUACAAACCUGAAAGAGGUCUAAGAGCAACUCCAACGCAAGCCCGAGUGCUGCGUUGGAGAGCGUGCGGCGGAUCCGUUUCAUUUUUACAGCGCUGGAGGAAAUUGUAUAAGUUGGUCAAGCCCGAGUAGUUGGGCUGGCCAAGUCUCUGCUUUUUUUACUUUUAUGUUCCCCACUCAAUUGCUUUAGUAAUAUAAAACUCACCUGAUUGCCAUUUCUUUCUAAAGUGCACUUCACUUUUAUGGUGCAUGAAAUGAAAUGAAAAAGGCUGCAGCCUGUUCUGAACAAAAUAAUGUUACUGAAUAUUAACGUUUAGAUAGCCGUUGCAAUAUUUAAAAUUUUAACGUUCCAAAAUUUUACACUAUAAAUAGCUUGUAAAUUUAUAAAAUUCAAAUUCACAUUCACUUCUUUCUUCUCUUCAAAUAAGCUUAUAUUUUUCACUAUCAAAAAUGAACCCAAACAAUUAUUCUCCUUCAAACUCACAAAAUUCAAACCCCCAAAAUUCUCAAUUUCCGAAUACUCAAUAUCCAUAUUCACUCCCAAAUCCUUAUUUUCCGUACAACCAAAAUCCAAGUAUCGAUAAUUCUCAAUUUUCAAGUCCACAAAAUCCAAAUUUUAAUUCUCAAUUUCCAUUUCCAAAUCCGUAUUUUCCGUAUCCUCCUAAUUCUCAAUUUCCUUUUGUUCAAAAUUUUCAAAAUAUGCAUCCACAAACCGGAGUUCAACAAAAUCCUAUUAGCAAUGAAAAUUCUCCACACUCACAAGCUUCUGCUUUCGAUGCUACUAACACUAUCGAUCUUAAUGAUGAUGUUAUCGAAGUUGAAAAUAUGUGAGAUUCUAUAACUCAGUGGAAAUGGAGUGAAGAUAAACUUCUAAUUAGCGCAUGGUUGAAUGUAUCUACUGAUCCUAUAAUCGGUGCAGAUCAAAAAGGUGAAGCAUUUUGGGAUCGAAUUCGUCAGUAUUGUGAAGAAAGUAAUCCCGGGCUUAUCAAAAGAGGUGCUAUUGCUAUUAAAAAAAGAUGGCAAUGAAUAAAUGAAGGAGCUCAAAAAUAUGGAUCUUGCUAUGAACAAGCCGAGCGAAGGGUGGGAAGUGGUUCGAACUUGGACAACAUAAUCGAAGCAGCUCAUGAUCUCCACAAAGCUAAAUACAAAAAGAAGUCAAAUUUUGAAUUACAUUGGAACGAGCUUCGGAGACAACCUAAGUGGAGAGCUCCAACUCCAAGUGGUGGAAGUGGAAAACGAACUAAAUUGAGUGAUUCUGGAGCUUAUUCAACAUCGGGAAAUGAUGAGACCAAUGAAAAUAUCGUGGAAUCUCCUGUUCGUCCUAAAGGUACAAAAGCAGCUAAGAAAGGAAAAGGAAAGGCAAAAACAAGAAAAGAUAUGCAAGAUGAAUAUGAAGAGUUGAAGGCCGAUAAUAUUAGGAAAUUAAAUCUAAUAGACAAAUUUAAUCAUGUCCGACAAAAGGAUAUUGAUAUUUGAGAGUGAGUACUUGCGAAAGCCAAAUUUAAAUGAUGUACAACGUCUACUAAAAAUUGGUGAAGAUCGCGGAUUUCCUGGUAUGAUGGGCAGUAUUGAUUGCAUGCACUGGCAGUGGAAAAAUUGUCCUAAAGCAUGGAAAGGGAUGUUCAUGAGUGGUCAUAAAGGAGUUCCGACAAUUUUGCUUGAAGCAGUUGCCUCAUCGGACCUAUGGAUAUGGCAUGCAUUUUUUGGAGUUGCUGGUUCUAACAAUGAUAUAAAUGUGUUAGAUCGGUCACCAAUAUUCGAUGAAGUGCUAGAAGGUCGUGCUCCUGAAGUGAACUACAAUGUUAACGGCAACGACUAUAAUAUGGGAUAUUAUUUAACAGAUGGAAUAUAUCCUGAAUGUGCAACCUUCGUCAAAACAAUUCCACGUCCCCAAGGCGAUAAGAGGAGAUUAUUCUCUAAAUAUCAAGAAGGUCAGCGAAAAGAUGUGGAACGAGCAUUUGGUGUGUUACAGUCACGGUUUGCAAUUAUACGUGGUCCAGCCCGAUUUUGGGACAAGAAAGAUCUCGCCAAAAUAAUGAGAGCUUGUAUCAUAUUGCAUAAUAUGAUUGUCGAGGACGAGCGGGAUACAUAUGCUACUCCAUUCGGUUCGUUACCAACUUAUGAUGAUGCAACAAAUGGUUUAUCCCAACCAAAUCUAGAGGAAGAGCCGUUUGCCCCUUAUGAAAGAUAUAUCCAAAAUAAUGUUCGAAUUCGGGACAGACAGAAACAUCGACAACUCCAAGUUUAUUUGAUUGAGCAUAUCUCGCAAUUUCAUAAUAACCGUUAAUUUAUUUCUUAUGUAAUGUUUUUAAUUUUAUGUGUUUUCUAAUUCUUGUAAUGCGUGAUUUUUAUUCUUGUAAUGUGUGUCUUUAUUAUCUAAAUUUUGUUUUUCUUAUUUUUAAAAUAAUUAUUUAUCAUUUUAGUCAAAUUAUUAUGAUAAAGAAAAAUAAUUGGAUCAUUAAUAGUUAUUUAAAAUGAUGUAAAACUAGAUAAAAAAAAUAAAUAGGUGGGGCCUAUUGAAAAACGGAGCUGGGCUUUUGCGUUGGAGUAAAUGAGACAACUCUCCUAUAGAAUCUGAUUGUACUUAUGUGGCAUACAAAUGGGUCCCAAAAGAGUUGGACUUGGGCUCUUGCACUGAAGUUGCUCUAAGUACUAUGAAGUACCAUUUUUUUGACAUUUUUGAUUUUUGUGUGAUCCUUCAAUCAGAAUUAUUGGAUAUCGUAUGCUUAAAAUUUAUGUUUAUGAUGCUAAUGAAAAAGAAAAUGAAGACUGGAUAAAAAACUGGUUUCAUGCUGUCAAAAGAUGUGGACAGUAAAAUCUUUACUUUGGAUAUCCCUUUUUUCUUUUUUUUACAUGUCCAUUUUAGUUGAAUUCCUUCUACAAACUUGUAAAGAGUACUAGUAAAUGUCUGAAAGAAGCACAAGGAAAACCAAGAUAUUUCCAGUCUGACCAUUAUGUAUUCUGUAAUUAUUAGGAAGAACAAGAGCUUGAGAGAAUCGGCCCAUUUUUUCAACGAAGGCAGAAUGGAAGGGGUUGAAUGGCCUUCCUUGGCUGGAAUGGAAAAGGCAUUUUGUAAUAAUGUUCUGAGGCGGAUUGUUGAUUUUUUUGCGGGGCGGUUGAUGAUUGACUAUUCCGGGUAACUAUGUUUUGAAUUGCUCUAUGUAAAUAUUAUAAAUUUUUUCUUGAAGUUUUGGAGUUCCUGGUUUGGGGCAUCAAAUCCUUACGUAGUAAAAUCAAAAGUGUGGCUAAAUCUCAAGUCCCAAGAAGUGCAUGUAUACAGCAAAUUAAAGAAUAAGCACCCCUUGGAAGGGAGGAGAAUUAAGUCCUGGCUAUAUCUCUAGUGAAUAAAGUCAAUUGGUUCUGCUAAAAUAGAUGGAGUUAUUGCAAUAAUUUCCAGAUACAUCCCACUUUUGAAUAUAAAUAUGACUAACCUUCAAAGACCCUGCACUUUCAAGUAAUUUUUCAUACAUUUUUUAAUCAUUUUAUACUUUCAAGUAACUAUGUUCUGAAUUUGCUGUAUUUAAAUAUUAAAAAUUGUGUCUUGAAGUUUUGGAGUUCCUGGUAUGGGGCAUCUAAUCCUUACAUAGUAACAUACUCCCUCCGUCCCAAAAAGAUUGAGCUGGUUUGACUUUCACUGAGAUUAAGAAAAAGGUAAUAAAAAAGAGUAAAUUUAGUUGAAAAGUGAGUAAAGUGGUGAGCCUGUCAAAAUUUAAUAAUAGAUUUGAGAUAGUGGAGGAAGGUAUAUAUUGCGUGUAAUAGUGUUUAUUUAAUAAAAGUAGAGUAAAAGUAGGGUGUGAUAUAAGCAAGUUUUUAAAUUAUGCAUGUGGGGAAUUCCAAUUUCCUAGGAAGUUCCAGACUUCCAGUUUCCAUAUAGCGGUCAACCAAAUAAUCUUUCAAUUUGCUAGAAAGUUUAAAUUCCUGGAGAUUUACAUGUUAACCAAACUACCUCUUCUAAAUCUAGUUAUGGUUCAUUAGGAAGAUUACAUUCUUACUAGGGAACGUUGAAGUUCUCAUUUCGGAAAGAUGUCGAGUAUGCACACUCUUAAUCCAUUUCUGAUUAAAAAAUUUAGAUUUUAGUGGCCUUAACAUAAACUAUGCACUGAUUUGCAUUUUAAUAUAUGAACCGUCAGUGAAUUAGCUUCCAGUAAGCUUUAUUAUCUUCUAAUGUCUAGCUGCAGAACUUUUUACUGUACUGGCAAAAGGAACAAUCCUACUCUAGUUUCUCCUCUAUGUGUUAAAUCAAGUUCUUUUAAAUCUUGCAAAGGAUGAAUCUGUCUUUAAGAAACAUCUGUAAAAAUAAUGCAUUCCGUUUUCAACAAACUACUAAAUCUUUCUAGAUAAAAUUCAUUUGAAUGGGCAUGCUCAAUCUAGCUUUGUGGUGAGUUCUUCGUUUCUCUAUUUGUUAGCAGGAAUGCUCCGCGAACAGUAAAACAAGGAAGAAAACGGAAAAGGACUUGCAGGAGAUCGGGUGACUCAGUUUGGGGAGCUUGGGGAAUUCUUCCUACUGAACUUCUGGUGUCAAUUUUGGUUCAGGAAUGAAGAUGGAGCUAUAGUGACUGAUCAGGAGGGAAUGAGUAGCAUUGUCGAGAAUUAUUUUGUGAACUUAUUCGGUAAUGAGGAUACUGAGCGUGAACUGCCAGUCGAAGGCGGCGUGAAUGUGAUUUCUGAAGCCCAGAACAACAAAUUGACAGAAGAUUUCAGCUAUGAAGAAUUCACAGCUGCGAUAAAGCAAAUGCAUCCGGAUAAGAGCUCUGGUCCAGACGGAUUAAAUCCAGCUCUUUUCCAGCAUUUCUGGAAGCUCCUAAGGAGGGAAGUUUAUGAGAGUUGCAAGUAUUGGAUGAGGGAUAUGGCAUUUCCCCAAGGGCUAAAUGACACAAACAUUGUUCUGAUCCCUAAGAAAGAAAACGCAGAUACUAUGAAGGACCUUCGCCCUAUUGCUUUAUACAAUGUCAUGUACAAGAUUAUUGCUAAAGUUUUGGCCAAUAGAAUCCGAAGCAUACUUCCGGACAUUAUUUCAGAAAAUCAGUCAGCCUUUGUUCCUGGACGAAGCAUCACGGAUAAUGUUCUAGUGGCGUUUGAGGUAGUACACCAUAUGAGAAGACUGCGGAAGGGUAGAACGGGUGAAGUGGCACUGAAACUUGAUGUUAGCAAAGCAUAUGAUCGCGUUGACUGGAAUUUUCUUAAAGGAAGGAUGGAGCAGAUGGGUUUUGAUCAAAAGUGGAUAGAUUGGAUCAUGUUAUGUGUAACAACAGUUAGCUAUUCUUUUUGUUUUAAUGGAGCUCAGGUAGGGCUUGUAAUUCCGAAGAGAGGCCUGCAUCAAGGCGACCCUCUUUCACCGUACCUUUUCUUGUUUUGUGUUGAGGGGUUAUCUCGUUUGAUUAGUACAGCUGCAGAGAAUGGUACAAUUCAUGGGUGAAGAUAGCAGAGGGAGCUCCGGAGGUCACACACCUUUUAUUCGCAGACGAUAGCUUUCUUCCCUUUAAAGCCGCAGUGGAGGAAGGCAAGUCAAGUUCGGUCGAUUCUUCAAAAGUAUGAAUUCUACUCUGGCCAGUCCAUAAAUCUUCAAAAAUCUGGUAUCUUGUUCAGCUCAAAUGUUGGUGCGGAGUUGCAAAUGGAUAUUAAAAAUCUGCUAGGAGUGCACAAAGACAUAAGCGGGGAUCGGUAUCUGGGGUUACCCUCCCUCAUUGGCAGAUAAAAAAAUCCUGUUUUAAUUUUCUUAAGGAUAGAAUGUGGAAACGAAUUCAAGGUUGGAGUGAGAAGUGUCUAUCUCUAGGAGGGAAAGUAGUUCUGUUGAGGAAUGUUGCUCAAACCAUUCCAUCCUAUGCUAUGUCAUGCUUCUUGUUUCCGAGAACGCUGAGUCAAGAUUUGGAGAAAAUGAUGAAUAGUUUCUGGUGGGUGCGAGUGGUAACAAUAAGAAAGAUAUUAAAUGGCUCUCUUGGGAAAAUAUGAGUAUGGGAAAGAAUGAGGGUGGUCUGGGUUAUAGCGACCUGUAUGGUUUCAAUAUUGCUCUGCUAGCAAAACAUUGCUGGACUUUUCUUAAUAAACCACAUACGUACUCUCAUAGCUCGAGUCUACAAGGCGAGGUAUUUUCCCAAUAAUUCUUUUUUCGAAGCAACUUGAGGAGGAGGUGCAAGUUAUAUAUGGUCAGGGCUGUGGCAAGCCAAAGAGGCGGUGUGGAUGGGGUACAGAUGGAUUGUGGGUGACGGGAGGAAAAUAAGAAUUUUUGAGGAUGCAUGGCUUAGAGAUAAGAAGGAUUUUAGAGUGGAAACUCUAAAUUGUGGCAGUAUUGCAGGUGGAAAAGUGUGCGAUUUAUACAUUCCUGGUGAACGUAGGUGGGAUAUUCAACGGGUGUCUAACUUAUUCUUGAGUUGUGAUGCUAAGGCAAUCUUAGCAACACCCAUUCCCAAUAAUCAGGUCUGUGAUCGUGUUACAUGGACGCCUGCAGUCGACGGGAAGUACAGUGUAAGAUCAGGUUACAAGUUCUGGCGGCAUUUGCAUUUUAGUACAUGUCUUCGAGUUCCUCAGUCGAAAGGUUGGAAACAUUUAUGGCAGCUGAAGGUCCCUCAAAAAGUUAAGAUUUUUCUGUGACGGCUAUGUAGGAAACAAUUCCUGUUCGUUAGCGGUUAAGAAGUAAAGGAGUCCAAAUUCCGAUUACUUGCCCAAUGUGCAACAAAGACGUGGAGCAUCUCUUGCAUGUGUUUAUGGAUUGUGAGUUUGCAAAUGAGUGUUGGAGACUUAUGGGAGCUGAAUUUGAUUUCUGGACAGUGGAGUCAGCACCAGAAUGGGUUCUUGGUAGACUAGAAUCAGAGACGUCUGAAGUUCAGAUUUAAUUAGCUAAGGUGCUAUGGGGUAUUUGGAACGCCAGAAAUUUCAAAGUCUGGGAACACAAAGUGGUAACACCUAGUAUUGCAAUGCAAUGGAGUGAUAGUCAGAUUUCGCAAUGGCAAGAAGUGAGAAAGAAACAAAUGAGACACGGACCUAAUGAACCUCAGCAACAUCAACCAGUUGGGAGUAGGUGGGUUGCUCCUGCAGUAAACAGAGUCAAAGUAAAUAAUGAUGCUUCUGUUGUUUCUGGAGCUCAUUCCUUCUCCUUAGGUCUGAUCAUUCGGGAUCAUCAAGGUGAGUUUAUUCAGGCGAAGAAUCUUCGUUAUCCAGGGGAGAUCACUGUGUUUGAAGCUGAAGUAAGGGGCAUUCUCGAAGCUGUGAUAUGGCUUGAGGACUUGCAGCUCUCAGGUGUUGAUAUAGAGACGGAUUCGCUGCUUGCUGUAAAAGCUCUGAAGAUGGGGACUGAGUAUAACUUGGAAGUUGGAGAUGUGCUUGCUCAGUGUCGUUCUAUUCUAGACGCUAGACCUGAUUUUGCUAUCUACUUUGUUAAACGGCAGGCCAACAUGGCAGCCCAUUUGCUAGCUAGGGCGCCAUGUAUGGUGAAUUGCUUCAAUGUUUUUAUGUCUCCUCCAGAUAUAAUGUUGGUGACUUUGAUGUUUGAUCUGGUUUUGAGCUAAUAAAAGUCAGUUUGCUUUCAAAAAAAAUAACUUUUAUACCCUGUAAAUAUAAAAAAAUGAUCCAAACACAUAAUUAAAAGUUAAUUUUCAUUUAUAAAUAACUUUUUUCGUAUAAUCAAUAAACACGUCUUUUACGGUCUCACUAUUCCCAUAUUACGCAACUCUGCAGUUUCCACAAUCUUAAAAGAUGAUCUGAAUACAUGCGAGUCCACCCACCAUUUAUAUUUUACAAAUAUUUCUUCUACUUUUUUCUCUUUCUCUGCAAUCUUCUAAGCUCUUGUUUAUCUUGUAUAUCUUGUUUUAAGUGGGCAAGGAGCAUUGCUUGUCCACUUCUAUAACCAAAUGUAAAUUUACAGCUUCUAAGAAUCAUCCCGAUAUCCCAACACCAUAGAGGUUGGUCGCGAGUGCUACAUGUCUGGAGAAAUAACAGAAAAUAAUUUGUAUAGCUAGUAAUAUAUGACAUAGAAUCUAAGUACUUCAACCAAAUCUCAUUUCCAAUCUAGAAUGCAAGUCGCUGGUAUGGUUGUAAAUGCUAGAUCACACAGUUGGUGAUUCUUAUUCCGCGUAGAUCUGGUAUAAGAAAAAAAUCUAUGGAUUCCAAGGGAAGCAAAAAAUGGUGUGAAGUAAACAAUAGAUGCUAAAAAUAGAGCUGUGUAGUGAGAUGUAUGAUCACAAGCAACACAUUACCUGGACAAAAUGCAUGUAAGCCAUAUCCCUAGUUCUCCAUAACAACCGCAAAUCCCUUACAUUCUCAUCGUUCAGACGAGUUCAAAAAAUUACUUGGCCUGCAGUAUUCCAUAAUCACCACUAUGUGGUAUACAAAUUCAUCAUUUCAACAACAGUAAAUUUAAUAAAAUACAUAGAGAGCAACUAAGCACCGAGAUAGAGAAAUUGCCUCUCAAGAGUUGAUCAGCAAAAAGCUUCAUCAUCCUCUAGUGCCUAAAAGUUGUACUUAUUUUUCAAUCAACAAUUGCGUACUGUUUUGGGAGAGGAGAGAAAUCCCAUCACUUAGCACUUUCAGCGCAUUAAGGGAGCGGAAAGAUGAUAAAAUAAAGCUUCCUUGAUCUCCAUUAGUGUGAUUCAGGUUUGUUUGGUUGUUCAAGUUCUUGGCUUCUGCCAGGAAGUUCAUGUGUACGCCAAAGCCAAAAUAUCAUUUUAUAAACUUUUUUUCUACAAAAAUAUUAUUUUGAAAUAGUUGAUCAAAAAUAGAUAUUCUCAAAAUAUAUAUCACAUAUCACAUAUAAAUUAAAUUUUUAGUUUUUGAAAAGACUGAUUCGCAUUUUUAAAAUGAGUAACCGAAAUAUUCAUUCUCUAAAUAAGUUUCUUAAAAUUUUAUUUUUUUAUUAUAAAAAAUAUCUUAUCAUAUAACAUCAGAUAAUGGCCCAAACAUAUAUAACACCGUUUCAACACACAACACCAUCACCUACAUUACCAAUUAUCUUUUAAAAAAAAUUAUAGAUAUCAGAUAAGAUAAAUCGGUCACUCAUUCUCAAAAUGAUAAUAAAAUAAUAUUUUUAAUCAUUAGUUUUAAAAAUGAUAUGUAAAAAAUAUGAUAUAUUUGUAUUUUUCUCGAUAGUUCCUAUUUUGAUACGCAUUCUUAAAAUGAGUAUCGCUUAUAAAUUAAUUUUUUAAUUUUUAAAAAGAUUGAUUCGCAUUCUCAGAAUUAGUAACCGCGAUACUCAUUCUUAAAAUAAUAACCUUUUUCAAUUUUAUUUUUUAUUAUAAAAACUAUUUUAUCAUAUACAACGCCGCACAAUUACCCACAAUCCCACACAUAUAUACCAUCGUUUAUUCAAAACACAAAAAAUUAUAAAUAUCAGAUAUUAAUAAAUUGGUUGAUCAUUCUCAAAAAAAAAUAGAAUAAUUUUGUUGAUCAUUAAUUCAAAAAAUGAUAUAUAAAAAUAUGAUAAUUAUUUUUGUGUUUUUUCCUCUGGUUACUCGCUUAGUUUUAACUUUUAAGGUUGAAAAUGACACUACUUUUAAGCAGAGGCAACAGGCUGCAUCCGUACAGAGCCCCUUCCCUUGUUCAGUAUUACCUCUCUUCUUAAAUUUGUUAACAUGAGAGACCAUUUGUGUGGAAUCUUUAAUCAAUGGAUUGGGUUGUUUUUGUGCUGGAAAUUUCAGAUGGGAAAAGGGCGUUUUUGGUAUAAACCCAUUCAAUCUUUUAUGUUUCCUGCUCAUCUUUUUAGUCAAGUUUGUUAUUCAUAUACAUUGUCUCUGGAAUCUAAUUUAGAUGGUAUAAGCUGAGGUGUAUGAUAUGAUUGCCAAAAAAGGGUUUGAUCAAAGUCUGGUUUGGUGUUUGAUAACAGGCUUAUGUACCGUGGUUGUUCAGGGUAAAUUAUUGGGUUGUAUCUUCCAGACCAAUCAAUGGACGGAAUACAUUCACUUGUAAAGUGGCAAGCAAAUGUUAUGCAAGGAGGCGAUAAUCUUGAACGGAGAAUGGGGCAUGGUCUAGAAGGAAACAGGUGUGAGCGUUUCAUGUAAUUAGUUUAUUGUUGUGGUUUUAUUUGUUACAUCCAGUGUGCUGUUUCACGGUACGUACUAAAUGUACACAAAUCAUUUUUUUUUUUUGUCAUUUUGGGAGUGUUCUANUGUGGUUUUAUUUGUUACAUCCAGUGUGCUGUUUCACGGUACGUACUAAAUGUACACAAAUCAUUUUUUUUUUUUGUCAUUUUGGGAGUGUUCUAGUGUAAUGGUUAAUUUCUGGUGUUCAACUAAUUUGAUAAAGAUAACAAAUAGGUCAUCAAUACGGAAGAUCAAUAUGGAAAGACAAGUUUUCAAGGAACAAUGAUGCGAAAAUCUAAGACUUUGGAAGCAAACUUAAAUACAGCAUGGAUGGAAGUAUUUGCUUUGUACCAUGCAGUAGUUUUGAUCACAUAGUGCUAGCAGACCCAAUGUUGAACAUUUGGCGAUCCCUGCGGCACAUUGAGGCACUUUCAAUUUGUAAAUGUUACCGGUUCUAAAUGAAUUUUUGAACAUAAUGAAUGUGGCUUUGGAAAGAUAAGCAUUCUUGGGUGCUAUUUAAUUCAUUCAAGAGAAAGCCCAGACUUCUUAUAAUUUCACUUUAUCAUUUCCUCCCUACUGGUACAGGGAUUAGACUAAAUCACUCUACAUCUAGUUGUGAUUUCCAACAAAACAAAAAAUAAUAUAACUCUAGUAAACAAAAUCUACAAUCCUCGAAAGGGAAGAUUUACUUGUUGAUCCAAUAGUACGGGCAAACAAAUGAACAGAAAUGACAAUGAAACUCACCAACUCACCUGAAAUUACCCUACUCUGUGGCAAAUAUCGCCCUUUUGUAGUGCUCGCAAAAUUUUUUAAAAUAAAAAAGAGACUUGAGUUGACAUAGGAUAAGAUAUAUGCUGAUGUGGACAGUCGGAUAAGAUGAUGGGUUGGUGAGAUUUGCACCAUAUGACGACACAUGUUAGUAUAGAUGUACUCCUGCUACGGAUCAUUGGAGGUGGGCCGGAUCGUGAUCACUACCCUCAUGGCCUAUUACUUGACUAAUGACCGUUGAUCGGAUAACGGUGACUACGGAUCAUUGGAGGUGGGCCAAAUCGUGAUCACUACCCUCAUGGCCUAUUACUUGACUAAAGACCGUUGACCGGAUAACGGUGAGGGACUAAUAUAUAUCUUCAAAAAUACUAUGAUCCAUAUAUUAUUUUAUUCGCGGAUUCACUUUUAUAUUUAUCGAAAGAGUUCAUGUAUAUGAGCAAGUUGUGACAGACACAAAAUUGGUAACUCUGCAAUUUAAUAUUGUCGUUUCCACGGGGUCAUUGGGGUCGAAUCUAAUAAUUCUUUGUCCAUCUUUUACAAGACUAAUGAUGCCUGGAUAUUAUAGUUAGUGUGUCACACUAAAUCCAACUGUCACUACUUGCUCGCAUACAUGAACUAUUCAAUUAAAAUAUAAGUAAAUCCGCGAUUAAGUUAAUAUAUGAAUCAUAAUAAUUCCGAAAAUACAUAUCAGUUCCUCACGGUUAUCCGGUCAUUGGUCAUGUAAUAAGCCUUGGGGUAGUGAUCUCAAUCCGGCCCACCUCAAAUGAUCAGUGGUGGGUUACAUUUAUACUAACACGUGUCGUCAUAUGGUACAACCUCACCAACCCAUUACCAUAUCCAGACCGUCCAUCUCAUCACAUAUCAAUCCUAUGUCAACCCAGGUCCAUUUUUAAUUUAAGAAAUUUUGAGAGCACUGCUUGAGGGUGAUUUGCGGCGAACUAGGGUAAAUUUCCGGUGAGUUGGCGAGUACCAUUGCCGUUUCUGUUUAAUUUUUCCCCGUACUAUUUGAUCAUCGAGUAAAUCUUCUCUUUAGAGGAUUGUAGAUUUGUUUUACUAAAGUGAUGAUAAUUUUUGUUUUGUUGGACAUCACAACUAGAUGUUAGCUUAAUUUAGUCCAAUCCUUCGACCGGUAGGAAGGAAUUGAUAAAGCAAAACUGUAAGAAGACUUGGCCUUCUCUUGAAUGAUUUAAUAAAUAAAAAUCCAAUACUUCAAUUUUAUUCAUGUAAUAAGUAUUUUGAUUAAGUUUCUAACCUGCCAGAUAGUGUGGUAUAUUAAUUUUCUGAUCGGUUUUACUUGAUUGUUUACUUUAAUUUACCAUUAAAUGUGAUAAAAUCUAAUACAUAUCAAUAUUAUCUUGUUUUUAUGAUAUCUUGACUUGAUGAGAUCAAUUAAGGAAAGAGCGGUGUAUGAUAUGACACUUGUAAAAAUUAAGGCAAUCAUUAUAUGGUUCUCACAUAUUUACUGAAUGUUCUGAAAGAACGUAAUUUGGUACAGGAACAAAUUAGCGUGACUUGCUGUGUAGGAUAAUAAUGAGCAUGUUCCGAGUCAUCAUGAGCAUGUUCCGAGAAAUUCUCCCUGAAAGAAGUCCUAUUUGUUUGUUCCUGCCGAGUUAAACUCAUGGCAGAAGUUUGCGGUUAAAUUAAAUUUUUUCAGACCUUAACAUUUUGGGAGUGCUUGCAGUGUUGUCCUCAUUCAAUAUUUUGGAUCUCUGCUUCUCAAAUUUGCCCGCUGUUUGUAUUAUGAUUACGCAUUUUUCUAGGAAUCGCUUCUAAGGGAGUAGCACCAUUACGCCUUUCCAUAAUUUUGAAAAAGAAAACAUCCCAAUAUCCUAACACCAUAGGAGUUGGCCGCGAGUGCUACAUGUCUUGAGAAAUAACAGAAAAUAAGUUGUAUCGCUUGUAAAAUAUGACAUAGUCUAAUUAGUACUUCAACCAAAUCUCACUUCAACUCUAGAAUGCAAGUCUCUGGUAUGGUUUAAAACGCUAGAUCACAACUGGUGAUUCUUAUUCUGCAUAGAUCUAGGUCCAAUAAAAAUCUAGGGAUUCUAAGGGAAGCAAAAAAUGGUGUGAAGUAAACAAUAGAUGCAAAAAAUAGAGCUAUAUAGAUGCUAACAAUAGGGAUAUGGUGUAAGCCAUAUCCCUAGUUCUCCUUUAACAACAACAAAUUCCUAGUUCAUAAAAUUACUUAGCCUGUAUCACGUAAUCUCCAAUAUGUCGUAUACAAAUUCAUCAUUUCAACAACCAUAAAUUAAAGGGGGGUUUUCAUAUAUACCCAAAUCUAAAAGAAUUUUCGCAAAUAUACUGUCAUUUUUUUAAACAAAUUGCAAAAAUACUAUCCUUAAAAAAAAUUGCAAAAAUACGGUGGUUGCAUCUGCAACCAUAUCUGCAACUGUUACCAACCUUAUAUGCAACCACAAAUGCAACUUUAAAAAAAUCUUUUGAAAAUUAUAUUUAAUUGCAUAAUAAAUUGCAAGUGGUUGCAAAUGGCAAAAAUGAAUACCCCUGUGGGGCCAGUCUAAUGUCACAAAAGUAACCAUGAAAUCAUCUAAAAGCAACCAAUUAAAAGUAGGUACAAAGAGUUGCCACAUACACAUAACAUAACCUUCAAUGCGUUAUCUUUUCAAUAUCCAUCCCCCAAUCCCCAUCUCCCUCCUAACUACAUCGCUCCAACUUGACAUCUCCGUCUCAACCCAUUCGACUAUCACCAUAAAGAACACGACAUACACACACAUCUUCAACGUCCUCUGUUUGUAAACCUCGGCCACCUCCGUUGUCCAACACAACUGAUGUAAUAUCAUCCGAUUGUGUUCUUGAAACUAUGAACACUAUUUGCAUCGCGAUCGAGAGAAUUGGUGGCAUUAUGGCGAUGAGAAAGAAAGUGCGAGGAGAGAGGUUAGAGAGGGUAGUGAGACGAGAGUGAGAGAGUGAGAGACGAGGGAGAGAUUUGCACAUGAAAAGAUGAAAAUGGUGGAAUCUGUAAACAAACUCCGUACUUGUACAAAUGUUUUAACUAAAGUUAUAAAGAAAUCGUAUUUCUGCACAAUUUGAGGCAUGUGGUAGUUUUGCAAUAAAGAUGGUAAGAAGGGCAAUUUUAGCCAAAUGCCCUAAAUUUAAUAAAAUACAUGGAGAGCAACUAAGCACCGAGACAAAGAAAUUGCCUCUCAAGUGUUGAUCAGCAAAAAGCUUCAUCAUCCUUAGAGCAUCUCCAAGGGUAAUAACAAAAACUGUUAGCUAAAAUAUAAUAAAAUAAUGAUUAUGUAAAUUUUUACCUAAGGGCACUACGCCAUAAGUGCUCAUAUGCAACGCGUAUUCCUAGUGUUGCAUGGAAAGUAUUGCAAUAGACCCUUGGUUUUCUAUCUUCUGCAACAGAACUCAAACGGCGUUGCAUUAUAGGAGUUGGUAGUGUUGCAUUAUAGCAGUAGACAUUGCUAGACCAAUUUUUGCUGACGUGGCAAUGGGUCCCACGUGCUGACGUGGCAGUGGGGCCCACUGCUGGACCCAUUUUUGCUGACGUGGCAGUGGGUCCCACGUGCUGACGUGGCAGUGGGCCCAGUGCUGGACCCACUUUGGUGACGUGGCAGUGGGUCCCACGUGCUGACGUGGCCGUGGUCCCCGCUGCUGGACCCACUUUGGUGACGUGGCAGUGGGUCCCACGUGCUGGCGUGGCAGUGGUCCCCGCUGCUGGACCCACUUUGAUGACGUGGCAGUGGGUCCCACGUGCUGACGUGGCAGUGGCCCCACUGCUGGACCCACUUUGGUGACGUGGCAGUGGGUCCCACGUGCUGACGUGGCCGUGGGCCCCACUGCUGGACCCAGUUUGGUGACGUGGCAGUGGGUCCCACGUGCUGACGUGGCAGUGGGCCCCUGUUCUGGACCCAUUCAUGUGACGUGGCAGUGGGCCCUAGAGGCUGACGUGGCAGUGGGGCCCACCUCCGGACCCAUUUUGUUGACAUGGCAGUGGGUCCAGACCCAUUUUGAUAUAAAAAUCUCUGAAAAUUUUUGAAGGCCAAGGGAAUUGAACCCCUGACCUCUCAUGUAUCAAAACAAGUCACACACCACUCCACCAACCUUUCAUUUAUGUUGUGUGUUGCAUAACUAAAAUAUAAUAGCUAUAUGUGGUCAAAGUGGGUAGUCCAAUUAACCGACGUUGUCCCGAACACGAAUUCUAUUUUUUUUAAAUUUGUUUUCGACGAUCCAACCGUACGGAUGUUAAUAUCUAUCAAAUUUAGCAAUAAGAAAUUUUUUUUAAAAAUUUCCAUAUUUAGAAGGUGUGAGUUUAUAAUAGUCAAAGCGGUCCAAGAAGGUAGUCCAAUUAACUAGUGUUGUCUCGAAAGUGAAUUCUUUUCUUUUUAAAUUCAUUUUCGACGAUCCAACCGUACGGAUUUUAAUAUCUAUCAAAUUUAGCAAUAAGAAAUUUUUUUCAAAAAUUUCCAUAUUUAGAAGGUGUGAGUUUAUAAUAGUCAAAGCGGUCCAAGAAGGUAGUCAAUUAAGCAAUGUUGUCCCGAAUACAAAUUCUAUUUUUUUAAAAUUCAAUCUUGACGAUCCAACCGUACGGAUGUUAAUAUCUAUCAAAUUUAGCAAUAAGAAAUUUCUUUCAAAAAUUUCCAUAUCUAGAAGGUGUGAGUUUAUAAUAGUCAAAGCGGUCCAAGAAGGUAGUCAAUUAAGCAGUGUUGUCCCGAAUACAAAUUCUAUUUUUUUUAAAAUUCAAUCUUGACGAUCCAACCGUACGGAUGUUAAUAGCUAUCAAAUUUAGUAAUAAGAAACGUUUUUCAAAAAUUUCCAUAUUUAGAAAGUGUGAGUUUAUAAUAGUCAAAGCGGUCCAAGAAGGUAGUUCAAUUAAUCAGUGUUGUCCUGAAUACGAAUUAUAAGAUGUGAAUUAUUGUAUUAAUUUUUAAUUUAAUUUAAAGUAAGUAUUUCUCACCUAUAUCAUUUAAUUUAAAUUAAAAAUCUAAAAUAAAAUAUAUAAAUAAUAAAUAUAUAAAAUAAAAUAAAACAUAUAUUAAUCCACGUCAGCUGUUGAAAUGUUAAGCGGGUAAAACUCCCCCCAAAUAAUUUCAGACAAACAAACACUCAUAUUUCAAACAAACACUCAGAAACUCCAUUUCCCGACCUCGGCACUCUCACCUCCAUUUCCCGACCUCGCCGCGCCACAGUCCCGACCACGCCGCUCUCACAGUCCCGACCUCGCCUCUCUCAACUUCCUCACCUCACAAUCUCGACCUUCAUUCUCACCUCACUGCAGUCUCGACCUCAAUAUCAAAUUAGGGUUUCGGUGUUCACGAUUUGGGGAUUUUGCUCAGUUCUCAGUUCUUCAUCCCAGUUCUCCCUCACGGUGCUCAAUUUGGGGAUUCUGGUGUUCUCAGCUCUCGAUUUGUGGAUUUGGGCAUCUGCAAUUAGGGUUUCGGUGUUCUCGAUUUAGGGAUUUCAACUUCUCGGUUGUGGUUUUAGUUGUGGGUUCAAGUUCUCCAUUCUUCAGUUAGCUCUGGUAAUUCCUCUUUUUUAUUUAAGAUAUAGAUUUUGCAUAUAGGGCUUCUUGUGAUUAAGAUUUUGAUUUUUUUAGUUGCUAUCUGCUUGUAAUUUGUAUUUUUAAUUGAUAUUAGCUAGGUUGGGUGUUGCAUGCUUGUAAUUCAUGCUGAGUUGUUUUGUUUUUUUAGUCUAAGAGAGAGAGAGUGACAAAGAGAGAGAGUAGGGAGGGAGAGAGUGGGGGAGAGAGAGAGAGAGAGAGAGAAGGGAGGGAGAGAGAGAGAGACAGGGAGGGAGGGGGAGAGAGACAGAGACAGAGAGACAGAGAGAGAAGGAGGGAGAGAGUGACAGAGAGGGGGGACAGAGAGAGAGAGAGAGAGUAGGGAGGGAGAGAGUGGGGGAGAGAGAGAGAGAGAGAGAGAAGGGAGGGAGAGAGAGAGAGACAGGGAGGGAGGGGGAGAGAGACAGAGACAGAGAGACAGAGAGAGAAGGAGGGAGAGAGUGACAGAGAGGGGGGACAGAGAGAGAGAGAGAGAGUAGGGAGGGAGAGAGUGGGAGAGAGAGAGAGAGAGAGAGAGAGAAGGGAGGGAGAGAGAGACAAAAUGAUAUUUUCAAUCACUUUGUAUAUUUUCAAAUUUAGAGAUAAAAUGAUAAUAAUGAUACAAUUGCAUGAUUACAGAGAAAAAGAGUUGCCAAGGCAAAUAAGACAGGGGUGGGACGUAGGACUCGUGCACAAGCAAAAGCACAAGAGCCUGCUGACAUUGAAAGAGAAUCGACACAUGUCGCCACUCCCGUCAGGAACAAAGGGAAGAAAGCUGCAGUUGAGAAGGAGGUGACAAGUUCUUAUCGUGCACCUACUGUAAAACCAACUUGUUCCAAAUUGUUGAACAAGGCAGUCAAUGGAGUACCUCCCGGUUCCAUAAAUGCUUAUCUAGCACUGCGGGAACAACAAAAAUUGAGUACUGCACCUCAAUUACAAGAGGAUGAUGUUCCUGAACUUAAUGUGGACCAAGCUACAGAUGAGGAGGAAGCUGUUAAAGGUACUGUGUACAUGCAUUUUUACUCUAUUUAAUUAGCCUGGGAAUCUGGAUUUAUUGAUCUACCUCGUGUUUUCAUUUUUAAUGCAUUCUUUGUUUUUUGUUUCCUAUUUCACUAUGAGCCGUAGUGAAUUAAUAUAUAUUAAAUAUAAAUAUGUUCCUCUGACAGUAAUUAAGAAAUUGACUUUAUGCUCCAUUUUUACUCUAUUUAAUUAGCCUGGCAAUCUGGAUUUAUUGAUCUACCUCGUGUUUCCAUUUUUAAUGCAUUCUUUGUUUUUUGUUUCCUAUUUCACUAUGAGCCGUAGUGAAUUAAUUUUUUUUUAUUUGUUCUGUGCAUGGAAUAUGAUAUGCUAGCUCCUAGAAAACCCAGGGGACCUACAAAAAUGAUUAAAGUUCAUGCAAGGACGGCUGAAAAUAAAGUUGUCAUUACGUUGAAUGAAGAUCAUCAACCCGUUUCGGAUAAUCAGAAAAUUAUCACAGAGCUCAGUAAUUUUGUGGGAACACUAGCAAGGGAUAACGUGUCACUUACGUACGUAAAUUGGCAUGUAGUUCCUGACAGCCUGAAGAAGCAAUUGUGGGAACAAACUCUGGUACAUUUUAUUAGUUGAUUGUCAUGUAGUUCAUACUUAUGAAUUAUAUUGUAAUUGGUAUGUAGUCCACACAAUUGCAUUAGUUCAUACUUAAUUUUGCAUUAUAUCGUAACAGUAUAAAUAACUGAUUUUAUGUUCGAUAUUUACAUUUUUAGGCUAAGUAUGUCAUUCCUGAACAAGGUAGAAAAUGGGUGUACAACACACUCAAUGCUGCUUGGAGGCUUCACAAAAGUCGUUUUAAGACCAAGUACUAUACCAGCCUUGAAACUGACGCGGAGAGGUUGGAAAAAAGGCCUCAAGAAAUUUCACUAGAGGACUUUAAACUGCUCCUGGCAUACUGGGGAGAUGAUGAAGUUAAGGUAUUAUAUCUACUAUGUUGGAUGCUAAUUUAAUUACAUUUAAUUAGCAUGCUAUUUAAAAAAUUAUGUAAUCUGCAUAAUCUAUGUUCUGCCUGAUUUACAAGGAUAACUACAAGAUUAAUGUAAAUUUUAUUAUUUUUCUCUUUUAUUUUCUAGAAACUGGCAAGGAACAAUACUGCCCGUCGUAGUAAUUUAACUGAGACACACACUAUGGGUCCAAAAACACUAGCACAAGUUCGGGAGGAGAUGGUAUAUAUCCUUAUCUUAUAAUAUACUGUGAAAGUGAAUUUUGGAUAACAGUACAUGUCCAUUAAUUGAUCAUUUUCAGAUGCAAUUGAUGCCCAUUAACUUCUACUGAAUUCAAAUUGAGCUAAAUUGUUUUCCUUUUCUUCAAUAAUUGCAGAAAAAGAAAAGCCCCGACCUUGCCUCGCCAACAGAUGCGGAAGUGUUUCUGGAAACCCGUAAGCGAAAACCCGGGCAAGAGUACAAGUCAAAUACUGAAAAAGUGGAAAAAAGAAUGGUAAGGACAUUUCAAGUAGUAUUAAAUCUAUCUUCAUAAUUCAUUUUAUAAUCUGGUGUAUCAUUUUCUUGUAGACCGCGAUCAAGAAACUAGUUACUUCUGGACAAGAAGUUGAAGCAAAUUUAAUGGUUAGCGGCGACAAGGAACAUUCACGUGAUUGGCUAGUAGGAAGAGCCUGUACAAAGGAAACUGGUCAAUGCUCUGGUUCGGCAGCAAUUCCUACGGAACAAUAUGUGCAGGAGUUGACCACAAAGAUCAAGCAUGACUUAGAAAUUGAACUGGAAGCCAAAGUUAACCGCAAAGUGCAGGAAAAUUUAACUUGGGUACUGAAAAAACUAGGGGAUGCAAAUCCUGAUCUAAAAUUAAAUAUCGGGGACUUUUGUGCUACGGUGUCCAGUGAUCAAGAUGACAACGGCACUCCUGUGACUCAAGGAGGGGCCACAUCAUAGUCCUGUUAUUCUGCUAUUAUCUAGAACUAUUAAGAGUUGGUUAUUUUGAACUUAAUCUAUGUAGUAUGGCAGAUUUGUUACUGUCUUAAGCCAUUGAAAGAUUCAGUACUUAGCUAUUUUGUUGGUUGUUGGGAUUGGUAGUUAGUUGGAUUUUGUGACUGUUGGUUUGGUAGAAGAUUAUGACAGGGUUGCUUUGUUGGUUGAUGGCUUGUUUAAUUAGGAAGGGAUUUAUGAAUGUCCAAAACUGCUAUUGCAAAAUUUUUAUAAAAAGUGUUGCAUUUUACUUUUUCCAGUGUUGCAAUUUUGAAUUUAUUUAGUGUUUCAUAUAUCAUUUAUCAGUGUUGCCAGUGUUGCAUAUUACAAUAUUUAGUGUUGCAAAAGCUAUGUGGGACCCACUAAAAAUUCGGAUCAUGUGGGGCCCAACUAUGACGUGGCAAGUGACUCAUCAAUGACAUGGCAAGUGACUCAUCAAUGACGUGGCAGAUGGACCCAGCUUACGUGCCAGGUGACGUGUCAGGAGGGACCCAGCUGACGUGGCAGAUGAAGUGGGACCCACCUUUGUUGCGUGUCCAUCUUUAGGGGCAACACCAAUAAGUGUUGCCUUUAUGAAAUUGGGGUGUUGCAUUAUAGGUAUAAUGCAAUGGAUAGUCGUGUUGCAUUAGAUAGCCAUAAGCGUUGCCUUAUAGGUCAAAGGCAAGGCUCGCAUAUGCAACGCUCAGGAAGUGUUGCAUAUCUCGAUUUCGUGCCUAAGGCAACACCAUUUGGGGUAUAAGGCAACACUCCUGAGCGUUGCAUAUGAGCACUUAUGGCGUAGUGGGGGAAGGGUAGACACUCCAAUGGUAUUAUGUAUAAUAUGAUAUCUAAAAUUAUACCUAAGAGGUUUGUUGGUUCAGCAAAUAUAGCCAAUCAAAAUAUGGUUAUCUAUAAUUUUUGCUAAGGGGAAUAUGGUUAGAGUCCAAAACUUUUACAUAUUCUCUAAAAAUUGACACCUAGAUGCCACCUAAGUGUCAUGUAGACAAUUUAGCUGAGGGUUUUGUUCCCUUACUCUUAGUGCCUAAAAGUUGUACUCCCUUUGUUCCAACCAUUUCUUUACACUUUUUUUUUGGAGUGUCUCAUCCAAUUCUUUAUAUUUUAAAACUUACCAAAAAUAGUCAAUGGGUCCCACCACUUCUCCACUUCUCUUUCUUUUUCACACUACUUUUACUCCACUAUCUCAUUUGUAUACAUUAACAAUCAAUGGGUCCCACCACUUUACCCACUAGUCUUUCUCUUUUCCACUACUUUAUAUAUAUUUCUUAGGAAAAUGCUAGAUGCACAAAAUUGGGUACAAAAACAUUCACAUAAUGAGUAUGUGUUAACUAUUGAUUGGAAUGGGCCCCCUAUAUAUGCAUAAUAGCACCAAUUAAAACUUUCCACCUCAGUUGUCAUCUCAUUUUGUGCAAAAUUCUGUAUCCAAUUUUGUGCAUGUAGCACUACUCUAUUUCUUAACCUCCGCGGCCAACUCAUUCGAUAAGAAAUAGGAGGGACGGAGGGAGUAUUAUUUUUCAAUGAACAAUUGCGUACUGUUUUGGGAGAGAAGAAAUACCAUCACUUAGCUAGAGUUAAAAAUGGGCGGGUUCGGAGUGGGGACUUUAUUUCCCAGCCCCACCUCAUAUAUAUUUUUCUUGUCCCGUCCCCUCCCCCGGGGAUAUAUUUUUAAUCUCCAUCUCAGCCCCACUAGAGAUUUAAUAUAAUUUCGCCCCGCCCCGCCCCGCCCCUGCUAUAUGUAAUACUACAUUUUAAAAAUUUACAUAAAAAUUUAGUAUCUUUUUCUUCGGAAUUUAAUAAAAAUAUACGAUACAUGCAUGUAUAUUAGAAGCAAAAAAACUAAAAAAAAUUCAUAAAUAGAAUAGAAAUCAAAGAGACAUGUUAUAUAUAUCUGUAGUACAAGUUGAUGUACUGUCUACUAGUUGUAAAGUUAUAGUUUUGUGUAUUAUAAAAUAAUAAUAUUAAAUAUAACAAAUAAAUUAUAUUAAAUAUAAUAAAUAUAUAAUAUAUUAAAUAUAAUAAAUAUAUUAUAUUAAAUAUUUUUAUUUAUUUAUAUUAGAUAUAUGCGAGGCGGAGCGAAGAAUCCGCGCAGGAAUUCAACAUAUAUCAUACUUACCCCAGAUUUCGGCGGGGUAAAAAAAUAUUCCCCAUCACUACCCCAUUCCCCAUAUUAGCGGUGCAGAUCUGCCCCAUUCGGGACGAGUUGAGGCGGAUUUCCCAUUUUUCCCACCCCAUUUUUAACCCUACACUGAGCACUUUCAACUCAUUAAGGGAGCGGAACAAUGAUAAGAUAAAGCUUAUUUGAUCUCCAUUAGUGUGAUUCAAGUUUAUUUGGUAUAGUGAUUCAUGUUCUUGACUUCUCCCAGGAAGUUCAUGUGUACGCCAAAACCAAAAUAUCACUUUUUAACUUUCUUUUGUACAAAAAUAUCAUUUUUACACAUAUGAUCAAAAAUAUAUAUUCUCAAAAUAGAUAUCAAAUAUAAAUUAAAAUUUUAAUUUUAAAAAAGACUAUUCGCAUUUUCAGAAUGGGUAACCGCAAUAUUCAUUCUAAGAAUAAUAACUUUUUCAAAAUUUUAUUUUUUAUCAUCAAAAAUAUCUCAUCAUAUAAAACAUCACACAAUGACCCAAACAUAUAUAGCACCGUUUAUUCAACACAUAAUACCAUCACCUACAUUAUCAAUUAUCCCUAAGAAAUUAUAAAUAUUAGAUAAUGAUAAAUCGGUCACCCAUUCUCAAAAUGAUAAUAAAUUAAUAGGAUUUUAUAUCAAAAGGGCCACUCAUUCCGCCCAAAAAUCUCACCUAGACCACCCAUUAAAAAAUCAUAUCAUUUAAACCACUAAAUUGAGUAUAUAUAUCAUUCUAUUUGAUGAUGUUAUGGUAAUUGAUAGAAAAUGUUAAGUUCUUAAACUUUCUGUCUCAAUUCAAAGUUGACGUGUUCAUCAACGUUGCUUCCGGCAUAUAUGCAUCCGACAUGGCGUCUAAAAAAAGAUAAAUUAAAUAGAUUAAUCGGGCCAACCUAAUAAAAAUGUAUAAGUAGAAUAAAAACCCUUAUUAAACUAUUCAUUCGGGAUAAAAUGAAUUUAGGAGGUCAUAAACUCGACCCCUCAAGUUUGAAUUGGGACGGAAAGUUUAAAAACUUAACGUUUUCCGUCAAUUACCAUGACGACAUCAAACGGAAUGGUAUAUAUACUCAAUUUAGUGUUUUAAAUGAUAUGGUUUUUAAAUGGGUGGUCUAGAUGAGAUUUUUGGACAAAAUGAGCGGUCCCUUACUCCCUUUGAUAUAAAACCCUAAAUUAAUAUUUAUAAUCAUUAGUUUUAAAAAUGGUAUGUAAAAUUAUGGUACUUUUGCGUUUUUUCUCUGGUUACUCGCUUAGUAUUAAGGCAGAAAAUGACUACUUUUAAGCGGAAGCAACCAGGGUGCAGCCCUACAGAGUCCCUUCCCUUGUUGAGUAUUACCUCUCGUCAUAAGUUUCUUAACACGAGAGACCAUUUGUGUGGAAUCUUUUAAUCAAUGGAUUGGGAUGUUUCUGUGCUGGAAAUUUCAAAUGGUUAAAGGGCUUGUGUUUUUGGUAUAAACCCAAUAUUCAAUCUUUCAUGUUUCUGCUCAUUAUUUUUAGUCAAGUUUGUUAUUUAUAUACUUUGUCUGUGUGUUUUAUUUACAAUUAUACGUAUCUCAUCUAAUUGGAACUUACAAAUAUUGUAGACAAAUUUACUAUCUUGCACCCAAAUUUCCUGAGAAUCUAAUUUUGAUGAAGGUGUACGCUGAGGUGUAUGAUAUGAUUGCCACAAAAAAAGGUUUUCAUCAAGAUCUGGUUUGGUGUUUGAUAACAGGUUUAUGUACGGUGGUUGUUCAUGGUAAAUUAUUCAGUUGUAUCUUUCGGACCAAUCAAUGGACGGAAUACAUUCACUUGUAAUAUUCGAGAGUUUGGUCUCUAGUAGCAAAUGUUAUGCAAGGAGGCGGUAAUCUAGAACAGAGAAUGGGGGCAUGGUCUAGAAGAAGGAAACAGGUGUGAGCGUUUCUUGUAAUUAGUUUAUAGUAGUGGUUUUAUUUGUUAAAUCCAGUCUGCUGUUUCACGAUACUAAAUCUACACAAAUCAUAUUUUGUUGCCAUGUUGGGAGUGUUAUUGAGUAUUGGUUACUUUCUGGAGUUCAACUUUCUGGUGUUCAACUUAUUUGAUAAAGAUAACAAAUAGGUCAUCAAUAUGGAUAAUCAAUAUAGAAAGACAAGUUUUUAAGGAACGAUAAUGCGAAAAUCUAAGACUUUGGGACUUGGAAGCAAACUUAAAUACAGCAUGGAUGGAAGUAUUUGCUUUGUACCAUGCAGUAGUUUUGAUCACAUAGUGCUAGCAGACCCAAUGUUGAACUUUUGGCGAUCCCUGCGGCACAUUGAGGCACUUUCAAUUUGUAAAUGUUACUGGUUCUAAACGAAUGUUUAAACAUAAUGAAUGUGGCUUUGGAAAGAUAAGCAUGCAUAGGUGCUAUUUAAAUCAUUUAAGAGAAAACCCAGACUUCCUAUAAUUUUGCUUUAUCAUUUCCUCCCUACUUGUCCUAGGAUUAGACUAAAUUACGCUACAUCUAGUUGUGAUUUCCAACAAAACAAAAAUUAAUAUAACUCUAGUAAACAAAAUCUACAAUCCUCCGAAGGGAAGAUUUACUUGUCAAUCAGAUAGUACGGGCAAAAAAUGAACAGAAAUCGCAAUGGAACUCGCCAACUCACCUGAAAUUACCCUAUUCCGCGGCAAAUCGCCCUUCUGUAGUGCUCACAAAAUUUUUAAAAUAAAAAAGAGACUUGGGUUGACAUUGGAAAAGAUAUAUGCUGAGGUGGACAGUCCGGAUAAGGUGAUGGGUUGGUGAGAUUUGCACCAUAUGACGACACAUGUUAGUAUAGAUAUACCCCUGCUACGACGGAUCAUUUGAGGUGGGCCGGAUCGAGAUCACUACGCUCAUGGCCUAUUACUUGACUAAUGACCGGAUAACGCUGAGGGAUUGAUAUAUAUUUUCAAAAAUACUAUGAUCCAUAUAUUAACUUAAUCGCAGAUUCACUUUUAUAUAUAUUGAAAAAGUUCAUGUAUAUGAGCAAGUUGUGACGGACACAAAAUUGGUAACUUUGCAAUUUAAUUUUGUCAUUUCCACGAGGUCAUUGGGGUCAAAUGUUUGUCCAUUUUUUACAAGAUUAAUAAUGCCUAGAUAUAAUUAGUGUGUAACACUAAAUACAACUGUCACUACUUGCUCACAUACUUGAACUAUUCAAUUAAAAUAUAAGUAAAUCUGCGAUUAAGUUAAUAUAUGGAUCAUAGUAUUUCUGAAAAUACAUAUCAGUUUCUCACGAUUAUCCGGUCAUUGGCCAUGUAAUAAGACUUUGGGGUAGUGAUCUCGAUCCGGCCCACCUCAAAUGAUCUGUGGUAGGGUAAAUUUAUACUAACACGUGUCAUCAUAUGGUACAAUCUCACCAACUCAUUACCAUAUCCUGACCGUCCAUCUCAUUACAUAUCAUUCCUAUGUCAACCCAGGUCCAUUUUUAAUUUAAGAAAUUUUGAGAGCACUGCUUGAGGGCGAUUUGCGGCGAACUAGGGUAAAUUUCAGGUGAGUUGGCGAGUACCAUUGCUGAUUCUGUUCAGUUUUUACCCGUAUAAUUUGAUUAACAAGUAAAUCUUCCCUUUAGAGGAUUGUAAAUUUUGUUUACCGGAGUGAUGUUAAUUUUUGUUUUGUUGGACAUCACAACUAGAUUUUAGCUUAAUUUAGUCCAAUCCUUCGACCGGUAGGAAGGAAUUGAUAAAGCAAAACUGUAAGAAGCCUUGGCUUUCUCUUGAAUAAUUUAAUAAAUAAAAAUUCAAUACUCCAAUUUUAUUCAUGUAAUAAGUAUAUUGAUUAAGUUUCUAAACCUGCUAGAUAGUGUGGUAAUAUUAAGUUUCUGAUCAGUUUUACUUGAUUGUUUCCUUUAAUUUACCGUUAAAUGUGAUAAAUUCUAAUACAUAUCAAUAUUAUCUUCUUUUUAUGAUAUCUUGACUUGUUGAGAUCAAUUAAGGAAAUAGCGGUGUAUGAUCUGACACUUGUAAAUAUUAAGGCAAUCAUUUUAUGGUUCUCACAUAUUUACUAGAUGUUUUUGAAGAACGUAAUUUGGUGCAGGAACAAAUUUGUGUGACAUGAUGUAUAGAAUUAAAAUAAUUUUGGUUAACUCCUCUUCUUCCCUGUGUCUUCUUCUGUUACUUAGCGGGUAUGUAAACCCGAAUUUACUUGAUGGUAGUGUGAAAUAGAACAUAAUCCUUAAUACACUAGCCGUGCUUCACAUUUCAUUGUAUCGCUUGUCUACUAAGAAUUAUAAUGUCUGUGAAUGCAAUUGUUUUUAUGAAUGAAACAUGCCAAGCUUUCGAGUAUGCAAAUUAAAUAAUUAUUUUGGGCUUACUAAUAGCUGCCCAAGUCAAGCUAAUGUUCUUCCAACUAGCAUAGCUUUCGUGACCUGUUAUUUAUUAAAGAAGUCCGUUGGUCCAAAGACUUCACAGUGUUGAUUGUUGCUUUAGUUAUAUUAGUCACUGUGAUACUCAGUAGACAGUAACAAACAUAACACCUGAGGAACUAGACAGCAUUUGGAGCAUGUACCACUUUUUUGACAUUUUGGAUUUCUGUGUGACCCUUUAAUCAGAAUUAUUGGAUGUCGUAUGCUUAGAAUUUUGGAUGCUAAUAUAAAACAAAAUGAAGACCGAAAAAAUAUGGUUUCAUGCUGUCAAAAGAUGUGGAUAGUAAAAAUCUUUUCUGUGGAUAUCCCUUUUUUUUUUGUACUUAUCCAUUUAAGUUGAAUUACUUCUACAAACUUGUAAGAGUAGUAGUAAAUGUCUGAAACAAGCACAAGGAAAGAUAUUUCCAGUCUGACUAUUAUGUAUUCUGUGGUUAUUAGGAACGACAAGAGCUUGAGAGAAUCAGCCCAUUUUUUCAACGAAGGCAGAAUGGAAAUGGUUGGAAAGCCUGCCUUGGGUGGAAUGGAAAAUGCAUUUUGUAAUAAUUUUCUGAGGCGGAUGGUUGAUUUUUUUGCGGGGCGGUUGAUAAUUCACCAUUUCUGGUAACUAUGUUCUGAAUUUGCUCUAUAUAAAUAUUAUAAGUUGUGUCUCGAAGUUUUGGAGUUCCUGGUUUGGGGCAUCUAAUCCUUACGUAGUAACAAUCAAAAGUGCGGGCGACUUAACCUAAUUUAAUUAAUAUUAAGGCCACAAAUUCCAAGAAGUGCAUGUAUACAGCAAAUCAAUGCAUAAGCCCUCCUUGGAAGGGGGGAGAUAAAGUCUUGGCUAAAUUUUAAGUGAAUAAGAGCAUGUCCAAUGGUUGUGCUAAAAUAGAUGGAGUUAUUGCUAUGAUUUGGCAUUGAAAAGUGAUUUAGUGCUAAAAUAGCACCAUGUCUCCAACGGUUGGUUUCAAUUCUUGUUUCAAAUUUAAAAUUCUUCAAAUACAUCCCACUUUAGAAUAUAAAUAUAACUAACUUUCAAAGACCCCACACUUUCAAGUACUUUUUUAUACAUCUUUUCAUCAUUUUAUUCUUUAGCAAUUAUAGCUCCCUCUAUCUUUUGUUCUAAAUAUUGAACAAACUAUAGCAUUGUUCUAUUUUAGAACAAGAUAUAGAACACCAUUGAUGUAGGGAAUUUUAGUUUUUGUUCUAUAAUAUAGACAUAGAACAAUAUAAAGAACACCAUUGGACUUGCCCUAAGGAAAUCUACUAAAAACAUGGAAUAUACCUCGCUCAUUGUCUACUAAAACUUUAAUCUAAAUGUUCCCUACUUUCUCUUGAAGUAUGCAUUGCGUAUAUAGUUGUGCCUUUGUGAACUAGACUGCUAUCGUAAAAGUUUCAUAUGCCAGUUGGAGCUUGAUUCUAAAUUUUCCAACUGGCCUCCCAGUUCCUUUAUCAAGUUCCCGGGAAGUUAAAAAAUAUGUUUGGUGGUGGUGUAGGAAUUUGCAGUGCCGGGGUGUGACAUAAGCAAGUGUCUACAUUAUGUGGAAAUUCCAAUUUACUAGGAGGUUCCACUUUCCAUAUAGCGGUCAACCAAAAAAUCUUACAAUUUGCUAGGAAGUUUAAAUUCCUGGAGAUUUACAUGUUAACCAAACUACCUCUUAUAAAUCUAGUUAUGGUUCAUUAGGAUGAUUGCAUUCUUACUGGGGAACGUUGAAGUUCUCAUUUUGGAAAGAUGUUGAGUAUGCAUACCCUUUAUCCAGUUCUGAUUAAUAUUUUCGAUUUUAGUGGCCUUAACAUAAACUAUGCGCUAAUUUGCAUUUUAAUAUGUAAACCUUCAGUAAAUUAGCUUCCAGUAAGCUUUAUUAUCUUCUAAUGUCUAGCUGCAGAACUUUUUACUGUACUGGCAAAAGGAACAAUCCUACUCUAGUUUCUCCUCUAUGUGUUAAGUUAUUUUAAAUCUUGCAAAGGAUGAAUCUGUCCUUAAGAAACAUCUGUAAAAGUAAUGCAUUCUGUUUUCAACAAACUACUGACUCUUUCUAAAUAAAAUUCAUUUGAAUGUGCAUGCUCAAUCUAGCUUUGUGGUGAGUUCUUCGUUUCCCUAUUUGUUAACAGGCAUGCUCCGCGACCAGUAAAACAAGGAAGAGAACGGAAAAGGAUAUGCAGGAGAUCGGGUGACACAGUUUCGGGAGCAUGGGGCAUUCUUCCAACUGAACUUCUGGUGUCAAUUCUGCUAAAAUUAAGUAUCGUGGACUACCUGUCAUUUAGCGGUGUUUGUAAAUCUUGGAGGUCUGCAUCUAUUGAUUUCCGCAAAUAUUGUAUGGAGCACCAGCAACCCCUAAUUGUUGUUCGGCCUAAGUAUUCAAAAAAGUCUUGUGUAUUGUACAAUAUGUUCGAUAUGAAAAGUUACAAAACAAUGCUGCCAGAUUUGCCUUGCAAGAAAUUAUUGGGUUUGUCAUGUGGGUACCUGAUUACAAUCGACAGAAACCUAGGCUUUUGGCUCGUAAAUUUAAUGACAAAACAUGAGCUGCGUUUUCCCUUCCUUCGUGGUAUGGGUGACAGAAAUUUCUUUGAAUUUUCUGCUCGCCUCUUUCGGUCCACUCGGCUUUCAGAAACUUUCAUGAUUCUUUUCUCUCUGAGAACAAAUUAUAUUUUUUUAUCCAAAAGUGGCGGCAGCAGUUGGCAAAGAUAUGUUUUAUUCGACACAAAAGCCAGGAUUGCAGAUGUGAAGAUUUUUUAUGGCAAAAUCUUUGUUUUGACUUCAGAUGCACGUUUGGGAGAAUUUAAUCCGAAGGCAGGUUCUGUUCCGAAGUUCUCCAAAAUCAGCAUCCCUUUUCAGGUUUCAUCUAAUAUGUAUGUGAAGUUGGUAGCGUCAGACAAUAAGCUAUACAUGACUGUAUUGAAUAAUCAUCCUUAUCCUGGAUUGGACCAAUAUCUUUCAUUAUUCGAAAUUGACCAUGAGACAAUGGAUAGAGCAAAGCAGAUUCAUGACUUGGGUGCAAAAUCUUUAUUUCUUAGUUGGUUCAGUUCUGCUGUCGUCGAUACAACUGGUUGGGGAGCAGGUAACUGUGUUUGUCUUCUUCAGUUCAGAUUUUUGAAUGCUUGUUCUUUCUUUAACCUGAAUGGAAAUUGGCUAGGAACAACUCCUGUUGUUUGGGAUGGUUAUUUUUUACCAUAUUUUUGGUAUUUUCCUAGUGAAAUUUGGUCAGUAAGUUGUGUCAGUGAUGAGUUUGGCGCGUGAUGACUUCUAAAUCUCAUGUCAGUUUUUUCCAUUAAGUCUGUAGUUUUUAUCUUCAUCUUACAUUAUGAAACUUUGAACUUGUCCCAUUAUGAAAACUUUUAUACAUUGAUGCUAUAAUGUUUGCCUUAAAGGCACCAGAACUCAAAUGUCAUUCUCUGUGUUUCUUAUUGGCACCAUGUUUGUUCCGUUGUUCGUGUAUAAUACAGAUUCUUAGGAAAAAGUUUCCCAAUUUGAAGCUGCAGUUCAAUAAGCAAACUUUAAUUUAUAGAUGAUUACAUUAUUUCUGAAUUAUUAUAGUGACAAAUAGAUAUGUUAAUUUUCAAGAAGGAGCUACAGUUUCUUCCAUCUCUUUUUCCUUCCAGAUCUUUGCAUGUCCAACUCUUUUUCCAGCUGCUGUGUCAUCAAGUGCUAUGCUUACUUGAACAAACUCCUUAAUUUCUGAAUGGAGGGCCUCUAAAUCUGUCCAUCCAGACAAACUCCUCUUGUUCAAAUUAAAUGAGUCCUGGCAAAACUAUUCUUGUUCAGCUUUACAACCAUAUCCAGACUUUCCAAUGGAGAUUGUAUCUCUUCACAAGUGCAUUCUAGAUUCAUAUGUAUAGUCUACUGCAUAGUCUAAUUGGAGAUUGUAUCUCUUCAUAAGUGCAUUCUAGAUUCAUAUGUAUAGUCUACUGUACAGUCUAAUUGAUCGAUUUUUUUUAAUAAGCCGGACAAAAAGAUAUAUUAUGCCGGAACCUUUAUCAGAUCAUCACUUGUGCGGUUUUCACAAUCCUACAAGAUGAUUUGAAUACAUUAAGUCCACCCACCAUUUAUUUUUUGCAGAUUUAUCUUCUACUUCUUUCUCAUUCUCUGCAAUAGUCUAAGCUCUAGUUUAUCUUGUAUAUCUUAUUUUAAAUGGGCAAGGAGCAUUGCUUCUCCACUUCUAUAAAGAUUACAUCCAUCUUUUGCUUUGUUUUCUGAUUCAAUUUUCAAAGAUGACAUUCAUGACUCAGUAACAGCCAAACUCGCAAAUCUUUUGAGUCAUCAUGAGCAAGUUCUGAAAAGUUCUCUCUGGAAGAAGUAGUAUUUGUUUGUUCCUGCCGAGUUGAACUCAUGGCAGAAGUUUGCGGUUAAUUUAAAAAUUUUCAGACCUUUACAUGUUGGGAGUGCUUACAGUGUUGUCCUCAUUCAGUAUUUGGAUCUCUGUUUCUCAAAUUCGCCUCCUGUUUGUAUUACGAUUACAGUCUUUUUCUAGGAAUCGCUUCGAAGGGAGUAGCCCCAUUACGCCUUUCCAUGAUUUUAAAAAGAAAUCAUCCCAAUAUCCUAACACCAUAGAGGAUUUGAGGUUAGUCGUGAGUGCUACAUGUCUGGAGAAAUAACAGAAAAUAAGUUGUAUCGCUAGUAAAAUAUGAUGUGGGUAUUUGGCUGACAAAGAAGUUGGUUUUUUUUGUUUUUAAGCUAGCUUCUGCUUUUGCAUGACCGUUUGGCAUAUAAGUUUCAUGGGCUUAUUGUGGAUUCUGUGGAGGGAAGCAAGAAGCUUCAAUGUGUAGCUUUUUUCUCUUGCCACAGUUGUUUAUUUGUUUAAUCAUCCAAACACUUAAUCAAUUUAUAAGCUUAUGACUACUUAUCACUUACAAUUCACUUCUUCACCUUAAGCAAUAAGUAACUUUUUUUAAGUUAAGCUAAACGACCCCAACAUAUACUCUAAGAGCAACUCCAAUGCAAUGCUAUACUUGGUUCUAUUGUUAUAUUAUAGCAUCAAAAGUAAAAAAAACUCAACUCCAAAGGGGUGCUAUAUUUGGAUGCAUCCAUGCAUAGAUGCAUCCUUGGUUUUAUAUUUGAAACCAAGGAUGGAUCCAUCCAUGUUGUCAAGGGGAGAAUUUGUUGAGAUAUUUAAUAAAAUUUAUAGAAGUUAGAUAAAAGUUAAUGAGUUGGUUAAAUUUGAAAUUAGUUAUAGAACUUAGCAUUGGAAUGCAAGUUUUAUUUUAACACCAAAAAACACUUUUUGGUGUUAUAUUAUAGCAAUAACAAUAAAUAUAUAGCAUAUAGCAUUAUACUUGCUCUAAGUAAUUCAACCAAAUCUCAUUUGAACUCUAGAAUGCAAGUCGCUGGUAUUGUUGUAAACGCUAGAUCACACAGUUGGUAAUUCUUCAGUGUAGAUCUUGGUCCCAAAAAAAAUCUAAGAUUUCCAAGGGAAGCAAAAAAUGGUGUGAACUGUGAAGUAAACAAUAGAGCUGUACAGUGAGAUGUAUGAUUACAAGCAACACCUUGCUUGGACAAAAUGCAUGUAAGCGACAUCUAUGGUGCUUGCCUUCUCUACAUUGGUGUCUACCCCUUAGUUCUAUAUAAAUAGAUUUGUAAUCCGAGUCGCGCGGCUAGCGAACUCGCUUGGUUCGAAGUCAUUUACUCCCUCCUUCCCACCCAAUUCUUUACACUAGAUUUGGGUACGGAAGUUAAGAAAUAUGUAUAAAGUAAUGAAAAAGAGUAAGAAAAGUGGGUGAAGUGGUGGGACUCACUGAUUCUUAAUAUAUAAAAGAAAGAUGGUGGAAUAAAAGUAGUGUGAAUAGGGAGAUGUGAAAAAGUAGUGGGAUCCAUUAAUUAUUUUAAGAAAAUUUUGUAAUGUAAAAAAAUAAGUGGACAACCAAAUAAGGAAACUGUAAAAAAUCUGAUGAGAUGGAGGGAGUACCAAGUUUGACACACUAUCAGCAGCUGCAUUGUGGCAAUAUCAGACACGACCCGAACCCCGACACGAACCCGACCCAACUCGAAACCCGAUUUACUGAGACAGAAACCCAAAAAUGAGAGAUGGAGGGAGUACCAAGUUUGACACACUAUCAGCAGCUGCAUUGUGGCAAUAUCAGACACGACCCGAAACCCGACACGAACCCGACCCAACUCGAAACCCGAUUUACUGAGACAGAAACCCAAAAAUGACCCGAAAAUCACCCGAUUGACCCGAAAUGACCCGAAAUUAGAAUUUCAUUUCUAAUAACUUCAAUUUUCAGUUUUAUUCAAUUUCAAGUGAUUUUAGCUUGACCCAAAAUCGACACGAUUGCUGACACGAACACGACCCGUUACCCGAAAUUGCCACCCCAAGGAGGGGUAUAUUCAUCUGGUCAAACUAAUACUUCGUACUGCUUCCGUUAUUUAAUACUUAGGUUGACUUUUUGAUACACUGAAAUUUCUUGAUUUUAAAAAGCGGACAAAAAUAAUGAAUGUGUAUAAUUCCGAUAUUAUACUUCUUUCAUCAUAUUUUAACUAAUGCAAUAUUUGUUUUAACACAACAUAUUAAGUUGUAAAAUAUAAUAAUCAUGCUUAGCACAUAUUUUAAUUCUUAUAUUAAAUUAAUAUUUAGACUUGAAAUUUUUAUUUGAUAUGUUCUACAAAAUAUAAUAAAAUUUAUUUGAAGAAAUUUUUUAAUAGUUUUAGAAAAGUUUGGGUGAUAAAAAAUUGAGGGUGAAAUCUAAAAAUAAAGAAGAAGACAUAAAAAUGAUUGUGACUACAGCUGUAAACGAACCGAGCUAGUGGUCAACAAACUCGACUCGACUCGGUAAGAAGCUUGCCUCAGUUCGCCUCGGCUCGUUAACGAGCUCGAGUUCAAACAACCAAACCUAUUCGAUUAGCUUAACGAGUCGAUUGUUAAGUCGAUCCGAGCUUUUUACAUGUCUGACUCGACUCGACUCGAUUUUGACUCGAACUCGAGUACGACUCUUUAAACUCGAACUCGGCUCGAUAAGUUAUAUACAUUAAAAAAGAUAAUCUUAUUUAUAUUAUUUAAAGAAUGGAUUAACAAUAUGACUUUUGGUUUUUGUUCCUAUUAUUUUAAACUUUCAAUUUUUAUUAUUUUUUAAGUGUGUAGACAAAAUCAAAGCAAAAAAUGGAAAAAAGUUGAAAUUACUAUUGAUCGGCUUGGUUUCGACUCGCCUCGGUACGUUAAGAGAACUCGAACUCGAUUCAGUCGUUACCGAACUCGAGUUCGGACCAAGAAAAAAGAUCGAUAAGAUCAUCGAGUUUGGCUCGACUCGGUUAAAAAAAGCUCAACUCAAAAUCGAACUCGGUAAAACUCGACCCGGCUCGAUUACUUUACGGUCCUAAUUCUAAUAGACGGAGAUAUGAAAUAUUUUUCUGAAUUCCUUAUAUUUUCUUUUCUUACUAUAAACAGCUAUUUGAAAUUAAAUUAAAAAGAAAAAUCAGUAUUUUUGUUUCUAUCCACCCAAAUGAUCAAAAUAUAAAACACAUAAAAUACACGUAAUCUAAGUAGAUAACAAACUACAACAAGUUCAUGAUAUUUUACUAACUAGAUUGAGACUUUAAAAAAGAAAAACUGAAAUGCAAGAUCUCCCGUAUUUUAAGAUUAUGGGCAUCCGAGAAACUUUGAGUUGGAUCAAAUGUAGUGGUUGAAACAGACUGCUUAGUUGCAGUCCAAGCAGUUCGAAGUGAAGCCGCAAUGAUCUUAUACUUUGGUUCUUUAGUUCAGGAAUGCAGAGAGUUGUUGAGGUAUGCGAAAGACAAAGGUGUAAUCCUUAGGUUUGUUAAGCGAUCUGCGAAUAACUUAGCUCAUGCUCUAGCUAGCUGUAGUUAUUUUGUGGCUGACCGCAUCUGGAAGGCAAAUGAAGCCUACCCAGAAAUUAUUCAUGUACUCAAAAAUGAUUUGAUUUAAUGAAUGUUCAUUCCUCUGUUGACAAAAAAAAAAUGUUAUAAUAGACAGUUAUGCAGCUUGCAAGCCCCAAAUUCAAGUCAUUAAUUCAUUACAAUCUCUGGUCACAAAACAUGAAGAAAAGUGUACCCAGUAAAAAAGAAACAUUAUAAAAAUAUAAAACAAUAGAAGAGUUUCCUUAAAACUUAAUGUUCUCUCUAGUGACUAGCACAUAGUCAUCGCACUUUCUGCUCAAAUAUAUUAAAAUAUUACUUACACACAUAAAGCAAUAGAUGCCUACAUUACAGAUACAAUGUACAAUGUACACACAUUAAUGCACAAAGUAUAACACAUCAAUCCAGUAUAUCUCUAUUCUCUGCCAUUAUAGAAAAAGUAAGUUAGCCUAUAACAAAUCACACCACUCUUUUUCAUUUUUUUUCUUUUCAAUUCAUUCAAUUUUUGAAGCUCACAAAACAAAUUUCUCAUCACAAAGUUAAACACUUUUCUCGGCUAUGUUCGAGUUUUUUCGUAUAUUCUUAUAAAUUUAGUUUCAUGACAAAGAUUAAUAUUUUCAAACAUAUAAUAAUAAUUUUUUUCAAAAUUAAAUUUUCAAUUCUUUUCAAUUAUUAAUUGAAAUAUUUCAAAAUAUAACAUAGUCAUUUACUUAUAUAUAAUCUUUAUUUUGUCAAUUGAAAUAUUAUAUUCCAUCAACACAUUUAUUUAUAAGGAUGACAUAAAUCAGUACUCAAAUCAUUAAUAUUUAAUAUAUAUUAAAUACCCCAUCUCAAUUUUUUGGAUCAAAUGAAAUCUCAUUAAUAAAUUAAAAUCUUUUUUUUUGAAAGAAAAAUAUAUCUAUAAUUCUAUAUUUAAUUAUCCGUAGAUAUGUGUUGUUUUGUGAGGGGAAAUAUAUUACCGAACUCAAACUGUCAUAUAAUACACAUAGCUAUACAUACAAAAACAUUAAUUGCUACUACACUUCCCUUUAAACGAGAGAGAGAGACAGAGAGAGAGAGACAGCAAUGUCAUCAGCAGAGGUGGAGGUGGCAGUGCAAAUCGAGCAGCGGCGGCGGCACCGGAGGUGGACCCACACGCCGCAGAUCACAUUCAGCAGUGGUGGGACCACAACAGACGGGAGUGUGUAUUUCUCUGAUUCAGAGGAGGAGGAGAAUGGGGGGGAAUGUGGGGUGUCAGGAGGGGAUGAGGAGGAGGAGGUGGAUUUGGAGAGUGGGGAAUUGGAGAGGAAAGUGCAUAGUUAUUAUAGGAAUAAGAGGAGGAGGAGGAGGAAGAAGAAGAAGAGAGAUGGGGAGGAGAGAGAUGAGGGGGGGAGAGAGUGUAGGAUUUGUCAUUUGGAUGUCAUGGAGAGAGACAAUGGAGGUGGAGAGAUGGUGGAGGAGGAGGGUGAGAAUGGUGGUGGGUAUAUACAGUUGGGAUGUGAUUGUAAAGGUGAUUUGGGUGCUGCUCAUAAGAGAUGUGCUGAAACUUGGUUCAAGAUUAGGGGCAAUAUGUCAGUCUCUCUCUCUCUCUCCCUCUCUCUCCCUCUCCAUAAAGAUCAAUCCCUUAAAUUUGUAUAUGUGUGUUAAAUAGUUCUAAUUGUGAUGUUAGUUUAGGAAAUGUGGUGUUCUUUUUGUGUUAAUUGUGAUUUGUGAGUCCUUUUUCUGAUAAAUUCAUGUUUGUGAAUGUGUGUUUUCUUGAACAGUACUAAAUUUGAUGUUCAUUUGAAAAAAGGUGGAAUCUUGUGAAUUGAUUGAUUCAAAAUCUUUCUUAUGUAAUGUGUGUUCUGUUUAGUACUGAUACUAACGUUAAUUUAGGAAAAUGUGGUAAUCUGUGAGUUCUUUUGUGAUUUCAAUCUAUGUUAUGUAUACAUUGUGAGUUACUGUGCAUAAUUCUGAUUUUAAUGUUAGUUUAGGAAAGGUUUUUUUUUGGGCCGAAUAGUGCUGAUUUUAGUCGUUCCUGUUUAUGUAUAUGUUUUUGAUUAAGACUUUGCUCCCAUAUUUGUUUUUCUAAUUGAGAAGUAAGAAUUCCUUGAGUGUUAAGUUAGAAAUGUGGUCACUCAAGAAUUGAUUUCUAUGUUUGUGAUCAAGUACUUGCGCCCUUUUUUCUGUUUGCAAUCCAGUAUUUGUGAAUAUAGGAGAAAGUUUUUUCUUUUUAGAAGACUUUUUUGUUGUUGUAAAAUUUACCUUUUCUUUCUGAAGUUAGCUGCAAAAAUCUGUAGAAGAUGAUUUAAAAGCAUACUUUUCACUCCUAAUGCUUCUAUGGUUUUUUUUUAGUUUUACUUACGGGUAUCCUAUUCUAAUCGUGGAUUUUUGAGUACCCUUUCCCCCUUUGUUCUGGUUUCUUCAAAGGUGUUUGCAACUAAUAUUACUCAUAUAGAUUGAUGCUUUUUUGUUUUUUUGUUCAUAAUGUGCAUUAUAUAUGUGUGUUCCUAUUAGAUUGCUCAUUGUCGUGUUUUCUAAGUUUUUAACCUUUCCUGGCUAUCUACUUCUUAGGGUAUAUUAGCUAAGCUAAACUAGUUCAGUCUCAGCUAAAAUUAAGCAACCAUAGUUCUUAAUCCACCUCUUUUGCAUGGCACAUGAAAUUUAUGAGUUCAAAUCAUUAGUACAGUUUUGUUUUUAUGCCACAAGUUAAGUAACAGCUAUCCUUUUCCAGCUUUUGUAAUUUUAUGGUACUUUACAGCCAUUCUCAGGCAUUAUUUUCACCAGCCAAAAAAUCCUUAUGAGACUAGUUUAACCUGUUGUUCUUCCAUUUUUUGCACAAGUAUAACUUCAACUUCUGUUAUUCACUUCAUUUUUUUUUUAAUCUAUCUGCCAAUUGAUUUUGUUUUAGUUUAUUUUUGGUUAGGAUCAAUCACAGAAAUUUUAAAUACUCAUGCAAGCAUAGCUUUACUGAGGCCUGAACCCCUGACAUCUCAUUUGAAACCAUUUUUCAGAACAUUUAUGUCUUGCUGCUGUUCCCAUAAAUCAAUAAACUUUGUAGGAUCCAGGUGCAACUUGAGUUGUAUGAGUGUGAUGCAAGUUUGUAGUGAGAGCUAAACAAGUUUCAUUAGAUCAGAGUUAACAUGCCCUUCAUUCUGAAAAAUAAAUUUUGUUGCUUUACUUCAGUUUAUACUGGCCAUUGCCUGGAAUCUGAUCGGUACACUGACUCACUUCAGUAGAUUCCAAGCAUAUGGAUCCGUUUUUUACCCAUGUGUCUCUCCAUUCUGCUUGUGCAUUUUCUUCUGUAUACAUUCUUUUGCCAGUUUUUCAAAUUUUAUGUUUUUUUAGUUAAACUUUGUAGAAUUGUCCAACCAUAUACAAACACAUUCUUGCCAGAGCAUAUUUUCUAGUCACUCUUGAUGUGCUAAAUAUAUAUACACGCACAGAGAAUGUAAUGUUAGACAAAACCUCUUGUCCUAAUUGCAAGAACAAGAGUACAUAAUUGAACUGAAAUAUUAAAAUAAUGCACAUAGGUACAUAGUUAUAUUUGGCUGGAUUCAGAGUUUCCUUUUUCGUAAUAUAAAGGUGUGUGUGCAUCCUGACCCAUCAAGAAGAAAGUCUAACUUUUCAUCUUGCCUGUGUCUCUACAAGUGUGUCUCGCAGGAAGUCUAUCCUAUUGAUCUGCUAUAAUUCAAUCAACUUGUUGUUUUAUUAAGUGGCUUAAUGUAGGCUCUAGAUCUAAAAUGUCAUCAGAUUAUAUAAAUCUUGUUGUAGUUCAUUAUGAAGUUAUGAUUCUGUUCCAGAGCAGUAUAGGUGCACUACUGGGAUUAAGUUAGUUUAAUUGAGCACUCUCUUGUACAAAACAAUGUAGGUGCACUGUUUGAAUUUGUUGAAACUUGAAAGUAUAAGUUCCAUUUACCAACACAUCAUGUUUUUGAAAAAGUUAGUCACCUAGCAUUCCUCUGACCCCCAAAUUUAUCAAAUUGUGGAUAUUUAUUUCUCCUUGUGAGAUUGUAUCCCUUAAUGGGAUCCUUUCAUGGUGCAAGUGACAGAAGUAACUUGAUUAUGUUAGUGGGUGGAAAAGGAGCUUACUCAGGCUCCUGCAGUAGUAAUGGUCCAGGCAAUGCUAAAUUUAUGCAGCCUUACCUUCUCUUUUAGAGUGGAUAUAACAAAAAAAAGAGGAAGCUCUAGAUUAUCCAAGUAAACAGAAAAUCUAACUGUAGGUCCCGUCUUUGUUCUGACUCCUGAUCACCGCCAUUAUUUCAUACUGCAAUUUAUUACUUUUUUUUUAUAGCUGAGCGGGUACCUCUCUCCUCUCGGAUAAGAAAUAGAUAAUUGAUGUUGGCAUAAUUUUCUUCAUUUUAACUUUCUGUUUUCUAUCUCGUAUUCGAUUAACAAGUUACUGAAAAAUAUAAUAAUUUAAAGGAAUUUAGCUUGCUGCCUUGUGUUUAAUUGCUGCCUGAAAAUCCUGAUUUUUUUGCAGAAUUUGUGAGAUAUGUGGUGCUAUUGCGCUCAAUGUUGCUUCUGAACAGAUGAUUGAGGCACUCAAUGUUUCCGUUGAGCAGACAAAUUUGGCAAACUACACUGAUGGACCUGUGACAGAAGUAAACGCGGCACCUGAGGUCGUUUCUGGUUCUCGAUUCUUUGAUGGUCGCCGACUUAUGAACGUUCUGCUAGUCUGCAUGAUUGUCGCUUUUAUCAUAUCCUGGCUUUUUCACUUCCAUGUUUUUCACUAAAUUUUAUAGAAUGAUUUAUCCUCUUAAAUCCUAAGGAAGAACUCCCAAUUUAAAUGUCUAUAUCCAAUAUGGUAGCUGAGUUAUAGAAGUAUUACAAAUGCUUUAAUUUUAUAGAAUGGUGUAUCCUACUUUGGAUUUUAUGACAAAAUUUUGGGUUAUAUCAGAGCACUGGCACUCCAUUAUUAUGUGAAUUUGGGCCCUCCUAGUGCAGAUGGACCAUUUACCUUUCUGCAACUUAUUAGAUAACUACCAGUUUUUCCAGGACAGCCUUUCAAACCUCUUUUAUUUUGUAUGUUAGGUAUGUUUCAUUGCCUUGGAUUUUAAAGUAUGUGGGGAUGGUGUGUGACAGUGUGAGAAACCCAUACCUUGCGGUCUUGAGUGAAGGAGACGGAGUCUGGCACUCUUAGUCUCUUACCAUUAAAGAAUCCUCACUGUUUCAAAAACAAUGUCCCAUUUCAAAGUUCGUGUAUACUGAAAACCUUUCUUCUGCACUGUUAUUUUCAUCCGACACAGAUAUGAACAUGUUUGUUGAAUCGGAAGGAUGCUUGUGUUUGAAGUGUGUGGAUAUAUUUAUCAAAUGAAAAACAUCGUCCCCAAUAAAGAAAGGGAAAUAAAUUUUGAUUCUUUUAAGCAAUGUUUUAUAGAACUGGGCAAUGGGUGCCAACAUGAGUAUUAAUGAUUAAUUUUCAACAUAACAGAGGAGACAAAAUGGUAAGCAAGCUGAUAAAAGUUCCUCAUUGAUCCGUAUUCAUUGAUGCUUCUAAUGCUGGCAAAUCAUCAUUAAAUCCUGGCAUGAAUUUAUCAAUAUUUUAUUUGCAGGGACUCCUGCAGAUUCAGAAACAAGAGACACCGCCAAAAUAAAUAGCCUUAAAUAACAAGAAUUAAAUGAAUAAAAACGUUGCUGUGUUAUUAAGAAUGGAACGAUAGGAUAUAAAUAAAUUUGAUCAGCUGAGAAAAAUGAGAACAAAACGGGAUUCUACUCAGUUUUCCUUGACACCCAUAGAAAAAUCAUUUGUUGAUGGAUACUAUACUUAAGCAACUAGCAGUCGUAAAACUUGUGUCGUAUCUUAUAGCACAUAGAAUUCACCAAAGAACAAGCCCAGCAAGUAGUGCAAGUCAAAAACAUUUUUCUUCCAUACGGCGCAGAUCUAUAAUUCAAAUUUUGAAGAAACACUAUACAAAUUUUCAGAAAACAUCUGUAUAUUUUCAAAUUUUCUGGGAGCAAUUAUGUAAUUUUGCAAAACUUAAAAUGGUGACAAAAUGUCAAAAUUUUUUUAAUGAAAAACGCAUGUCUUCAUGUGCCUCUUAUUAGAUUUGCUCCUGCUUUCGUGCAAAGGGUAAGGCUGAAAAGAUAACAUAUGUUGAGAACGGCAUUACCAAGGUAAAUAAGCCCGGAGGCAAAAACUUCGAGUAGUGAAAUUACUGAUAUUGAGGUGCUUUUCUUGCUUUUCAACCCAGGAAUGGUGUUAAAUUGCCUCAGAUUUCUACAUAUUAGGCCCACUGAGAAAUAAAUUUAAAGCUUCAGAGUUGUCUAUGCAUGGUCUUGACCUUAGAACGUGCUUUAAUUGUGAGAGAAUAGCUUUAUGCUUACAGAUUUAUAAAUAGCAAAGUCCUCGGCUUGUAUUCAGUGUAGGGUACAUGGUAAGAACAGAUGGACUCCGUGAAACACACAAUACAGGACUCGGCUGAUAACUUGUAGUCUCCCGGGUUAUAUGUUAAAACCUUGCUACCACAACAUUCUAAAAGAAAUUAUCUCAACACCAAGAUUAUGGUACAUGAAACUUAGGGGGGUGCGCAUUGCAAUUAUACCAACUCCCGGGUGCGGUUUGAGUUUUCCAAAGUAAUGGUAUAAUAUCAUUUUUGAACAAUAGUUAGGGGGUGCGCAUUGCAAUUACCUCUUAAAUUUCUUGCCCUGUGAAUCCAUUCUGCAAUCUCCGAAUGAGAGGGUGUAUUAAAACUAUGUGAUCAAGUCUUUCUACUAAUGCCUUCAAUUUCUAGGAAAUCUGAUGGUAAACAGCACUAGCUAGUAAUCAAGAGGGAAAGAAAGCACAAGCUUCUUUACCAAUAGUAUUAGCCCCAGCAUCUGAGGAAUGCUGUAUCUGCAAAAUGUCACUCUUGGACCGCAAAACAUAGGCCAUACCAGCAUGCUUAUUAAUCUACUGAUUAUAGCGUAAAGUAGCUAUAUCCAAAUAUCCAGAAGCAAACAUAGAUAUUAGAUAGGAAUGAGUGAGAGACUCUUGGUUGAGGGAGAAGCGGAGAGUGAUCUUCAUCAGUGAAUGAAAAUGUGGAAGCUGAUGCAUCCUCUGCUCACCCAUGUUCCAUCUUCUUCCACUGCGUUUAUUUAGUUAUAUUUCACCCGAUUAUAAUAGAAAGGUUUUAUUUGACAAAACAUCUUUAUUUGAAAUUGUUAUAAAUAACUUUUUUCAAUUUUUGUAUAUACAAGAUAUUUAAUUAAGCUAAACAUAUAGUUUAGAGAAAAUUGAAAUUGACACAAUUAUCAUAUUUUUUUUAUAUAUUUGUGAUAAAAUCACGUUCCAAAUUGAUGAUCAAAAUAUCAUCCUAAUUUCUAAUAUCCUUUUGAGAGUGAAUCGUCUUAUCUGUGUUUACAAUUUAUAAGCGGAUCAACACAAUCUAAUGUAAAAUAGAAAUCAAUUUGUGCUACAAAUAAAAAUUACGGAAAUUAUAUAAAAAAUUCAACUGUAACGAGACAUUGUUAUUUUUUAUUAUUUUAUUCAAAAAUCUAAUGUUUUUAAUUCAACAUCCCUGAUGGAUUAUAUUUGACUAACCUCUAAAAACUUAUAAGUAAAUUCAAUAUAUAUUAUUAUAUUAAAAUUUUAUUUUUGAUAAUUUGAAAUAAUAAUAAUAAUAAUAAUAUACAGUUUUGAAAUAUGGUCAGUUAAUAUAGUUAAUAACAUCAAAAUAAAAUAUCCUAUUGGUCCAGAUAUUAUUAUAUAUAAAAACUAGAGGUAGAAUUCUAUUCUAUUAGUUAGUAUCAAUGUUGUGAAAUGCGAAAAUUAGAAUAAAUUGAUGAAAAUAUAAAAUUAAAAUUAAUCAUGUAUCAAUUAAAUUAAUUGAGCAUUAUUCAAAUGAUUAUUUAAGUAAUUAGAUAUUUUAUUAUUUCGACAAGUUACAAAACAUAGAAUAAUUUUGGUGAACUAUGAUUAUUAUUAUUAUUAUUAUAGCUAUUAUAUUAUAUUUUGAUAAGAUUAUAGCUACUCCCUCCGUUUCAAAUUAGAUAUACACUUUUAAAAAAUCACAUAUUUAGGAAAAAUGGUUGUUCAUAAAUUAAUUGAAUUAAAUGAGCAUAAUAUAUGGUGUGAGAUUGAUCUAGAAAAUAUAAAUAAGAGAUAUGUGGAGAAGAAUUGUCUUAGGAAAUAUGAUUUUGUAUUGAAAGUUGAAGUGGACACGUAAUUUGAAACAAAUUUUUUUUUUUGAAAAUGGACAUGUAAAUUGAAACGGAGGGAGUAUUAUAUUAUAUUUUUUUUUUAUUUUGUCAGGUUUUAUAGCUAUUAUAUUGAACGGCUGAGAUCUUCUCCAAUCAUUUCACUAUUAAACAUACCUUCUAAAACCCUAGUUCUUGCAAUAGCACCAAAACUGCUAUCCCUCGUAUCUGUAGCAUCUCUAUCUGAUCAAUUUCUACACCAGGUUUGAUCCAAUCACAUAUAUACACACAUUUAGAUUCUGGGUUCUUUUUCUUAUUUGAUCCCGAGUAAAUUUGAUAUAUUUUUGUGCGUUUUCUAGCAAGAUUUUACUAAUAUUUGCUGGGUUUUGUUUGUUGUUUCAGAAUCUUGAGAUACAAUGGCAGCUAAUAAUUCACCACCCAUAGUAGACAAGGAGCAGGUUUGCAUUUUCUUUAAUGCUUCCCCUUUUUUGGUUUUUUUUUUAUGUAUGUGGGUGUAUCUUUUUUAUGUUGAAUCUGGGAAAGUUUGGAUUUUUAUUGGGGAUAUUGUUGUUUUCUUGGCUGAAUAUGUGAGUUGUAGUCAGUUUGGGUCUACUGGUUUAGUCAGAGGUUAUGAUUUUAGGUUUGAGGCCGUGUUCGUAAACGUGUUAAUUCUGGGUAGCUUAAACUAUGUUGGAAUUAAAUUCUAAUGAUAUCAGUUUGGGCUUUAAUUGUUUAGAAGUGGUGGCGUUUUUUGGUGUAAGUUCGAGUUCGUAAAUGUGUCAGUUGUUGAGUCAUUUAAGAUAUGUUGAAUUUGGAUCACAAUCGUGUAUCAACUUUAAGUAAUAAGGUAAAUGGAUCAUUUUGGCCGAACAUGUGAUUUGUUGUCAGCUUUAGGGUUAUUACUUAUGUUGUUUUUGUCGUUUGUGUCGGUUUAGAUAUAUUCAUUGGUUUUUCAGAAGAAAUGUAAUGAAAAUUUAUAAACAAAGUAAAAGGUGGAAGAGAAUGAUAUAAAGAAGGUAUAGUGAAAAAUGAGCUAUUAAGAAGGUAUAGUGAAGAAUGAGUGUGUAAUUUAUCUUUCAGGUAACUUGCAGUAAACAUAAUUGCAAAUUAGGAAUAAGCAUUCGUCCCUAAAAUGGUGGGAUUGCGCUUUAAAUUUGAAUUCUAUGGGGGUGUCAUUGGGAUAGCAAUGAAAACAUACAUGGUCCACGCACAAAUUUGUGCAAAUUUCACAUUUUUGCUUAAUUUCAUUCCUUCUAAUCAAACAGAGCAUUAAAUAAAUUAUUAUUAUUAUUAUAGUUUAUUCCUCUGUUGCUGCAGUCCUAGAAUGAUUCUUUUUAUCAUGUGUGCUGAAUCAGUAAUUUUNGUCGGUUGAGUUUGUCAUCGAGAAUGGCAGUGAUGGCAGGACCAAGGCCGUUGAUGUCACUGGCCCAGAUGGUGCUUCUGUCCAGGGAAGUGGUAGGGGCGGCGGCGGAGGCGGGGGGAGAGGCGGCGGGGGGUGGGGGGGGGGGGGGGGGUCAUUGUUGCUGUAGUCAUAAAUUGAUCCUUUGUUGUAUGUGAAUUUCAUUCUUCGUUGACGAAGGGAUCGUACCAUUCGAGCUGUCUUUUUUUCAUGCUUUUCCCGGAGCCUCAUAUUUGUAUAUCUAGCAGUUUUUGCAUGCUAAACUUGAUUCUGCGUGUUUCAAGUGUAAAUUUGUAUGCAAUUCAAAUCUGUGUGAUAAACUAUGCAUUGCUUUGUUGCAAUUGAGGGUUUUUUUUUAAUCUUUUCUUUUUGUUCCCAAGAAGCUGACUAUAUCUCUUGUCAUGGCCUUACCUGUGCAGAUAUUUGGUAUGGCAGCACAGGAAAUGGAAUAUAGAGUUGAAAUGUUUAACAAGUAAGGUUUCUGAAUGUAUUCUGUACCAUUUUGAUUCUUUUUCUGUAAUCUUUACUACUGAUUACAUGACAACUUACUAAAAUAUAAUAUAAUCACGUGACACAAAGCUUCACCAAAUAAUGAAAUGCAGUGACAAGUUUGCUCAACUAAAUUGCAAUAUUUUUUAAAUAAAUUAUAUUGGAAGCCAAUUGAUGAUUCUAAAGUUUUAUCAAUGAAGAACUGGCGUGUUAUUUCCAUCUCUUUCAAGAACGAGUUCCAUGUGUUUACUGUAACGCACAUUAUAGGUGCAUUUCUUUCCUUUGACUUCCAUUGUUCCUGUUGUUAUUAUUUUUAAGUACAUAUUUUUAUCAAUGGGAUUUUGCUACAUGUUAGUGACGGGUGCAUAUGAGUCACAUUCAAGUAGUAAUCAUAAUGUACUUUUACAUCUCUCAUGGGGAUGUCCCUUUCAGUUUGAGAAUUGCCUUUUUGCACCGGUUGUUCAGUAUUGUUAAUAUUAAGUCCUUCAAUGUAGAACUGGAUGUGAAUUUUUUUCCCCCAUAGUCUUAUGAGCCUAGCCAUACUCAAGAAUUCCAGUUCCUUAGUCUGACUUAUUUUUGCUGUUGUCCUGAUUCAGGCUUACUCACACAUGUUUCAACAAGUGUGUUGAAAAAAGGUAAGCAUUUUAUAUGUCGUCUUAGUUAGAUUCAAUUGAACUUAAAUAUUAAACAUAUACUAUUCGUUUUCUAUUAUUUUACCUCAAGAUUAAAAAAAUCUUAUGGUGGCCUUCACGAUUUUAGGUACAAGGAAUCUGAACUAAACAUGGGUGAAAAUACCUGCAUUGAUCGCUGUGUUUCAAAAUAUUGGCAAGUAAGUCAUCGAUACUCUCCCUUGAUUUCUUUUUAUUUUGCAAUGUACGCUCAGAAGUGUUGCAUGGAGUGCUAGUUGCACCUUUUCAACAUCAUAUUAGUUAAUCAUUUGACACUUAUAUUAUUCCUUUUGCAAAACAGCUAACAGUUCAUGGAUAUUGUAUCAUUUGGUACUGAUAUCGUGUUCGAGAGAGUCCGGCAAUUGUGGAGAACUUUAGUAGUAACUCAAGGGAAAGAUAUAUAUCAUGAUAAAGGUUUUACUAUUGACUGAAAAUGAAACCAAGCUCUACCUGCAACUUGGAUAUAUUUAAAACUCACAAAUACCAGCCUUAUGCUGAUCAUCUGAGCAUGCUCAACUACACUGUUACUAUAUUUAAAAUUAUGCUUCUAUGCCCCUGCGUCAGUUCUAUAUGAAAGUUAUCUCUACUCCCUCGAAAUUGCUUAAUUUGGUCAAUUCCCACCUUUUUGUGUGUCACACAGGUCUUUUAGCUGGCUAUGUUUUUAGGACUACCCAAUACAGAGCAAGUUAACAACACAUACACACUUACCACCUGCAUUCCUGUUUCUGCUCUUAGGUUUUAGUUAUGAAUAGAAAAAAAUCAAGUAUCUCUUAGCUAGAGCUUUUGUUACCUAAUAUUAGAAUAUAACUGUAAGAAGUAAAUAUAACAAAUUAAAGAAUUUGACAUUCCAUGUAUAUGUGUAUAAUGUAAUAAUGUAUAUUGCAGGUAACUAAUUUGAUUGGUCAGCUGCUUGGUACUGGCAAACCACCUAUGUGAGGAAUGGAUAUUCAUCAAGCAAAGAGUGGAUGAAUUUUUGGCCUUCUAUAUUAAACAGAUUAUGUGACUACCAUAGGAGAGUUGGUGAGCGUGUUGUCACGUUCAUUUCAUAUUGUUGUUUUAUUAGCAGCAGGAUUUAUUCCUCGACUCCACUUGUAAUACUUGGAAAAUUGGGUCUUUCAUAUUUAAUUUUUUUGGGCAUUUGUAAUAAUUUGUGGCAGUGCUGUUACAUAUUAUAACGACUAUUUGACUAAUGUAUCAAAAGCAGAUAUAUGGUCUUACCGACUAGUAAUUGGAAGGUUAUGUUCACAAUGCCACAUGUUAUGUUGAGGACUAUUUUCUUCCUAGUCUCUAGUAGGAUUGUGCUAGGAUGGCUUUCGCUCGAUCAAUUUGCUAGAUAAGACCUUCCUACAAUUACUAAGGUUUUCUGUUUCUCUCCAAACUUAGCGAGACUCGCCUGUCUUGAGUGGUGAUUUCAUGUGCAUUGGUUGGUUUACGGGUGUUAGCCCCAUUAUUACUAUAUUUAUCAUUAAUGUCCUCAUGAUCUGAGAAAAUGGCUCCGAAUACCAAUUAUUAAUGGUGUAGUGUUUUGGAUAAUUAUCGAAAACGCUACAUUGUCUAGUCUUCCGAAUAGAAUGCUAGGGUUAAAAGAAUGGAAUGCUACAAUGUCCUGGGUUAAACUACAAAACACUACAUAAUAUAGCGUUUUCUUUUCAAACUGAAAACGCUUGAUUAUUCGGCGUUAAUAAAUUGGUAUUUGGGGUUAUUUUUUACAAUUCUGUCAUCCUGGACAUUACUUCUAAAUUUUGUGACAUCUGGGGUCAUUUUUCUUGAUUUACUGGAUACAGUUUAGUGCUUUUUGAUUGGGGAAUUUUCUGUUAUAUGCUGCUGAGUACACAGUAAUUAGUAAUUACUAAUAUAAAAUAGAGUAGGAUUGAAGUGAUGAGCUUUAUCAAUUUAUAAGUUAUUUGGUCUGGAAUGUCGUACAAAAUUGUGAUGAUUUAAAUAUGUUCCCAACUCCCAAAGACCCUCCGAAGCCAUACUUCCAAAUUCCAAUUAUAUCUGUAAAAUAUAUUUGGAGAAAUGUCUCAUGGUCUCUAGCUUUGUGGUAAAUAAAAAUACCUUAGAGGAAGAAAGCUGAUUUUCCACCUUGUCAUGGUCAUGUGUUGGAAUCCUCUUUCCUCUUGUACUCAAAGUUUAAAGACUGUAAAGAAGUCAUACAAAUACCAAGAAAAGGCUGUUGGACGUGGGGUGUAAUUGCAUGCUUGUAUAUUUUUCCAGGCAUGGGAAGAAACAGUGUGAUGUGAUUAUCUUUGACUUGAAAGAUGUGAGCUUUCUGUCCUCUCUGUGAAGUUUGUGGUAGGGGCACUGGGGCAGCGGUGGUGUUCUUCCCGUUGAGAUUUGGCGCGCCUUAUUUGCUUGAAAUAAGGACUUCUUCCGGGAGAAAAUUUCACAUUUACAUAAUAUUCUUUAUUAUUAUAUAUUUAGUAUGCGUUUAAUGUUUUUUAUUUGCAGAAAUAAGCAACUUCUUUUCAAAUAAAUAAUACAUAUUUAUAUAUUUUUUUAAAAAUAAACGACUUAUUUACGAGAAAUAAGAUAAAUCAAACGGAGUGGUGAGGUGCGUCCCAGGAUCACAGCUCUGUGCCAGGGGCGUAGCUACAUUCAACACAGGGGGCACUUGCAACCCCUCAAUCUUUAAUAUCUUCUUAUAUAUAUUAUAUAAAAUGUAAUUUUUUGAUUUUUGAUCCCAAAAGUACAUAAAUUUCUAGGUGUGGCCAAAGGCACAUAAUAGUCACUAACUUUCAUGAAAAUAGUAAAUUUUGAUUAAUGGAUGAAUAAUAAAUGUUAAUGAGCCCCCUUCAUUCACACCAAUUGCACAAAUAAAAAGAAGCCAUUUUCAUGAGAGUUGAUGCUUAUUGUGUGUCCUUGGACACACAUUAGAAAGACCGUUUUUUUUAUGAGACUGUUUUUCGACCCCCUGGCUAUGUAUUCUGGCUACGCCUCUCCUCUGUGCCACAGGAAGAUAUUAUUAUUCUCUAUUACUUUCUUUCUUUUCACUCUUUAUCUUGAUUGGACCAUGUCAAAGUGAUUGCACCAUUUACUCGCUAGGUAGAGGUCCAUUGCCUUGAUGAAAGAAUAUAUGAUUACUAAAAAUUUAGCCACAAAUGUCACCAUAAAAGAUCGACUUUAGGCACAAAAGAAACCUUGAUUUGUGGAAUUUUGUCUCGGAGAGUGAUAUGCAUUAUGCAUGUUCAAUGCAAUACAAAUCUGUAUUAGUGACACAGGAAAUAACCCUUUAACUUAAGAAACUCAGCAAAACACUUAUUUUCAUCACCCCUUCUUACCCACCCGACGACAUGUUCACAACUUACUAGUAUGCGCACCGAAUAUGACCUCUUUGUAUUGAAGAUUGAGAAAUGAUGUAGCGAGCAUACAGGGUCAUGUCCCAUUACAAACUUUUUUGUAAUACUGAUAAGUCCAUUUAUCGUCGAUGUGUCCGUUGUCAUUGCUUUGGGUGGUUUGAGAUAGACCCGGGACCUGCAAAACAACGCCGCACGGGGGUGUGUCCCGUGAAGCGCCUCCGGCGUGAUAAUCAGUGAUCGGAACAUAAGAGCAUAAGUAGAGAAUGAGAGAGAUAUGUGAUUUUGUAUGCUUUGAAGAGUGAAUAUUUGUGAUAGCCCAGAGAGAGAAUAUUUAGAGAUGAAUAUUUUGUGUGUUGUGAGCAUGCUUGAUACUAGUGAGGCCCCCCUUUUUACCUGUGAGAAUGCAUGUAUUUAUAGUACAUCCAUAUGAGCACUAUUGAGCAAGGAGUACAAUUACUAUAGUUAAAGUCAUGGCCUUACCUGCAGUGCACAUCCAUGCUUCCUGUCAAGCUACAGUUGAGUCAAUUAAAAGUACAAUAGUUAAAGUGUUGUUGUCCUUGUGGCAUGGGUGUAUCACAUGGGUGUGCCGUGUGGUGUUAGUCUUUGCAUUUAUUGCUCCCUAGCUUUGUAUAUAAUACUAUAGAUAUUAUUAAAUGAUAAUUAUGCAUGGUACUAUCAUUGCCCCCCUACUCCUUCCAUUUGCUUUAGCGGAUGGGAGGAGUAAGUAAAAAAGAAAAUCGAGCUGGGACAAGUUUGAAGAAAAAUAAGUUGUUUGGGUGCUUUUCAUGUGUUGGGUGCGAGCAACACGGAAAAAGAAAAUUUUGUGAAAAAAUUGGUGCUUGGUUGCCCCCCAGUGUUGGUUGCGGACAACACUCGGGAAAAAGAAAAUUUUUGUGAAAAAUUGGUGCUUGGUUGCCCCCCAGUGUUGGUUGCGGACAACACUCGGGAAAAAGAAAAUUUUUGUGAAAAAUUGGUGCUUGGUUGCCCCCCAGUGUUGGUUGCGGACAACACUCGGGAAAAAGAAAAUUUUUGUGAAAAAUUGGUGCUUGGUUGCCCCCCAGUGUUGGUUGCGGACAACACUCGGGAAAGAGAAGAUUUUGCGAAAAAAUUAUGCUUGGUUGCCCCCCAGUGUUGGUUGCGGACAACACUCGGGAAAGAGAAGAUUUUGCGAAAAAAUUAUGCUUGGUUGCCCCCCAGUGUUGGUUGCGGACAACACUCGGGAAAGAGAAAAUUUUUGUGAAAAAUUGGUGCUUGGUAUGAAUUUUGUCUAAACAUGUGAAAGAUUAUUGCACGGAUGUACAAGACUAAAACAUAUGAUAUAACAAGAGCAAGUGACGUAUGAAGCAGAAAAUAAAUUUAAGUGAAAGGAUGACAAUAUUUUACUCCAUGCAAGAUAAAACGUAAAAACAAGAAUUCAUAAUAACUGUUUGUAUGCAUUGGCCUAUGUCAAAAGAGAUAAAAGCUUGUAUUGCACACGGACCACACAUAUAUCUGUUGUAUAAUCAACGUAUGCAGUCGUUCAUAGCGGUGUCUGAGACUUGACAAUUGACAAGAAUGAGAUAGCGGGUGAGAUUUUUUUUUUUUUUUGAGUGAGGAAUGAGGCAGCGGAUGAGAUGAUGGGCCGGGAUGAGGUGACGGGCCCGGCUAGGGUAUGUGGUAGCUGAUAGAAAUAUAAAAAGGCUUCCUGGUAGNUGAUGGGUGAUAUCAAAGGUAGAGUAGACUACAGGUGUUGUAUGAUAACUAUAGCGGACAGGAUGGUUGGUGGCAUGUGUUGGUGUGUGGUAGCGGGAUGCAGAAUUGACACGAGGUGGCGGGAGGCUUUGAUGGCGGUACAUGUAAUAUUUAGAUGUAAGAGACAGCUGCUGUCAAAGAGAUUGCGGGAAAAGAGAAUGUCCGGUGUUAUAAAAUUAUAUUGAGAGCAGAAAGCUGGUAGCGGGCUGGUAGACUGAGGUUCUAUUUUGUUUUCGGAUAUGUGAAAACAUUACAGGGCAUGAGUAAAGAUGGCGGGACGGCCAGACGUGGCAACCGAGGUACUGGGUUUGUCCAAGACGAGUUGAUGGGUGAUAUCAAAGGUAGAGUAGACUACAGGUGUUGUAUGAUAACUAUAGCGGACAGGAUGGUUGGUGGCAUGUGUUGGUGUGUGGUAGCGGGAUGCAGAAUUGACACGAGGUGGCGGGAGGCUUUGAUGGCGGUACAAGAGAGAAUAUAGGUGAAGGUAGCGAUAUACUAUUACUGGUUGUGGUAGGUUACAGAGAUAGCGGACUGUUGAAGUGAGUUACUUUGUAUAUAACUUAGUAUGUACCGCUUUUAUAAUAUUCAAGAAUAAAGGUGGCGGGCCUAGUAAGGCUAUGUGAUGGGCUUGGCUAAGAGGUGACCUAAAAAUGAUGUUAAGGAAGGGUGUUGUAGCGGGAGAAUUUGUGAUGAGCUUUGGUAGCAGUACAGGUGAUAUAACAUGCAUGGAGCCAGAUUAGGUUAAAAGAUUUGUCCGUCUCGGAGUGUGAGUGGGGUAAAACGAAAAAAGAGAGAAAACUGAAAAAUAAUUAUUCAGGCUCUGACUUGCAACUCUAGGUGAAGCUUACUGAAUAAUAUAAUUUGUGUCUUUCAAGUGAUAGCGGACAAUGACUAAAAAUAAAAUAUCUGAUCAAAUAUUAAAUCUGAUAUUGUGCUCCACAUUGUGAAAAUAGUGAUAAAUAUGCUGGAAAUAUUUAAAAUGAUCGUUUUUGCAAUAAAAUUAUUAUUGGACAGAGUAAAUAAAUUUGUAAAAAUUGCAGGGCUUGAUUUAAUGCAUUAAAUGUGCAGUAAUAUUUUCUCCACAUGAGCAUAAUAUUUUUUGUACAUUAACACUAAGAAACAUGUGUCACACACAGCAGCCCCUUACAAAAAAGGGUAAUUUGAAAAAUUUCAGAAAAUGCGAAACUGAAUUUGUUUUUGCUUUUUUUGCCUUCGAUAGAAAUUUGUAAAUAAAAGUGUGAAUUAAUAAAUGUAAUGUGCAAUUUUUUGAAAUAUUUAAAUGUGAAAAUGUUUGGCAAACAAACACAAUUGUGAUAAAUAUGCAAUUAUGCAUUUAAAAUUUUUGUAUAACGGAGCAUUAACAAUAGUGCAUCUUAGAAUAAAAAAUAAAUAUGUUGCGUCUUGUGCUUUAAGGAAUGAAGCUGUAAUUUUUUUUUUGACAAAUAAAUUGAGUGAUAUGAAUAUUUUGCUUCAACUAAUAUUUUUAAGAGAUAAAAAAUAAUUGUUGAGAGAAUAUAAAGUGAAAUAAAUGGAGCUGGAGGGUUGUAAUAAAAAAUAUAUAAUAUUGUAACACUGAACAAGAGUUUAUGUGUCCGCGUUAAAUAUAUAUGAGAUAGGUUGACAACAAGAAUGCAUCAGGUGGUGUUUAACCUUGGGUAGACGCAGGGAGAAUUCGAAGGUAGCGGGCAAGCGGAGGUAGCGGACACAAUAAUAUAUAGCAGAUGUGAUGUUAGUUGGCAACAAUUUUAACAAUAACACUGACAGGGCAUAUCAAGACAUAUAAGUGAUAACGUGUUAAGCGCUUAUAGAUGUUAAUGAAUAAUAACNUACAGGAGGGGUGAUGCUAGUUGGCGACAAUUUUAACAAUAAUAUUAACAGGGCAUCAAAUGACCAGACAAAUAAGUGAUAAAGUGUGAAGAGUUAUAGAUGUCAAUGAAUAAUAACGACAUUUGAAACAUAAAAAGUAGAUGUAGUCAUGAUAGAUAUAUGAGCAGAGCCGGACAAUUGUGAAUAUAAUAAUAUAUGGAAAAAGAAAGAACCUGUGCCUCCCAAAUAUCUAAUAUUUGUAUGUAGUGGUUCACUUGUGUCCGUGAGAGAGAUGAGCUUGUUCCGCCAUCAUGCUUCUUAUUAAAUAAGAGUAAUUUAUUGAGAGGACCCAUAAGGUUGAUAUUCUUGCUUCAUUGGAUGUGGAUGCUUCUAAUUGCUGCAAUAAAGGCGGGCCAAAAUUUGUAAAAAUAGUUGUACUACUUUUUUGCUUGCUUUUGUGAAAUGUGCAUGAUGCUUUUGUUGCUUGCUUUUGUGAGAUGCAUGAUGCUUUUGUUGCUUGCUUUUGUGAGAUGCAUGAUGCUUUUUGCUUGUUUUUGUGAGUGUUAUUCAGACAAUUCAAACAAUAAGUUAGAUUGUAGAAGGGGGGGUUGAAUACAAUCUACAAAAAUUUAAAUUACAAGAGAAUAUAAAAGCUAAAAANUUGCUUUUGUGAGAUGCAUGAUGCUUUUUGUUUGUUUUGUGAUAUGUGCAUGAUGCUUUUGUGUUUGCUUUUAUGAGAUGUGUGUUGCUUUGUUGCUUGGUCACGGGACACGGUUGUGUGUUUCCUUGUUGCUUGGUUGCGGGACCUAGUUGUGUGUUGCAUGUUGCUUGACUUCAGAGACAUAUAUAUGUUGCUUUUUUGUCCGCUUUUGAGAGAUAUUAGCAUGUUGUUUAUUUGCUUGGUUUGGCUUGGUGGUCCACUUGAAGAGUUGUAUGUUGUCCCACUACAAAAGUGGUGUGAUGCUCUAUUUGAAAAAUGGCAUGGUGCUCCACUUUAAAAGUAGCAUAGUGUCCAUCUAGUAAAAAUGAGAUAACUCGAUGUACCGCUUCCACUUAGAGUAGAUUGUAAUUUUUUGUGACCCUGCAGAGGUGAUGAAGGUUUUUCUUAAUGAAAAACGCCCCUUCCUGGCGCGCCAAAUGAUAAGUCCAUUUAUCGUCGAUGUGUCCGUUGUCAUUGCUUUGGGUGGUUUGAGAUAGACCCGGGACCUGCAAAACAACGCCGCACGGGGGUGUGUCCCGUGAAGCGCCUCCGGCGUGAUAAUCAGUGAUCGGAACAUAAGAGCAUAAGUAGAGAAUGAGAGAGAUAUGUGAUUUUGUAUGCUUUGAAGAGUGAAUAUUUGUGAUAGCCCAGAGAGAGAAUAUUUAGAGAUGAAUAUUUUGUGUGUUGUGAGCAUGCUUGAUACUAGUGAGGCCCCCCUUUUUACCUGUGAGAAUGCAUGUAUUUAUAGUACAUCCAUAUGAGCACUAUUGAGCAAGGAGUACAAUUACUAUAGUUAAAGUCAUGGCCUUACCUGCAGUGCACAUCCAUGCUUCCUGUCAAGCUACAGUUGAGUCAAUUAAAAGUACAAUAGUUAAAGUGUUGUUGUCCUUGUGGCAUGGGUGUAUCACAUGGGUGUGCCGUGUGGUGUUAGUCUUUGCAUUUAUUGCUCCCUAGCUUUGUAUAUAAUACUAUAGAUAUUAUUAAAUGAUAAUUAUGCAUGGUACUAUCAAAUACCCCAUUACAAACGUUUCUGUAAUACCAAUUAAUCACCUGGUUAUGGUUAUACAACAUACAGUCACGUUAUUAGAGCAUCCCUAACGAUAUUACUAAAAAUGAUUGGCUAACUUACAACAAAUUUGUACAGGUUUGACAAAUAUGGCCAUCACAAUCAGGUUAGCUAAAAUUACAGACAACAACAAUGUCGGGGAGAAUUUUUUACAUAAUCAAUAAAAUUUUUAUUUUAAGAUGUACUCUAUUAAUCACUUUUAGCUAAGGGUUCUACAGGGUUGGAGAUGCUGAGUGACGUCAGUUUAGUUUGUUUUGAACGAACAAUUCUCUCUACAACUAGUUUCUAAAACAUGUAAACAGAACUGAACACAUAACUGACCUUGGACUUGAUUCUUCUGAAAGCCAAAAAUAUCUACUUGGUGAAGCUCAUAGGAUUUAGAAGAUUAACUCUGUUGAUCAUUACAAUAUGCAUACAUGAAGUUAUAUAUACAUUGAUUCUGAUUACAAAGGAGUCAGUAGCUUAUUCUUAUUUCUAUAAUUAGCUCACUUGAUUUGGGUGCACUGUUCUUGAAUUCUGAUGAUAAUUGGGAGAACCAACUUUAAUUUGGAAUUUAGAUGGAUUUUUGUUAAACCAUGCCAGCCAACUUCAGACUCAGUAUUCAAACCCUUUCGACUGGGGUAUGAGGAGGCUGUGACGCAAAUCUUGCAGAAAGAUUGAGUUCCACUAGUUUAGGAGUAUUUAGCCCACAAUCUUCUGGCAUUGUGGCCUCUUCAGCUAGUUUCUCCUCAAUAAAGUUAUACGGUUGUUGAUGCUCAGAUGGCUUCAUGCUGUCAAAAACUGCAACGCAGAUGGAAAACGCUUGUAGAAGAGAAAGGGCUGAAUUGAAUUCCACUGAGAAGACGCCAUUUUUGAGUGAGGACAGCAUGAAGAAUGGAGUUGCUUGUUCAGAUUUCUCCUGCAAACGAAGCGCAGAUAUAUUAGGAAAUUGAAAAAGAAUGUAUGUUAGGAUAAAGAGAACUGGAGAAAAGAUGGUUUUUAACAAAUAUACCUGGUAUUGAGAAAAGAGUUCAAAAUGACUAUUAGGUUUUUGCUUCUUGUUGCCAAGAACUUUUACCUUACACCCCAGAUCCCAUCCCCCACAAUCACAUUGUCCACCUGACAACCAUCGCUCAAUCAAUGGCGAAGGUUCUCCUUUACUUGAAAAUCCAUGAAUUGCACCAGGCAGUAGAACUGUUGUGCUAAAAAGUUCUUGAUUUCCAAAAAUAAAUUUAUCCUCUUGUAGGUCUCCUGAAUUAGAAGGGACUUUAACCUUUUGAGAUGGACCAUUCAAUUCUGUAAUCAUCUUUCUUGGAAACUUGACAACAAUGGCAGCAAGCUCAUGAUUUGGUUGCGCGUCACAUAUCUGAUGAUCAGUCCCUCUUACGUCCACAGCAUAUAAUACAAAUUCUCUAGUUUUCAAUUGAUCAACACUGACGUGUUCACCUAAGCGUGAUAAUGGCAGUUCAGAAACCUUCAUCUGGGCAACUACAUUUGGUACAUAAUCUUUGACUUUGGAUCCCUGAGUUAACCAGCCUCCACUCUUUCUUCUCAUUUCAUGAACGCUGAAGAAUGUAUAGAUCCAAGUGGGAUCAUUUCUUCGUAAUGAAGAUUUCCUCAAUGUGGCUGCUAGAGCAUCACUGUUGUUGUCAACUGCAAAUGUAAAAAGUGGAAGAUCAUUCUUGGCUGAAACUUGAAAAUAGGCUUGCAGUGUUGACGGUCCCUGUAAUGUAUCACGACGUGAUACAUCCCAGCCAGGGUUCCUUAAGUUUGAAAAAUCUAAUUUGACUCUUGGUGGAUGUACAUCUGACAGUUCUCUUCGUUCAUUUAUAGAUGUGGAAAACCUGCGAGUUGUCGUUGAAUUCCUUGGUGAGUGCUCAGAAAAUUUAGGGCUGCCGACUUUUGUUUUCAGCAGUGGACUUAACAACCUCUUCAAAGGACUGAAAUGGUCUCUGCUAGCAGCAUUAGACUGAUCGUUUGUUUCAUUAUUUGGACGAACAAAAGAAUCAGCUAUUUUAGAACCAGAUCUGGCAGUAAUAUCCUCUGAGCCGGGCUGAAGUACACCUGAACUGUCUCUGGAAAGAUGGCUUUUUCUUCUUAUCCUGUUUAGGACAGAACUUAGUCUACAACUUGGUGAAAGGUUUUGCACCUCUGAGUCUGCAAUAGUGCUCUUCAUAUUUGGUAUUUUUAAAGAAUUGUACAAAUUUGGAUCUAUAGGCAUUGUGCUUGACUUCUCUACCCAAAUCUUACUUGUUGAUCGACUGACUGGUUCCUUAUGAGGCACUUCGCUGCCAUUGGUCUCUCGAGUGGUAUUAUCAUACUGAUAUUGCAACUUUUCUGAUUUAUGUUUGUAUGCAUCAGCUUGAACUCUCAACUUCCCUUUAGAAGAUGGCUCCCCCUGAUUUUGAAAGUCUGUGGAUGAUCUUGUAUUCCGUAAAUCCAAACUUUCCUUUCUGCAUUUUCUCAACUUGAGUUCUGAAGAUUUUGCUGGAAACACAGGCUCUCUUAGAAUAUUUUUCUUUCUGUCAGAAUUGGUCGGGUUGGCUUUGAUAUCUGUAUAUUUUGCAACAUUAUGAGACUCGACAUCUUUGUAGUGACCUUCUAUCAGAGUUAUAUUCAGGUAAGAUCGAAGUGACCCUCUAUGACCGCUGGAAGAGCAGGUAGCAUCUCCUCUCCCAUAAUGACUAGAUGAUCCUUCUGUCCAAAAGCUCGAGGCCGUAGUACUGCUUGAUGUUGAAUACCUGCUGCUAGGUCUUGGUGAUUGAAAAUUCUGCCAAUUUUCUAACUUGUUCCACUCCAUAACUCCAAGAUUCAGGGCUUUUGCCCUAUCCCUUUCUCCUUUCUCCAGAAAGCUUGGCAAUUUUGACAUGUACUUAACAAGCUCAUCUUUCUGAAAUCCCUCACUUGUGCAAUUUUUCUUUCGACAGAUUACUGAAGAAGGUGUCUUGGUUACAUCAUUCUUUACUUCUGAAGGAAGGUCACGAUAGGAUACAUUCCGUUUAUCUUUCCUGAACCUGUUCAGCAACUUGGUACUAGUACUACUACCACCGGAAGAACGAGGACUAUCCAUAAUAUAAUAUCUCUUUACAACUUUCGAUAACUAUACUCCAUCUGCUACUUAAUUAAGUAUGACUCCACCUGUAGCAGAGAUGUAUUUGUUAAAAGCAGUUCAGAAAGCACAAGUUUUCAUCUUGCAUUGCUAAGUUCUCACAUUUUUCUGUCGGAUAAAUUAUAAAUUAUAGCUCCAGUGAACAAGAAGCACCAUACAAACUUCAUAUCCGAUACAACAAUGCAAGUUUUUGUUUUCUGGUGACAAUUUUUUAUUGGCCACGUCUCAGAAACAGAGCCAUAGAUAGUGUUCUAGUAAUUACAAGACAUACUACAGCUAGCAAAAUUAAUUAGCAAAUAACCAAAAAAUGACUCCGACUUGUCAAGGCCCAAAAUUUAUGUCACUUGCAUGAUAUUGAAAAUUUUAAAAUGUAAUUGUCAAAGAUGUAGCCAAAAAAACACAGAGCAAAGAGAAUUUGGUGGUCCUUGGUGAUUAAAACUGAAAAUGACAAGACUACUGGAGCAAACAAACUGGAAAUCAGUUAACUUACUGAUAUACUCCUAGUUCUACAACUUGGUUAAUAAUUUGUAAAUAAACAAGUUAAAAAGUAUUUCCUGGUGGUAAAUAUUCGUCCCCGCUCCCUUCCCCUUACACGGGUUUAAAUCCUCGCUUCUCCUCCCCACAUAGUUAGCAAACCCAUGUAAACUACCAAAAUAGAGCACACUUGUUUCGUUUUCGAAGAGAAGUAAGGGCAGGAAGAACUUCAGCUCCUAGCAAGCUGCAAGCUAAUCAAUUUCAAGAAAUGCAGCGCAUAAAAGAGCAGACUAACCAUAGUCCAAAUUAUCCGUCAAAAAAAAAAAAAAAAAAAAAAAAAAACCAUAGUCCAAAUUAAUGUCAAGCCUUUUUGGUCUAUUGUUAAUGUAAAACUUUUAACUAUUUUUUUGUCGGGUCUUCACAAAAACAACUUCUCCGUUCUCCGGUGACACUGCCUGUUUACCCUUCAUAUACCCUACUUCAGAGUGGGUAAGUUUGGUUUUAUUUGGUUUGACAAGUACAGUUUUCAUCACAAAUUUAGAAUACCAACAAGCACAGAAAAAGCAAAUUUUCACACUAGAAUCACAGUGAAAAGGCAUGAACCAUUACCAUUUAAACAGAUGAUGGAGCAUGAAGCAUCAAGGUGUCAGCUUUUAAAUAGUAAAAACCUGAUCAGCAGUUUCUUCGGUGCCUUUUUAUUGCCCAAACUUCAAUAAGCUGAAGAAAAGGAAAGAGCAACAAAGAAUAUACAGAAACCUGUGAAUGCAUGAGAGAGACAGAGAGAGAGAGAGAGAGAGAUUGAGUUUGUUGUAGUGUGAGUAGUAGACGACAUACAGUAUUAAAAUAGGGAAGGGGGUGUUUGCAUUCAUGCAUCGUAUGGCUAAAAUCAUGACAACCUCCUCCUCAUAUUUUUGACUUUGCAUUCCCAUUAGAUUUACCGCCUUGUUUGGGUAAACAUAUACAUAGAAGUCUAGAACAUCUUCAAAAAAGUAUCCUAUUUAGAUUUUAGACCUCAUAAAUAAACUCAUCUCCGGUAACUUCUUAAAUAAGCUUUUUUUUUUGAAUAAGCUUAAAUAAGCUUUUAAGCUGUAUUUUGAAAAGCGUAAAUCAAUUUUUAGCGGUGGAAGGAUCUUUUAGGGUUUAAGCGAUAAAGCGGACGUUUAAGCGGGAUUUUAAACUGGUUAAUAAAUGGAUUAAUGAUAUAUAAUUAAAUAUUUAGUUAUAAUAUUCAUAUAUUUAAAAAUAAUAUUAUAUUGCGGUAAAAAUUUUAAUUUUUAAUAUUUUUAAUAAAAUAUAUUUUUUUGAUAUUUAAAUAUAAUUAUAGUUAUAUUAUAAAAAAAAAUAUUUUUCAAAAUUAAAAAUUAGCAAGUCAACAUCAUUUUGACCACUUAAUAGUCUGCUUAAUUUUUAAAAAUGCUAAGUCACGCGCUUAGUACAAAAUCGAAACGUUUUAGCACAGAUCCUGCUUAGGCGGCCGCUUAAACGCCUACUUAAUGCGAUUUUUACAACACUGCUUUUAAUACAAAAAAUGAGGAGCAUAACAAAAAAAUAGAUCUCCCGUGAACUCUAGUGACUCCUAAAAACACAAGGAGUCUUCUCUCUUUUAAGAGCCAUAAAUGACUUUUCGAGAGGCUCUUUAUUCAAGUUAUUGAGUGAAAAAAUAAAGAGUUCAUGUAUGACGAAUUAGAGCUCGAAAUGGCUCUUCAAAAAGUUAAGAUAUCCUAUAUUGACGAAUUAGAGCUUAAAGUUGUCAAUCAAUAUAGGAUCCUAGUAAUAAACAAUUCAAAUUCUAAAAAUAAGAGAUCCUAUAUUGAUUGACUCCAACAAUAAUCUCUAUUUGUGUAUCCUAUUAUUAUUAUAGUAUUAAAUUUAAAUUCUUUCAACAAAAAGAUAAUAAGAAAAAUAUGGGAAAGACAAAGAGUGUCCAAAAAGUGAAAGUUGAAUAUUUAAUUAUUAAAAAACAAAUGAGGAAUGAGUUAGAGAUUACUUAUUAUGAGGAAUGAAAAGUGGAUCUUAAGGUUUAGGGAAUGAGUAGGGAUUUGGAGUGAAUUUUUGUCCAUAUUCCUCAAAAUUUUAGCUUAAGACAUGAUAAAGCUAGUUGUCGGAGAUGCUCUUGAGUAAUGACUCCAAUACUGCUGGUAUUUGUUUUACUCUCCCUUUGCAUGAUAUUUUUUUAAUAUUCAAACUCCAUUAUAUCAAUAUGUGAGAAAAAUAGUAUUUAAAUUGGAUGAGGUAAAUUCUUUAUUAUUAAGAGUAAGAUAAAAGAACACAUAAUGACUCUUAAAAGUGGUGAGAGAAAAGAAGUAUAAUAAUAAAAGGAAAUUUAAUAAUUUAUUUAUUUAAGCGUCGAAAUUGAAUUUUAUUGAAAAUUUAUAAAUAUAACCUAAAUAAUUUAAUAAAUUACAUUUUACCAGUUUAAUUUAAUUUCUAUCUUAUUAUUAUAAAUCAAUAAUAUUUAUUACAUAAAUAAAUAUUUUCCGAUCUAAAAUCAAAAUUAUUUUGAUUUCCAACGUGUUGUGUCAUUAUUCGCCGCCAAAACUACCUACAUAAAGAAGUUAUACAUCAGAAAAUAUUAUAUUAUUUUAUAAGAACCGUUACAAUUCGUAACAGCUCAAUUAUAUUUUAAUUUUUAACGUUUAUUUUGGCUGAAAAUCUGGAACUAAACAAAGAACUCUUGCGAGGACUUCUUUUCAUGCUUACGACUUACAAAAAAAUCAUUAAAUUAUCCACCAGUUUCGACAUCAUCAUAAUUUAUUUCUUUAUUCUGCAAAUUCCAUGUAAUGAAAAUACUUUAAUUCUAUUUAUAAAAGCAUCCAAUUCGGUCAAACAAGCAAAAAUAUAAAUGACUUUUUAUUUGUUUAAAAUGAAAAGGAUGCGCGUGGCCACGAAACGGAAUGAACUGGGAGGCCCAUAUAAUGCAUCACCAUUUAUUGGACUUAUUUGACCACAUUGGUAACGGUUAAUGGGCUUUUCAAAACUCUUUAUUUGUCAGAGCAAGCAACUUGAAUUUUUUCCAACAAUAGUGGUUUAAUUUUCAUGAUUUUUUUAUUUGAAUAUUAGUGAUAGAUAUUCAUUUUUCUUUUCUUCCGUUUUUUUUUUUUCACAGUUCGUACUUUGAUGGAGUUGUGUCCGAUGGCAUUAAAUAAUUAUACUUCGACUAUAAUUGCGAAGAACUAGACAACAUAAGAGAAAGAAUUGACCGUGCUCUAGUUAAUGCUGAAUGGAUGGAGUUGUAUCCUCUAUGCAUGCUUACACAUCGACGGUUCAUCGGGGGUGACCAUACUCAUGCUUCUUGAUAUUGUGCCUCCAUAAGAGAUUUAUAUUUGAUUUAAUAUGGACUCGUUCAGUGUAUUGUGAACAAAUCAUCAAAUUAAAUUGGAAGAACAAUUAUGGUAAUAGUCCUAUGAAAAUUCUGUUGAAAGAUCUUGAGAUUUGUAGUUCUAGUCCAACUAACUAGAGCAAGAGAGUAUUUUGACAAUAAUCGGCUGAGAAUUAUUUUUUUAUUUAAUAAAUUAAAGUUCAUUCAGACCCGAAAGAGAAUAUACAGAUUCAGCAACAAAUUUUGGUUCUGUUGGAUGAAUUAUGGAUAUGCGAGAAAUUUUUAAACAUCAACGAGUUAGAGUAAAUUGGAUAAAUUUUGAAGAUCCAAAUUCUCAUUUCUUUCGUAAGAGCAUCAUGGCUUUGGAACAAUUUGCUAUAAGCUAGAGACGUGUUACUUAAAGGUUUUCACUUACAAGUGGGAAAUGAAAAAAGUAUAAAUUUUUAAGGUACCUAUUGGAUUUCGAGUUCUUCAAAUUUGUUUGUUUAUGGAGCAAGAGGUUUGUUUACUAUUUCUUCUCUAGUUUCUAUUUUAUUUCUAAUGAUAAAUGGAACAUUCAAAAGUUUCAAGAUCAUAUUCCUCCGGGUUGUAGCUCAAAUAUCUAACAUUCAUCUUAGUCGCACAGAUGCUAAUGAUAGAUUGGUUUGGCACUAUAAUUCAAUGGAUCUUACAUGAUUCUUUUUAAAGUUUAGCUUAAUCUAAGCCUACCAAAUCCUUUUGGAAUCUUAUAUGAUCACGAGUUCACUUAUCAUUUUUUAACAAUGAGUUAUUUUUGACUUAUAAGUCCAGAAACUGGGCUUAAAGUCAAACACCCCAAUAUCUUUUUGUCCGGCUUAUUAAAAAGUUGAUUAAUUAAGCUAUACGGUAGACUAUGCACGUGGAUCUGGAAUGCACUUGUGAAGAGUUACAUUAAUCUCCACUGGAAAGUCUGGAUAUGGUUGUAAAGUUGAACCAUAUUAGUUUGGCAAGAAUGGAACUCAUUUUAGGGGUGUACACGGUUCGGGUUGGGCGGGUUGAUGGAAUUUAUUGACCCAACCAAUUAAGUCGGGUUUUCAAAAUUUCAACCCAACCCGAACCGUAUAAAUUUGUAACCCAAACCAAUUUGUAGUACUUCGGUUUGGUUCGGUUUGGAUUGGUUCGGUUGAGUUAAUAAAUAUUAAAAACCGUUGCUCAACUCUUUACUCCCCUAUGCAUACCAAUAUAAUCACAUCAGACUACUCGGUAAAACUGAAACAUGUAACUUAAAUAUUUUAUAAUAAAUUUUCUGAGAUAGGUUAAGAAACUUCACCUUCGGAAACAUUGCAGAAGAUAUACCAUUUUGUGAACAAUAAUCAUAUACUUGUAACGCUAAUCAAUUUAGACAACAUGAUAUAUUUAAAAUAUAUUCGAGGUGCUGGGCUAUGCAUAUAUAUAUAAUAUUUAAAAUAUUUUAUUUUUUAUUCGGGUUGGUUUGGUUCGGCCUAAAAAUAUUCAAACCCGUAACCAACCCAUUUAAGUCGGGUUUAUAUUUUUUUAAACCAAAUACAUAUCGAGUUAAAAAAAAUUCGGGUUGGUUCGGUCGAAAAGUGAUCGGUUCGGGUUGGUUUGGUCGGUUUUACUGAACCGUGUACACCCCUAACUCAUUUGAGCAAGAGGAGUUUGUUUGGACGGACAGACUUAGAGGCCCUUCAUUCAGAUCGAAAUUCUAGAAAUCUUUUUCAGACGAGAAGCCAAUACAACUCUUUUUAAGUAAGCAGCACUUGAUCAAGUAUCAUGACACAACAGCUGGAAAAGGAGUUGGACAUGCAAAGAUCUGGCAAGAAAAAGAGAUUGAAGAAACUGCAGCUCCUUCUUGAAAAUUAACUUACCUAUUUGUCACGAACAAAAAUACAUUACUAAUUUACUAUUGAACUGCAGCUUUUAAUUGGGAAACCUAAGAAUCUGUAUUAUACGCGAACAAACAUGGUGCUAAUAAAAAAUACAGAGAAUGACAUUUGAGUUCUAGUGCCUCUAAGGCAAACAUCACAACAUCAAUAUAUAAAAGUGUUCAAAAUGGAACUAGUACAAAGUUUCAUAAUGUAAGAUGAAGAUAAAAACUACAGACUUAAUGAGAAAAACUGAAAUGAAAAGUGAUCAUGCGCCAAACUCAUCACUGACACAGCUGAUGGACCAAAUUUCACUAGGAAAAUACCAAAAAUAUGGAGAUGAAUGACCAUCCCAAACAACAGGAGUUGCUCCUAGCCACUUUCCAUUCAGGUUAAAGAAAGAACAUUUGUUCACACUUAAGUGAAGAAGACAGACACAGUUACCUGCUCCCCAACCAGUUGUAUCGACGACAGCAGAACUGAACCAACUAAGAAACAAAGAUUUUGCACCCAAGUCAUGAAUCUGUUUUGCUCUAUCCAUCGUCUCAUGGUCAAUUUCGAAUAAUACAUGAUGGCGGUUCAAUGUAGGAUAAGGAUAACUAUUCAAUACAGUCAUGUAUAGCUUAUUGUCUGACUCUACCAAUUUCAAAUUCAUAUUAGAUGAAACCUGGAAUGGCAUGCUGAUUUUGGAGAACUUUGGAACAGGACCUGCCUUCGGAUUAAAUUCUCCCAAACGUCCAUCAGAAGUCAGAACAAAGAUUUUGCCAUCGAAAAUCUUCACAUCUGCAAUCCUGGCUUUUGUGUCGAAUAAAACAUAUCUCCGCCAACUGGUGCCGCCACUUUUGUAUAACAAUAUAUAAUUUUUUUUCAGAGGGAAAAGAACCAUGAAAGUUUCUGAAAGCCGAGUUGACUGAAAGAUGCGAGCAGGAAAUUCAGAGCAAUUUAUGUCACCCAUAUGUCCAGGAAGGACGGGAAAACGCAGCUCAUGUUUUGUUAUUAAAUUUAUGAGCCAAAAGCCUAGGUUUCUGUCAAUUGUAAUCAGGUACCCACAUGAAAAACCCAAUAAUUUUUUCCAAGGCAAAUCUGGCAGCAUUGUUUUGUAACUUUUCAUAUCGAACAUAUUGUACAAUACACAAGACUUUUUUGAAUACUUUGGCCGAACAACAAUUACGGGUUGCUGGUGCUCCAUACAAUAUUUGCGGAAAUCAAUAGAUGCGGACCUCCAAGAUUUGCAAACACCGCUAAAUGACAGGUAGUCCACGAUACUUAGUUUUACCAAAAUUAAAACCAGAAGUUCAGUAGGAAGAAUGCCCCAUGCUCCCGAAACUGCGUCACCCGUCCUGCAAAUCCUUUUCUGUUUUCUUUCUUGUUUUACUGUUCGUGGAGCAUUCCUGUUAACAGAUAGGGAAACGAAGAACUCACCACAAAGCUAGAUUGAGCAUGCACAUUCAAAUGAAUUUUAUUCAGAAAAACUCAGUAGUUUGUUGAAAACAGAAUGCAUUACUUUUACAGAUGUUUCUCAAGGACAGAUUCAUCCUUUGCAAGAUUUAAAAUAACUUUUACAUCAUGUAACACAUAGAGUAGGUUUUUUCCUUUUGCCAGUACAGUAAAAAUUUCUGCAGCUAGACAUUAGAAGAUAAUAAAGCUUACAGGAAUGCAAAUCAUUGCAUAAUGUUAAGGCCACUAAAAUCUAAAAUUUUAAUCAGAACUGGAUAAAGUGUGUGCAUACUCAACAUCUUUUCGAAAUGAGAACUUCAACGUUCCCCAGUAAGAAUGUAAGCUUCCUAAUGAACCAUAACUAGAUUUAUAAGAGGUAGUUUGGUUAACAUGUAAAACUCCGGGAAUUUAAACUACCUAGCAAAUUGUAAGAUUUUUUGGUUGACCGCUACAUGGAAAGUGGAACUUCCUAGCAAAUUGAAAUUCCCACAUAAUGUAGAAACUUGCUUAUAUCACACCCCGCCACUGCAAAUUCCCACACCACAACCAAACAUAUUUGUUAACUUCCCAGCUAUGUUACUCGGACUCGGGUACCAAGUGUCGGACACGACACGUAUCCGAGUAUCGGACUUGGGAACUUUGAGAAUUGGGGACACAGGGACACUGUCCUAUUUUUAGACACGGGUAUGGAGACACUUCGUGUUAUACUAAUAAACAAGUAUGGUAAGUUAGACAUCUUAACAAAAAUUAACAAUAAAACUCAAAUUAGACAUGACUUUGCAGGGGAUCUUGCAAAUUAGGCGUCUUUAGUACUUUAAUCACAUUUUUGCUUCUUCUUUUUUUCUCACAUAUUUCUUUUGAAUUGUAAGUUUGAAUCAUAUUUGAUUUUUGAAUUGGUCAAAGUGUCCACAUUUUAGUCAAAGGAUCCGACACGAAAUAAGAGCCGUGUCCGAGUGUCCAAGUGUCCGACACGGGUACGGCUACCUAAAUAGAAGAGUCGGAGUGACAUAGCUUCCCAGUAACUUGAUAAAUGAACUGGGAGGCCAGUUGGAGAAUUUAGAAUCAAGGUCCAACUGCCAUAUGAUACUUUUACGAUAGCAGUCUAGUUUAAAAAGGCACAACUAUAUACGUAAUGCAUACUUCAAGAGGAAGUAGGGAACAUUUGAAUUAAAGUUUUAGUAGACAACUCUUUGUAUAAAAAAUGAGUCCCUUCAGGCAAGUCCAGCGGUGUUCUAAAUCUUGUUCUAUAUCUAUAUUAUAGGGAAAAAACUGAAAUUCCCUACUCCAAUGGUGUUCUAUAUCUCGUUCUAAAAUAGAACAAUGCUAUAGUUUGUUCAAUGUAUAGAACAAAAGAUAGAUGGAGCUAUAAUUGCUAAAGUAUAAAAUGAUGAAAACAUGUAUAAGAAAGUACGUGAAAGUGUGGGGUCUUUGAAAGUUAGUUAUAUUAUGUUCAAAAGUGGGAUGUAUUUGAAAGUUGUUUAGAUUUGGAACAAGAUUUGAAACCAACCAUUGGAGACAGUGCUAUUUUAGCACCAAAAAUCACUUUUGAUGCUAAAUUGAAAUAACUCCAUCUAUCUUAGCACAACCUGGACAUGCUCUUAUUCACUUAAAAUUUAGCCAAGACUUUAUUCUUCCCCCUUCCAAGGGGUGCUUAUGCUUUGAUUUGCUGUAUACAUGCAGUUCUUGGGAUUUGUGGCCUUAAUAUUAAUUAAAUGCUAGGUUCAGUCGCCCACACAUUUGAUUGUUACUACGUAAGGAUUUGAUGCCCCAAACCAAGAACUUCAAAACUUCAAGACACAAUUUAUAAUAUUUAUAUAGAGCAAAUUCAUAACAUAGUUACCCGAAAUAGUCAAUUAUAAACCGCCCUGCAAAAUAAUCAACAAUCCGCCUCAGAACAUUAUUACAAAAUGCCUUUUCCAUUCCACCCCAGGCAGGCCUUUCAACCACUUCCAUUCUGCCUUCGUUGAAAAAAUGAGCUGAUUCUCUCAAGCUCUUGUUCUUCCUAAUAACCACAGAAUACAUAGUAGUCAGACUGGAAAUAUCUUGACUUUCCUUGUGCUUCUUUCAGACAUUUACUACUACUCUUACAAGUUUGUAGAAGUAAUUCAACUUAAAUGGAUAAGUACAACAAAAAAUAAAAAUCUGGGAUAUCCACAGAAAAGAUUUUUCUGUCCACAUCUUGUGAAGCAUGAAACCAGUUUUUUUUUUCAGCCUUCAUUUUCUUUUUCUUUAGCAUCACAAACAUUAAUCUUAAGCAUACGACAUCCAAGAUUUCUGAUUGGAGGGUCACACUGAAAUCUAAACUGUAAAAAAGUGGUACUACAAAGUACUUAACCCUCUUUCAGGUUGCUGUAAUAGACACAUUAAGUAGGGCAUGUACAUCAGAAUGUCUAAGUUAUGUUACUUGCCAAAAUCGCUUAAAAACUUCAGUGGUGUUUUAUUGCUUAGUAUAUAUAUAAAUUCACAACAAAAAGGUGGACAUGCUCCAAAUGCUGUCUAGUUCCUCAGGUGUAAUGUUUGUGAAUGUCUAUAGAGUAUCACAGUGACUAAUAUAACUAAAGCAACAAUCGAGACCGUGAAGUCUUUGGACUAACGAACUUCUUUAAUAAAUAACAGGUCACUAAGCAUAUAAUCAGUUAUGCUAGUUGGAAAGAAUAUUAGGUUGACUUGUGCUGCUAUUGGUAAGCCCUAAAUAAUUAUUUAAAUUGAAUAUUCAAAAGCUUGGCAUGUUUCAUUCACAAAAUCAAUUGCAUUCACAGACAUUAUAAUUCUUAGUACAGAGGCGAUAUAAUGAAAUGUGAAGUAUGACUAGUGUAUUAAGGAUUAUGUCCAAUUUCACACUACAAUGAAGUAAAUUCGGGAUUACAUACCAGGAAAGUAACAGAGGGAGACACAGAGAAGAAGAAGAGGAGUUAACCAAAUUACCAUUUUACACUAAUUUCUUCCUGUACCAAAUUACAUUCUUCCGGAAAUUCAAUAAAUAUGUGAGAAUCCAUAUUAUGAUUUCCUUAAUAUAUUUACAAGUCCCAGAUCAUACACGGCUAUUUCCCUAAUUGAUCUCAUCAAGUCAAGAUUCAGUUUUAAAUUAAGCUAGAUAUCACAAAAACAAGACAAUCUUGAUAAGUAUUAGAUUUUAACACAUUUAACAGCAAAUUAAAGGAAACAAUCAAGUAAACUGAUCAGAAUAUUAAUAAAACCACACUAUCUGGCAGGUUUAGAAACUUAAUCAAUAUACUUAUUACAUUACAUGAAUAAAAUUGAAGUAUUAGAUUUAUUUAAUCGUUCAAGAGAAGGCCUAGGUUUCUUACAGUUUCGCUUUAUCAAUUCCUUCCUACGGUCCUGGGAUUUGACUAAAUUAAGCUAAAAUCUAGUUGUGAUGUCCAACAAAACAAAAAUUAACAUCACUUUAGUAAACAAAAUCUACAAUCCUCUGAAGGGAAAAUUUACUUGUUAGAUCAAAUAGUACGGACAAAAACUGAUAAGAAACAGCAAUGAAACUCGCCAACUCACCUGAAAGAACCCAGUCCGCCGCAAAUCGUUGUCCACUAGUGCUCUCAAAAUUUCUUAAAUAAAAAAGAGACCUGAGUUGACAUAGGAUUGAUAUAUGGUGAGUUGGACGGUCAGGAUAUGGUGAUGAGUUGGUGAGAUUGCAUCAUAUGAUGACAAAUGUCAGUAUAAAUGUACCCCACUACAGAUCAAUUGAGUUGGGCUGGAUCGAGAUCACUACCCCAAGGCUUAUUACAUGACCAAUGAUCGGAUAAUGGCGAGGGACUAAUAUUCUUUUUCAAAAAUACUAUGAUUUAUAUAUUAACUUAAUCACAAAUUGCUCACAUACAUGAACUCAUUCGAUAAAUAUAAAAGUGAAUCCAGGAUUAAGUUAAUAUAUAUGGAUCAUAGUUUUUUGUGAAAAUAUAUAUUAGUCCAUCAGCGUUAUCUGGUCAUUGGUCAAGUAAUAGGCUUUUGGGGGUAGUGUCUCGAUCCUAACCACCUCAAAUGAUCCAUAGUGGGGUACGUCUAUAGUAACAUGUGUCUUCAUAUGGUGCAAUAUCACAAACCCAUCACCUUAUCCUAACCGUCCACCUCAUCGUAUAUCUUUUUUUUAUUUAAAAAAUUUUGAGAGCAUUACAGGAGGGCGAUUUGGCGCGGACUAGGAUAAUUUCAGGUGAGUUGGCGAGUUCCACUGCCGAUCCCGUUCAUUUUUUGUCGUACUAUCUGAUCAACAAGCACAAUCUUGAUAAGUAUUAGAUUUUAACACAUUUAACAGCAAAUUAAAGGAAACAAUCAAGUAAACUGAUCAGAAUAUUAAUAAAACCACACUAUCUGGCAGGUUUAGAAACUUAAUCAAUAUACUUAUUACAUUACAUGAAUAAAAUUGAAGUAUUAGAUUUAUUUAAUCGUUCAAGAGAAGGCCUAGGUUUCUUACAGUUUCGCUUUAUCAAUUCCUUCCUACGGUCCUGGGAUUUGACUAAAUUAAGCUAAAAUCUAGUUGUGAUGUCCAACAAAACAAAAAUUAACAUCACUUUAGUAAACAAAAUCUACAAUCCUCUGAAGGGAAAAUUUACUUGUUAGAUCAAAUAGUACGGACAAAAACUGAUAAGAAACAGCAAUGAAACUCGCCAACUCACCUGAAAGAACCCAGUCCGCCGCAAAUCGUUGUCCACUAGUGCUCUCAAAAUUUCUUAAAUAAAAAAGAGACCUGAGUUGACAUAGGAUUGAUAUAUGGUGAGUUGGACGGUCAGGAUAUGGUGAUGAGUUGGUGAGAUUGCAUCAUAUGAUGACAAAUGUCAGUAUAAAUGUACCCCACUACAGAUCAAUUGAGUUGGGCUGGAUCGAGAUCACUACCCCAAGGCUUAUUACAUGACCAAUGAUCGGAUAAUGGCGAGGGACUAAUAUUCUUUUUCAAAAAUACUAUGAUUUAUAUAUUAACUUAAUCACAAAUUGCUCACAUACAUGAACUCAUUCGAUAAAUAUAAAAGUGAAUCCAGGAUUAAGUUAAUAUAUAUGGAUCAUAGUUUUUUGUGAAAAUAUAUAUUAGUCCAUCAGCGUUAUCUGGUCAUUGGUCAAGUAAUAGGCUUUUGGGGGUAGUGUCUCGAUCCUAACCACCUCAAAUGAUCCAUAGUGGGGUACGUCUAUAGUAACAUGUGUCUUCAUAUGGUGCAAUAUCACAAACCCAUCACCUUAUCCUAACCGUCCACCUCAUCGUAUAUCUUUUUUUUAUUUAAAAAAUUUUGAGAGCAUUACAGGAGGGCGAUUUGGCGCGGACUAGGAUAAUUUCAGGUGAGUUGGCGAGUUCCACUGCCGAUCCCGUUCAUUUUUUGUCGUACUAUCUGAUCAACAAGCAAAUCUUCCCUUUAGAGGAUUGUAGAUUUUGUUUACUAGAGUGAUAUUAAUUUUUGUUUUGCUAGUAAUCACAACUAGAUGUUCAUUUAAUUUAGUCAAAUCCCAGGACAAAUAGGAAGAAAUUGAUAAAGCGAAUUUAUAAGAAGCCUGGCCCUUCUGUUGAAUGAUUUAAAUAGCACUUAAGCAUCAUCCAAGUACAAUAGCUUAUCUUUCCAAAGCCACAUUCAUUAUGUUUAAGCAUUCGUGUGGAACCAGUCUCAUUUACAAAUUGAAAGCACCUUAAUGUGCCGCAGGGCUCGCCAAAUGUUUAACAUUGGGUCUGCUAGCGCUAGGUGAUCAAUACUGAUGGUACAAAGCAAAUAUGUCCCCAUCCAUGGCCAAAGCAUGCUGUAUUUAAUUUUGCACCCAAAGUUUUAAAUUUUCGCAUUAUUGUUCCUUAAACCUUGUCUUUCUAUAUUGAUCUUCCGUAUUGAUGAGCUAUUUGUUAUCUUUAUCAAAUAAGUUGAACCCAAGAAAGUAACCAAUACACAAGAACACUCACAACAAAAUAUGAUUUGUGUAGAUUUAGUAUCGUGAAACAGCACACUGGAUUUAACAAAUAAAACCACUACUAUAAACUAAUUACAAGAAACGCUCACACCUGUUUCCUUCUUCUAGACCAUGCCCUCAUUCUCUGUUCUAGAUUAUCACCACCUUGCAUAACAUUUGCUACUAGAGACCAAACUCUCCAAUAUUACAAGUGAAUGUAUUCUGUCCAUUGAUUGGUCCGAAAGAUACGACUGAAUAAUUUACCAUGAACAACCACCGUAAGCCUGUUAUCAAACACCGUAAGCCUGUUAUCAAACACCAAACCAGACCUUGAUUAAAACCUUUUUGUGUGGCAAUCAUAUCAUACACCUCAGCGUACACCUUCAUCAAAAUUAGAUUCUCAGAAAAUUUGGGUGCAAGAUAGUAAAUUUGUCUACAAUAUUUGUAAGUUCCAACUAGAUGAGAUACAAUUGUAAAUAAAACACACAGACAAUGUAUAUAAAUAACAAACUUGACUAAAAAUGAUGAGCAGAAACAUGAAAGAUUGAUGGAUUUAUACCAAAAACACAAGCCCUUUAACCAUCUGAAAUUUGCAGCGCAAAAACAUCCCAAUCCAUUGAUUAAAAGAUUCGACACAAAUGGUCUCUCGUGUUAAUAAACUUAAGACGAGAGGUAAUACUGAACAAGGGAAGGGGCUCUGUAGGGCUGCAGCCUGGUUGCUGAUGCUUAAGAGUAGUCAUUUUCUGCCUUCAAACUAAACGAGAAACUAGAGAAGAAAUACAACAAUGCCCUA